UGAUUUAUUGUAGACAAACAUGGGAUUUUGGCACAAUGAAUUCUUAAUAUCUCUAGUAUAAAGUAUGAAAAAAUGGUAUUUUGACUUAUUGUAGACAAGUUAAGUUAUAAUUGUAUACAAUUAAUCUUUUGGGCAAUAAACUAAAAAUGAAAAGAAUUUAAUUAAAUUGUAUUUAUUACUAGGAGUGGAUCCAUAACCCUAACUAAUUCAAUUUCAUAGUUUUUCUUAAAUUAAAUUGCAUAUAUUAAAUUUUAUUUUCAUUUUUUAGAUAAACUAAAAUAAACAAAUUAAAUUCUUUCUCUGUGGAUAGACCUCGGACUCACCGAGAUAUAAUAUAAUUAGACACUCUUACACUUGAGAGUAAAUUAAACACUUUCUCCCGUUAUAGCCUCUGGGCAACCUGAAGAGCCAAGACAGUAUGAAGCCGUUUUAAACUGGCAAACCAAAAAUGCCAGCGCUCAAAAUCAUACUCUUCAACAACUCGGUAAGAAAAUUGACCGUGUUGCCAAUCAAGUCUCUCAGACAGAAACUAAAGUUGAUUCAAUCAGCAGUCGUCUUGAUCAGAUGUAUAUACAUCUUCAAGAUUGGAUUUCUGAACUAGAUACCGAUAUUAGACGGAUGAUCAACAACCAUAUCUGGGGUCCAGAGUUUAAUAGAAAAGAAGCUGAGAUCAGAAAGCUCAAAGCUGAAUUGUCCAGGAUUGAUGCUAAACUCGACCUUCCCUUUUUACUCAACCACAACCUACACCAGUAUCUCCUCCAAUCUUUGAAACCUAUGCACCUUUCUACACACCAUCCCGACCUCAACAACUUGUUUAUAGCAGUUCUUUGGUUUCUCCCACCUUCAACCAACUCCUCAACCAUCUUCACCCAAAAAAUCAAGACCUAAAGUCAAAAUCUCCGAACCACGUCCAAAGGCCACUUCCUCUACUUCUACAAUCCCUCCAGAAGAAUCACCACAAGACAUUCCAGAGCCUCUUAAAAAAGAUAAAGGCCCAAUGGACCAGUAUCAUUACCAUACUGUCCAGACCCAAUCUUUAGAUUCCUCCGACUCUUCUGAGCCUGAAAUAAAUAAUUCAUCUUCGUCCUCCUCCUAUGACUCAUCAAAAGCCUCCACUGACUCUGAGUCUGAAUAUGCUGACAUUACAGGCAUAUUAAUGGCCACUGAAACUGCAGAUCCAAGUGCCUCUACUUCAACACCUAUUGUUGAUGACAAUCUUUCUGACCAAGCUUCUCAAACAGACCCAAUACCACCACCAGUUCAGCAUCUUGGUUUACAUUUGAUGACAUUCCUCGUCACAAAUGGUCUGCUAGACUUCAAGAAUUUGCUGGUUGGAUUGAUCUCCAAGGUACCAAGCCUAAUGCUCAACCUCAAGCCGUUCUUCGUGAAUUCAUGGCCCGCUCCACAGGUUCUUUACGAGACUGGCUAGAAAGCUUAGGAGAAUAUAGACAGCUCCAAUUCAUGGAAUCUCCGAUUGGUACAGCACUCAAUAUUAUUCAUGAGCAAUUCAUCAGUGAAAAAACUGCUUCCACUGAAGCAGACAGAAAAGAAUACCAUCAGAUGAAAUGUUGUUCUCUCAAAAGACAUCUUCUGGAUGCUCAUUACAAAAGAAUGAGUAUUAUAUUCUACAAGCUAAAUGGGUUCAAUGAGCCAUCUCUUAAACAUGUCUUCAUAGCCUCUCUUCCUUCUGAGUUACAACCUGAUCUUCAAAGAAAACUCACAGCCACUAAUCUGAGCAUAGCUGAUAUCUCUUUGGGAAAGAUUUUCCAAAUGGCCAUGCUAUCUCUUGAUAAAAUCUGUGAACAAAAAGAAUUCUUCAAAGAUCUCAUGGAAGACAAGAAACCCUUCUCUGAAGCUUGUAAAAAACCUUAUCUUAAAAUCGAGUGUAAUGAUGAAAAGAAAUGUGUUUGUCCAACCAUAAAGAAACGACAUUUCCGGAAACACUUCCACAGAAAGUCCUCCUCCAAAAAAACCUUUUCGGUAUUUCAAAAAGAAAGAUGUUUCUUAGUACCGAAAGAAAAAAUCCAACCGUUGUUUCAUUUGCAAGAAACGCGGUCACUUUGCCCGAAAUUGUCCUCACAAAUCAACCAAAGCUGUUCGUCUUAUACAACAUCUUCAACAUUCUUCUCUGUUAUCUGAGAAUGAGGAUGUCAAAUCAAAUUUUUCAGAACAAUCAGCACAAGAUGAUCAGACUGCCUUUCUAAUCGCAGAAUCUUCGGACUCUGUAUGCACUUUCUGAAACACCAUCUCCAUACAGUCAGAUCUCCCAAAAGUUCUUAGAGUUCUGUACAGAGAACCAUUCACAGUUCCAUCAUCCUUCGCCUCUUUGGAAAAAUGAACAAUUUUUUAUUCACCUUUCUUUUAAACUCAACGAAGACAUAAACCCCACAAAAGCUUCACACUCGGGUAUGUCUCCUUCAGAUCUCUUGCUUGCUAAGCAAGAAUGUUCUCAGUUACUCCAACAAGGUCUUAUUGAGUCUACUGAUUCAGAUUGGGCUUGUCAAGCCUUUUAUGUUGAAAAAUGAUCUGAAUUAGUUCGUGGAAAAAAGAGAUUAGUGAUUGAUUACCAGCCACUCAAUUCUUUUCUUAAAGAUGAUAAGUUUCCCCUUCCAAAAAUCCAAACCCUGUUUGUCCAUCUUCAAGGGGCUCGUAUCUUCUCUAAGUUUGAUUUAAAAGCUGGUUUUUGGCAACUUGGUAUUUCACUAGUUGACCGUCACAAAACUGCCUUCUGCAUCCCUGAUGCCCAUUACCAAUGGACUGUUAUGCCUUUUGGUCUUAAAGUCGCUCCCUCCUUAUUUCAAAAGGCCAUGACAAAAAUCUUUAGUCCUAUUCUCCAUCAUGCAUUGGUCUACAUUGACGAUAUAUUGUUAUUUUCCUCUGACCAUAAGAGGCACCAGAAGCUCCUUUUGGAUUUCUUUCACAUUGUGCAGGCACAUGGCAUCAUGCUUUCCAAAAAGAAAAGCAGCAUAGGAAAGGAAUCAUUUGACUUUCUUGGCAUGGUGAUUAAAGACGGCCAGUAUCAGCAUGGUUCACAUAUUGUAAUCGAAUUAUUAAAGUUUUCGGACACACAUCUCAACAGAAAGCAGAUACAACAAUUCCUCGGGAUUGUUAAUUAUGUCCGUGAUUUUAUCCCAAAAGUUACAAUCCACACCAGCCAGCUGUCACGCAUGCUCAAAAAAUAGUGCCCUCCACGGGGCCCUGCUCAGAUAAAAGUUGUCAACCAGCUAAAGGUAAUAGCACAAUCACCUCCUCCACUCAGAAUUCCCACAAGUGGACAGCGUAUCCUUCAGACUGAUGCCAGCGAUGAUUAUUGGAGUGCCAUUCUCCUCUAAGACAUCAAUGGCGUGCGUCAUUUCUGUGCACAUGCAAGCGGACAAUUCAAAGAAUCUGAAAAGAACUACCAUGUGAUCUACAAAGAGAUUUUGGCAGUCAAAUAUGGAAUUAAAAAAUUUGAAUUCCAUCUCAUCAGCCACAAAUUCCUUAUCAACAUGGAUAAUUCUUCUUUUCGCCGAAUCUUUGACUUCAAGAACAACUUGCUACCUGACAAGCAAUUACUCAGUCUCAAAACCUGGUUUGCUAAAUAUGAUUUCACUGUUCAACACAUAAAAGGCAACCAAAACCUCAUUCCAGACUUCCUCACUCGUCCAGCUAUAAAUAAACCCACACUCAUUUCCUCGAUUCAAACCAUUCCAGUUAUAGCCAUGAAUCGCCAACUUCCUUUCAAAGCUCUCAACCAAAGAAAUUUCCCCAUGAACAUCUCUUUCCAAUCGGCUUACCAACUGCAAGAUUUUGCAAAGAAGUUUCUUUACCGGUUUUUCUUUAAUGUUCAGACCAAAAAACCUGACCGAUUUCCUAAUCUUUGCAUGGAGCACCUGUUUCUCACAGGUCUCACUAUGUCCUCUCUAUCCAUCUUCGAAGAUGAGCUUUGGUACAUGUGGUGUCUCACCGCCUUGUAUGCUAUAAAGUUAGUUUUUCCCAUCAAACCAGUCCUGACCCACCUUACCACUCCUGAGUUCUCACCAGAUCUUCUAUGGACUCUAUUCGAAUGGUAUUCCCUACUCACUUGGUGGCGCAAGCAACUCCAACAUUUGUGUACCUUUUAUGGAUUACACAAAAUGCCAGAACAAGAAGCUAACAUGUGGACUACGGUCUUCAUCGUCCACAGGCCUUAUUUCCAGCACCUAGAAACACGGGACUACUGGACACAAGACAUGACAUAUGAAUGGAGAACUUAUCCGCAUCCAUAUACCCCCAUUCAUAACACAUCUGUCACCUCUGUUCUCAAAGCCUACCUUAUGGAGCUUAACAAUGUUCCUCCACCAGCCAUAAACAUUCACCACACCUCUAUUGGACCAUCACACACCCUUGAAGUUAUUCCCAAAACACAAGGCUGUACUCCGGGUUCAAGUUCAAGUCCUCAAGGAAUCCUUGUUAUGGAACAACGUCCUGACUACACUAAUGUCUUAUUCCAAGACGCUCAGGACCCAUGGGAAGAUUUUCAGUCCCUUCUCCAUACUGAAAAUCCUCAUUAUACUAUCACCACCCCGGAUUCACCUACUGCAUCUACAUCUCAGCCCAUGACUGACGCUGAUGAAGAAAAAUACCAACAAGCUGAAGCGUAUCUCGACCAGUGACAGAUACGUCAGCACAAAUGCCAAUAUGAAAAAGACACAAGAGAUGUGUCACCAUCGCAUUAUCCCUCCACUCCAUGAUAACGCCUUAUCUCCAUUGCACAAGCUUUUGCUAUCACAACCCAUGUGACUCUCGUUUGUCUUUUGUUAAAGUCCUUGUCGGUAUGUUUUACCUUUGUAAAAGUCCUUAUCGGCAUGUUUUGCUUUCAAAAAAGGUGUGCUAUGCGAUAUGAUCAUUCGAGAGGUCCUGUUCUCAAUGAUCCUCUAUAUAAGGCACCUUUGAUCUCAAUUGUAAGGGAGCCAAUCUGAAAUAAAAGAUUAUGUUAUAUACAUUAUAUUUCCCUAAACCUCUCUCUCUCUUCUUGGAAUCGAAGAAAUUAUUUUGAAUUAAUAAUGAUACGCUCACCUCAAAAAUUUCUAAACUGAGUAUGCUCUGCACUUGUCUCAAGCCCGAGGAUCCUAUGCAUCAGAAAGGUCCUGUUUUUAUCCUCCAAAACUGAUUUUAUAAAAUGAAAGUGUUUUCUCACAACGUUCACCUUCUUUGAAGGCCAUGAGUAUUGAGUUUUCGGGUGGUAUAGUGAAAAACCGUUUUCACAUAUGAUUUUCGGGUUUGGUAUUAACUAGAUAAGUGUAUAUCAGCUGGAAACCAGAACUUGCGGGCUACUGGCCCUAAGGACAGACUUCGUUCUAUCAUAGAUCUGGUGUAACAACGCCACGUACAACUACGGGAAAGUAUUCGAAAAAGGAAAAUAAUAUAUUUUCCUACCAUAAUGUGCAAGCCAACUUCCAAUUUCAUAGAAGUGAUUAUUUGGAAUUUAAUUGAGCUCAAGUUGCUUGAAUCAACCCAUUAAGCGCUUCUUUAAAUUUCUUUGCUCAAGCUCUUGUGAUGGGUCCGACGGGAACUUUAAUAGGAUCUGAAUAUGCCUCAAGGAAUUUACUGUUGAUGGGACUUGUAUAAGUGAUGUAGCUGAGGUGUAGAUCUUGUGGAUGAUGUGGGAUCUAGUUCUAACGAUGAAACAACCUUUGGGCACAUCCUUAACUGUUAACAGACACAUCUGAUUCAAAUUAUGAUUUGGGCACCACUUAACUGACAAACUGGGUGGUGGUUUGAAAGUAAGAUGAAUAGUUCUAUCGAAAUUUUUCUAAAAAUGACUUUCAGAAGUUUGUAUGGGUUCAAAAUUUUGAUGAAAUUGUUCAUAAUUAGACAACCAUUCUAAAGGCAUGAGUUUGAUCAAUUCUUGUCAAGGAAUUUGCCUUGAUAUCUGAAUAAUGGUUGGAAUCUCUUCAGAUUCUGCAAGAAUCAUAAGAGCAAAUCCAAAGCAUGAUUUUGCAGUCGAUAAACAAGCUGAUGGUGCAAGGUAGCUAUUUUAGCUGAGGUUAUUUGUUUAGCUCCUUAAAGCUGGAUCUGAACUUUUAAAGUUGUGGCAAGGUUGGAAUCAAGAAGUGAAAGAUUAAAAUUGGGAUAAGAGGUAAGCAAAGCACUUCUGGCAUGGAGGGUGGUGAGAACUGUGCUAAUGAUGGCAUGCUGAUAUAGCUUAAACCUGGUGUCAAGUAAAGCAAUUCUGGCCGUGACAGGUAAGCCUUUUCUCCCAUGAAGGGUAAGGAUUAGGCGAACACCUUCAAGGUGAAGAUGUGUGUAGCCUUCACGUUUCCAUGUAGAGAUCAAUUAUGAGGGUAUCUCAAGAGUGACAUAUUGUUCAGCUGUAGUAGCUUGCAAAGCACACUGAUCGAGUCGGGACGACUGGAUGUAUUCUUUAGGAUGAGGUCGUUUGGUGGAAAUCAGGGUUUUGAUACUUCUGGUAAAAGAAGGUUUUUUAUACAAGUGAUAUGGACUGAUAAGAGGUAAAGAGGAUUCAUUGAUUUGGACAAAUUCAAGAACAUAGGAGUAUUCAACAAGAUUCUCUAUCUUACUGGCUAUUUGCUUAGUACAGGAUUUAGGUAAAGAGAGAGUAGAAGAAAGAGUAACUAGAGAAGAUGAAGAAGUAGAAGUAGUUGAGGAUGACGAUGAAGCCAUGGGAUUUUAAUUUUCUAUUCCUUAAUGCUUUGAUUCCUAAGGCAUUGAACUCUUAUAACCUAUACCAACAUCGGAGAAUUUCAUGUGAGGCUCUGAUACCAACUGGGUGACGAGAGUGACGUGGUUAGGUGAAACCAGACACUCCGUAGUAUCUUACCAUGAACUAAGAGCAUAGACAACCCAAAAGACACAGACUCCCCCUGGUCACUUAGUCUAAAGGUAGGGUUCUAUCUAUUGUCUCAGAACAAAGAAAGAAUGACAGCCUGACUAGCUUUCUGGUGCACAGGAUCCUUUUUCAAGGCAAGUGCAUAGCAUACUUGCAAAAGAUAGAUAUUGAACAAGGGUAAGAGUUCUAAACCUAAAGAAUCUUAGGAUUAAAGAAUACAAAUGAGGGUUUUAGUUAUCCAUAGGGUGGAAUAUUGAAACUUGAAAUGUUAUAAAAAAGCUUUCUAAUUUUUAUUCAAAAUAACUCUCCUUAUAUAAAGAUAAGGAGGAGAAAAGACAAAAGUUGGAUCGAGAUUAUCCCAGUUGGCAUACAGGCAUACUUAUUUUACAAAAGUAGGUAGGGCUCACUGGUACAGUAGUGGCCCACAAAAGUAAAGUGCAUGAUUACAUAAGGACAAACAACUUUAAAAAGCUAAAGCAUAAAGCGCUUUAUUUUACAUUAUUACAAAGUGACAAAUCUCUUAAAGAGAUAUUGAUGCGUCUUCAGAUGAGGAGGAAUCUGUCUUGUUAGGGUCACGAUUAGGGUCUUUGUCUUUUUUGAAGAUUUUUUCUGGAUGAGAACAUCCUAAAACACAUGGCCAAAGGCAAUCUCGGGUGUUUGGUGAUAGAGGAGUUGGCUGAGGGAAAUGUUCUAGUUGGGUUGAAAAUGACGGAUAUGGAGAAGAGGAUGAUCCAUAGAGUUCAUAUGGUGAUGGUGAAGGGACUGGAGUGAAGUCUUCAUAAGGGUCUUGGGAAUCUUGAAAUAGAAAGUCAGUAUGAUCUGGCUUUUCUUCUUUUAUGAUGAUUCCAUGGUUGGGAGGUUGGGAAUGUAAGGAUGGUGUAGGGAUCAUGAACAUUUCAAGUUUUGGUCCAAGAAAUGUGUGGAGGAUAUCUGGUUGGUCUAGAGGAAUAUGGUUGAGUUCCAUGAGGAAGUUCUUUAAGGAAGUCUUGAUUUGGAAAUCUUGUUCAAGACAGGCAAUGUGAGGAACUGUGGUCCAUUCAUAACUCUGAUUCUGGGUCCAAAAAUCUUUGGUAUGAGGAUGCUGGAAGUAUGGACGCUGAAUGAUCAAAGCAGAAGUGAAUUGUUUGCCUUCUUGGUCUGGGAGUUCUAGAAGACGAUGUGUGUCAGCAAUCUGUUGUAGCUUUCUACGCCACCAUGGUAAUGGUGAAAACCAUUAAAAAAGAGUCCAGGUAAGGGAAGUAGAAGACUCUGGAUCAUUGAGCUUGGUGAGAAGGGGUAAGACUGGGAAAACCAUAUUUGUGGCAUAUAGAAUAGUAAGACACCACGUAUACCAAAGUUCAUCUUCGGUAAUAUCUCUAUGAGGUGUAAUUACUAAUCCUGUGAGGAAAAGAUGAUCAAGAUGAAAGUUGGGAAAAAACAUAGGUUCUUUACUCAUCAUGUAGAUGUUCAUAAAAAACCUAAAGAGGAAUUUCCUGGCGAAGUCUUGAAUCGAGUGAGGUGAUUGAAAAGUCAUGUUGAGUGGGAAAGACUUCUGGGUGAGAGCUGUUUUAGGAAGUGAACUAGCCAUGGCAAUUAUCAGGAAGGAAAUCUGAGAAGUGAUACAGAAGAAUUGGGAAGGUUGUGGUUUUGGAGGUCCGAAGUAAGGUUUUCUCUAGAACAACCUUCUGCUUAAAGUUCAAGAUAUUGGAAAAAGCUGAAUUAUCUAGCCUGAUCAAGAAUCUAUGACCAAUCAAAUGGAAUUCGAAUUUCUUGAUACCAUUUUUCACGGCUAAGAUUUUUUUGUAGACUAUGUGAUAAUGCUUUUGUGCAUUAGGGAAUUGUCCACUUGCAUAGGCAAUAAAGUGUUCUUUUCCAUUGCAUUCUUCAAGGAGAAUGGCCCCCCAUGACUCAUCACUUGCGUCUGUUUGCAAGAUUCUUUUUUCGUUUGUAAUUAGCUUUAGAGGUGGCGGAUUCUGAGCAAUCUGCUUUAAUUGCUUUACAGCAUCUGUGUGGAUAUCUGACCAGGAUGGUGGAUUCUUUUUGAGAAGUGCAGACAACUUGCUUGUAUGGUGAUUGACAUGUGGCAAGAAAUCACGGAUGUAAUUGAUGAUUCCAAGAAACUGUAGGACUUGCUUUUUUGUAAAGUUACUUUCGAGAAAGUGGAGUAACUCUUGUGCAAUGUGGGGUCCAGGCUGAUAAUGGCCAUCUUGGAUUUUCAGGUCAAGAAAGUCAACAAAGGUUGUCGCAAUCGUACUUUUCUUGUUAGAGAUCAUGAUUCCAUGUUCUUGAAUGAUUUGGAAAAACUGUUGGAGUAACUUGUGAUGUUCAUCAUGAGUACCUGAAAAAAGAAGCAAAUCAUCAAUGUAAACAAGGGUAUAAUGGAGGAUUGGCUGAAAGAUAGUGGUCAUGGCCUUUUGAAAAAUAGAAGGGGUAGUUUUGAGGCCAAAAGGAAGGACUGUCCAUUGGUAAUGGGCAUUUGAAAUACAAAAAGCAGUUUUGUAUCGUUCUGAAGCGUGAAUGCCAAGUUGCCAAAAACCAGACUUUAAGUCGAAUUUUGAAAAGAUUCGAGCAUUUUUGAGGUGGACAAAAAGGGUGUGUCUAUUGGGUAAUGGAAAUUUUUGAUCUUGGAGAAAAUUAUUGAGUGGCUGAUAGUCAAUGACUAAUCGUUUUUUGCCAUGAAGAAUUUCAAACCUUUUUUCAACAUAGAAAGCUUGACAAGCCCAUUGAGAAUUUGUGGGCUCAAUGAGGCAUUGUUUUAGCAAUUGGGCACAUUCUUGUUGGGCCAAAAUGAGGUCUUAUGGGGUCAUUCCUGUAUGGGUAGCUUUGGUUGGGUUGCUGUCUUCAUUUAGUUUGAAAGGUAAGGAUAUGAAGAAGUUUGGGUUUUUCCACAACGGGUUUGGAUGGGUAAAAAGGCUUCUGGGCAAAAUUUGAGGAUUUGAUCUGUAAUGGCCUGGUAUGUGGGUGGUGAAUGGGCUAAAGAAUAGAUCUUUAGAGUGUUGGUGAAGGGUUUAAUCAUGGAUUUGUAAUGGAGACCAGAGGAAGUAAUCUGGACAUUUUUUGCCUGAUGUAGGAUGUCAAAACCUACAAGGAGAUCUUUGUUUGGCAAAGCUGAACCAAUUAGUUUUAUCCAAACAACACAAUUAGGAAAUAAUUGAAUUCUUAUUGGGUGUUUAGUAACUAAUUUAGUUGUAAAGAUCUUUCCAUCAGCUGCUUUGAAGUGUUCUUCCUGAGUUUCCCAAUACUCAGUAGGAAGAAUAGCAUAAUUAAGCAUGCUUCGCUGAGCACCAGUAUCGAGAAAACCAAUGGCUGUGAUGGGUUUAUGAUAUCUGGAAGGGACAAUUUGGAUUUUGACAGAAGGUAUGGGUAUGGUAUGGUCAUGGAUUAGGAUGGAGGAAGGUUGGACUGUGUAGACGGGUUCAAAAUCAGAACUGUCUGAAUCAUUGGAUUCUGCUGGUAAGGCAAAGACUGUAUCAUUGUUUGGUUCUUUUUGUUCAGAAAACAAGUGUUCAACUUGGUCUGUAGUUGGGGAAAAUUUUAUAGUGGAUUCCAAGUGUUGGAUAAGCUUGAUUGCCUUCUGAGGUUUGACGGGACAAUCUUUGGCAAAAUGACCUUUCAUUUUGGAAAUGACACAUCUGUUCUUCUUUCUGUUAGGAAAAUCUUUGGAGUGGGAUUGCUUUUUUCUUGAAAAAGCGAAAUCGUUGAGUACGCCGUUUCCGGGAUGGAAAUGGGAAUCUGGAUUUCUUGAAAUGAGACUUUUUCUUUGAUGAACAAUCACAUCUUUUUGGAUCUUUGCACUUGAUAGCCAAGGCUUUUUGCAAGCAGAUCUGAAAGGUUCUUUGUCUUUGAUGAGAUCUUGGGAAAAGUUCUUUUGUUCACACAAUUUGUCAAGACAUCCCAUAGCAAUCUGAAAUAAUUUUCCCAAUGAUAAUGUGUCAAUAUUGCGCUUGUGAGCAGCUAACUGACGCUGAAUCUCUUGAGAGUAACAUCGUUGAAUCCGUUUAGCUUAUAAUAAAUCAAAGACAUUUGCUUGUAGUGGUAAUGAAGAUCUUUUGUGUUGAGGGAACAACAUUUCAUGUUGAGAUAAUCACGCUUUGCAGCUUCAAAAGUAGCACUUGGUUCUCUAAUAAAUUGAUCAUGGAGAAGGGCUAAAGCCUGAGAAACAUCAGGAAUUUGAAUGAACUGAAGUUGUCUAUACUGUUCAAGACUAUCAAACCAAUCUCAAAGAGAACCCGUAAAUCGAGUACUGAAUUCUCGUAGAACAGAUUGGGUUGUGGCAUCUGGAGCUAACAUUUGGAGAUCAAUCCAAGCAGACAACGCUUGUAGUCUUUCUCUCCACUUUGUAGUAGGAAUAUCAUCAAAAGUAAACCAUGAACCAUUUGAAAGUUUGGAGACUUUUGGUGGAAGUGGAACUGACUGAGAAGAUUCACCAGUUUCGUGAUUUUCUUCAUCAGUGUCAACAAGUUCAGUUCUUGGGCGAGUGUUAGUGGCACCAGACUGUUCAGUAGGUUCUGCCAUGAGGAGUUUGGAAAUAUCAGCUAGAUUUGAAUCAGAAGUGUCUGAUUCAGACAAAUCAGAUGACUCAAUGGAUGAUGAAUCUGAUCGUGAAGGGAAAUUUUCAAUGGAAGAAUCUAGAGAUGGAGAAUGGGAAAUUUGUUGAGCAAAAUAUUAGUACAUGGGUUGUUUUUCUAAGGAAACAUAGGUUUGGAUUGGCGGUGGUUGGGUAGAUUCAGGUAAAGAGGUUGGUGAUGGAGAGGGUGAUGGUUCAAAUCUGGAUGUUUGUGGAUUUUGCUGAGGAAUGGGUUUUUGAACUGGGACUGGUUUUUGGGUUUUCUUUGGUUUUGGCUGAGGUCGUGGAUGUAGAGGAAACAAAGUAUGGGUCAUACCAAAAAGUCUAGAGGGUUCAUAUGUUCGGGAAGAAGUUGAUGGCAGGAAAGGAUGGUAGGUAGGAUUAAUUACUGGUAAUGGAGCAGAACUCGUAAAAAGGGUAGGCUGGACCUUUUCUGAAUCAAUCCUGGCAAUUUCAGCUUUCAAAGCUCUUAAUCUCAGCUUCUUCUUUUUUUUAUUUUUAUCAAAAUCAGGACUAUAGACUCGUUGAGCAAGCAUAGCCCGAAGUUCAGAGUUAAGUUGAGUAACUCUGUUAUGAAGAUUUUGAUAAAUUUGAUUUAACUUGUCUGAGAUAGUAUCAACCUUUUUCUCAACCUGGUUGGUUUUGUGUGUAAUGUUGUCUACCUUAUGAUGCAAGGUAGUGAGUGCUUGGUUCUGUGCAACAGCAUUUUGAGUUUGCCAGUUUAAGACUGCUUCAAAAGAAUGAGGUUCUUCUAAAUGACCAUCAGGAGUUACUGCAGAGGGGACAUAUGGUUUGGAGCCAAAACUCUUUUGUUGAUGGGGAAAACAUCAUACAAGACUGUAUGUUAGGAGUGGGAUUAGCAUGGAUGGUCUCAUGGGUUGAUUGUAUUCUGCAGUUGAGCAAAGUAGGUUCAUGUUUUUGGAUUCAGGCAAAACCUUUGUGAUAGAUGGGCAAAGGUGCUUGAGAAUCAAACUCAGGUGGUUCUUCAGGAUGAGCAGCAUGGUAUCGACAAGCUGGAUAAAUAAUCUUUUUAGACUUGUGCUUCCGUCUUUUGGGUUCGUCAUCAUAUUCUUCAAUAUCUUCCCAACAAGGACAGCCUGCAUCAUAGUUGCCAGAGGUUGGGACAUCCCACAAGAAGUGUCCAUAAAGUUUUGCUAGGUAUAUGGGAAAACCUUGAUCAUUAAAGGCUUGAAUGGGUAGGUUUUCUUAUUCUGUGUGUACAGAAGUGCUCAUUGAAGAAUAUGUAAAAGAUAAUCUGGGUGGUUCUUGAUGAGAACCAUCAAGGGAAUACUAUUAAAGCUUCAAGUGAUCCUUUGCACAUUCAUGGAGGCCCAAUUACAAGAGCUAGAGCCAAAAAGAUGCAAGCUGCAUUAAAUGGAUUAAUUGAGAAAAUAUGGAUUGAAAAUGCAAUUUAAGAUGCAAGACAUCAUGAAUUGGGCUUGGAGAGAAGACAAGGCAUUGUGGGCAUUAUUCAAGCUAUUGGGCAGCCAAAUACAUAAUUUGGAUCAAAUGCAGAAAGGGAAAAUUCGGAAUAAAUCUGGUAUUGAUUGAGCCAGAAUUAAUGUGCAAGCUAUAUACCGUUGGAAAGAUAAUUAAGUUAGCUUUCCAAUGCAUUUUACAGAGUUGGAUUUGGAGUUCUCUAGAAGGAGUUAUGAUCAAUUUAUUACAGCUUGUUCAGGCUUGGGAAUUCAAUCGACUCCUUUGAUUAUUCAACUUCAUUUAUUUGUUUUCGUCAAGUUUAUCAAUGUGUUAGGUAAGUCUAUCAUUAAUAAUAGUGGGUUGGUGAAGGCUUUUAAAACACCCUUUGACAAACCUAUACUUGGAGGGUUGUUCCAAUGUUUCCAUUUGUAUUUUUAGGAUCUUGGGUUUCUUUUAGCCUAUUUAAACUCAGCAACCUUGCUAUGUAUGAUAAUUAAGAGAUUAAUGUUAUUUGAAUUUGAAAGAUUAUUCUUUCUUUGGUUCUUUUGAGAACUAGUGAACUUAUCAAGAAUUUGCAUUCUUGUGGCGUUCCAAAUUUAGACUUAUCACUCACCUUCUCAUCUAUUUCUUUAGUGUGGCGUCAAUAUCAUUCUCUAUACCUUUGGUUCAUGCUUUUCCUAAGCAUUAGGUCAAGGUUUUGUUUGUCAUAAAUCUGUUUAGAACUUUCUUUGGAAGUUGAAACUACAAUUUAAGUGUAAGUUUCAAAGUGGGAAUUCGCAUAAGUUCUGAGGACGAACUGGGUGGUGGUUUGAAAGUAAGACGAAUAGUUCCAUCAGAAUUUUUUUGAAAAUGACUUUUAGAAGUUUGUAUGGGUUCAGAAUUUUGAUGAAAUUGUUCAUAAUUAGACAACCAUUCUAAAGGCAUGAGUUUGAUCAAUUCUUGUUGAGGAAUUUGCCUUGGUAUCUGAAUAUUGGUUGGAAUCUCUUCAGAUUAUGCAAGAAUCAUAAAAGCUUCUGAAUUUGCAAUUUGUGGAGUUGGCAAAUCCAAAGCAUGAUUUUGCAGUCGAUAAACAAGCUGAUGGUGCAAGGUAGCUAUUUUAGCUGAGGUUAUUUGUUCAGCUCCUUGAAGCUGGAUCUGAACUUUUAUGGAGGGUGGUGAGAACUGUGCUAAUGAUGGCGUGCUGAUAUUGCUUAAACCUGGUGUCAGGUAAGCCUUUUCUCCCAUGAAGGGUAAGGAUUAGGCGAACACUUCCAAGGUGAAGAUGUGUGUAGCCUUCAUGUUUUCAUGUACAUAUCAAUUCUGAGGGUAUCUCAAGAGUGACAUAUUGUUCAGCUGUAGUAGCUUGCAAAGCACACUGAUCGAGUCGGGACGACUGGAUGUAUUCUUUAGGAUGAGGUCGUUUGGUGGAAAUCAGGGUUUUGAUACUUCUGGUAAAAGAAGGUUUUUUAUACAAGUGAUAUGGACUGAUAAGAGGUAAAGAGGAUUUAUUGAUUUGGACAAAUUCAGGAACAUAGGAGUAUUCAACAAGAUUCUCUAUCUUACUGGCUGUUUGCUUAGUACAGGAUUUAGGUAAAGAGUAACUGGAGAAGAUGAAGAAGUAGAAGUAGCUGAGGAUGAUGAUGAAGCCAUGGGAUUUAAAUUUUCUAUUCCUUAAUGCUUUGAUUCCUAAGGCAUUGAACUCUUAUAACCUAUACCAAUGUCAGAGAAUUUCAUGUGAGGCUCUGAUACCAACUCUCACCAAGAAGAAUUAAACCAAUUUGAGGGAAAUCAUGUAUAGAAAUUGGUUCCCAAACCAGAACAUCAGUCUGCUGUAGGCACUAAAUGGGUUUUUAGGAAUAAGAUGGAUGAAUUUGAUGUGGUUGCAAGGAAUAAAGCUAGAUUAGUGGCUCAAGGAUACAGCUAAGAAGGGAUUGAUUUUGAUAAAACCUUCACACCUGUAGCUAGAUUGGAAUCCAUUAGAAUGCUUUUAGCAUUUGCAUGUCAUAAAGAUUUCAUUUUGUAUCAAAUGGAUGUUAAAAGUUCUUUCUAAAAUGGGUAUAUUAUGGAGGAAAUUUAUGUAAAACAACCUCUGGUUUUGAAAAUGAGAAAUUUCCAUUGUCUAAAGUAUUAUACGCACCGAGAGCAUAGUAUGAAAAGAUCAGUAAAUUUCUUUUAGAAAAUGGUUUCUUAAGCAAAGUGGAAACUACACUCUUCGUUAAUCACAAGGAUCAAGAUGUACUCAUUGUUCAAAUUUAUGUUGAUAACCUUAUCUUUGAUUCUACCAAUUAAGGAACUUUCACAUUAAGUAAAGAAUUUGAAAUGAGCAUGAUGGGAGAAUUGAAGUAUUUCCUUGAAAAUAAUGAGGGAAUCUUUAUCAAUCAAGCCAAAUGUGUAAAAAAUCUAAUCAAAAGAUUUAGCAUUGAUAACUCAAAGACAAAAAAAACUUCAAUGAGUAUGAAAAUCAAGCUUGAUAAGGAUGAAAAAGGUAAAGAGGUUGAUAUCAAAAUGUAUCGAGGUAUGAUCGGUUCUUUACUUUACUUAACUGCUAGUAGACCCGAUAUCAUGUUUAGUGUAUGUUUGUGUGCAAGAUUUCAAUCAUGUCCCAAGGUAUCAUUAGUAAUUCCAAAUAAUAUUAUUUGAUCUCCUAGAAGAAGAUUACACAAAUAUGGAAACAUCUUCAUCUUCACUUUCAACUCCUUCAUCGUCGUCAUCUCAUAUCUCUCUUUCCUCUACCCUAUCUCUUCCAAAAUCAUGCUCAAAACACAUAGCCUCCAAAAUCGAAAAUCUUGUUGAAUAUUCCUAUAUCCCUGAGUCUGCCCAAAUCAAUGAAUCUCAGUUUCCCAUCAUGAGCCCUUACAAUCUCUACAAGCAAAAAACUUCUUUAACCAGAAGUAUCCGAACCUUGAUCUCCACCAAAAGACCUCUGCCAAAGGAAUAUAUUCAGUCUUCUAGACUGGAUCAGUGUGCUUUACAAGCCUCUCAAAGUGAGCAGUAUUUCACUUUGGAAAUACCCCUAGAUCUCGUUGCCAACUAGAAAUGAGAAGGGUAUACGCAUCUCCAUCUAGGUGGUGUAAGAUUGAUCCUCACCCUCCAUGGUAGAAAAGGUUUACCUGUUAUAGCCAGAAUUGCUCUUCUAGGCACCAGGUUCAAACAGUACCAACAUGCUGUUGUAGGAACCUUCCUGACUACACUCCAUGCUGGCAGUGUCCUAUUAACCUUUUACCCCAAUUUCAGCCUCUCUCUUGAGGAUCCCAACCUUCCCACAACCCUUAAGGUCCAAAUCCAGCUCCAAGGAGCAGAGCAAACACCCACAUCAAAGAUUUCAACCCUACAUCACCAAAUAGUGUAUCGAUUACAAAAUCAUGCACUAGAUCUUCCUACACCAUACACUACAUCCGAUGCCUUAAUGAUCCUUGCAGACACAGACACAAUCCCAACCAUCAUCCAAAUUCCCAAACAAAUCCAGAAACAAGAAUUGCUCAAACUCAUGCCUCUUGAAUGGCUAACCAACUAUGAGCAUUUCCACCAAAACUCCGAACCAGUUCAGACAACAGAAGCCACGUUUGGAAGACAACAAAAUGGUCAAGUCAAACUAUCUUUUCAAACACCUGAGACCAAGCAUGUUUCAGACACUUCACAGCUUUCCUACACUGCUAUGAUUACAGCAGUUCAAACUGGUCAAGAAGAGAAACUUCCCAUUCAUAGUUUCUCAUCUGAAGGGUAUCCUGUCUACCCUGACAAAAUGAAUGGUCAUUUUCUAUGGGAUGUUCCUGAAGCCCAUAUGUGCAAUCCCGACUGUCCUUGCUUGGACAACACGGAUGUUGAUGACGAACUGGAAGUUAUGAGGAGAAAGAAAACGAAAAAGAAAAAACCUUCUCAUCCAAAAACAUCUUGUCAGGGAGCAGCUUAUUUUUGAAGUCAAAGAUUCGAGGAAAAGAGGAGUUGUCUAUGUUGAUAAGGAAUUUGUGGUUGAUUAGAUGAAAUUCACACUUUUUGAUUCCAUUUUUGACUGCCAAAAUCUCUUUGUAGAUCACAUGGUAAUUCUUUUCAGAGUCUUUGAAUUGGUCGCUUGCAUGUGCACAGAAGUGAUGUACACCAUUUAUUUCUUGUGUCCGAAAACUUUAAUAAUUCAAUUGCAAUGUGUGGACCAGGUUGAUAAUGGCCAUCUUUAAUUACCAUGCCAAGAAAGUCAAUUGAUUCUUUUGCUCUGCUGCUUUUCUUUUCAGAAAGCAUGAUUCCAUGUUCCUGCACAAUAUGAAAGAAAUCCAAAAGGAGCUUUUGGUGGCUCUCAUGGUCAGAGGAAAAUAAUAAGUUAUCAUCAAUGUAUACCAAAGCAUGAUGAAGGAUAGGACUGAAGAUUUUUGUCAUGGUUUUUUGGAAUAAUGAAGAAGCGACCUUAAGACCAAAAGGCAUAACAGUCCACUGAUAAUGGGCAUCAGGGAUGCAGAAGGCAGUUUUGUGAUGGUCAACUGGUGAAAUACCAAGUUGCCAAAAACCAGCUUUUAAAUCCAACUUAGAGAAGAUACGAGCCCCUUGAAGAUGGACAAACAGAGUUUGGAUUUUUGGAAGGGGAAACUUAUCAUCUUUAAGGAAAGAAUUAAGCGGCUGGUAAUCAAUAACUAACCUCUUUUUACCACGAACUAAUUCAGAUAUUUUUUCAACAUAGAAGGCUUGACAAGCCCAAUCUGAAUCAAUAGGUUCAAUAAGACCUUGCUGAAGCAACUGAGAACAUUCUUGCUUAGCAAGUAGGAGGUCGGAAGGAGACAUACCUGGGUGUGAUGCUUUUGCGGGGUUUAUAUCUUCAUUGAGUUUGAAAGGAAGGUGAAUGAAGAAUUGUUCAUUUUUCUAAAGAGGUGAAGGAUGGUGGAACUGUGAAUUAUUUUCUGGACAAAACUCUAGGAACUUCUGUGAAAUAUGACUGUAUGGAGAUGGUGUUUCGGAAAGUGCAUACAGACGUAAUGUAUCUGUAUAAGGCAAGAACAUUUGCUUGUAGCGAAUUCCAGAACUGGUGAGGAAUAGGUUUUUAACCAAAUGAAGAAUGUCAAAACCUAUAAGUAAAUCUUUAUGUGGGAGUUUGGAUGCUACAAUCUUUUUCCAAAUUAUGCAAUUCGGAAAGAAUUGAAUACCAAUGAGUUUUUUGGUAAUCAAAGUAGUUUCAAAAGUUUGAACUGUAGAAAUGACUGAAAUAUCAUCAGAAUCAAAAGAUUCUGUGAUAAUGAAAGCAGUCUGAUCAUCUUGUUAUGACUGUUCUGAAAACUUUGAUUCAACAUCUUCAUUCUCAGAUAACAGUGAAGAAUGUUGAAGAUGCUGUAUGAGACGAACAGCUUUGACAGACUUGUGAGGACAGUUUCGAGCAAAGUGACCGCGUUUCUUGCAAAUGAAACAACGGUUAUGCUUUUUCUUUAUGUACUGGGAAGCAUCCUUUUUCCUGAAAUAUCGGAGAGGUUUUUUGGAGGAUGAUUUUCUAUGGAAGUGUUUCUGGAAAUGUUUCUUCUUUCUGGUUGGAUAGAUACACUUCUUUUCAUCUUUGCACUCUAUCCUGAGAUAGGGUUUUUUACAGGCUUCAGAAAAGGAUUUUUUGUCUUCCAUGAGAUCUUUGAAAAAUUCUUUUUGCUCACAGAUCUUGUCGAGACAUAGCAUUGCCAUUUGGAAAAUCUUUCCCAGAGAGAUAUCAGCUAUGCUGAGAUUAGUGGCUGUGAGUUUCCUUUGAAGAUCAGGUUGUAACUCAGAAGGAAGUGAGGCUAUGAAGACAUGUUUGAGAGAUGGUUCAUUGAACCCAUUUAGCUUGUAAAAUAGAAUACUCAUCCUUUUGUAAUGAGAUUCCAAAAGAUGUCUUUUAAGAGAACAGCAUUUCAUCUGGUGAUACUCUUUUCUAUCUGCAUUAGUAGACGUAGUUUUUUCACCGAUGAAUUGUUCAUGGAUAAUAUUGAGUGCUGUACUAAUUGGGAAUUGCAUGAAUUGGAGCUGUUUGUAUUCUCCCAAGCUUUCUAACCAGUCACGUAAAAAACCCGUGGAUCGGGCCAUAAAUUCACGAAAGACAGAUUGAGGUUGAGCAUUUGGUUUUGUUCAUUAGAGGUCAAUCCAUGCGGCAAAUUCUUGAAGUUGAGUAGGCCAUUUGUGACGGGGAAUGUCAUCAAAUGUGAACCAAGAUGCUGAAGAAUGUUUUGUUGAAUGAUCAGGAGCCGGUGGAGGCAUUGAUGGUUCUUGCUCUGCCGGAGAUGCUUUAUUUUCAGCAUCAAAAGAACUAUCUUCAACAAUAGGUGUGGCAGUUGAAGUGCUUGGAUCUUCAGUUUUGGUGGCCAUUAAUAUGCUUGUAAUGUCAGCAUAUUUAGAUUCAAAGUCAGUGGAGGUACCGACUGAGUUUGUGGAUGAGGAAGAGGAAGGCGGGUUGGACUCUGAUGGGUUUGACUCAUAUACUGUUUCUGGCUCAGAGGAGUCAGAAGAUGUGUUUUGGACAGUAUGAUAAUGAUACUGAUCCAUUGGGCCUUUGUCCUUUUUGGGAGGUUUAGGAGUGGCUUUUGGUGUAUCUUCUGGUGGUACUGGAGGAAUAGAUGAAGAUGAAGUGGCCUUUGACUUUGGUUCUGACUUUGGAUUUUGAUUUUUUGGGUGAAGAUGGUACUGGUUGAGAAGUAGGUUGAAGAUGUGAGAAGCCAAAGAACUGGUUAGUACAUAAGAUUCAAACAUUGGAGGAGGUACUGGUGGGGUUUGUGUUUGAGUAAAAAGGGAAGGUCGAGUCUUUUCAGCAUUGAGCUUUCUGAUCUCUACUUCUUUUUUAUUAAACUCUGGACCCCAGAUGUGAUUGUUGAUCAUUCGUCUGAGAUCGGUGUCUAGCUCAGAGAUAUGAUCUUGUAGAUGUAUGUACAUCUGAUCAAGAUGAUUGGUGAUUGAAUCAACUUUAGUUUCAGUCUGAGAGACUUGACUGGCAACUCGAUCAAUUUUUUGACUGAGUUGUUGAAGAGUUUGAUUCUGAGCAUUUGCAUUUUUGGUUUGCCAGUUUAAAACAGCUUCAUACUGUUUUUUGGCUCUUCAGGUUGCCCAAAGGCCGUAACUGGGGAUUGGACAAAAGAGGUUGAUUACUAGCCACUUAAUUAUUGAUUACCAUGUGGUCUAUAAAGAGAUUUUGGCAGUAAAAAAUGGAAUCAAAAAGUUUGAAUUUCAUCUAAUCAGCCACAAAUUCCUUAUCAACAUGGACAACUCCUCUUUUCCUCGAAUCUUUGACUUAAAAAAUAAGCUGCUUCCUGACAAACAACUGCUCAGCCUCAAAAAUUGGUUUGCUAAAUAUGAUUUUACUGUCCAACACAUAAAAGGCAAACAGAACCUCAUCCCAGACUUCCUUACCCGACCGGCUAUAAAUAAACCCUCACUCAUUUCCUCCAUUCACACCAUCCCAGUUAUAGCCAUGAACUGUCAACUUCCUUUCAAAGCUCUCAACCAGAGAACUUUCCCCAUGAACAUUCCUUUUCACUCAGCCUACAAGAUCGUAUUUCUGAGCUAGACGCUGAUCUCAGACGAAUGAUCAACAACUACAUCUAGGGUCUAGAGUUUAAUAAAAAAGAAGUAGAAAUCAAAAAGCUUAAAGCUGAAUUAACAAGAAUCGAUGCUGAAAAAACUCGACCUUCCCUUUUUACUCAAACAAAGACCCCACCAGUACCUCCUCCGAUCUUUGAAUCUUAUGCACCUUCUACAUACCAUCCAGACCUCAACAAUGUUCAGCCACCUGCCAUAAACAUCAACCACACCUCUGUUGGACCAUCACACACCUUGGAAAUUGUCCCAAAGACACAAACUUGUACUCUCGGUUCCAGUUCCAGUCCUCAAGGAAUCCUUGUCAUGGAACAACGUCCUGAUUACACUAACGUCUUAUUCCAAGACACUCAUGAUACAUGGGAAGAUUUUCAGUCUCUUCUCCAUACUUAAAAUCCCCAUUACACUGUCACAGAUCCUAACCCUCCUGCUACAUCAGCCCUAAAAGAAAUGACUCACGCUGAUGAAGAAGCCUAUCUACAAGAAACGAGGUCACUUUGCUUGAAACUGUCCUCACAAAUCAGCCAAAGCUGGUCAUCUCAAACAAUAUCUUUAAUAUUCUUCCCUGUUAUCUGAGAAUGAAGAUGUUGAAUCAAAAUUUUCUAAACAAUCAGAACAAGAUGACCAGACUGCUUUCAUUAUCGCAGAAUCUUCUUAUUUUGAUGAUAUUUCAAUCAUCUCUAUAGUUCAAACUGUCAACCAUGUUUCAGCCAUACCUAGACCUUCCCUCAAAAUUUUAAUCCUUCCUUCAAAGUUUCAUAAACCUGUUCCUGUCAUCGGGUUUAUUGACACUGGUGCAGAUACCAGUAUGAUAGAUCCUUCUGUCCUUCCCUCUGAUUAUUGGGAAAAUCACUCGAAACUCUUCCGAGUAGGUAAUGGAGAAACUUUUGAAACCACUUUUAUUACCAAAAAACCCAUUGAUAUUCAAUUCUUUCCGAAUUGCAUAAUUUAAAAAAGAUUGUAACUUCCAAACUCCCAGAUAAAGAUUUACUUAUAGGUUUUGACAUCCUUCAUUUAGUUAAAAACAUAUUCCUCACCAGUUCUGGAGUUCGCUACAAGCAAAUGUUCUUGCCUUACACAAAUACACUCCGUCUGUAUGCACUUUCAGAAACACCAUCUCCAUAUAGUCAUAUUUCCCAAAAGUUUCUAGAGUUUUGUCCAGAGAAUCAUUCACAGUUCCACCAUCCUUCACCUCUUUGGAAAAAUGAACAAUUCUUCAUUCAUCUUCCUUUCAAACUCAACGAAGACAUAAAUCCCACAAAAGCAUCACACCCGGGUAUGUCUCCUUCAGACCUCUUACUUGCUAAGCAAGAAUGUUCUCAGUUGCUUCAGCAAGGUCUUUUUGAACCUACUGAUUCAGAUUGGGUUUGUCAAGCCUUCUAUGUUGAAAAACGAUCUAAAUUAGUUCGUGGUAAAAAGAGGUUAGUUAUUGAUUACCAGCCACUCAAUUCUUUUCAGAGUCUUUGAAUUGUCCGCUUGUAUGUGCACAGAAGUGACGUACACUAUUUAUUUCUUCAAGAAGGAUGGCAUUCCAGUAAUCAUCACUGGCAUCGGUAUGUAGAUGUAUGUACAUUUGAUCAAGACGAUUGCUGAUUGAAUCAACUUUAGUUUCUAUCUAGGAGACUUGACUUGCAACUCGAUCAAUUUUCUUUCCGAGUUGUUGAAGAGUUUGAUUAUGAGCAUUGCCAUUUUUGGUUUGCCAAUUUAAAACAGCUUCAUACUGUUUUGGCUCUUCAGGUUGCCCAGAGGCCGUAACUAGGGAUUGGACAAAAGGUUUUGAGAUAACUCUGGUUUGUGUCUGUCUGUUUUUCAAGUGGAGGAAAUGAUUCCUCAUAAGAUUGGCUUGAAAGCAUGAGACAUGAUCUUAUUGGAUGGACAUGAGGUUUGGGAAUUUGGAUGAUGGUUGGGAUUGUGUCUGUGUCUGCAAGGAUCAUUAAGGCAAGUGCAGAGCAUACUCAGUUUAGAAAAGUAGAGGUGAGCGUACCAUUAUUAACCCAAACAAUUUCUUUGAUUCCUAGAAGAAAGCAGAAGUUUAAAGAAACAUGAUAUAAAGAAAACUUAAUUUAUUUCAAAUUAACUCCUGUCUUCCAAAGGGAUAGAGAGAUCCUUAUAUAGAGAUCUCGAGGAAGGAGGGAUAAGCUUACGCUAGUGGACAAUUUUCUGACACACAGAAGCACUAUCAUAGUGUGUUCAAAGAAAUCUUAGCGGUAAAGAAUGGCAUCAAAAAAUUUGAGUAUCAUCUGAUUGGACACCAUUUUCUCAUCCGUAUGGACAGUUCAGCCUUCCCCAAUAUUCUUAAUUUCAAAGGUAAAACUGUUCCCGAAAAAAUGUUACUCAGAUUAAAAGAUUGGUUUUCCAAAUAUAACUUUUCGGUCAAGCAUUUAAAGGGAUCCCAGAACCUCAUCCAAGUGUUCUUUUCUAUUGAUAUCUUCAAGGAGGAUGGCACCCCAUGAGUCAUCACUUGCGUCUGUCUGCAAUAUGCGCUUUCCAUCAGUAAUCAAUUUUAAAGGAGGCGGAUUUUGCGCAAUCUGCUUGAGAGUAGUGACAGCAUUUGUGUGGUCAGCAUUCCAUUCUGGGGGCUUCUUUUUCAAUAAAGCCGAAAGGUGAUGAGUGUAGCGAUCCACAUGUGGGAUGAAGUCUCUGAUGUAAUUGAUGAUGCUGAGAAACUGUUGAACUUGCUUUUUGGAAAGUUGCUGAUCUGGAAAGUGAAGCAAUUCUUGGGCAAUGUGUUUUCCUGGCUGAUAAUGGCCAUCUUUUAUGAUCAUACCAAGGAAGUCAAUAUUGUCGGUAGCAAUGGUGCUUUUCUUGGCCGAUAACAUAAUUCUAUGACUUUGGACAAUAUCAUAGAAUUGAGUUAACAGCUGACGAUGUUCAUCAUGUGAUCCUGAAAAAAGUAAAAUAUCAUCAAUAUAAAUUAAUGCAUGAUGCAGAAUAGGCUGAAAGAUGUUGACCAUGGAUUUUUGGAAAAUGGAUGGGGCAGUUUUGAGGCCAAAGGGUAGGAUGGUCCAUUGGAAAUGGGCAUUUUGGAUACAAAAAGCAGUUUUGUAACGCUCAGAGGGUUCAAUGCCUAAUUGCCAGAAACCUGAUUUUAAAUCGAAUUUGGAAAAGAUCUGGGCAUUUCUGAGAAAAGUAAACAUGGUUUGUCGACGGGGCAAGGGAAAUUUGUCAUCUUGUAAAAACAUGUUUAAUGGCUGAUAGUCAAUGACUAGGCGUUUCUAUCCUCGAACAAUUUCAAAAAGAAAAAGCAUAAAACACACUUUAGACAAGACAGGACCCUUGUCUAAUUAUUAAAGCCAACUUUUAGAAAAGUAAAAGCUAAAGAUUCCCAUGCGUGUCUGCAAUCAUGGAGUGGAUGGGUAUAAGGAUGAGGAUAAGUCUUUUGUUUUCUGGGUGUUGGAAGUAGGGUCUGUGAACGAUGAAGACUGUAGUGAACAUGUUGGCUACUUGUUCUAGCAUUCUGUCUAAUUCGUGAAAAGUACACAUAUUUUUUAGUUGUUUUCGCCACCACGUGAGUGGUGAAUACCAUUCAAGGAGAGUCCAGAGAAGAUCUGAUGAGGACUCAGGAGUGGUGAUGAGAGUGAGGACUGGUUUAAUAGAAAAAACCAGGUUUGUGGAAUACAGGGUAGUGAGGCACCACAUAUACCAUAACUCAUCUUCGCAGAUGGUUAGGGAAGACAGGGCAAGACCUGUGAGAAACAAGUUUUCCAUGCAAAGAGAAGGAAAACGAUCAGGGUUUUUGCUCUGAACAUUGAAGAAAUACCGGUAAAGGAAUUUCUUUGCAAAGUCUUGGAUAUGGUAGUCUGAGUGAAAAAGAAUGUUCAUGGGGAAAGUUCUCUGGUUGAGAGCUUUAAAAGGAAGUUGACGGUUCAUGGCUAUAACUGGGAUAGUGUGAAUGAAGGAAAUGAGUGAGGGUUUAUUUAUAGCCGGUCGUGUAAGGAAGUCUGGGAUGAGGUUAAUAAUGAUACGCUCACCUCUACUUUUCUAAACUGUGUAUGCUCUGCACUUGCCUUAAGCCUAAGGAUCCUGUGCAUCAGAAAGGUCCUGUUUUAUCCUCCAAAAUUGAUUUUUGUAAAAUGAAAUUGUUUUCUCACUAAAGUCAAUUGAUUCUUUCACGAUGCUGCUUUUCUUUUUAGAAAGCAUGAUUCCAUGUUCCUGCACAAUAUGAAAGAAAUCCAAAAGGAGCUUCUGGUGGCUCUCAUGGUCAGAGGAGAAUAAUAAGAUGUCAUCAAUGUAUACCAAGGCAUGAUGUAGGAUGGGACUGAGGAUUUUUGUCAUGGCUUUUUGAUAUAAGGAAGGAGCAACCUUAAGACCAAAAGGCAUAACAGUCCACUGAUAAUGGGCAUCAGGGAUACAGAAGGUAGUUUUGUGACGGUCAACUGGUGAAAUACCAAGUUGCCAAAAACUAGCUCUUAAAUCAAACUUAGAGAAGAUACAAGCCCCUUGAAGAUGGACAAACAAGGUCUGGAUUUUUGGAAGGGGGAACUUAUCAUCCUUAAGGAAAGAAUUAAGUGGCUGGUAAUCAAUAACUAACCUCUUUUUAAAGCCGAUCUGGAUUGCACAUAUGGGCUUCAGGAACAUCUCAUAGGAAAUGACCAUUGAUUUUGUCAAGGUAGACAGGAUAUCCAUCUGAUGAGAAACCAUGAAUGGGGAGUUUCUUUUCUUGGCCAGUUUGGACUGCUAUAAUCAUAGCAGUGUAGGAAAGCCUAGGGGUUUCGGAGACAGGCUUAAGCUCAGGUGUUUGAAAGGAUAAUUUGACUUGGCCAUUUGGUCGUCUUUCAAACGUGGCUUCUGUUGUUUAAACUAGUUCAGAGUUUUGGUGGAAAAUGCUCAUAGUUGGUUAACCAUUCAAGAGGCAUGAGUUUGAGCAAUUCUUGUUUUUGGAUUUGUUUGGGAAUUUGGAUGAUGGUUGGAAUUGUGUCUGUUUCUGCUAGGAUCAUUAAGGCGUCUAAUGUGGUGUGAGGUGUAGGAAGAUCUAGUGCAUGAUUUUGUAAUCGAUACACUAAUUUGUGAUGGAGGGUUGCAAUCUUUGAUGUGGGUGUUUGCUCUGCUCCUUGGAGCUGGAUCUAGACUUUAAGGGUUGUUGGUAGGUUGGGAUCUUCUAGAGAGAGGUUGAAAUUUGGGUAAAAGGUUAACAAGACACUGCUAGCAUGGAGUCUCUAUCCAAAACAAUACUCCUAGGAACACAAUGGAGUAAGCACUACCUUUGUGAAAAAGAAAUUAGCUAUAAUGGUGACAUCAUCUGACUUAUAACAUGGAAUGAAAUGUGCCAUUUUGCUAAAUCUAUCUACAAUCACAAAAAUGGAACCUCUUCCCUUUUGAGUCUUAAGCAACCCCAAGUGAGGUACACCAAAGGCUCGCUAAGAACUAAUAAAGGUGUAUACAAACCAUACGGUAAAACCUUAGACGUGGUCUUUAUACAUGCAAUACAUCUAUUACAUAUGCGAACAACAUCCUUUUUCAUCUUAGGCCAAUAAAAAUGCUCAUGCAAUGUUUCUAAGGUUUUCUUAACCCUAAAAUGACCCAUCAAGCCACAAGUAUAUGCCUCUCUCACUUGCAACUAGUGCAUAGAACUAUAAGGCACACAAAGCUUGUUUUCCCUAAACAAAUAACCAUCAUGCUUAUAAAAUUUACCAAAUUAUCCUUUAUCACAUGUAGCAAACACAUCAACAAAAUCAUAAUCAAUGGCAUACAAUUCCUUAACGUAUGUAAUCCAAGCAUUUUGGCACUCAAAGAGUUAAGAAGCACAUACCUUUGAGAUAAUGUAUCAGCAACUAUGUUCUUGUUACCUUUAGGGAAAUGUCUCAAUAUACUCCAUCCAAGUAGCAUGCCUUCAAUUUAACUUACUUUGGCUCUUUAGAAGCUUUAAGGAUUCAUGAUCAGUGUGUAUCACAAACUCCUUAGGCCAUAGGUAAUGCUGCCAAGUUUCUAUGGCCCUCACAAGUGCGUAGAGCUCCUUAUCAUAGGUAGGAUACCGCAAGGCUACUCCAAUCAAAUUCUCACUAAAAUAAGCAAUGGGCCUUCGAUCUUGCAUCAAAAUAACUCCAAUAUCUAUUCCAAGGCAUCACACUCAAUCUCAAAAGUGAGGUUAAAAGCAGGUAAUGCUAGAACAGGUGCAAAACAUAACCUUUCUUUAAGAUCAAUAAAUGUUUUAUCAUGGUCAAUGCUCAAAGUAAAUGCAACAUUGUUUUUAACAACAUCAAGAAGAGGUGCGGCAAUAGUGCUAAAAUCCUUAACAAAUUGCUGAUAAAAACUAGCUAAACCAUGAAAGCUUCUUACCUUAGUGAUGCUCUUAGGCGUUGGCCACGCCCUAAUAGCCCUAACCUUCUCUUGAUCCAUCUCUAUACCAUUUGCACUAACAACAAAGCCAAGAAAAACAACUUUUUCCAUGCAAAAAGUACAUUUCUUAUAAUUAGCAUACAACUUUUCUUUCCUCAAAACAUCUAGCACACAUUGCAAAUGCUCAAUAUGCUCAUCUAAAGUCUUGCUGUGCACUAGAAUAUCAUCAAACUAAACAAAGACAAACUGACCUACAAGUGCACGCACAUGGUUCAUUAAUCUCAUAAAACUACUAGGUGCAUUAGUAAGACCAAAAGGCAUAACUAACCAUUCAUAUAAUUCAUACUUGGUCUUAAAGGCAGUUUUCCAUCCAUCACAUUCUUUCAUGCAAAUUUAGUGAUAGCCACUUUUUAAAUCAAUUUUAGAAAAAAAAAAAGACUCCACCCAAUUCACCCAGCAUAUCAUUUAACCUAGGAAUGGGAUGGCAAUAUUUUACCAUAAUAUUAUUGGCAGCACAACAAUCAACACACAUUCUCUAAUUUCCAUUCUUUUUUGGCACUAAUAGCACUGGUAUUGCACAUGGGCUCAUACACUCUCUCAUGUACCCCUGCUUAUCUACUCCAUGACUUGUCUUUGAAGCUCUUUGGUCUCCUCAGGAUUACCUCUAUAGGCUGGUCUAUUGGGUAUGACAGUUCCUGGUACGAAAUCGGUCUAAUGCUCAAUACCUGUAAUGGGUGGUAAGCCAAUAGGCAUUUCCUCGAUAAACACAUCUUCAAACUCCAGUAACAAAGAAGUAACAACGCUAGGGAGAGGAGAGUUAGUGUCAUCAAGGGUUAGAUAUGAUUCUUUGAACACGAGCAAAACCAUGACAUGGCUUGCUUUAUAUGCUAUCCUAAUCUCACCCACUCCUGCAAAGAAGCUCUUUUUCACUCUUCCUCCUUUCUCACUCUUUUCUUUUCUCUCACUUUUGGCCUCACACUCUUUCUUUUUCUUCUCAAAACUCUCAGGCUCACCCUUUUGUGUUGUUCUUCCUUUCGCUCUUCUUCAUUUGGUCCUCGUGGAUCUCUUUUGGUGCUAAAGGAACAAGCGUCAUAGUUCUCUAGCCCUUGACAAAGCUAUAUCUAAUGAGAUUGAAGGCAAAGCUGUCACAAGCACAUGGGAUGAGGUAUAUUCAGAUCCUAUUCAAGUUCUCGUCGGACCCUUCACAAGAGCUCGAGCAAAGAAAUUCAAAGAAGCACUUAAUGGGCCGAUUCAAGUAACUUGGGCUCAAUCAAAUUUGUGGAGUUCUGUUGAAGAAAUCACACGUGAUAAAUGCAUGAUUCAUAAUCACUUCCAUGAAAUAGGAAGUUAGCUUGCACAUUAUGGCGGAAAAUAUACUACUUUCAAUUUUUUAUACUUUCCCAUUACUUGAGGAGGCUAGUGGAGAAACAAAUCAAUUAUUUCUCUUUUGAUUACCGAGUUUCUAUUUUAAUCCAUGUAAGACAUUUAAGCCCAUUAGGAUUCUAAUUUGAUUUAGAUUCUUUCCUUAUUUGCUUUAGAUUAGGAUUCCGAUUUGAUUUCAGUUUAGGAGUUACUUCUAAAAAUUCUUGUAACCAACCCUAUAUAAUGUACUCGCAUCCAAUAAAUAGAGACAGAUAAGUUUUGAUGCAAUUGGUGAGAGAGUUAAUUUUCUUGGUUCUUAAACUAACUCUUUGAACUUAUGAAAUUCAGAGCCUGUUGUUGUUUUCACUUCUCAAAAUGGUAUGAUCUAAGUUUGCUUUUUGUUUUUUUUUUCUCUCAUUCGAGCCUUCAAUGACAGAGAGAAUUUCAUACUAAUGGCAUCAACUUCCUCCAACGACACUUAUAUUUCUUCUGUCCUUACUCCAGUUUCCCUUUUUUCCACCCUCUCCUUACCCAAAUCUUGCUCCAAACACACUGCUAGUAAGAUAGAAAAUUUAGUUGAAUAUUCCUAUAUCCCUGAAUCUGCUCAGAUCAAUGAAUCUUCUUUUCCUCUUCUUAGUCCUUAUCACCUCUAUAAACGUCCACAUUCCUUUACUCGCAGUAUCCGAACCCUUAUUUCCACCAAAAGACCACAUCCAAAAGAAUAUAUCCAGUCAUCCAGAUUGGAUCUGUGUUCCCUUCAGGCUACCACAGCUGAACAAUAUGUCACUCUGGAAAUUCCCUCAGAAUUGAUUUCCAAUUGGCAAAGAGAAGGUUAUACUCAUCUCCAUAUCGGGGGAGUUAGACUAAUCCUAACCUUACAUGGAAGGAAAGGAUUACCAAUCACAGCCAGAAUUGCUAUGCUGGAUACUAGGUUCACACAUUACCAAGAUGUUGUUAUUGGCACUGUCUUAACCACUCUUCAUGCCGGAAGUGUUUUACUCACUUUCUAUCCCAAUUUCAACCUUUCUCUUCAAGACACUAAUCUCUCCACUGCCUUGAAAGUCCAAGUGCAAAUUCAAGGUGCAGAACAAAUCUCUUCUGCAAAAAUUGCAACUCUUCACCAUCAAUUGGUCUAUAGGCUUCAGAACCAUGCCUUAGAUCUUCCUUCACCUGAGCAUCACUCUGACGCCCUCAUGGUGUUCAUGGUGUUAGCAGAAUCAGAUCAGAUACCAACCAUCAUUCAAAUUCCAAGACAGAUCCCUAGACAUGAACUCAUAAAACUCAUGCCCUUGGAAUGAAUUUCAAAUUAUGAGAAGUUCCACACCAACACUUUUCUUAUCCAGACAACAGAAAGUAUGUUUGAAAGAAGAUCUGAUGGAACUGUUCGAAUGACUUUUUAACCUCCACCAACGGCACCAGAGGAGCCUCCACGGCUCUCAUUCACUUAUUCAGUCAUGGUUACAGCUGUUCAGACCGCUCAAGAAAAGCUGACAAUUACAGGAUUCAAUUCAGAAGGAUAUCAUGUCUACCCUGCCAAACUUAAUGGCCACUUUCUUUGGGAUUCACCAGGAUCAGGAAAUUGUGACCCAGAUUGUCCCUGCUGGGAUGAUUGGGAAGAAGAUGAUGUUGAAUCGCAGCGGAGAAGAAAACCAAAAAAGAAAAUACCUAAAACUCUGUGCUCACACAACAAACCUAAACCACCUCAUAAUCCUCCACCACCACCAGCUCCAUUACCCAUCUACCAAAAAGAACUUAGAUGGAUUGCAAAAAAUUAUAAAACUGAAGUUCUUCCACAUACCCAGAAUUCCAAACCACCCAUACAGCCUAUGGCUUGUAUGAUGUUUUCAUCCACCUCCCAAGAUUAUUCUUCUAAUUCCCUGUUCUAGAAACCCAAACCGACCCACAAUGAAAGGUCAUAACCAAACCCUUUAUUCCUUCAGCCAUAACUCCCACAGGUCACUUAGAAGACCCCAAACAUUUUGAGGCUGUUCUCAACUGGCAAACCCAAAAUGCCAGAGCUCAAAAUGAAACCUUGGUUGAUAUCCAUAAGAAGGUUCAUCAUAUCAGUUUACGAACUGAUCAUAUUGAGUCUAAGAUGGACUCGAUCACUUCCCAGAUGCAACAAAUUUACCAAAAUCUUCAAUCCCGAAUCUCUCAACUAGAUUCAGAAUUAAGAACCAUGCUGAGCCAUAUAUACUAUGGCCCAGAAUUUGAUCAGAAAGAAAAGGAAAUCAGAAAAUUGAAAGCAGAACUUGAACAGAUUGAGUCAGAAAGGCAAAGGCCAACAUUAUUUACCACCUCUCCACCGUUACCUACCAUCAGCCCAGCCUUCCAUCCCUUUGCACCUAUGCUUUCUCCCAUUAAACCACAAAACCCGUCCAAAUUAUUUGGCAUGACACAUACUUUGUUUAGAAAUAAUCCUCUACCAAAACCAUCUAGAUCUAAACCUCAUCCUCGACCAAGACCAGAAAAACAACCUUUUCAACCACCUUUGUCAAUCCCAAAACAGCAACCACCUCUUUAUACACCACUUCCUCCUCAACCAACACCAACUUAGGCCAAAGAUAAAUCCCCAAUGCAACAAUAUAGUGCACAGAUAAUCACAGAUCCAUCUGAUACAGACCAAACUUCUUAUUCAAAUCUAGCCGUGUCAGAAGAUCCAUCUGAAUAUGAAAUAGAAUCUUCCCUAGAAUCUUCCAUUUCAUCUAGUGAUUUUGAAAAAUCUUAUGCUGACAUCACUAGAAUCCUUAUGGCCCAACCUGAAGAGACCAAGCCUGCUCAAUCCUCAAGAACUAACCCAUUCUUUGAAAUACCCUCAAAUAUCGAGGAAUAUCUACCAGAAGCAUCCUCAGCUCCAACCCGGCCUGUUCAUCCCCAAAAUGAUCAUAAACCUUCAAAUGGUCCAUGGUUUACUUUUGAUGAUAUCCCUGCAGCUAAAUGGUGAGACAGAUUAUCUGAAAUGGCUGCUUGGGCAAAUCUCUAAUGUUAAGAGCAAAUGCUACUACAGCAUCAGUCCUUAGAGAACUUGCUACCUGUUUUACGGGAGAUUGGUUUGAUACUUUAGGAGAGUACAGACAAUUACAGUUUUUGCAACUACCUAAUGUCUCAACUGCUCUUUCUAUCAUUCACGAGCAAUUCAUUGGAGAAUCAGCCGCAGUCUUUGAAGCUGCAAGAAGAGACUACCUCAAUAUGAAAUGUUGCUCCCUCAACUCUAAAGACCUUGAUUUCCAUUUUAAACGUUUCCAUUUAAUUGAUGUAAGGCAUUUAAGCCAAUUAGGAUCCUGAUUCGAUAUAGAUACUGUCCUAUUUACUUAGAUUAGGGUUCUGAUUUGAUUUAGAUUCUUUCCUAUUUACUUAUAUUAGGAUUAUAAUUUGAUUUAGAUUCUUUCCUAUUAGGUAAGAUUUAGAUUCUGAUUUGAUUUUUGGUUAGGAUUUAUUUCCAAAAAUACUUGUAACCAUCCCUAUAUAAUGUACUCGAAUCUAAUAAACAGGGGAGAAGUUUUUGAUGCAAUUGGUGAGAGAAUUAAUUCUCUUUUGUUCUUUACAAACUCUUUGAACUUAUCGGAUUUCCAUGGCGUUCAAACUCUUGACUUAUCAAUCGGACCAUCCAUAGCUGAUUAUGGCAUCUUCACAUUCCAAGGUUCAUGCUUUCAAUAAGCAUUGGAUCGAGGUUCCAAUCAAUUUGAUCUUGGGGACUAAAUUGAUUAGGGUUGCGUCAGUUCUUGAUGGGGUUCAUAUCAUUAAAUCUAUUAGUUUGAUUACGACCAUCUAAAGUAUAAUAAUGAGGAAACAAUUUAUUAAAUAGACCGAUUGCAUCCUUUUUUUCUAUUAUCAAUAAAAGAAAUUAAUAUCAUAUAAUUAAUAUCAAAUCAAGUAUAGAAAGAAAUUAAUAUCAUAUAAUUAAGUGUUUUACCAUAACAUAAUCAUCAUAAAUACUAUUUUUCACAUAGUAUCAUCAUCUUCUCAUUAUCCUAACCAAACCUACUAGAGAUGACAUGUCUGACAAAGCAUGAUAUUUUUGUUUUAACGAUUUCACUAAAGAUUCAAUGUGGGCAAAUUGUUUGUAAUCACAACCUGGCAAUUUGGUUUCCAUCUUUUGUUUCACUUGUUGUAAAUACCCAUUUUUCUAAAACCAUCUUCUGUUUCACUUGUUGUAAAUACCCAUUUUCUAAAACUACUCGCCACAUAAAAUUUUGACUCAAUUCUAAUAAUGAUUCGACCAGUGUAGCAUUUUGGCCUGUUGUCCAAUUGAGUUGGAAGAGAACUCGUUUUCUAUAAUAAUAAGUAAUAUAAAUAUUAAUGAAUUCAUAAUUGAUAAAUAUGUUAAAUUUUCAAAUAUUAUGCUUCUAAAAUUGUAAAUAUGCUAAUUUAAUCUAUCAUACUCAUCUUACGUUUUUGUAUUCUGAGCUACUAACAAAUAUCUCAAAGGCCUCCACAAAUAACUCAAAGCCUUGGUUGCACAAAAUAUUAGUAAUUAACUACCAAUAGAAUAAUAUAGUAAAUUGAGUAGUAAAAAAUUUUUUGGCUGGUAAUUAUUCCAAAAAAUACUAUCAAUUCUGAAACAAAACCACUCAUGCUGGGUAAUGCAAGGGAGGCCAUCGAUAAGAUACUAAUAGAAAAUUAUAUCUAAUAAAUCUAAAAAUAUAAUAGAACUUUUUUUAGAUGCUAAUUGGAGAGUUCCAUGCCGACCUCUAAUUAAACAAAUCUUUAUUAAAGCGUCAAAGAGAAGAUACAAAGUUUAUACGAAAUUACAAUUAACUAAGGCACAAAAUUUAUACAGAAUUAACUAUCUUUCAAUUUUUUUCUUUUUUAAAUAUCAGCUUAGCAUAACAAAAAAUAACAUCUAAUUUUCCAAUAAAAGUACAUAACAGCAACAAAUUAAUUCCAUUAAUAUAAAAAGAAAGCACGCAUGAGAUUAAGAUUCUAGAUUAAACCCCAAAAAAAGAAAAAAAAAUUGUUAGAACUCUAUUCGAUUUGGAGGUCUCGUUUACAAUUAUUGCUUUACUCUGUUUCAAUUACUUUACUUCGCUAGGAAUUAUGAUGCGAAUCUCACAAAGAUAAGUGAGACUCUGCAUUCAAUGAGGCUCCUUUUACCAAAGAUCAUUCAGAUUCAAACAACUAUAAAAUAAAAACCUUGACCCUUUAUCUAUAAAGAUAAGAACCAAUGGUAUAAGAAAUAUAGGGUUGAUAAGUUUAAGAAAUAACGCUAUAAGAUGAAAUCUUGAUAAGUUCUUAAACUUCUUUGAAGAACUAAAGAGAAAAGCUCUCACUAUUUUUAUUCUUAAUAGGGUUACAUGGGCUUAUAUAGUUGAAUUAAAUCUGAACCAACGAUUUUUUGGCAUAUCAAUGAUGUUUUGAAGAUUUCACCAUUGGCUGCUUUUGGGUUAAAGCUUUGAAGGGAAGGGAACGAUUCAAGCGGAGAUUAGAAAGCUAAAAGCUGAGCUAGCCAGAAUAGAUGUAGACAAAGAACAACCAUCCCUUUUCACCAAAACUCAAUCCUUACCAAAACCUCAUUCCAGACUUCCUCACACGUCCAGCUAUAAAUAAACCCUCACUCAUUUCCUCAAUCCAAACCAUUCCAGUAAUAGCCAUGCAUCGCCAACUUCCUUUCAAAGCUCUCAACCAGAGAAACUCCCCCCUGAACAUCUCUUUCCAAUCAGCUUACCAGCUACAAGAUUUUGUAAAGAAGUUCCUUUACAGGUAUUUCUUUAAUGUUCAGACCAAAAAACCUGACCGUUUUCGUAACCUUUGCAUGGAACACAUGUUUCUCAUAGGCCUCACUCUCUCCUCUCUGUCUAUCUGUGAAGAUGAGCUUUGGUACAUGUGGUGUCUCACCACCUUGUAUGCUACAAAGCUAGUUUUCCUCGUCAAACCCAUCCUGACUCACCUUACCACUCUUGAGUUCUCACCAGACCUUCUAUGGACUCUCCUCGAAUGGUAUUCCCCACUCACAUGGUGGCGUAAACAACUCUAGAAUCUGUGUACCUUUCACGGAUUAGACAGAAUGCGAGAACAGGAAGCUAAUAUGUGGACUACAGUUUUCAUCAUCCACAGGCCCUACUUCCAGCACCCAGAAACAAGAGACUAGUGGACACAAGACAUGGCAUAUGAAUGGAGAACUUACCCUCAUCCAUGAUACAUCGGUCACCUCCGUUCUCAAAGCCUAUCUCAUGGAACUUAAUAAUGUUCCUCCACCUGCCGCAAACAUUCACUACACCUCUAUUGGACCAUCCUGGUAUCAGAGCCAUACUCGUCGUUGAAACUUUUAUGUUUUCUAAACUUCCGUUUUUCCUGCCCAAAAUGGUAUGAUUUACGUCUUUCUUCUGUUUUGAUCUCUAGAACUUCAGGAGCAGAGAGACUUUCUCAUUCAUGGCUUCCCCUUCAUCUUUCCCUCCUUCCAAUCCUGUCACUCUUUCUUCUACUCUUUCUUUGCCUAAAUCCUGCACUUCUCAUACCACCAAUAAGAUUGAAAACCUUGUAGAAUAUUCCUACAUCCCUGAAUCCGCCCAAAUCAGUGAGUCAUCAUACCCUCUCAUCAGCCCUUAUCAGCUGUACAAACACCCCAGUUCCUUUACCCGAAGUAUCCAUACUCUCAUAUCUACUAGACGGCCUCAACCUAAAGAAUAUACCCAGUCUUCUCGCCUGGACCAAUGUGCUCUUCAAGCAACCUCUGCUGAGCAAUAUGUUACUCUGGAAAUACCUUCAGAGUUAAUUUUCGAUUGGAAAAGAGAAGGUUACACUCAUCUCCAUCUUGGCGGCAUCAGAUUAAUCCUCACCCUUCAUGGGAGAAAAGGGUUACCGGUCACAGCUCGAAUUGCUAUGCUUGAUACCCGAUUUAAACAGUACCAAGAUGCUGUUAUAGGCACUGUCCUCACAACUCUUCACGCAGGAAGUGUUUUACUCACUUUUUAUCCAAAUUUCAACCUUUCUCUCCAAGACACCAAUUUGCCCACAACCUUGAAAGUUCAAGUUCAAAUUCAAGGUGUAGAACAAAUUUCUUCCGCCAAAAUAGCCACUUUACACCACCAAAUGGUCUAUAGGCUUCAAAAUCAUGCCUUAGAUCUACCCAAUCUAGAACACCACUCUGACACCCUCAUGGUGUUAGCAGAAUCUGACCAAAUUCCCGCAAUCAUCCAGAUCCCACGACAACUUCCCCGUCAUGAGCUUAUCAAGCUUAUGCCUCUUGAAUGGAUCUCCAAUUAUGAGCAGUUCCAUACCAAUACAGCUCCAAUUCAGACAUCUGAAAGCAUGUUUGAAAGACGACAAGAUGGAACAGUCCGAAUGACUUUUAAACCACCUCCAAGUGCUCCACAAGAGCCCCCUCGGCUCUCCUUUACAUAUUCUUCAAUGAUCACAGCUAUUCAGACAGGUCAGGAAGAUCUGCCCAUUACAGGGUUUAAUUCUGACGGAUACCCUGUUUAUCCAGCAAAGUAAAAUGGACAUUUCCUAUGGGAUGUCCCAGGCUCCGGCUUGUGUGACCCAAAUUGUCCCUGCUGGGAUGAUUGGGAAGAAGAUGAUGAUUAUGCCACCAAAAAGAGACCCAAAAAGAAAAAACCUCCAAUCUCAUGUCACCACUGUAAACCCAAAUCCCCAAAAGAUCCUCCACCUCCACCAGCUCCAUUACCCAUCUACAAAAAAGAACUGAAAUGGAUUGCAAAGCAUUGCAAACCUGAGAUUCCCUCUCCCAUCCCACACUCAACACCUCUCGUCCAACCGUUAGCUUGUAUGAUGUUUUCUUCUACCUUUUCAGACUCCUCUUCCUUCUUUCCUCCUUUAGAAACUCACACAGAUUCCCACCGCAAUGUGGUAUCCAAACCUUUUAUCCCUUCCGCUAUUCCCUCCACUGGCCACCUAGAACCUCCUAAACCUUUUGAAUCAGUCCUUAACUGGCAAACACAAAAUGCCAGAGCACAGAAUGAUACUUUGUUGCAUAUCAAUUCCAAAGUUGAGAAAAUCAGUUUACAAACUGAACAGAUUGAAACGAAAGUUGACACCAUUACUGCACAAAUGUAGCAGAUCCACCACAAUCUUCAAUCCAGAAUUACUCAACUUGAUUCAGAGUUACGAACCAUGCUUGCCCAAAGAUACUCUGGCCCAGAAUUUGACCAAAGAGAAAGGGAAAUCAGACGCUUAAAAGCCGAGCUUGAUAAGAUUGAAUCUGAAAAACAAAGACCUACCCUUUUUACCACAUCGCCUCUUAUCCCUUCCAUAGGUCCAACUUAUCAUCCAUUUGCCUCUAUGCUUUCCCCCAUCAAAUAGUAUAACCCUUCCAAGUUAUUUGGCAUGACUCAUACCCUUUUUAGAGACAAUCCCUUACCACCACCACCUAAACCUAAACCAAAGCCUAAACCUCAAUCACGCCCUGUCAACAUUCAUCAGCCAUCCAUGUCCAUUCCUGGACAACAGUCCCUACCGCCCGCACCUCCACUCCCACCUCAAUCCCAAACUCAUCCUUAGUCCAAAGACAAAGAACCCAUGCACCAGUAUAGUGCCCACACUAUAGAUCCAUCAUCUACCCCCGAUGAUCAAACUUCUGCUUAAACAUCUGAUUCCAAUCUAGCCAUUACCAACUGCCAUUCUGAGUCUAACACAGAAUCUUCAGUAUCCACUAGUGACUCUGAAAAGUCUUAUGCUGAUAUCACCAGAAUCCUGAUGGCCCAACCUGAUCAACCUGAUCACACCCAAACCUCUCACACAGAACCAUAUGUUGAUAUUCCUUCAAAAGUUGACGAAGACAUACCUGAAUUCUCUGCAACACACCAAACCCUCCAGCCCAAGCCCCGACUGGUCCAACAAUUCAAAAAUCGUCAAAUGGUCCAUAGUUCACAUUUGAUGAUCUUCCAUCUCAUAAAUGGCGCGAGCGACUUACUGAAAUGUCUAUUUGGAUUGACCUCCAAAUGCUAAGGCCAGGAGCAACAACUCAAUCAGUCCUUAGAGAAUUUGCUACUCGUUACGGGUGCUCUAAGAGAUUGGUUUGAUUCUUUAGGCCAAUACAGACAAUUACAGUUUGUUCAAUUACCAGAAGUCUCAAGUGCCCUUGCGAUUAUUCAUGAUCAAUUCCUUGGAGACCCCUCUGUAGUUUUUGAAGCUGCACGACGAGACUAUCUCAACAUGAAAUGCUGUUCACUCAAUGCUAAGGAUUUUGACUUUCAUUACAAACGAAUGUCCUUGCUAUUCUAUAAGCUUAAUGGCUUCAAUGAGCCAACAUUAAAGCAUGUCUUUCUGGCUUCCCUUCCCGAAGAGCUCCAACCCGAUAUACAACGGCAACUCAUCGCCUCCAAUCUCAUCCUUGACAACAUCUCUCUUGGCAAAAUCUUUUAGAUAGCCAAAACAUGCCUUGACAAACUUUGCAAGCAGAAAUAAUUUUUCAAAGACCUGUUGAGAGAUAACGAACCAUUCAGGAGUGCCUGCAAAAAGCCUUAUUUGCAGACCAAAUGCAAAAAGAAAAAGGAUUGUGAUUGCGGUUCUAAGAAGAAAAGGCAUUUUCGGAAAUUCAAAAAUCCAGAAUUUUCAUCCAAACCCCGCAGGUCCAGAAAGCCCUACCGAUUCUUCAGAAAAAAAUCAUCUUCCUCCAGAGCAUUCAAACGAAAAUCAUCAAGCCGAUGUUUCAUCUACAAGAAGAAAGGUCACUAUGCUAAAGAUUGUCCCAACAAACGAGAGAAAUCCAUCCGGCUGGUCGAACACCUUCAAGCCACUACAAAUUACUCUCCCGUGACGGAUGAACUAGAAUUCUAUUUCUCUGAGCAAGAUGAACCCAAUGAUGAAACCGUGUUCGCAUUACAAAAUUCCUCUGAAGACUCCGACAGUGAUGUGUCUCAAGUCAUCUUCCACCAACAAUUACUAUCCCUUGACACUACUGUUCCUAUACCCUCCAUCAAACUCCAUAUCUUGCCCUCAAAAUUCCAAAGGCCCAUUCCAGUAAUUGGUCUCAUAGAUACUGGCGCCCAACGCAGCAUGUUAAACCCCAAUAUCCUUCCACCUAAAUACUGGACAAAGUACGAAGAAAAUUUCAGGGCCGUUAAAUGGCAAAUUUUUCACUACCUCUUUGAUUACCACCAAACCCAUUGGUAUUCAAAUAUUCCCAAAUUGUGUCAUUUGGACCAAGGUUAUCGGUUCAACCCUUCCUAAUAAGGAUAUCUUGUGAGGAUUUGACACACUUCACCAAAUCACACACCUCCAAAUCAUUCCCACUGGAAUCCGAGUCAAGUCCAUGUUCAAACCAUUCACAGACAUUCUCAAACUCUACAAUUUGUCUGACACUCCCCAGUCCUACCAGGAUAUUUCAUCCCAUCUUUUGCGUUUCUAUCCAGAGUCUCAUUCUGAGUUCACUCAUCCAACUCCAUUGUGGAAAAAUCCGUCUUUCUUCAUUAAGUUACCUUUCAAACUCAAUGAAGACAUUAACCCGACCAAAGCUACUCAUCCAGGAAUGAGUCCUUCUGACUUACUCCUAGCCCAAAAAGAAUGUUCACAACUGUUAGCCCAAGGUCUAAUCGAGCCCACAAGUUCUCAAUGGGCUUGCCAAGCCUUUUAUGUUGAAAAGCAUUCUGAACUUGUCCGAGGAAAGAAAGGCUUAGUCAUUGACUAUCAGCCACUAAAUAUGUUUUUGCAAGAUGACAAAUUUCUUUUGCCCCGACGACAAAGCAUGUUUACUUUUCUCAAAAAAGCCCAGAUCUUUUCCAAAUUUGAUUUAAAAUCAGGUUUUUGGUAAUUAGACAUUGAACCCUCAGAGCAUUACAAAACUGCUUUUUGUAUCCCAAAUACCCAUUAUCAAUGGACAGUCCUUCCCUUCGGCCUCAAAACUGCCCCAUACAUUUUUCAAAAAUCCAUGGUCAAAAUCUUUCACCCUAUCCUGCAUCAUGCAUUAAUUUACAUUGAUGAUAUCUUACUUUUUGCAGGAUCACAUGCUGAACAUCACCAGUUGUUAACUCAAUUCUAUGAUAUUGUUCAAAGUCAUGGAAUCAUGUUGUCUGCCAAGAAAAACACCAUUGCCACAGAUACCAUUGAAUUCCUUGGUAUGAUCAUAAAGGACGAGUUGCUUCACUUUCCAGAUCAGCAACUUUCCAAAAAGCAAGUUCAACAGUUUCUAGGCAUUAUCAAUUACAUCAGAGACUUCAUCCCGCAUGUGGACCGCUAUACUCACCACCUCUCGGCUUUAUUAAAAAAGAAGCCCCUAGAAUGGAAUGCUGACCACACAACUGCUGUCACUACCCUCAAGCAAAUUGCGCAAAAUCUGCCUCCCUUAAAGUUAAUUACUGAUGGAAAGCGCAUAUUGUAGACAGAUGCAAGUGAUGAAUCAUGGGGUGCCAUCCUCACCAGGAUGAGUAUCAAAACUUAACAACGUUUCUUUUAAGGUCAUAUAACCCAAACCAGACUUUCCUUAGUCUUUAAAACAGGGUACCAAACCGUUUAAGAAACCAUCAUAAGUUUUCUGAUGCACAGGAUCCUUACUGGAAGGCAAGUGCAGAGCAUACUUCCUUAAGGUUCCAAAAUGAACAAAUUUAAUUCUUUAUUCCUUUUCUUUCUCUAGAUUUUCAUUUGUAGAGAGAGAGGAGAGGUUUAGAAAUUCAUAGUUUUAUGGAAGCACACGAGAGUUUAUUUCUUUUUGAACUUCUUAUGUUACAAACAAAGGGAGAAUUCUUUAUAUAGGAGAAUUCUCGGAGAAGAUAGGACAGGAUCCCUAUCUUUUACAAAAGCAAAAGUAAAAGACACAUCAUAACAACUUUAAUGAUUACAAAGGACAAAGGGUGCUUUAAUAAUUAAAGCAUGACUUUGGCAAAAGCAAAAGCUUAAAGUAAAAGCAAGCCUUAAUAAUUAUUACAACAAGACAAACUACUUUAUGGAGAGCAAAGAUUCAUGUAGUCGUCUUCAGAUGAGCUUUCUAUUUCAUCUGGGUUAGUGUCACAGUGGUAUUUUGGGAAAAAUGUUUUGGAGAGCUUUGGAUGCUUACAGUGGAGAUCACGGUAAGGAGGAUAAGGGCAAUCUCUUCGGUAUCCUGGCUUGGGGGGUGAUGACUGGGACUGGGGCUUGGCAUCUGAGUGGCCUUGUCAACUUUGGAGGGUUGGGAUGAUGAUCCUGGUUCAUACAUGGUUGGUUGUGGAAACUGUUGGAGAUGUUGGCUUAGAGGAAGGAAUUCUUUCCAUGGGUCUUGGGAGUCUUGGUAAAGGAAGUCAGUGUAGUCUGGUUUUUCUUCUUUGAUGAUGAUUCCUGUGGACUUUGGUUUGGAUAUGGCGGAUGGAGUGGGGAUUAUGAUGAGGUCAUGUUGUGGUCCUAAGGAGAUGUGAAAGAUAUCCCGGUGUGGUGGAGUUUGGUGGUUCAAUUGACAAAGGUAGUUGUGUAGGUUGGAUUGGAGUUCAUUGUCAAUGACAGCUGGGUGAGGUGCAGUAAACCAUUCAUAUACCUGGUCUUGAGUCCAAAAGAGAUUUGUGUCUGGAUGUUGGAAGUAUGGCCUGUGAAUGAUAAAUACUGAUGUAAACAAUUGUGCUUCAGAGGCAGGCAUACAUUCAAGAUUGUAAAUCUCUGACAGUUGUUGUAGCUUCUUUCUCCACCAUGGUAUUGGGGAGAACCAUUCAAGUAAUGUCCAGGUAAGAGAGGUGGCUUUGUCUGGAUUGAGGAGAUUGUUCAAAGUGGGAGUGAUUGGUAGGACUAGCUUGGUUGCAUAAAGAACAGUUAGGCACCAGAUGUACCAUAACUCAUCUUCAGUGAUGUCGUUGGGCGGAGCGAGGGUUAAACCUGUAAGGAACAUAUUUUUUGGGUGGAAGGUGGAAAAUGGAAAUGAGUUGGCCAAAAGGUAGGCUUUCAUGAAGAAGCGAAAAACAGCUUUUCUUGCAAACUCUUGGAUAGCAAAGACAGAAGAGAAAGUUUUGUCAAGGGGAAAAGUUUUCUUGGUGAGAGCUUCUGGUGGAAGUGAUGUGGCCAUGGAGAUGAUCGGAAAUUGAUAUGUUGUGGAAAUCAAGGUUAGAGAGUGCUCUGGUUUUGAGAGUCUGAAUAGCAUAUCAGGGAUGAGGUUCUGGGACCCCUUUAUAUGCUUAACCGAAAAAUCAUAUUUGGAAAACCAAUCUUUUAAUCGGAGUAACAUCUUUUCUGAGACAGUUUUACCUUUGAAAUUGAGAAUAUUGGGGAAGGCUGAACUGUCUAAUCAGAUGAGAAAAUGAUAUCCAAUAAGUUGAUACUCAAAUUUUUUUAUUCCAUUCUUUACCGCUAAGAUUUCUUUGAAUACUCUAUGGUAAUGCUUCUGUGUGUCAGAAAAUUAUCCACUAGCGUAGGCAAUAAAGUUCAAGUCCUCAAGGCAUUCUUGUCAUGGAACAACGCCCUGAUUACACCAACGUCUUAUUCCAAGAUGCUCAAGACCCAUGGGAAGAUUUUCAGUCCCUUCUCCAUACUGAAAAUCCCCAUUAUAUCAUCACCAACCCAGACUCUCCUACUGUAUCUACAUCACAGCACAUGACUAACGCUGAUGAAGACAAAUAUCAGCAAGCUGAGGCGUAUCUAGACCAAAUACAGAUACGUCAACACAAGCGCCAAUAUGAGAAAGAGACAUGAGACGUGUCACCAUGGCGCUAUCCAUCCACUCCAUAAUGACAACUUGUCGCCAUCACACAGCUUUUGAUGCAAUAGCCCAUGUGACUCCCGUUUGCUUUGCAUGUUUUAUGUAAAAUUCUUAGUCGGUGUGCUUUACUUUCCUUUGUCUUAUGUAAAUGUCUUAGUCGGUGUGCUUUACUUUCUCCAAAGGUGUGCUUUACUUUCUAAAAAGCAUGUGCCUGUUUGUCGUUUAUAAUCAUUCAAGGGGUCCUGUCCUUGAUAAUUUUCUAUAUAAGGCACCUUAUGCUUCAAUUGUAGGCACGGGUUAAUCAGAAAUAAAAUUCAAGUUUCCUUCCAUCAUGUUUCUCUAAAACUUCUUCUCUCUUCUAUGACUCAAAGAAAAUAUUUGGGUUAACAAGGAUACGACCACCUCUAAAUUUUCAUACUGAGUAUGCUCUGCACUUGCCUUAAGCCUAAGGAUCCUAUGCAUCAGAAAGGUCAUGUUUUAUCCUCCAAAACUGAUUUUUAUAAAAUGAAAGUGUUUUCUCACAAUGUUCACCCUCUUUGAAGGCCAUGAGUUCCAUGUGUUCGGGUGGUAUCGUGAAAAACUAUUUUCAAAUAUGAUUUUCGGAUUUGGUAUUUGAUGGAUAAGUGUAUAUCGGUUGGAAACCAGAACUUGCGGGCUACUGGCCCAAAGGACAGACUUCGUUCUGUUGUAGAUCUGGUGUAACAACGCCAUGUAUAAUUACCCACUGGUAUCAGAGCCAGUCAUUACCUCUCUCAUUCUUAUUUGAUGAUAUCCACUGGUAUCAGAGCCAAUACCCAAAGCAGAGGUGAUAUCAUUAGUAAUUCCAAAUAAUAUUAUUUGAUCUCCUAGAAGAAGAUUACUAUGGAAACAACUUCAUCUUCAACUUCAACUCCUUCAUCAUCUUCAUCUCAUAUCUCUCUUUCCUCUACUCUAUCUCUUCCAAAGUCAUGUUCCAAACACAUAGCCUCCAAAAUUGAAAACCUUGUUGAAUAUUCUUAUAUCCCUGAGUCUGCCCAAAUCAAUGAAUCUCAGUUCCCCAUAAUGAGUCCUUACAAUCUCUACAAACAAAAAACUUCUUUCACUAGAAGUAUUCGAACCCUGAUCUCCACCAAAAGACCACUACCAAAAGAAUAUAUUCAGUCUUCUAGACUGGAUCAGUGUGCUUUACAAGCCUCUCAAAGUGAGCAGUAUGUCACUUUAGAAAUACCCCCAGAUCUCGUCACCAACUGGAAACGAGAAGGGUAUUCGCAUCUUCAUCUUGGCAGUGUUCGAUUGAUUCUAUCCCUCCAUGGUCGAAAAGGUUUACCUGUUACAACCAGAAUUGCACUCCUAGACACUAGGUUCAAACAGUACCAACAUGCUAUUAUAGGAACUAUUCUAACCACACUUCAUGAUGGCAGUCUUGUUAACCUUUUACCUAAAUUUCAACCUCUCUCUCCCACGACCCUUAAAGUCCAAAUCCAGCUCCAAUGAGUAGAGCAAACACCCACAUCAAAGAUUGCAACCCUCCAUCACCAAAUAGUGUAUCGAUUACAGAAUCAUGCACUAGAUCUUCCUACACCACACACUACAUCUGAUGCCUUAAUGAUCCUUGCAGACACAGACACAAUUCCAACCAUCAUCCCAAUUCCCAAACAAAUCCAGAAAACAAGAAUUGCUCAAACUUAUGCCUCUUGAAUGGUUAAUCAACUAUGAGCAUUUUCACCAAACUCUGAACUAGUUCAAACAACAGAAGCCACGUUUGAAAGAUGAAACACCUGAAACCAAGCCUGUUUCAGACACACCAAGGCUUUCCUACACUGCUAUGAUUACAGCAGUUCAAACUGGUCAAGAAAGAAACUUCCCAUUCACGGUUUCUCAUCAGAAGGGUAUCCAGUAGAUCCUGACAAAAUCAAUGGUCAUUUCUUAUGGGAUGUUCCUAAAGCCCAUAUGUGCAAUCCAGAUUGUCCUUGAUUGGAUGACACAGAUAUUGAUGACGAAUAGGAAGUUAUGAGGAGAAAUAAAAAGAAGAAGAAAAAACCUUCUCAUCUAAAAACAUCUUGCAAAUCCUUUCCUCCACAACCUCCACCAGAUCCCAAGCCUCCUAUUCACCCAAUAAGAUCAUGCCUGAUGUUUUCGAGUCAAUCUUAUGAGGAAUCAUUCUCUCCACUUGAAAACAGACAAACCCACAAACCAGAGUUAUUUCAAAACCUUUUUUCCAAUCCCCGGUUACAACCUCUGGCCAACCUGAAGAACCAAAACAGUAUGAACUAACUCGGACAGAAAAUUGAUCGAGUUGCCAGUCAAGUCUCUCAUACUAAAACUAAAGUUGAUUCAAUUAGCAAUCGUUUUGAUCAGAUGUACAUACAUCUACAAGAUCGUAUCUCUGAGCUAUACACCAAUCUCAGACGAAUGAUCAACAACCACAUCUGGGGUCCUGAGUUUAAUAAAAAAGGAAGCAGAGAUCAGAAAGCUCAAAGCUGAAUUAGCAAGAAUUGAUGCUGAAAAGACUCGACCAUCCCUUUUUACUCAAACCCAAACCACACCAGUGCCUCCUCCGAUGUUUGAAUCUUAUGCACCUUUCUAUACACCAUCCAGACCUCAACAACCUGUUUACAACCAGUUCUUUGGCUUCUCACACCUUCAACCAACUCCUCAACCAAAGCCAUCUUCACCCAAAAAAUCAAAAUCCAAGGUCAAAAUCUUAGAACCAAAAUAAAAAACCACAUUUGUUCCUCCGGUACCACCAGAAGAUUCACCAAAAGCCACUCCUGAACCUCCCAAAAAGGACAAAGGCCCAAUGGAUCAGUAUCAUUAUCAUACUGUCCAAAACACAUCUUCUGACUCCUCUGAGCCAGAAAUAGUAUAUGAGUCAAACCCAUCAAAGUCCAACUCGUCUUCCUCUUCCUCAUCCACAAACUCAGUCGGUACCUCCACUGACUCUGAAUCCGAAUAUGCUGACAUUACAAGCAUAUUAAUGGCCACCAAAACUGAAGAUCCAAGCACUUCAACUACCACACCUAUUGUUGAAGAUAGUUCUUUUGAUGCUGAAAAUAAAGCAUCUCCGGCAGAGCCAAAACCAUCAAUGCCUCCACCGGCUCCUGAUCAUUCAACAAAACAUUCUUCAGCAUCUUGGUUCACAUUUGAUGACAUUCCCCGUCACAAAUGGCCUGUUCGACUUCAAGAAUUUACCGCAUUGAUUGACCUCCAAGGAACAAAACCAAAUGCUCAACCUCAAGCUGUCCUUCGUGAAUUCAUGGCCCGAUCCACGGGUUCUUUACAGACAGCUCCAAUUCAUGCAAGCCCCAAUUGGUACAGCACUCAAUAUUAUCCAUGAACAAUUCAUCGGUGAAAAAACUGCGUCUACUGAUGCAGACAAAAAAGAGUAUCACUAGAUGAAAUGUUGUUCUCUCAAAAGACAUCUUUUGGAAUCUCAUUACAAAAGGAUGAGUAUUCUAUUUUACAAGCUGAAUGGGUUCAAUGAGCCAUCUCUCAAACAUGUCUUCACAACCUGAUCUUCAAAGGAAACUCAUAGCCACUAAUCUCAGCAUAGCUGAUAUCUCUCUGGGAAAGAUUUUCCAAAUGGCAAUGCUAUGUCUCGACAAGAUCUGUGAGCAAAAAGAAAUUUUCAAAGAUCUAAUGGAAGACAAAAAAUCCUUUUCUGAAGCUUGUAAAAAACCCUAUCUCAGGAUAGAGUGCAAAGAUGAAAAGAAGUGUAUCUGUCCAACCAAAAAGAAAAAACAUUUCCAGAAACACUUCCAUAGAAAAUCAUCCUUCAAAAAACCUCUCCGAUAUUUCAGGAAAAAGGAUGCUUCCCAGUACAGAAAGAAAAAGCAUAACCAUUGUUUCAUUUGCAAGAAACGCGAUCACUUUGCUCGAAACUGUCCUCACAAGUCUGCCAAAGUUGUUCGUCUCAUACAACAUCUUCAUCAUUCUUCAUUGUUAUCUGAGAAUGAAGAUGUUGAAUUAAAUUUUUCCGAACAAUCAGAACAAGAUGAUCAAACUGCUUUCAUUAUCGCAGAAUCUUCUAAUUCUGAUGAUAUUUCAGUCAUUUCUACAGUUCAAAUUGUCAACCACGUUUCAGCCAUUCCUAGACCUUCUUUAAAAAUGUCAAUCCUUCCUUCCAAAUUUCAUAAACCUAUUCCUGUCGUCGGGUUUAUUGAUACUGGUGCAGAUACCAGUAUGAUUGAUCCUUUUGUCCUUCCCUCUGAUUAUUGGGAAAAACACUUGAAACUUUUCCGAGCAGUUAAUGGAGAAACUUUUGAAACUACUUUGAUUAAUUCUUUCCGAAUUGCAUAAUUUGGAAAAAGAUUGUAGCAUCCAAACUCCCAGAUAAAGAUUUACUUAUAGGUUUUGACAUUCUUCAUUUGGUUAAAAACCGAUUCCUCACCAGUUCUGGAGUUCGCUAUAAGAAAAUGUUCUUGCCCUAUACAAAUACAUUAUGUCUGUAUGCACUUUCCAAAACACCAUCUCUAUACAGUCAUAUUUCACAGAACUUCCUAGAGUUUUGUCCAGAAAACCAUUCACAGUUCCACCAUUCUUCACCUCUUUGGAAAAAUGAACAAUUCUUCAUUCACCUUCCUUUCAAACUCAACGAAGACAUAAACUCCACAAAAGCAUCACACCCGGGUAUGUCUCCUUCUGACCUCCUACUUGCUAAGUAAGAAUGUUCUCAGUUGCUUCAGCAAGGUCUUAUUGAACCAACUGAUUCAUAUUGGGCUUGUCAAGCCUUCUAUGUUGAAAAAAGAUCUGAAUUAGUUCGUGCUAAAAAGAGGUUAGUUAUUGAUUACCAGCCUCUUAAUUCUUUCCUUAAAGAUGAUAAGUUUCCCCUUCAAAAAAUCCAGACCCUGUUUGUCCAUCUUCAAGGGGCUCGUAUCUUCUCUAAGUUUGAUUUAAAAGCUGGUUUUUGGCAACUUGGUAUUUCACCAGUGGACUGUUAUGCCUUUUGGUCUUAAAGUCGCUCCUUCAUUAUUCCAAAAAGCCAUGACAAAAAUCUUCAGUCCUAUCCUUCAUCAUGCUUUGGUAUACAUUGAUGAUAUCUUAUUAUUUUCCUUUGACCAUGAGAGCCACCAGAAGCUCCUUUUCUAUUUCUGCUAUAUUGUGCAGGAACACAGAAUCAUGCUUUUUGAAAAGAAAAGCAGCAUAGCAAAAGAAUCAAUUGACUUUCUUGGCAUGGUGAUUAAAGAUGGCCAUUAUCAACCUGGUCCACACAUUGCAACUGAAUUAUUAAAGUUUUCGGACACACAUCUCAACAAAAACUAGAUCCAACAAUUCCUCGGGAUUGUUAAUUAUGUCCGUGAUUUCAUCCCUAAAGUUGCAAUCCACACAAGCCAGUUGUCCCGCAUGCUAAAAAAACAGUGCCCUCCAUGGGGACCAGCACAAACAGAAGCUGUCCAACAACUAAAGGUGAUAGCCCAGUCACCUCCUCCUCUCCGAAUUCCCACAACUGGCCAACGCAUUCUACGGACCAAUGCCAGUGAUGAUUACUGGAGUGCCAUCCUUCUUAAAGAGAUAAAUGGUGUACGUCACUUCUGUGCACAGGCAAGCGGACAAUUCAAAGACUCUGAAAAGAAUUACCAUGUGAUCUACAAAGAGAUCUUGGCAGUCAAGUAUGGAAUAAAAAAGUUUGAAUUUCAUCUAAUCAGCCACAAAUUCCUUAUCAACAUGGACAACUCCUCUUUUCCUCGAAUCUUUGACUUCAAAAAUAAGUUAUUCCUGACAAACAGUUGCUUAGCCUCAAAAACUGGUUUGCUAAAUAUGAUUUUACUCUCCAAACUUCCUUACACAUCCGGCUAUAAAUAAACCCUCACUUAUUUCUUCCAUUCACACCAUUCCAGUUAUAGCCAUGAAUCGUCAACUUCCUUUUAAAGCUCUCAACCAGAAAACUUUUCCCAUGAACAUCUUUGCAAAGAAAUUCCUUUACCGGUAUUUCUUCAAUGUUCAAACCAAAAAGCCUAAUCAUUUUCCUUCCCUCUGUAUGGAAAACCUGUUUCUCAUAGGUUUUACCCUGUCUUCCCUAACCAUCUGCGAAGAUGAGUUAUGGUACAUGUGGUGUCUCACAACCCUGUAUGCCACAAAACUGGUUUUUCCUGUUAAACCAAUCCUCACUCACAUCACCACUCCUGAGUUCUCGUCAGAUCUUCUCUGGACUCUCCUUGAAUGGUAUUCACUACUCACGUGGUGGCGAAAACAACUUAAAAAUUUGUGUACUUUUCACGGAUUAGACAAAAUGCCAGAAUAAGAAGCCAACAUGGUUACUACAGUCUUCAUCGUUCAACGCCCUGAUUACACUAACGUCUUAUUCCAAGGCGCUCAAGAUCCAUGGGAAGAUUUUCAGUCCCUUCUCCCUACUGAAAAUUCCCAUUACACUGUCACCGACCAAGAUCCUCCUGCUCCACCAGCCCCAAAAAAGAUAACUGACGCUGAUGAAGAAGCCUAUCUGCAAGCUGAAGCAUAUCUUGAUUAGAGACAGAUCCGUCGUGCCAAACGCCAAUAUGAGAAAGAGACUGGCGAUAUGUCUCCAUCACACUACCCAUCCACUCCAUGAUUGCAGACACACAUGGGAAUCUUUAGCUUUUGCUUUUUUAAAGUUUGCUUUAAUAAUUAGGCAAGGGUCCUGUCUUGUCUAAAGUAUGUUUUAUGCUUUUCCUUUUUUAAAGUUUGGCGUGGUGUGCUUUCAUGAUUAUGCUUUUGUAAAAGAUAAGGGACCCACCUUAUCUCUCCUUCCUCGAGAUCUCUAUAUAAGGAUCUCUCUAUCCCUUUGUAAGGUAGGAGUUAAUUUGAAAUAAAAUUCAGGUUUUCUUCAUAUCAUGUCUCUCUAAACCUUUUCUCUCUUCUAAGAAUCAAAGAAAUUAUUUGGGUUAAUAAUGAUACGCUCACCUCUAAUUUUCUAAACUCAGUAUGCUCUGCACUUGCCUUAAGCCUAAGGAUCAUGUGCAUCAGAAAGGUCCUGUUUUAUCCUCCAAAACCAAUUUUUGUAAAAUGAAAUUGUUUUCUCACAACGUUCACCCUCUUUAAAGGCCAAGAGUGCCGUUUUUUCAGGUGGUAUCGUGAAAAACUAUUUUCAAAUAUGAUUUUUCAAUUUGGUAUUCGAUAGAUAAGUGUAUAUCGGCCGGAAACCAGAACUUGCGGGCUAUUGGCCCUAAGGAUAGACUUUGUUCUGUUACAGAUCUGGUGUAACAACGCCACGUACAACUACCCACUGGCAUCAUCUAAUCUGGGAAUGGGAUGUUUAUACUUUAUCGUAAUAUUGUUGAUGGCGCGACAAUCAACAUACACCCUCCAUGACCUAACCGUUUUAGGCACAAGCAAUAUUGGAACAACACAACGACUUAUGCUUUCAUGCACAUACCACUUCUUCGUAAGGUCACUUACCUGCCUUUGAAGUUCCUUUGUCUCUUCAGAGCUAUUUCCAUAGGCUGGCCUAUUUGGAAUUGAUGCUCUAGGUAUGAAGUCAAUUUGAUGCUCAAUUUCUUUCAUUAGUGGUAAACCAUUAGGUAUCUCUUUAGGAAUUACAUCUUUAAUUUCUUGUAAAAGAGAAAUAAUUACACUAUGUAAACAAGGAUUAAGUUCAUUAGUACUUAAAUAAGCAUCUUUGUACAAAGUUGAUGCGAAUCCCACAAUGAACAUUAGUGGUAAACCAUUAGGUAUCUCUUUAGGAAUUACAUCUUUAAUUUCUUGUAAAAGAGAAAUAAUUACACUACGUAAACAAGGAUUAAGUUCAUUAGUACUUAAAUAAGCAUCUUUGUACAAAGUUGAUGCGAAUCCCACAAUGAAACUUUGAAAUCCACACUUAAUUUGUAGUUUCAACUUCCCAAUAAAGUUCUAAACAGAUUUAUGACAAUAAAAACCUUGACCCAAUGCUUAAGAAAACAUGAACCAAAGGUAUAGAGAAUGAUAUUGAUGCCACACUCAAGAAAUAGAUGAGAAGUGAGUGAUAAGUCUAAAUUUAGAAUGCCACAAGAAUGCAAAUUCUUGAUAAGUUCACUAGUUCUCAAAAGAACCAAAAAAAGAAUAAUCUUUCAAAUUCAAAUAACAUUAAUCUCUAAUUUUUUACAUAGCAAGGUUGCUGAGUUUAAAUAGACCAAUCAAACCCCAAGAUCCUAAAAAUACAAAUGAAAAUAUUGGAACAACCCUCCAAGUAGGUUUGUCAAAGGAUGCUUCAAAAGUCUUCACCAACCCACCAUAAUUAAUGCUAUCUUUGACAAACUUAAUGCUAACCUACUAUAAUUAGUGCUAUCAUUGACAAACUUAAUGUUAGCCCACCAUCAUUGAUGGAAGACUUACCUUACCCAUUGACCAACUUGAAAAAAAAAAAAACAAAUGAAGUUGAAAAACAAAGGAGUCGUUGAAAAUCCUAAGUCUGAACAAGCUGUAAUGAAUUGGUCAUAACUCCUUCUAGAGAACUCCAAAUCCAGCUCUGUAAAAUUUAUUGGAAAGCUAACUUAAUUAUCUUUGCAACAAUAUAUAGCUUGUACAUUACUUCUGGCUCAAUCAAUAUAUUUUUUAUUCCGAAUGUGACCUUUCUGCAUUUGAUACAAAUUGUGUAUUUGACUGCCCAAUAACUUGAAUAAUGCCCACAAUGCCUUGUCUUCUCUUCAAGCCCAAUUCAUGAUGUCUUGCAUCUUUAAUUGCAUUUUCAAUCCAUAUUUUCUCAAUUAAUCCAUUUCAAGCAGCUUGCAUCUUUUUGGCUCUAGCUCUUGUAAUUGGGCCUCUAUGAAUGUGCAAAGGAUCACUUGAAGUUUUAAUGGUAUUCCCUUGAUGGUUCUCAUCAAAAGUACAAUCAUAGAUUGUCUUAAAAUUAAAGCACUUUUAAUAUCACUCUCUUUCAUAUAUUAAUUUAUUUGUUUUCUCUCUUUUCUUUGCUUGCUCACUGAAACUUCCUUUCCUUUUUUCACUCUCUUUUUAGUUUCAACCCCUCUUGAUUUUGAACUCUCUCACAUCUUUUUCAAGUCACUCUCUUUUUACCCUCACAUAGUCAUCAUACACUUGUAUUGGGGAUAAAGGUACAAGUAGUACAGGCUUUUCAUUUAGUAUAAGAGAGUAUUUAUUGGUAUAACCAUCAUAAAUGAUGUCCAUCAAAAUACCAUGGUCACCCUAAAAUAAUAUGUCCCGCAUGCAUGGCAUCACACCACACAUAACCUCAUCUUUGUACUUCCCAAUUAAGAAUGAAACAAGCACUUGUUUGUUUACUUUAACUUCUCCACAAUUAUUCAGUUAUGAUAGCUUAUAUGGCCUAGGAUGCAUGAAAGUUAUCAAAUUCAAUUUUUUAACUAAACAGUGCCAGCCUCAUUAGUACAAUUCCCUCCAUCAAUAAUCAUGUUACAUACCUUAUUAUUGACAUGGCAUCUAGUAUGAAAGAUAUUUUCAUGUUACAUCUUUUCAUCUUUUUUUAUUUGCACACUGAGAGCUCUUCAUGCAACCAAAAGCUCCCUAUAAACUUGAUAUUCAACAUCAUUUACAUCCUUCAAAGGUGGCAUGAAAUCAUCAUUAGAUUCACCUUUAGUCUCAAUUUUAAUCAUUAAGAUGUAAUACGAUCUAUUCCCAAACAUUUAAAACAUUUGAUAUCUCUAUUUCUAGCAAGUUGGGAAUUAGAUUUACGUUGGUUUAGUGCACCUCAUGAAAUUUAAUCCAAAUGGGAAACAAAUUAAGUUCUUUUGCUUCCGCCCUUGUUAAUUAUAGUGAAACGAACAUAUUAUUAUUUUAAGAAAAGAAGGGAACUUUUAUUUAGCUGAUGGCAUUAACCUACCUAUUGAAAGACGGUCUAAUUUAAGGAUGCUAGAUAUCUAGACACUUACUCUAGCAUAUUCUAGGAACCAAUAGAUCUUCCUCCUCACCAUUCUCACAACCACCACAUUCCAUUAACACCAGAUAGCUCAUCUGUUAAUGUUUGUCCUUAAAGGUAUCCGCAUUUCUAAAAAAAUAGAUUGAGAAGAUGGCAUGAGAAAUGGUAGUUGCUGGCUUAAUUCGGCCAAGUAUCAGGCUUACUCCUCUUUCUGUUGUUGGUUAAGAAAAAAAGAUGGUUCGUAGCAUAUUUUCGUUGAUUAUAGAGCUCUGACAAAAUUACUAUGAAAGAUCAAAAUCGGAUCUUGGUCAUCAACAAGCUCUUGGAUGAAUUUCAUGGUACUGCAAAUAUGUGUGCAUGAUACUAAUAUUGCCAAAACAGUUUUUCAUGUAAAUUAUAGCCAUUAUGAAUUCUUAGUAAUGUACUAGCAACUUUUAAAAAUUUGAUGAAUAAGUUAUUUUAGCCUUACUUUGAGUAGUUUGUCUCGGUCAUUUUGAUGAUAUUCUUGCCAGAAAUAGUAUAUAAGUCAAACCCAUCAGAGUCCAGCCCAUCUUCCUCUUCCUCAUCCACAAACUCAGUCGGUACCUCCACUGACACUGAAUCCGAAUAUACUGACAUUACAAGCAUAUUAAUGGCCACCAAAACUGAAGAUCCAAGCACUUCAACUACCACACCUAUUGUUGAAGAUAGUUCUUUGGAUACUGAAAAUAAAGCAUCUCCGAUAGAGCUAGAACCAUCAAUGCCUCCACCGGCUCCUGAUCAUUCAACAAAACAUUCUUCAGCAUCUUGGUUCACAUUUGAUGACAUUCCCCGUCACAAAUGGCUUGUUCCGACUUCAAGAAUUUGCAGCAUGGAUUGACCUCCAAGGAACAAAACCAAAUGCUCAACCUCAAGCUGUCCUUCGUGAAUUCAUGGCCCGAUCCACGGGUUCUUUACGUGACUGGUUAGAAAGCUUGGGAGAAUACAGACAGCUCCAAUUCAUGCAAUCCCCAAUUGGUACAGCACUCAAUAUUAUCCAUGAACAAUUCAUCGGUGAAAAAACUGCGUCUACUGAUGCAGACAAAAAAGACUAUCACCAGAUGAAAUGUUGUUCUCUCAAAAGACAUCUUUUGGAAUCUCAUUACAAAAGGAUGAGAUAGCCUCACUUCCUUUUGAGUUACAACCUGAUCUUUAAAGGAAACUCACAGCCAUUAACCUCAGCAUAGCUGAUACCUCUCUGGGAAAGAUUUUCCAAAUGCCAAUGCUAUAUCUCGACAAGAUCUGUGAGCAAAAAGAAUUUUUCAAAGAUCUCAUGGAAGACAAAAAAUCCUUUUCUGAAUCUUGUAAAAAACCCUAUCUCAGGAUAGAGUGCAAAGAUGAAAAGAAGUGUAUCUGUCCAACCAGAAAGAAGAAACAUUUCCAGAAACACUUCCAUAGAAAAUCAUCCUUCAAAAAACCUCUCUGAUAUUUCAGGAAAAAGGAUGCUUCCCAGUACAGAAAGAAAAAGCAUAACCGUUGUUUCAUUUGCAAGAAACGUGAUCACUUUGCUCGAAACUAUCCUCACAAGUCUGCCAAAGUUGUUCGUCUCAUACAACAUCUUCAACAUUCUUCACUGUUAUCUGAGAAUGAAGAUGUUAAAUCAAAUUUUUUUAGAACAGUCAGAACAAGAUGAUCANNNNNNNNNNNNNNNNNNNNNNNNNNNNNNNNNNNNNNNNNNNNNNNNNNNNNNNNNNNNNNNNNNNNNNNNNNNNNNNNNNNNNNNNNNNNNNNNNNNNCAGUAUGAUGAUCAUUCAGUCCAUUCCCUCUGAUUGUUGGGACAAACACUUGAAACUUUUCUGAGCAGUUAAUUGAUGAAACUUUUGAAACUACUUUGACUAAUUCUUUUAGAAUUGCAUAAUUUGGAAAAGGAUUGUAGCAUCUAAACUCCCAGAUAAAGAUAUACUUAUAGGUUUUGACAUUCUUGGUUAAAAACCUAUUCCUCACCAGUUCUGGAGUUCGCUACAAGAAAAUGUUCUUGCCUUAUACAAAUACAUUACGUCUGUAUGCACUUUCCGAAACACCAUCUCUAUACAGUCAUAUUUCACAGAACUUCCUAGAGUUUUGUCCAGAAAACCAUUCACAGUUCCACCAUUCUUCACCUCUUUGGAAAAAUGAACAAUUCUUCAUUCACCUUCCUUUCAAACUCAACGAAGACAUAAACCCCACAAAAGCAUCACACCCGGGUAUGUCUCCUUCCGACCUCCUACUUGCUAAGCAAGAAUGUUCUCAGUUGCUUCAGCAAGGUCUUAUUGAACCAACUGAUUCAUAUUGGGCUUGUCAAGCCUUCUAUGUUGAAAAAAGAUCUGAAUUAGUUCGUGCUAAAAAGAGGUUAGUUAUUGAGUACCAGCCGCUUAAUUCUUUCCUUAAAGAUGAUAAAUUUCCCCUUCCAAAAAUCCAGACCCUGUUUGUCCAUCUUCAAGGGGCUCGAAUCUUCUCUAAGUUUGAUUUAAAAGCUGGUUUUUGGCAACUUGGUAUUUCACUAGUUGACCAUCACAAAACUGCCUUCUGCAUCCCUGAUGCCCAUUAUCAGUGAAAUGUUAUGCCUUUUGGUCUUAAGGUCGCUCCUUCAUUAUUCCAAAAAGCCUUGACAAAAAUCUUCAGUCUUAUCCUUCAUCAUGCUUUGGUAUACAUUGAUGAUAUCUUAUUAUUUUCCUCUGACCAUGAGAGCCACCAGAAGCUCCUUUUGGAUUUCUAUCAUAUUGUGCAGGAACACGGAAUCAUGCUUUCUGAAAAGAAAAGCAGCAUAGCAAAAGAAUCAAUUGACUUUCUUGGCAUGGUGAUUAAAGAUGGCCAUUAUCAACCUGGUCCACACAUUGCAACUGAAUUAUUAAAGUUUUUGGACACACAUCUCAACAAAAAGCAAAUCCAACAAUUCCUCGGGAUUGUUAAUUAUGUCCGUGAUUUCAUCCCUAAAGUUACAAUCCACACAAGCCAGUUGUCCGCAUGCUAAAAAAAUAGUGCCCUCUAUGGGGACCAGCACAAACAGAAGCUGUCCAACAACUAAAGGUGAUGGCCCAGUCACCUCCUCCUCUCCGAAUUCCCACAACUGGCCAACGCAUUCUACAGACCGAUGCCAGUGAUGAUUACUGGAGUGCCAUCCUUCUUGAAGAGAUAAAUGUGUACGUCACUUAUGUGCACAUGCAAGCGGACAAUUCAAAGACUCUGAAAAGAAUUACCAUGUGAUCUACAAAGAGAUCUUGGCAGUCAACUCCUCGUUUCCUCGAAUCUUCGACUUUAAAAAUAAGUUAUUUCUGACAAACAAUUGCUCAGCCAUAAAAACUGGUUUGCUAAAUAUGAUUUUACUGUCCAAACUUCCUUACACGUCCGGCUAUAAAUAAACCCUCACUUAUUUCUUCCAUUCACACCAUUCCAGUUAUAGCCAUGAAAUCAUCAACUUCCUUUUAAAGCUCUCAACCAGAGAACUUUUCCCAUGAACAUUCCUUUUCACUCAGCCUACCAGAUCCAAUACUUUGUAAAGAAAUUCCUUUACCGGUAUUUCUUUAAUGUUCAAAGCAAAAAGCCUAAUCAUUUUCCUUCCCUAUGUAUGGAAAACCUGUUUCUCAUAGGUCUUACCCUGUCUUCCCUAACCAUCUGCGAAGAUGAGUUAUGGUACAUGCGGUGUCUACAACCCUGUAUGCCACAAACUGGUUUUUCCUGUUAAACCAAUCCUCACUCACAUCACCACUCCUGAGUUCUCGUCAGAUCUCCUCUGGACUCUCCUUGAAUGAUAUUCACCACUCACGUGGUGGCGAAAACAACUUAAAAAUCUGUGUACUUUUCACGGAUUAGACAGAAUGCCAGAAUAAGAAGCCAACAUGUUCACUACAGUCUUCAUCGUUCAACUCCCUGAUUACACUAACGUCUUAUUCCAAGACGCUCAGGAUCCAUGGGAAGAUUUUCAGUCCCCUCUCCCUACUGAAAAUUCCCAUUACACUGUCACCGAUCCAUAUCCUCCUGCUCCACCAGCCCCAAAAAAGAUAACUGACACUGAUGAAGAAGCCUAUCUGCAAGCUGAAGCAUAUCUUGAUCAGAGACAGAUCCGUCGUGCCAAACGCCAAUAUGAGAAAGAGAUUGGCGAUAUGUCUCCAUCACACUACCCAUCCACUCCAUGAUUGCAGACACACAUGGGAAUCUUUAGCUUUUGCUUUUUUAAAGUUUGCUUUAAUAAUUAGGCAAGGGUCCUGUCUUGUCUAAAGUAUGUUUUAUGCUUUUCCUUUUUUAAAGUUUGGCGUGGUGUGCUUUCAUGAUUAUGCUUUUGUAAAAGAUAAGGGACCCACCUUAUCUCUCCUUCCUCGAGAUCUCUAUAUAAAGAUCUCUCUAUCCCUUUGUAAGGCAGGAGUUAAUUUGAAAUAAAAUUCAGGUUUUCUUCAUAUCAUGUCUCUCUAAACCUUUUCUCUCUUCUAAGAAUCAAAGAAAUUAUUUGGGUUAAUAAUGAUACGCUCACCUCUAAUUUUCUAAACUGAGUAUGCUCUGCACUUGCCUUCAGCCUAAGGAUCCUGUGCAUCAAAAAGGUCCUAUUUUAUCCUCCAAAAGUGAUUUUUGUAAAAUGAAAUUAUUUUCUCACAACAUUCACCCUCUUUGAAGGCCAAGAGUGCCAUUUUUUCGGGUGGUAUCGUGAAAAACUAUUUUCAAAUAUGAUUUUCCGAUUUGGUAUUUGAUAGAUAAGUGUAUAUUGGCUGGAAACCAGAACUUGCGGGCUAUUGGCCCUAAGGAUAGACUUUGUUCUAUUACAGAUCUGGUGUAACAACACCACGUACAACUACCCACUGGCAUCAUCUAAUCUAGGAAUGGGAUGUUUAUACUUUAUCGUAAUAUUGUUGAUGGCGUGACAAUUAACAUACACCCUCCAUGACCUAACCAUUUUAGGCACAAGCAAUAUUGGAACAACACAACGACUAAUGCUUUCAUGCACAUACCACUUCUUCGUAAGGUCACUUACCUGCCUUUGAAGUUCCUUUGUCUCUUCAGAGUUAUUUCCAUAGGCUGGCCUAUUUGGAAUUGAUGCUCUAGGUAUGAAGUCAAUUUGAUGCUCAAUUUCUUUCAUUAGUGGUAAACCAUUAGGUAUCUCUUUAGGAAUUACAUCUUUAAUUUCUUGUAAAACAGAAAUAAUUACACUACGUAAACAAGGAUUAAGUUCAUUAGUACUUAAAUAAGCAUCUUUGUACAAAGUUGAUGUGAAUCUCACAAUGAAACUUUGAAAUCCACACUUAAUUUGUAGUUUCAACUUCCCAAGAAAGUUCUAAACAGAUUUAUGACAAACAAAACCUUGACCCAAUGCUUAAGAAAACAUGAACCAAAGGUAUAGAGAAUGAUAUUGAUGCCACACUCAAGAAAUAGAUGAGAAGUGAGUGAUAAGUCUAAAUUUAGAAUGCCACAAGAAUGCAAAUUUUUUAUAAGUUCACUAGUUCUCAAAAGAACCAAAAAAAGAAUAAUCUUUCAAAUUCAAAUAACAUUAAUCUCUAAUUUUUUACAUAGCAAGGUUGCUGAGUUUAAAUAGACCAAUCAAAACCCAAGAUCCUAAAAAUACAAAUGAAAAUAUUGGAACAACCCUCCAAGUAGGUUUGUCAAAGGAUGCUUCAAAAGUCUUCACCAACCCACCAUAAUUAAUCCUAUCUUUGACAAACUUAAUGCUAACCUACUAUAAGUAAUGCUAUCAUUGACAAACUUAAUGUUAGCCCACCAUCAUUGAUGGUAGACUUACCUUACCCAUUGACAAACUUGAAAAAAAAAAAAACAAAUGAAGUUGAAAAACAAAGGAGUCAUUGAAAAUCCCAAGUCUGAACAAGCUGUAAUGAAUUGGUCAUAACUCCUUCUAGAGAACUCCAAAUCCAUCUCUGUAAAAUUUAUUGGAAAGCUAACUUAAUUAUCUUUGCAACGGUAUAUAGCUUAUACAUUAUUUCUGGCUCAAUCAAUACAGUUUUUUUUCCGAUUGUGACCUUUCUGCAUUUGAUACAAAUUGUGUAUUUGACUGCCCAAUAACUUGAAUAAUGCCCACAAUGCCUUGUCUUCUCUUCAAGCCCAAUUCAUGAUGUCUUGCAUCUUUAAUUGCAUUUUCAAUCCAUAUUUUCUCAAUUAAUCCAUUUAAAGCAACUUGCAUCUUUUUGGCUCUAGCUCUUGUAAUUGGGCCUCCAUGAAUGUGCAAAGGAUCACUUGAAGUUUUAAUGGUAUUCCCUUGAUGGUUCUCAUCAAAAGUACAAUCAUAGAUUGUCUUAAAAUUAAAGCACUUUUAAUAUCACUCUCUUUCAUAUAUUAAUUUAUUUGUUUUCUCUCUUUUCUUUGCUUGCUCACUGAAACUUCCUUUCCUUUUUUCACUCUCUUUUUAGUUUCAACCCCUCUUGAUUUUGAACUCUCUCACAUCUUUUUCAAGUCACUCUCUUUUUACCCUCACAUAAUCAUCAUACACUUGUAUUGGGGAUAAAGGUACAAGUAGUACAGGCCUUUCAUUUAGUAUAAAAGAGUAUUUAUUGGUAUAACCAUCAUAAAUGAUAUGUCCAUCAAAAUACCAUGGUUACCCUAAAAGAAUAUGUCCCGCAUGCAUGGCAUCACACCACACAUAACCUCAUCUUUGUACUUCCCAAUUAAGAAUGAAACAAGCACUUGUUUGUUUACUUUAACUUCUCCACAAUUAUUCAGUCAUGAUAGCUUAUAUGGCCUAGGAUGCAUGAAAGUUAUCAAAUUCAAUUUUUUAACUAAAUAGUGGCAGCCUCAUUAGUACAAUUCCCUCCAUCAAUAAUCAUGUUACAUACCUUAUUAUUGACAUGGCAUCUAGUAUGAAAGAUGUUUUCAUGUUACAUCUUUUCAUCUUUUUUUAUUUGCACACUGGGAGCUCUUCUUGCAACCAAAAGCUCCCUAUAAACUUGAUAUUCAACAUCAUUUACAUCCUUCAAAGGUGGCAUGAAAUCAUCAUUAGAUUCACCUUUAGUCUCAAUAUCCCUAUUAUCUUUCAAAAUCAUUAAGAUGUAAUACGGUCUAUUCCCAAACAUUUAAAACAUUUGAUAUCUCUAUUUCUAGCAAGUUGGGAAUUAGAUUUACGUUGGUUUAGUGCACCUCAUGAAAUUUAAUCCAAAUGGGAAACAAAUUAAGUUGACAAGUCAUUGGUCUUUUGCUUCCGCCCUUGUUAAUUAUAGUGAAACGAACAUAUUAUUAUUUUAAGAAAAGAAGGGAGCUUUUAUUUAGCUGAUGGCAUUAACCUACCUAUUGAAAGACGGUCUAAUUUAAGGAUGCUAGAUUUCUGGACACUUACUCUAGCAUAUUCUGGGAACCAACAGAUCUUCCUCCUCACCAUUCUCACAACCACCACAUUCCAUUAACACCAGAUAGCUCAUCUGUUAAUGUUUAUCCUUAAAGGUAUCCGCAUUUCUAAAAAAAUAGAUUGAGAAGAUGGCAUGAGAAAUGGUAGUUGCUGGCUUAAUUCGGCCAAGUAUCAGGCUUACUCCUCUUUCUGUUGUUGGUUAAGAAAAAAAGAUGGUUCGUAGCAUAUUUGCGUUGAUUAUAGAGCUCUGACAAAAUUACUAUGAAAGAUCAAAAUCGGAUUCUGGUCAUCAACAAGCUCUUGGAUGAAUUUCAUGGUACUGCAAAUAUGUGUGCAUGAUACUAAUAUUGCCAAAACAGUUUUUCAUGUAAAUUAUAGCCAUUAUGAAUUCUUAGUAAUGUCAUUUGAUCUUACUAACAUACUAGCAACUUUUAAAAAUUUGAUGAAUAAGUUAUUUUAGCCUUACUUUGAGUAGUUUGUCUCGGUCAUUUUGAUGAUAUUCUUGUGUAUAGCUUCUGUCUUACAUAUCAUGGUCAACACCUUUCUACAAUUUUGCAUUGCCUUAAAAAACAUAAUCUUAGUGUGAAGCUUUCCUAAUGUUCUUUUGCUACAUCUUCCGUUGAAUAUUUGGGCAUGUCAUCCCAGCUACAGAAGUGGCAGUAGAUCUUAAGAGUCCAUUAACACAACCAAUAUCGUUUCACACAACAUGGGUUUUAACUGGUGAAACGAAUUAAGUUGACAGGUCAUGGUUCUUUUACUCAAUGAUGGAGUAAAUCAUUAUAUCAUUUAGCAGCAUAACAAGUUUAGACAAAAAUUUGUAUUUUAAUAUUAACAUAAAAUUGUCUAGAAUAAAUAUUAGAUUCAAAAGGUACUGAAAAAUCAUUACUCCCAGCCUAGUGUUUGAUAACCACUAGCAUGUUUUUUCUACAAUAAUCUUAUUUUAUAUAAAACAUAUAACAAAUAAAUGAGUACCCAUAAAUAUUAUAAACCCAAAUAGGUUUUAAAAUCUACAACAUUUUCAGCUGAACAUAUUUUAGCUAUUGCCACAUCACCUCUCUUUAUGAUUUCACAUGUAAGGUGAAAUCUUCACUCAAUAUAUUUUACUCUUUCGUGAGAUUUAGGCUCAAUAGCAUUUGCAAUUGCUCCAUUAUUGUCACCGUAAAUCGUGAUUUGUUGACUCAAUAUAAAGAACAACACCAAGUUCUUGAAUAAACUUACGAAUCCAUAUAGCUUCCUUUGCAGCUUCACUUGCAACUAUAUACUCUGCUUCUAUUGUAGAAUCUGCAACAAUAUCUUGCUUAUAACUUCUCCAAUUACCAAGAAGAAAGAUGAAACCUUAUGUGGAUUUCUAUCAUCAACAUAUGAUUGAAAAUCAAAGUCAAUAUAUCAUUCCACUAUCAAAUCCUCAUGGUAACAUUAAGCGGCAAUCCGGUUAACACAAAGCGGUAAGCCGAUUAUCACCAGAAAGUCAAUAAUGGCUAGUUUUCUAUUCCAACUAUAAAAUGGCUUAAAUCAAAUUCAAUUACUAAGAGACAACCAUUGUUUUCAUUGAGCAAUCCUCUGCAAUCUAAGCAUAAAAUUUGUGUAUUUAUUUCAUUUAUUCACACAUAUUGGGCUUUCAUUUAUAAUCAAACACAUUGUUUGAGGGAAAUUUUUUUGUAAUCAUUUUUGUAAGAUCAAGUUGAGAAGUUAUAAGUGUUUGGACACACUUGGGUUAAGAGAUUGGAGAUAAUCUCCUGUUGUAAAUGUCUAUUGACACCUUGGAAGUCAAUUGUAAGAGUCGUUGAACCCUUAAAGGCUCGCUUAGUGAAAUUCUCAAGCCCGGUGAGCUUGGGGGCGUGGGAGUAGGCACGAUUGGCCGAACCACAUAAAAAUUGCGUGUUUGCUUUCUCUUACCCUAUCUCUUUAGUUUUCAUCGUACUUUAAUUUGUUUAUUUCAAAUUUGGUUGCUUUGUUUAUAUUGCAGUAAGUUUUAGUUGCUUAAAUUUUUAGAAACCCAAUUCACCCCCUCUUAGGUUGCCUAGUUAGUAAGUACACCCUCGAAUGGUUCCUUUAAAUGACAUCUAUCGAGACCAAUAAAUGGUCUACGGUCCUCCUUGAAACCAUCUCUGAAUCUUGGAAAAUUAAUAACGAAUCUUUAGAACUUACAUUUGUGGAAAGAGAUGCCUAAUUUUGUAACUUUAAGCAUUACUAGUGCACCUGGCAUUUAUUGUUUUAUAAUGUGAGCAUAGUUCCAAGAAUUCUUGAAGCUCUGAACAAGCCAUUAUCUCUAUCAUUACCAUCAUCAUCAUCAAAUUUAUUAUUGCCUUCAUGUCUUGCUCCUUUAUCAUCACCAUCAUUUUUUGAAUUAGACCAUAAAUAAAACUCAUCUAAGCAUCAUAAAGAAGACAAAUCAUAUGUUACUGUCUGUGUUAAAGGACCAGCAACCGAGGCAUUUUUAGUUGCCUUUGUCUUUGUUGGCUUAGGCCUGCUUUGAACAAACUAACAAUCUAUAGAAUUUAUUUUUCUUGUCCUUCCACUAGUCUUUGAUGACUUAAUAGGAACAGGCUGUCUUUUCUACAUCUGCUAUAUAAUCCUCUUAGAAGCCUUUAUCCUGACAGACCCAGCUUUUCUUUUGUUAGCAAGCAUAUGAGAUAACUAUACUUUACUAUUUCUCCCCUUACCUUAGUUUGACUUUCUUAUAGUUGACUGAAAUGGUUCAACUUAGUCAACUUGAGAUAGAAAUUCAAGAGGCAAUGAAGGUUAAUGAUUAGGACUUGGUGCUUGUUAUGGAGUAGUUAUUCAUUGUCCAGGUUCAAACAUUGGCUAGAAACGUGUUGAUGAUACAGGAGGAAUGGCAGGAUCUGAGAUAGAUUGACCUUUCCAUAAAAUUGGGACAAUAAUAGAUUUAUGUAAUCAGCAUCCAACCCAAUGUCAUCAUCAUUAUUUUCAUUUUCUAUCACAAAAUCAUAAAAAUCAUCAAUAACAUCGAAGUCACUGAAAUGGUCACUAUAGAAAGGUGUAGAGAUUUAGAAGAUUAUUAUCAUUUCCUUGGUUUGGCUAAGUUGCAUGGGUAGUUGCAUGAGCUGUUGUUUGGCCAAUUUUUUGGUUAAUUUUUGGAGUAGACAAUAAGGUGGUCAUAAGUUGGAUGUGUGUCAUUAAAGUCACUGACAAAGUCUUUUAUAGGUGUCAAAGGCUGCUCUUGUUGUAGAUUAGCUUCCUUUACUGACCUAAUUUUCUCAAGAAGUUGUUGUGUGGUUAGUACGUUGAUUAUUGUUGUCAUAGGUUGCUCAAGAUCAUGUGUGAUUAAUAGUUUAGGAUCAGCUACGACUUGUUGAGCUUCAUGUUGAGGUUCAAUUUCAAUUUCAUGUAAAGGCUCAGGUUUAGGGAGUGAUGGAAUGAUAGGUUUAAAUUAAGGUUCAAGUGUAAGGGUAGGUGUCUUGCCUUUUCUUCUCUUCCUUGAAACUCUCUUAAUAUUUCUACAACUCUUCUUAGUAGGUGCAGGUUUAGAAGGUUGUGGUGCUUCUGCUGCAGUACCCUGAAUGUCAUCAUCAAAUAAUCUCUUUCUAUCCAUACUCAUCAAAGCAGCUUCAUAUAGAAGUUAAUCUCUUUGUACUUCUUCUCAUUAAACAAGUGUUGCACCUGAUAUACUUCAUUAUCAUUCUUAUUGUCCCAUUUUUUUUUAAUUUAAGUUAAUGUAACCUCAAUGAGAAACCUCUGAGCAGGCCAAUUGUUUUUUCCAAAAUCUUAUCUCAUUGCACCAUUAAUCAAGAUCACUCUACUUAUAUUAGGCCAACAUCCCGCCUUACACCCAAAAAGUUAACAAAAGCUAACACCUUAAAUUUUGUUUCCUAAUCACAACACACAAACAAGUUUCAAAAUCCAUAAUCCACAUAAAUACUAGUAACAAUCAAAUAUUUUGCAACAAACUAAUAAUUAUAACAUACAAGAAGAGCAACCAAUAAAUUUUGUGAACAAGUUAUAUAAACAUGUACAUUUAAAAUUAUGCCCCCAGAAAAAGCAUAUACAACCUCAUUAGGUAAAUCAUCCAUUACAAAUGUUAUGGCAAUUAAACCGUAAGCACAAUGAAACAAAAACAAGAUUAAACAACAACCUGGCCACUCAAAUUUCAAAAUCAUCACUUAGAAUGAGCCUCGCAACCAUAACCAACAACAAUAACUUGUAAUACUUGUAAAAACCUACACAAAGAACAGAAUUCCCAGUUUUCUUUUGUCAUUUUCAAUCUUCUAAGUGUAGAAACAAACAAGAAUUUCUUAUGUUUUUUAUACUACAAACAAAAACCAACAAAUUCAAAAAAACCUAGGGCUUCCAAUAAUGUUUCAAAAUCAACGACUAACACCCUGAUGCGGUGUCAUUGACCUAACAUUAUCAAGCCCAUGAAUUACAUAAAUACCAACAUACAGCCAAAACAAAAAAUGAUCGUAAUAUGUUACUAAAAAUUCUAUUUUUCUUACCCUAAUUGUCAGAGGAGGUUGUUCAGACUCAGAUUCUCCAUUACUACUACAUGAGUUCAUCUUGCUACUUCCAAUUUCGUCUUUAUAUUGUCUUCAAUUGUCCUUUGUUUUUUGUCUUAGUAAAGUCUUACAAUUGUAGGUACAAGACACUUUGCUCAAUUUUUUUUCCCACAUCUACAGCACCCAUUUACUUGGAUAAGAAAAUGAAGGUUAGGUAAAAAUACUAAAUGAUUUGAUUUUGUUUGCAUAUGUUGUGGUCGUCCACAUGGCUCUAUGCUUAACAAUUGCUACGAAUUUAUACAAGUACCAUCUUCCCCUUUUUGUUGUUUAAACUAACGAAGAGAUAACGAGUUCUAGCGGGUAGCAUAAUGUUUUCAAUAGUAAGGAGACAAUUUGAAGAUUGCCUUUUCAUGAAAGGGGUACGCCAAAAUUAACCCAUUUAUCAAUGGGAUGCUACAAAAAAAAAAGAAAAAAAGAUGGGAUCAAAAUCUCACCACCAUUUUCAUUUUUUUGGGAUCAAAAUCUCACCACCAUUUUCAUUUUACUCCAGAUAAUAGCACCCCUUAAUUUAUCAUUGGGAAAAAUAUUUACCGUUCACCCGUUUUUUCAAAUUUUUUCAAAAAUACACAAUUUUUUUUUUGGUUGGAAUCCACCUAAAGUUACAUUUUGUUUUACUUUUCCACUUCCGUUUGUAAUCUUGUUAAGAAAACUCCUUGAAAUUUUAGUACAUGACCCUUUUUUCUUUUAAAACGAACCUCCACCAUUUUUUUUCUAUCCCGCCUACAAUCAUCAGAUCAUACCUAAUUAUCUUUCCCAUUGGCCCAUAAACAAACUAAUUCCCCAACCAUUAAAUGCAGAGUUUUUUUAUUUUAAAUAUAACAGUAGUAUUAGAAUGCUAAAUUAUAACAAUAGUAUUAGAAAUAACCUAAUCUUGCAAACCAUCAAUUGAAUUUAAGAUAAGUAGAGUUUUAUUAUUCAUUGAGUUAUAAUCUCUAGUAGUUAAGAUUUUUUUGUACUUCAUUAACAUACCAAUAAUGAUAUUCAUCAAACAAAAAUUACAAACGGAAUUUUUCGUUAGUUUUAUUAUUCAUUGAGUUUUGGGAGGUAAAAUAGUCAUUUGCUUAAGUUCCGUUAGAUUUCUUAAUGGAUUCCAAACGGAAGUCGAAAAGUUAAACAAAAUGUAACUUUAGGUGGAUUCCAGUAAAAAAAAAAUUAUGUAUUUUAAAAAAAAUUAAAAAAAACAGAUGGACAAUGGAUAUUUUCCCUUAUCAUUAAGAGGGCCCAAAAAAAAAAAAAAGACUGAGAAUCUUAACAACGCAAACCAUUAUUUUGAUGUUCUCAAAAGUUGUGAGGUAAACUAACCCAUUUGCCAUUGCCAACCAUGAAUAUUGUUGGAAUAAAACCUUAGGUAAUACCAGAAACUCCCUUCAGACAUCACUGCAAUAUCAUGCAACCACCAGAACAAACGGCUAUUAAUGAAGUGUUACAAAUAUUGAGUGGUGGUUUUCGCAUCUCAACAUGCCAAUCACAUACAGGAUAUGAUCAGUGGAGAAGUUUAACAAUUUGGAUGUUCCUAAUGAAAUUAAAAUUUGACAUUCCUAUCACCUGGCUCAAAAAAAAAAAUACGAAAAAAAAUCCAACAAUCAUUCAAUUGUUGAGGACGAUCAAUUAAUACAUUUUUCAGCAAUGACAAUAUAACAUACAAAAAAUAUUAUGGGUAUUAUUUUCACCCACCACAAAACCUUCCAAUCCUUUCUCCAUUCCAAAUACCAAUUGCUCUCAGCUUCACUUAACUCGCAGCAAUUGUGCAAUUGAAGCGACAUGUUUGGUCUAGACACUUCUCUCAUCUAUUGUCUUAAGUAGUGUGGAAUGUUAAUAUAGCACAUGGAGAGUUCUUUUAACCGCCAAUGAAACCCAGCCGAUGAAGUAUCACAGCUAAUAUGAGCAUGCAUAUAGCCAGAAUCAUACCAGGUUUUCCCAGCAGCCAAUUCUUUGUCUUUUUGACACCUUGAACUUCUCUCUGAACCCUAUCUGCCCACAGCAUCUGCAACAAUUUGAAUGAAGAAAAAAUUUAAUAUAUCCAACCGUUGAGGCUAGUCAAAUAAUAUUGUUUAAUUUAAACUCAUUUAAUUGUCUGAAAAGAGUGGAAGUUGAGGGAAAAACUAAGACCAACACAAUUAGAGGCCCUUGAUAAUUAAACCAAGACGUUUACCUACUGUUAUACAUAAUUACAUAGCUUAAACUUAACUAUACACAUGCAAAUCAACAAAGCCCAAGCACCAAUAACAAUGGUACUAUAAGACUACCAUCGGACUUACCUAACUACUAAGGAUAUCAAAAAUCUAGCAAGCAAGUUGUGGAAUAAAAAAUUCGAAAAAGAAAAAAAAAACAAUUAAAAAUCAGAAGCUGCAAUAACACAUUAAAGACCACAUACCAUGUUUCGAGGGUCUAGUACAUUAAUUGCAAGUGUUCAAUAUUGUCAAACUUUACAACUCAUUCGAAGACAUUUCAACCUUUGGUAUCAGGUGUUUGUAUGCGUGUAAAGUGUAGGAUAGGAAAUAUAUAUAUAUAUUUUGAUUAUAUGGCUUUACGGAAUUCCUCAUGGCUAACAACAAUAUCCAAAGGCAAAACAAAUUUACAGUUAAAAAUAAUAACAAUAAUAAUAAUAAAAUAAUAAAAUAGAAAUGAAAGACGAAGAAGAAGAAGAUAAAAAUCUCUUUACUUUGAUCUUUUUCAUCCAUUUUCUCAUUAUCCAAAAAGAAAAACAGUUACUUUGAUAUUAACGAUAGCAAUAAAAUAGUAUAAGCAAGUACUGAUUAAACGUAAUCUUAAUAGAUGAAUCUAUCAACUUACAAGUUGUAAAAGCUAAGAUAUAAAAAUCAUGUAGUUGGUCAAAUGUUCUAAAUGUUAAGAGCUGGGUUAUUUAAUUAUUUUAUAUAUAAAAUAGUAAUAUGAACGGAGGAAAAUUGUAAAACAGUCACAUGAACAGAGGAAAUUACAAAAGGAAGUUACCAUUCUAUCCAAGUCAUUCAGUGAUAAAGAUGACAUGGUUUGUUGAAAUUUUUCUGUGUCUUCCCGAGAAAGCUUGAUUCCAAACUGCUCACUCAUGUUUGCCAUCAUUUCUGGGCUCAUAUUCUUAACCAUGGAUGAGAACAUCUACCAAUUUGCAAGUGAACAGAAAUUCAGGUAUUAGGUCUCGAAUUUCUUUAUGAUAUACAAGGGAUUCUAAAGAGAAUGAUAUCAUUCCACUGCCACAUUAAUUAAUCUUUACUAUGAAAAGCUUUAGAGCAUGGAGUGAUUGCCAAAUAUUCAAGUAUCAUAGAUAAAAUUGAGUAGUGAAUUUAAUUAGAUCAAUCCUAUCAGCGCGAUUUUAAAUGUUGUCCCAUACAAAUUAAAUGAUUUCAUUUCCAUAUAGAUUUGAAGCAACAAUUACUGAAAAAUGAAACAAAGAGAAGCGAGUACCUGUUUCAUAGCUGGAUCAUUCAUCUGGUUUCUCAUUUGUUGUAAAUCAGCAGUUGAGGGUGAAAAGCUAGACUGUUGAUUGGCUCUAGAAUUUGGAAAGAAGCCACCAGAACUAGGCUGACCCAAAACAUUAUUCCCAUUAACAGCAGAUCUCUCCCUGGAUUCUGAUAACCUCGGUCCAGGAUCUGAACUUAUUCCUUUCGGGUCUACAGCCGCCGAUGCUUGACCAGCGACUUUGUUUUUCAAGGCGGAUUCCAUUUCAAACAUUUUCUGAAGAUCCUCUGAUGACAUCUUACUCAUGACAUCGGAUGCUGUUUUAAGCAUGUCAGGUCUCAUAUUUGGAGGAGUUGACCCAGGCCUAAAGCCAUUAAAAUUAGUUUCAAUGGAAUCCCCAUUUGCAUGUGGAUUUUCCCCUUGAAAUGAAGACGCAAUUUGAAUCAUCCUUUGAAGUUCUUCAGGUGACAUCUUGUUGAUCAUAAUCGACACAGCCUUGAACAUGUCAGGAGAUAUCUCUCCAGCUUUUCCGCCACUUAAAGCAGCGAAGGAAUCGGGAUUGGCAUUGGAAAUGAAAUUCUGGAAUGAUCUAUAGGAGUCACCAAAUACAAGAAGCAGAAUUAGUAAACAUUAUAAUUUCAUAAUCAAGGUUCAGUCAUUGAAUAAACCAGAAGGACAAAACAACCACUUCUGCCUUGAAUGGAUGAGUUAGGGCAAUUGGAUAUUGAUCCAGAAAUCAACUUAAAUCCUUUGAGAUCUGAUUGCAGUAAUGUUAAUCUUAAUAAUUUAGAGCAAUGCGGUAAAUUUGUAGGUGUAUAAAAUUAGAGAAUAUGACAAUAUGUGCAUAUGUAAAUACUACUGCCAAAUGUCCCAAAAAUUUUCUUUAAAAGGAAAAAAUAACACUACUGUCCAAGCUCUGUGUUAAAUUUAUAAGUAAAUGAUGCUAAGUAUAAACCAUAAAUUUAGAAAAAGGGAUUGGAUAAAGAAACUCAUCAUCAGGACCAAAGGAAGCAAGGGAGAAGAGGUAAUUAUACCAGUUCAAAUUCCAAAUGGUUUUUUAUGCUCAAAUAUUUUUCAUGCUUCACUGCGCCAUCAAUUUUUCGUAGACCAUUCAAUUUUUAGAAACAAGAGAAUCUCAUCACGCAUUGAUACCAGGAUUAAUUAUAACUACUCCAACAGCUCAUUCUAGCAACAAAAUAAUUAUACCUCUUUAUUUCCUUCCUAUUGCUAAUUUGGCAUAUUGCUAUUUUCUCUCUCUCAUUUCAUCAACUCAAUAGCUUAACUAAUGGGAAAUUUCUGUUUGCUCUGCCUUUUCACUUUUGCUUUUCAUCCCCCAACUAGAUGCUCCUUACAAAUUUGGCUUUUCUUGCAUCAUAUUAGAUCAUGCUUUCCCAAGCUUAUCUCAAAUUCAGGAGUUUCCUCGUUUAUACAAGAUUGAGCUUCAUGAGCUCUAUACUUAAAACAUCAGCUUUGGUUUUAGAUGUGUGCUUCAUUCUUCAGCCAAUAAUUAGGAAAAAUAAACAAAAGAAGACUAUCAAUUAAACAAUUUAAAAAUGGAUGGCUAUGAAACCUGAUUGACUCAGGGUCAUCUUUCAAAUCUGGCAAAAACUCGGGUUUAGUUGACGAGCCUCUACCAUUAGCACUAUGUUCACUCUUAGAAGGGUCAGCUUUUUCCCGUGCCAAGUACUCUGUGCCUGAACUUCUAUGGCUUCCAGAAGACACUGCCCCAACUUCUUCAGUUAUCUCUUCAAUUAGUAAUCCUAUCAAAUAUAAGCAGAGAACAAACACUUAACACAAAUUUCAAGAUAAAGAACAAAUACACAAUUAAGAAGUAAACCAUUAAGAAAUAUCAUAACCAUCAACAGUAUAAAGCUAAAAAACAACAUACCUCUUGGUCCAUGAUGACCAUCUUCUUUCAUCAGUAUUUCCUUGGCAUCUCUGUAUAAAAUAUUGCCAUCAUAUAAUAUGGUACAUUUAAAACCCAGAAUGCUCUCUUUUAUUCUUUCAAUUACCAUAAACUAUUAAUAAAUGUGAUAAAACCAUAAAACGAAGGAAUGCCAUAAAUAUUGGGAAUUAAAAUAUCAAAUAAUUUUCUGAUAUUUCUUAACUAUAUGCAACUUUUGGCCUAUAGCGUAACCAGCACGAUUUCACGAGAAUAGCUAUACUAACAUUAAUGACAUGUACAGCAUAAGCAAUGGCAAGUAAUGGCACUUAAAGACAUCCCAUGUUUGGCCCAUUGCCAGUUGAAAUCAUACCUUAAGACAUCUGCAAUAGUUCCGUCAUCAGGGGAAACUUCAUGGGCGUUGCUCAAAUCAGAGACAGCUUCCUAAACAAUUUCAGAAAGCUCGUAAUAAAUAAGUACCAAAUAAAUUGCAUAAAUUUGAAAUCUUCCAGAAGCACAACUUGGUAAUCAGGGGUAGCAACUCACAAGUUUUUAUGAAAGAACUUACUUCCAAUCGGCCAAUAUCUUUAUAGGCUUGACCCCUUCGAUAAAGAGCCUUGACAUUCUUUGCAUCAUAUGCCAAUACCUGAAAUAAAUCCGAAGGAAAAUCUUUUUAUUUUGUAUUCUCUUCUUUAACAAAAUAUAAACCAACAGUCUAACGGUCAUUAACUUGUUUAUUACGUUUAUUGCCAAAAUUCAGUUUGUUUCUCCCAUCUUAGUUAUUUAUUUAUUUCAUUUUAGGAAACAGAGAAACUUAAAUAUAAUAAAAAUGUAGGCAUACAAAUAAGUGACAAGAAGUCCGUGAAGAAAGAAGUAAAGAUUGCAAACAGUUCUCCCAUGUUCUUCUCACUCUGGAAUAACUCGUUAGCUUACCAUACAUGAAGGAUUUCAUAUCACAAUACAAAGACAAGGAUAAAAUGGCUAGUUCUUACCUCAGAGCCUACUUUUAUACACUCAUCAUACUGCUUUGUUUUUAGGUAACAGGACAUCGAGUUAAGGGAGCAUGCCAAUAAAAGUGUUCUGCCUUCAGAGGAAUGGAUUCCUUGUAGGUUUUUCUUUGCCUAAAAAUUACAAAUGGGGAAACAUCAAUAUCAAUUCGAGCACAUACACCAAUCAAAGAGCUUGUGAAAGGUGGAUUAGGUAAGUUGAAAAUAUUGCUUUACAAGUAAAUAUUUCUGCAAGGCAUUGCUGAACCUUCCUUCACUAUAAAGCUCAUUCCCCUGCAAUAGAGAAACGAAAAUAUAAAAUAAAAAAUAGAUUCCAAUAUGUUACUGGAAGAUGUGAACAGAACAUGCUUAAUUGCAAAUCCUAGAUCUAUUUCUCUAGUUCAUUAUCCUUUACCAUACACAUUAGUAAUAUGCAGGGUAGAAAGUAAAUAAGAAUCAAUUAAUUCAACUGCAGUCUAUGUUAUAGUCUUUUUUUUUUCUUUUUUUUGGCGGUAAGAUAGUCUAUGUUAUGAUCUCACCUAUGAAAUCUAAGCUCCAUCAAACAUGUCUAUGGCUUUCUACUAGAGAAGUCAUCCCAUGACAAGCAUGGUUGUUUGAGUUACAAAAUCAAUACAUCAUUUUCCCAUUUCAGAGGCAAAAUGAAUAUGGUUUUCCUGACAUCAAAUCCUUUAAAGGUACCUGUUUCUUCAACAUCUUAGCAGCAUUAAACUCAUAAUUCAUUUGGGCAUCAAUACGGGCACGCAUGGUAGCAAUCUCUUCUGGACUUGCAUUAGCCAAUUUCUCACCAAUCUCAGCUACCUCCUCUGGAGGGGUAUGAGUCAACUGUUCUGCGGCACAUUUCAAGUCUUCAGGUCUCAUAUUCUUCAUGUUUUCUGUAGCUAUUCUCAUCAACUCUGGAUUAGCCAUCAUCUGCAGUACCAGUGGCCAUUAUGACAAUCAAUUAUAGAAGAUUACAAAAUAACCAAACCAUUGAAAAUCUCGAGGCCCAUUAAACACCAUUAACCACAAUCACCCCAAACUAAUUAACUGUAUAUCCUUGGUUUCCAAAAGGAGGUUAAUGGCUUGUAUCGCCUUCGGAUCACCUACUUGAAUUAUUACAUUCUAGCAUCUACAAGUUUUUUUUUUUUUUUAAUAUUAUUUUAUUUUGUUCUUUUUAAAAAGAUGUAACUGUAUGAUAAGAUUUUCUACUUGAACUAAAAUCUUUUGCGAAAUAUUUGCCUGGCAUGGCCAAUUUGAGAAACAUAGUAGGUGUCAUCAGUGCCUAGUGACCAAAUGAACAAUUCAGUCAUACAGUUAAUGAGUUCAGCAUAGAAUUUAGGGAAUUAAUUUACUGAGGUUGAUCUAGAAGGCAGAAACUGUAACUUAUUUUUAAGUGACUGUCUCUGUUUCAUCUUAUCAUGGUUGGGCUGCACAGUUCUUGAGAUUUUAAAACCUAAUAGUUAGUCAUUGUGAUAUAAACAGAAUAACAGUGAAGUCAUCCACAAAAGAUUUUGGAAGGUUUCAAACGAGCCAUAUCUGGUUUUAAAAUUACUUUAACUGGUUUCAUAUUAUCCUUAGUAGUGAUGAUACCUGUGGGAUGCUGCCAUAGGGGCCUGUCUAAGUGAUUUUCAAGUAGCUUUACUCGAUUGACUGCCUGAGUUAGAAUCCUGGGGAGGUAGAGGGUUAUAUGCUAUUGAUUAUUUGUACAUAUUCAAAUACAGAAACAUAUGAAAUCAAUCUAAUUAAUCCCAGAGGCAUCUAGCAUGAUUCGAUAUAGUUAGAUUUUAUUCUGGCUUAAUAAACAUUUAAGUUAUAAACCAACUAAUAGUGUUGGGACAGCUAUAUGAAUUCACCAACAUAAUAGUUGCCACAUCUCUGAAGACGAGUUUAUGACCAACAAAGCAAAGCUCAACCAUUAGUUACACUCAGAUUAAUAAUUACAUUGUUGAACCUAAAUGUUAUAACAAAAUUUCAAAUAUUAUAUUGGUUAAACAGACCUUUUUUUAUUUUUUUAUUUUUUGAUAAUCUGCUUUUACUAUUGGUAAAUCUUUGAUUUCUAUUGCUACUAUUUCUUUAUGCUUUUGUUUAAUAAAAAAAAAAUCAAUAGCUCAAACAUCCUAGGCGGAUGCUACAGGCUGAAACUAUGGAAUAGGAAAAUAAUCAACAGAAACUUCCAUUAGAAACCUUAAUCGGAAUUCACAUGAUCACAACACAAAAUUGCACAAUUCAAGCAAUUUCCAAAAGUAUAUCAAAAUUUAAGUAAUAAUCAAGUAAAACAACAAUGAACAGAAGAAAACCUGUUGUUGGAUCCUUGCAAAGUCAUCGGGCGACAUGCGAUUCAUCUGUUCUUGAGCAAGUCUAAUCAUCUCUGGAUCCAUCAUUCCGUUAAACAUUCUUGAAUUCGAGGACGCCUUGCGACUGCUGGAUUGCAAUAAUCGGCAAAGUUUUGAAUUUGAUUGUUUGUUCAAUGCUUGAUUCUUUGGUUUUCAAUUAUUUUUUAUUUAAAUGCUUUAGGAUUAGGAACACCGAUGAAAGACAAAAUUGAAAAAGUAAAUACAAACUGGCAAUCCAAUAUUUAUUUCUUUUAUUAUUAUUCCUAAUUUCUGUACAGUUUCGAUGAUGUUUUAACUGUGUAUCAUUAUAUUUAGGAUUUUUCUACUUUACCAUCAAUGUAAGGAUUAAUGUUCACAAAUUAAACUGUGGGUUCCAUUUAAACUCACAGCCAAUAAAUAGAGAUGUACCUUAUAUUAAUUAUAAGUUAGCAGCUCCCAUUUAUUUAAUUAAUGAUAUACAAUAAUUGUGUUCGAGAAUUUUUAUAAAAUAACUAUUAUUAUCCUUAGAAUUUAAAGUAAUUUUACUUAAAUAAUAUAUUUUAUUUAAAAUUAUUUUUCAACGCUCCUUUAAAUUUAUAUUGUAAUAAUUAUUUUUAAAUAAAUUUUUUAAAAUCUAUUAUCAUUAAGUAUAAAAUAUAAUAAAUAAAUUGUAAUUACAAAAUUUAUAUAUAAUAUAACACUAAUAAAUAACACAAUUAAGUACAUAUGUUUAAGUAAACGUCAUAAUUAUAUCAAUAAACUUAUUGGUGAGAUUGCUUGUAAUUAAAAAAUACUUGAUCACUCAUGUUUUAAUAAAAUUUAAAAUCAUAUAUUAAAAUGCUCAUUAUUUUAUAUAAUAAUAAAAUUUAACUUUCACAAGUUUGUUUUCAUUUUACAAUUUCAUAAAAGUUUAAUCUAACACAUAUUCCUAAUUACCUUUAAUUUAUGAAUCAUGAAAGAUUAUUUUAUUAUUAUCCUUUGAUUAUAAUUAUAAAAUUUUUAUGUUACUAAGAGUCAUUACUUUUAUUAUGAUAAGUAAUAGUGACAAUAUAUAAAAUAUUCAUCAAAUAAUAUUUAAUGGACAAAAUGAGAAAAAAAUUCAUUGUAUGUUUUUAUAUUUCCCUUAUAAAGACAUGGUUUGGGAUAUUUUAACUUAAAAUUUUGACAUAAUAUUUGAGCCAUUAAUAUCUCAUAAUCUAAUGGUUAAUAUAGAAUGUUAAAGCAACAUUUCAUAAUGUUAUAUCCUCCACCAUUGAAUUGCAUGAAAUUAAUAGUUUAAUUUUUUUGUUAAAAAUUUAAAUCAAAAUAUUUCUCACUAUAUAGUUAUAUAGCCAUAUAUAUUUUUCAAUAAUAAUUGGUCAAUAAAAUAUUUCUCAUUUGUUGUGACUCAUAUAAUAUUAUUAAUAAAACAUAUAUAAAAUAUUUUAUUACAAUACCUUCUAUUAUCAUUAUUGUUUAGGUAUUAAUGGUUUGUAAUAAAAUUCAAACAAUACAAAUUAUUAUAAGACUUUAUGUAAUAUCUUUAUAUAAAGUAUUAUUGAAAUAACAUUACUUGUUAAUUACAUUUAUUUUAAUGCUAUUAAAUAUAUUUCUAUUACUAAAUGUAAAAGUAAAAAAAUGUAAAAUUGUAAAGUAAGAGAAUUAAUACAUAAUAAUUUUAAUUCCAAAAUUAUUUGUAUUUCUUUCAUUUUUGGUGAUUUAAAAUAUUUAUCAAUUGAUUAGAUAAAAAAUAAUUUAAAAUAUGAAGAAAUAUCACAACUUUCAGAUUACUUGUUACAUAAUUACUUAUCCAUUAAAAUUAAAUUAAUGGUGAAGAUUCUAAUAUUAAAUCCAAUGAUCCCAUUAUUGAUCAUGGGAUUUUUAUCCAUUAUAAUAUAAAAUUUCUUUUAUCAAUUAAUUAAAAAUAAAAAAUCUAUAUUUACUUGCAGCCUGAAGAUUACUUGUUAUGAUUUAUAUACCAAAUGAAUGGUAAACAUGAAAACACUAACAUCCAAGAGUCCACAACAAUCCCACUAUCAAUGUUGUAAAAACUCAUACAAUAUUAUAAAGAAAUCGUAAACAAAAAGUUCAGAAAAUAUGUAUGUUAAAUAGAUGUUAAAAAUAAUAAUAUAUACUUCAUGAUCAAUUAUACAAUGGUCUUUAAUAUUAUAUAAAAUAAUGAGUAUUUUAAUAUAAGAUAUUAAAUUUUAUACAAGAUAUCCUUAUUAGGAAAAGUUGAACCGAUAACUUUGGUCCAAAUGACACAAUUGGGGAAAAUUUGAAUACCAAUGGGCUUUUUGGUAAUCAAAGAAGUGGUGAAGAGUUUGCCAUUGACAACUUUGAAAUGUUCUUCAGAUUCUAUCCAGUGGUCUAGUGGGAGAAUAUGGGGGUUUAACAUACUGCGCUGGGCACCAGUGUCGAUGAGACCAAUUGCUGGAAUGGGCCUUUGGAAUUUUGAGGGUAAAAUCUGGAGUUUGAUGGAAGGUAUAGGGACAGUAGUGUCAAGGGACAGUAACUGUUGAUGGAAAAUCACUUGGGAUUGAUCACUGUCAGAAUCAUCAGAGGAGUUCUGCAGGGCGAACACUGUGUCAUCAUUGGGUUCAUCUUGUUCGGAGAAAUAGAAUUCCAGUUCAUCCUUUUCUGGAGAAUAAUCUGUAGUGGCUUGGAGAUGCUCAACUAACCGAAUAGAUUUUUCUCGCUUGUUGGGACAAUCUUUGGCAUAAUGACCUUUUCUUUUGCAGAUAAAACAUCUGCUUGAUUUUUGUCUUUUAAAAUCUCUGGAAGAGGAUGACUUCGUUCUGAAGAAUCUGUAAGGCUUUCUGGAUCGGCGAGGUCUGGAUGAAAAUUCUGGAUUUCUGAAUUUCUUAAAAUGCCUUUUCUUUUUAAGACUACAAUCACAAUCCUUUUUCUUUUUGCAUUUGAUCUGCAAAUAAGGCUUUUUGCAAGCACUCCGAAAUGGCUCUUUGUCUUUCAACAGUUCUUUGAAAAACUGCUUCUGCUCACAAAGUUUAUCAAGACAAGUUUUGGCAAGCUGGAAAAUUUUGCCAAGAGAGAUGUCGUCAAGGGAAAGAUUGGAUGCUGUGAGUUGUCGCUGUAUAUCUGGUUGGAGUUCAUCUGGAAGGGAAGCCAGAAAUACAUGCUUUAAUGUUGGCUCAUUGAAUCUAUUAAGCUUAUAGAAUAGCAGGGACAUGCGUUUGUAAUGGAAAUCAAGAUCCUUAGCAUUAAGGGAACGGCAUUUCAUGUUGAGAUAGUCUCGUCGUGCAGCUUCAAAGACUGCAGAGGGGUCUCCAAGGAAUUGAUCAUGGAGAACCGCAAAGGCACUUAAGACUUCUGGUAGAUCAACAAACUGUAAUUGGCGAUAUCGGCCUAAAGAAUCAAACCAAUCUCUUAGAGCACCCGUAAAACGAGUAGCAAAUUCUCUAAGGACUAAUUGAUCAUGUGUGAUCAAGUAUUUUUUAGGUUACAAGUAAUCUCACCAAUGAGUUUAUUGAUGUACCUAUGACAUUUACUUAAGUAUAUGUACUUAGUUGUGGAGGGUUGUUCCAAUGUUUACAUUUGUAUUUUUAGGAUCUUGGGUUUCUUUUAGCCUAUUUAAACUCAGCAACCUUGCUAUGUAUGAAAAUUAAGAGAUUAAUGUUAUUUGAAUUUGAAAUAUUAUUCUUUCUUUGGUUCUUUUGAGAACUAGUGAACUUAUCAAGAAUUUACAUUCUUGUGGCGUUCUAAAUUUAGACUUAUCACUCACCUUCUCAUCUAUUUCUUGAGUGUGGCGUCAAUAAUAUUCUCUAUAGCUUUGGAUCAUGCUUUUCUUAAGCAUUGGGUCAAGGUUUUGUUUGUCAUAAAUCUGUUUAGAACUUUCUUGGGAAGUUGAAACUACAAUUUAAGUGUGAGUUUCAAAGUUUCAUUGUGGGAUUUUGUAUCAUCUACGCCUAUUAUUUCCUCUGUUAUAUCUUGUUUCGUCAUUUCUAGCCCAGUUAUGCUCUGUAUUAGUUUGCUCCUUCUGAAUACUCUUAAUGGCAGCCCCAUGUUACCUCAACUGGCUUUCUAUCUCUUCAAAUCUCAUAUUCAUCCUUUCAAAUGCCUGGUACAUUGCUUUCGAAGUUAAAGUAAGGUCCUCACUUUUAUCAUCUAUAUUAGUUAUUUGAAAUAAUCGCAACCCAAUGCUUAAUGAACGCACAAACCUUGGUAUAUGUAAGGACACCACAAUCAGUUAUGGAUGGGCUGAUUGAUAAGUCAAGGGUUUGAAUGCCAUGGAAAUUGAAUGAGUUCAAAGAGUUAGUUUAAGAACCAAAGAGAAUUAAACUCUCAAGCCGAAUGCAUUAAAACUAAUAUGUCUUUCUUAUAUAGGGCUAGUUACAAGAAUUUUCAUCCCAUAAUUGCCCUUAGAAUUUUCAGAAAUAAAUCCCAAACCAAAAUAAAAUUAGAAUUAAUUACAUAAAGAAAAUUCCUAAUCUUAAGCAAAUAAGGAAAGUCUCUUAUAUGGGAUUAUUGCCUUACAUCAAUUAAAAUGGAAAAUAGGCAAUUAAAAGAGAAAUAGUUGAUUUAUCUCACUACUUUCCUCCUCAAUAGUACCUAAAGUAGCAUAUUUUCCAACCAUAAUAAGCAAGCUAACUUGCUGAUAUCAUAGCAGUGAUUAGUCAAAAACUUCAAGAGCCUAAAUCACACAUUUAGUGGUCUGAAUAUCAUGUACAGAACGAUGAUCAACAAUCGUAUUUGGGGUCCCGAAUCAAGUCUUAAUGCACAAUCUCAUAAUGUUCUCCGAGAGUUUUGUUCCAGGUUCACUGGAUCUCUUCGAGAUUGGUUGAGCCCAAGUUGCUUGAAUCGGCCCCUUAAUCACUUUUUUGAAUUUCUUUGCACAAGCUCUUGUGACGGGUCUGAUGACUUUAAUAGGAUCUGAAUAUGCCUAAUCCCACCUGUUUGUGACAACUUUGUCUCAAUCUCAUCACUUCACCCCAGAUUUCUUAAACCAUUGCUUCUUUUGUUUAUUGAUAAAUGGUCAAGGUCUUUAUUUUAUGAUUGUUUGAACCUAAACUAGAACAAUCCUUAGCAAAAAUCCUCAUUAAGUGUAGGGUCUCAUUUAUCCUUGUGAGGUUCACAUCAUUCAUGUAUAUAUAUAUAUCCUUGUUAGAUUCACAUCAUUCAUGUGUAUAUAUAUAUACAUCAUUCAUAAUAAUAAAGUGUCAAGUAGCAGCUACCAUUUUUGACAAACACUUCUUUCUUUAAUAAUUAAAUAAAUAAUUAAAAAAAAAGGAAAGAUGAAGUUGUUGGUUGGCUAUAAAUUGAGGGAAGAAGAAGUGAAUGGGGGGAAGCGCGGAAGCCAUAAGCUUAGGAAACAAUUUUGUCUCUUUUCUUGAGUAGUUAAUUUUCUUGUAAUACAUUUCAGAAGUUUGUUAAUAAAAUGAGUGUUCUCUUGAAAGGUGAAGCUCAAAGAUUUAAACUAUGGAAGCGAUUAUUCUCUCAAGUAAGUUACACAAGUUAUUUUCAGAUCUAGAUCCACUUUGAAUCCAUUUGGCAUUUAUACAUAAUGUCGACACAUCAAUAUGGCUUGGCACAUUAUUUAUCUAUAAGUGGUUAAUUAGUAAUUAAGUCAUAUAAUAAUUGUGGCUAAGAAAGGUUGACAUAAAAUAAUAAGAAUGAGAAGAUGGGUUGUUAAUGGAUUCAGUAUCAAGAACCAUGAAGUCAACAGGAAAGUAGAAUUUAUUUAUGUUGACAAGAACAUCGUUUAUGUGUCCUCUAAGAAUUUUAAUAAAUCUAUCCGUUGAUUGGAGUGACACGAGUUUGUUUCAAGUCGUCUAAUCAUAAUUCCUCAUAGAUAGAGUAUGGCAGUAAGUUAACAUUGGCUCUUAAUUCAAGUAAAGCUUUAUCAAAUGCAGGGUCUCCAAUGACAUACGAAAUUGUAAGUGAACCGGCAUCUUUAUACUUAAUAGGAAUUUUAUUUGGGACAAUGGUACUAACCUUUUCAAUCAAGAAUAUUUUUUGUGGGACGUUGGUUUUGUUUUUUAUUGUACAACAAGCUUUUCAGAACCAAGCAUAAGCAGGCACUUGUUGAAUAGGAUCAACUAAACGAAUGUUUAUAAGAACUUACUUAAACGUUUCUGCUUUAGUGGAACAAGUCAUUAUGGGUAAGGAACUUUAGGAAUAUAAAGAUUGGAUUGAGUUUUAUUCUUAUUAGAUUCACUAAGUAAUUGCUUCUAAAUUGAAGUUGGUUGACUUCUUUGUCAUGAUUAUGAAUUGUUUUUCCAAACCUAAGGGUGCUUAUAGAUUUGGCUUCCUCAUUAGGCAUAUUAGAAAUGGAUGACGAUCUUAGUUUCAAAUUGACUCUUAUGAUUAAGAAUUGGUUAACUAGGUAGUUUUCCUUUCUCUCUCUUUGCUAUAGUUGUUGCUAAUUGACCCAAUUGAUUUUCAUGCCUUAUAAUAGCUUGAGUACUUGAUUCUAAAUUGACUGUAUGAAAUUUUAAAGUGUAUCCUCUAAAAAAGGUUUUUUUUGCUGGUGUAAUAAAUUGAGACAUAGGUUAGUGCACAGGAGGAUAUGCUCGAUUAGGAGAGGCAGAUUGUUGAUUGAGCUUGCUAAAUUGUUGUCCUUCUUGAUUUUUUUCCACAAAAAAGUGAGGGUGAUUCCUUUGAUUAGGAUUAUAUAUAGGUGAAAAUUGGCUAUUGGAGGAUUUUCUAUAUAAUUGUCAGGUAUGUAUCCGAGGGUGAUCUUUUAAGGACCAACAUGGGCCAUGACCCCCAAAAAAAUUUUAAAAAAAAUCUAAUAUUCGAUAUUUCAUACUAAAAUAAAUUGAUAUUAACAAAAUACCCAUCUUGUAGACUUGUACACUAUCAUUUAGUCAUAGAAUUAAAAAGAAGAGUUAAAAAAUUUAAAAAAAUCUAAUAUUCGAUAUUUCAUACUAAAAUAAAUUGAUAUUAACAAAAUACCCAUCUUGUAGACUUGUACACUAUCAUUUAGUCAUAGAAGAAGAGUUAAAGAAGAAGAAUAAGACCCAAAUAGAAAUUUAUAGUUAAUGAACAAGUUGAAAUACUAAGUUGAAAGUUUCUAUCCAAACUUUCUAAUACAUGUGUAAUGCUUGAUCCUGAGCGCUGAUUUUACAUCUUAGCAAAUAAUUAAUAGCUAGCCAAAUUAUAAAUUAAAAAAAAUGAAAUCUCCUCUUCACUUAUUGAAAUUUUAAAAAAAAUUAUUGAAUGUUCCCUUACUUUUAUAAAUAAUAAUUCUUUGCCAUUGCAUUGUUAAUGGUCUAUUAACCUUUAUUUAUAAAAAUAUUUUCAUAGUUUAAUGUGUUCAAGUGUUACUUGUGAGCCUAGAUGAAAUCUCAUCAAAAUGGCAUCUUCAUCUACAAACCCAGUUUCCUCUUAAUCUUCUCAUAUUUCUCUCUCUUCUACUCUUUCUUUACCUCAUUCUUGUCAAAAACAUGUUGCUUCAAAAAUUGAAAACCUUGUUGAAUACUUAUAUAUUCCUGAAUUAGCCCAGAUCAAUAAAUCACAAUUUCCAGUAAUGAGCCCAUACCAUCUUUACAAACAAAAAACCUCUUUCACCAGAAGCAUCAAAACCUUGAUUUCCUCUAAAAGAACUUUACCCAAAGAGUACAUCCAGUCUUCAAGACUAGAUCAAUGUGCUCUUCAAGCCUCUCAGAGUGAACAAUAUGUUACACUCGAAAUACCUACUGAUCUCGUAACAAACUAGAAGCAAGAAGGGUAUACACACCUUCAUCUUGGAGGUGUGAGGCUAAUCCUUACUCUACAUGGGAGAAAAGGCUUGCCUGUUACAGCUAGAAUUGCCCUGCUAGACACUAGAUUCAAGGAAUACCAACAUGUUGUCAUUGGAACCGUUCUAACUACACUCCAUGCUGGAAGUGUAUUGUUCAACAUGUCCCUUGAAGACCCAAAUCUUCCCACAACUAUAAAUGUCCAAAUCCAGCUCCAAGGAGCAAACCAAACAGCCACUUCAAAGAUAGCCACACUUCAUCACCAAUAGUGUAUCGAUUACAGAAUCAUGCACUAGAUCUUCCCACUUCACAAACCACCACAGAUGCAUUGGUGAUCCUUGCAGACACCAAUACAAUCCCUAUAAUCAUACAAAUCCCCAAACAUAUUUAAAAGCAAGAAUUGCUUAAACUCAUGCCACUUGAAUGGCUUUCCAAUUAUGAGCAAUUCCACUAGAAUUCUAAGCCAAUCCAGACCUCUGAAGCCAUCUUCGAAAGAAGAUCUUAUGGCCAAGUUAAGAUGUCCUUUCAAACUCCAGGACAAUCUUCAGAUCCUGAAGCUCCAAGGCUCUCUUAUGGACACUUCUUAUGGGAUGUUCCAGAAGCCCAUAUGUGCAACCCUGAUUGCCCUUGCCUAGAAGAUCCAUAUGACGAUGAUGAAGACUUUGAAAUAAUGAGGAGAAGACGAAGGAGAAAGAAGAAACCUUCCCAUUCAAAAACUCCCAGCCAUCCUUUGCCGAUCUACAAUAAGGCUCUUAAAUGGAUAGAAAAAGAAGACAGAAAACUUGUUCCACAAACACCAACUCCUUCUGCACCACAACUCAGGUCAUGCCUGAUGUUCUCUUCCUCCAGUUAGUCUUAUCAAGAAUCUUUUCCCCCACUUGAAAAACAAACAGAUCCUCAAACAAAGGUUGUUUCACAGCCUUUUGUGCAGUCAGCCACAACUUCUUCUGGUCAACUAGAAGCCCCAAAGCAAUAUGAAGCAGUCUUAAAUUGGCAAACUCAAAAUGCUAAUGCUCAAAACCAAGCACUUCAUAAUCUUGGGAGAAAGAUCGAUAAAGUCGCAACUCAGGUGACAAAAACUGAAACAAAAGUGGAUUCUCUCAAUGCUCAGCUGGAAUAGAUCUAUCUGAAUUUGCAGAAUAGAAUCUUUGAGUUAGAUGUUGAUCUCAAAAUGAUGAUUAACAAUCGUAUAUGAGGUCUAGAAUUCAACAAAAAGGAAGCAGAGAUUAGAAAGCUGAAAUCAGAAUUGAUGCAGACAAAGAGCAACCAUCUCUCUUUACCAAAACCCAAUCUUUACCAAUUCCUGCCCCUUUAUUUGACACAUAUCAGCCUUUCUAUAACCCCUCCAGACCACCAAUGGACUAUAACAAGUUCUUUGGUCUUUCACAUCUUCUUUACAAAAAUUAAGAACCUCCAACAACACCAUCAACAUCCAAAAGACCAUCCACAAAAGUAAAAAUCUCAAAACCAAAACCAAAAGAAACUUCUCCAAUACCUAAAGAUUCUCCAAAAUCAACCCCUGAGCCAACAAAGAAAGACAAAGCUCAUGUACACCAAUACUUCUAUCAAAGUGUUGGUACACAAAACGAUGGUCCAAAUCCAGAUUCAUCCUCUGAGGAUAGUUCUAGCUCCAGUUCUUAUGAGCAAUCUUCCUCAGACUCAGAGUCUCAAUAUGCAGAUAUCUCUGGACUUCUCAUGGUUCAACCGUCUACAAAGACAGAAGAACCAAGUACAUCUACACCUAUUGUAGAUGAAUCAGAUGAUGAAAAUCAAGAUCAAGGUAGUUCACAAACUGAACCAAUACCCCCAAAUCCUCCAGCACCUGAAACUUCCUCUAAACCAUCUUCAACCCAGUGGUUCACUUUUGAUGAUAUUCCUCAUCACAAAUGGCCAGCCAGACACCAAGAAUUUUCUACUUGGGUCGAUGUACAAAUGACACGAACAAAUGCACAAUCUCAAUCAGUCCUCCGAGAAUUUUAUUCCAGAUUCACUGGUUCUUUGCAAGAUUGGUUUGAAAGUCUAGGAGAAUACAAACAACUUCAGUUAAUUCAUACCACAGUCGCCACAACACUUACAGUCAUUUAUGAACAGUUCAUUGGAGAACCAUCUGCAGCAAAUGAAGCCUCCAAAAAAGAAUUUCAUCGGAUGAAAUGUUGCUCUAGUACAAGUUAAAUGGAUUCAAUGAUCUAACUUUAAAGCAUGUUUUCAUUGCUUCACUUCCUUCAUAACUUCAGCCCGAACUUCAGAGACAGCUUAUAGCCUUCAACCGGAACAUAGCCAACAUUUCUUUUGGAAAAAUCUUCCAAUUGACUAUGUUAUGUCUUGACAGAUUGUGUGAACAGAAAGACUUCUUCAAAGACCUCAUUGAAAAUAGACAACCUUUUGCCAUAGCCUGUAAAAAACCAUAUCUUAAAAUCCAGUGCAAAGAUGACAAAAAAUGCACCUGUCCAACCAAGAAGAAGAGUCAUUUCCAAAAACACCCUCACAGAUCUUCCAAGAAAGGCAAAAUACCUUAUAGAUACUUCAAGAAGAAAGAUUCAUCCCAGUUCAAAAAAAGAAGCAUAACCGUUGUUUCAUCUACAAAAAACGCGGUCAUUUUACUCGAAAUUGUCCAAACAAGUCUGCCAAAGCUGUUUGCCUUAUUCAACAUCUACAACAAUCUUCAAUGCUUUUUUAUCAAGAAGAUGUUGAGUCCAAUUUCUCUGAACAGACAGAAUAUGAUGAUCAUACGACAUUCAUCCUCACAGAAUCAAUAGAUGAUUCUGUGAGGAUGACAUUCAGUAAAAAAUUUAGUCCUCCCUUCCAAAUUUCAUAAACCUAUUCCUGUUAUUGGUUUUCUUGAUACUGGUGCACAACGCAGUAUGCUCAAUCCCACAGUACUUCCUUCUUCUUGUUGGGAACAUCAUACUGAAUUCUUCAAAGCAGCCAAUGGUGAAAUCUUCAAAACCUCCCUGAUUACCAAAAAACCCAUUGGGAUUCAGUUUUUUCCAAACUGUAUCAUAUGGCAAUAAUAGUUGGUUCAGAUUUACCAGACAAAGAUCUUCUCAUAGGAUUUGAUAUCCUUCACCUAGUAAAAAAUCUGCAUAUCACACCAACUGGAAUCAAGUUCAAACAAAUGUUUUGCCUUAUACAGAUAUUCUACGUCUGUAUACUCUUUCAGAUACAGCCCCCCUUUAUGCAACCAUCACUCACAAACUCCUUCAGUUUUGUCCUGAAACUCACUCUCAGUUCAGUCAUCCUUUUCCUCUUUGGAAAAAUGAUAAGUUCUUCAUUCAACUUCCCUUCAAAUUGAAUGAGGAUAUCAAUCCAACAAAAGCAACUCAUCCAGGAAUGCCACCUUCUGAUCUUUCCUUAGCCAAACAAGAAUGUGAUCAAUUGCUUGAGCAAGGUCUCAUUGAGCCAACAACAUCAGAUUGAGCUUGUCAAGCCUUUUAUGUUGAAAAAAGGUCAGAGUUAAUUUGAGGAAAAAAGAGAUUGGUAAUUGAUUAUCAACCUCUUAAUGCUUUUCUCAGAGAUGAUUUCCUCUUCCAAAAAUCUAGUCCUUGUUUGUCCAUCUUCAAGAUGCAAUUUUUUUUUCAAAAUUCGAUCUCAAAGCUGGUUUUUGGCAACUGGGCAUUUUACCCUCUAAUAGACCUAAGAUGACUUUCUAUAUUCCCAAUGGACAGUAAUGCCUUUUGGUCUCAAAGUUGCUCCUUCCCUAUUCCAAAAAGCAAUGGUCAAAAUAUUCUCUUCCAUCCUCCAUCAUGCUCUGGUAUAUAUCGAUGACAUUUUGUUGUUUUCCACCAACCACCAGACCCACCAACAACUGCUUUCAGAUUUCUUUGAUAUUGUGCAAGCACAUGGCAUAAUGCUGAAAAUCAGCAUUGUAAAGGAAUCAAUCGACUUUUUAGGCAUGGUGUUACAAGAUGGCCACUACCAUCCAAGACCACAUAUUGCAGCAGAAUUGACAAAGUUUCUAGACACAGAUCUCAAUAAAAAGCAAAUCCAACAGUUCCUUGGAAUUGUGAAUUAUUUGAGAGACUUUAUUCCCAAAGUUGCGGUCCACACCAGCAAAUUGUCAUGCAUGCUAAAGAAACAACCCCCACCAUGGGGUCCUGAACAGACAACAGUUGUCAGACAGCUCAAAAAGAUUUCUCAGUCACCACCACCACUGAAGAUUCCCACAAUGGGACAAAGAAUUCUCCAGACCGAUGCCAGUAAUGAAUACUGGAGUGCUAUUCUUUUAGAAAAAAUUGGAGAAACAGAGUCCUAUUGCGCUCAUGCAAGUGGACAGUUCAAGAUUGCAGAAAAGAAUUAUCAUGUCAUUUACAAGCAGUCAAGUAUGGAAUCAAAAAAUUUGAAUUCCAUUUGGUCAGUCACAAUUUCCUUAUCAGGAUGGACAACUCCUCUUCCCCCAAAUCCUUGACUUCAAGAACAAAUUGCUCCCAGAUAAGCAAUUGCUCAGUUUGAAAGCUUGGUUUGCCAAGUAUGACUUUUCCUCUCAAUCUCUUUUUUAGUUCAACUUUUCAAAUUCAAGAUUUUGCUAGGAAAUUCCUUUUCAGGUAUUUCAUGAAUGUCUAUAGAAUCCAACCACUUUGUUUUCCGUCCCUUCAUCUUGAAUACCUAUUUCUUACAGGAUUCACUCUCAAUCCAUCUCUUACCAUUUCAGAAGAUGAAUUAUGGUAUGUUUGGUGUCUCACAAUCCUGUAUGCCACUACACUAUUCUACCUGUUCAACCUACUCUCAGGUAUAUCUCAACUCUCGACCAUGCACCAUCUCUCAUUUGGACAUUACUUGAAUGGUAAACAACUUCAAAAUAUCUCAGCCCAUCAUUAGUUAAACAGACUCCCUGAUCAAGAAGCAAGUCUGUUUACCUCAGUGUUCAUCAUACACAGGCCAUACUUUCAACACCUAGUUCCACAUCCAUUCCUACUCAACCAUGACCCAACUAUAAUCUCAGUCCUCAAGAGUUACCUGCUAGAACUCAAUAAUAUCCAACCAGCACCCACAGAUAUUUAUCACAUGUCCAUAGGACCAUCUCACUCCCUUAGUUCGAGAAAACACUCCAGGCUCAAGUUCCAAUCCUUAGGGUAUUCUCGUCAGAUAAGAACGCCUAGAUUACAUAAAUGUCCUCUUUCAGGAUGCUUAAGACCCUUGGGAAGACUUCUACUCACUGCUUCCAUCCCAAGAAUCUCAAAGCAUGUCUACUGAGUCAGCUUCUCAGCCAGCUAAAGCCACUACAGAGAAAGAUGAGCUUGAUGAAGAUUAUCUCCUCUAUCAACAGAUACACAAAGCUCGAAAGCAAUAUGAAAAAGAGACAGGAGACAUAUCUCCAUCCAGAUAUCCCUCCACUCCAUAAAGCUUCUAGCUUUUCACAUGGCUACAGAAGAUUUCCAGUUUUUCUGGCUUUAGUAAAAGUUGACAUGGGUCAUGUCCUGUCUAAAGUGUGUUUUUCACAUGUAUACUUUUCGUGUGCUUUUUCUUUAUGUUUUGUCGUUUGCUUUCAAAGAUAAGGGUCCUGUCUUAUCUUUUGCUUUAGGACGCUCUGAAAUAUGAGUGUGCAACCCAAGAGGGGGGGUGAAUUGGAAUUUUAAAAAUUAUACUAGCAAAUCCACACAACAAGCAAUCUAAUGUCUUAAUAAAAAUUGAAAGCAAUAAGUUCAAUCAAAGCACAAUAAUUAAAUAGCAAGGGAAGAGAAAGCAAACUCAAGGAUUUUUACGUGGUUCGGCAAUCCCCGCCUACGUCCACGCCUCCAAGCACACCGGGCUUGAGGAUUUCACUAUCCAAGCCUUUCCAAGGCUUCAAACGUUUACAAUUGACUUCAAGGUGUCAAUGAACCUUUACAACAAGAGAUUAUCUCUCCAAUCUCUUCACUCCAAGUGUUUCUCACACUUGUACUCUCACAAUUUGAUGAGAAAUGAAAAUUACAACAAAAACUCUCUUUAAGAGUGGAUUUAUAAAUGAUAGCUCAAUGAAGAUUUAAUCUAUGAAGAUUUUCGAAUUUGAAGCUCAAUAUAAGUUGUGUGCACUUGUUUAUGCUUGCUUGAGUUACCAAAAAUGAAUUGGUUUUGAGUUUAUAUAGUUUGAACUCAAAAACUAGCCGUUACUAGCCGUUAUGCACAUUUUUUGUCGUAACCGGCUUGCCGUUUAACCAUAUCCGGUAAGCCGCUUUCGUUCUGGUGCUUACUGCCCCGUAUCCGGCUUGCCGUUUAUCAGUAUCCGGUAAGCCGCUUGAUACAGUAACUGCUACAGUAAAAUAUUUCCCAAAAUUUACAGUUUGACCCCAAAACUUUAUAAAAUUGUACUAUGGCCCAAAAGUUAUGAAACUUUACAAAUAGGUCCAAUUUCAGAAUUUCUAAAUAAUGCUUUGUUUAUCCCAAAACUUUUUGAAAUUAUGAUAUUGCCAAAGAUGCUAUGACACUUUUCAAAUAAGUUCUUUACCAAAAUUUCAAGCAAUACUUGUUUAUUUCAAAGUUUUCAAAAUUCUUUCAAUUAAACCAUAAACUUUGAAAAACAACCAAUUUCAUAAAAUCAUUUUUCCAUUAAAUAUGAAACAUUUAUAAUGUGAAAAUAAUGAUUUAUUUAAAAAGAAUAAAAACAAUCAAUUUCAUGAAAUCAUUUUUCCAUUAAAUAUAAAACCUUUAUAAUGUAAAAAUAAUGAUUUUAUUUAAAAAGAAUAUUAAAUAAUUUAGGCUUAAAAGAUUAAUCAUUCUUAAGUGUAAGCAUGUAUUUACUAUUUAUUUAGUUCAUAAAAAGAGAUUUUUGAAUUUCAAAAAUUCCUUUCAUGAAUUGAGGAUAUGUAUUGAUAUGGAAAUUAGUCAUUCAUACCACCUAGAGGGGGUUAGGAUCUCCAAAGGGAAAUUAGGAUCCCUCAAAUGUAGGAACAAGGAUCACCACGUGGAAUUAAGGACUCCUUGAGGUUGGAAACAAGGAACUCUCAAUCGAGGCCAUGAAUUAGUAAAAGACACUAAGCCAGUAGGGCAAAAAUGUAAGAAUAAGGCUUAUUAAUGGAAGAGACUCACAGAAACACGAUAAUAAUGGAUGAAAAAUUGACUACUAAACCACCAAGCACACGAAAGUAGGGGCACGACCUGGGGGCCAAUUAUGCCAACUGCACCACCAUCCCAUGACCUCCUAAAAUACAGGAGGUGAAGUCAAUAACUGCCCUCAUUCGCCAAAAUAAGGGAACCUAAAAAUGUGGUAUACGAUAAAUGCUAUGCUACCCUCUUAAAGAGAGGUAAGUUCACUUGAACUCCAGUUUUAUGAUUCAACUUGAAUUCUUCAGCCACUAACUUAAGCAUCAGAUCAGAAUCACAAGAAAUCCCCUUUUCUAACCAUAUUUCACCGCUUUUUGUUUGCUACUGUGUGUUCAGGUGUACCUUCAUCUGUUGCACUUGGCUUAACUCUAGGCAAGAAAAAAUUAGGUAUCAACACUCAGUAUAAAAAAUUACCUAAAUAUACUUAAUUUGUAAAGCAACAAAAUAAAUAGAACAAACCAUGGGAGAAUUUGAUGAACAUUAUUGCCACUUCUCUUCCUCUUCUUCUCUUCUGUAUGUUGUAUAAUGCUAGGUGACAAAGUACAUAACAAAAUCCUUGUUGGAUUUUGACUCGAAAUCUUCAUCAACUCUAUUAAUCUAAAACAAUCAAUUAGCUUCAUUUUUAAAUUCAAUGCCACCAUUACUUAAUAAGCCACAGACUUAUGUCAGCUGAAGAAAUUAAAUGUCUUCACUUUUUCAUGGCCUUGCAUGUGUAUUACUUGUCUUUACCUACUGUACACUUUAGCUAAGCCAUGGCUUCUAUUAAUUGUUCAAUGUAUGUAUUGCUCAUCCAUAAUCUCUAAUUAAUUCCAUGUCCAAUAAAAUAAUUCAAUAAUCUAAAAAUAAAAAUAAAAAUGACUAAUACAUAUAUGUUGUUUUAACUAGAUUUUCACUAGGAUUCAAUUUGAACUAUUGAGUAGUUGUUCUCACCAAAUUCAAGUCAAAUCUGAUUUAAACAAAUAAAUUUAUGUUUAAAAUGGGAGAUUUAUGUUAAGUUUGGAUUUAGGCGUGUUUUGCUACUUUUGGGGAUAGGAGGCAUAGCUGAGGUGAUAUGAGAGGUGAGCUGAGGUGAUAUAGGAGGUGAACUAAGGUAUUCUGAGUUUGGAAUAUUAUGGAUAGCUCAGUAGAACUCAUGGACGUUAAUUUAGAAAGUUGACAUGAGACCUCAAGAGAGCUUAGGGAAUAGCUUUGGUGAACUCAAGGAUAACUCUAGAGAGUUUAUCUCUGAGGAUCAUGGUAUAUAACUUAGGUGACCUAUAUAUGAAAUAUGAUAUGGAGUAAAACCAUCAUAAUAAGUAAAAAAUAAGCAUAAACAAUAAAGACCACACAAGAUUUUAUGUAGUUUUAUGUUUUGGCCUACAUCCAUGGGAGCAAUCAUCUCCAACCCACAUGUACGUGAAGUAUUACAUGACUUUCCUUACAAUAUCAACAAAGCCUUAUUAAAGGUUGUUUAUGGUGCAUAAUAACAUAAGGAGAUGUGGAUCUUAUGAAUAUUAGAGAGUUUUCUAAAAGAAGAUUAUGGGAAAAGGCUUCUUUGGAAGAUGAGAGGACUAAGAUCUUGCAUGAAGGUAUAAAAAUAAAGAAAGAAGGUGAAAUAGCCUCUCAAGAAACUAGAUCUAGAAAAAGAGCCUCCAAGAGUUAAGAUCUACAUGAAAUAGCCAAAAUCUACCGUGGAGGUAUAAAAAUAGAGAAAGAAGUCCUAGAUAUGGAGGAAGAAGAAGAUGAAACAGUCUCUCAACAAAUCAAAUCUAGAAAAAGGGUUUAGAGUUGGAUAAAGCAAAAAAAAGAGCUCUCUAUCAAAAUUGAACAUGUAGCGCUCAUGUAGGAGUGUUCCUGAGGGUAUUUUGGUAAUUUUGGACAAUUUAAGAAUUUCACUGAUUUGUCCUUUGCAAGUGAGGUUAUUUUAGUGCUUUUGCCUUUGGUGCUUUAAUGGUGACAUGCGUGACCUUGGGAGGAAAGAAAAUCUUUUAACUUCCAUAGCUGGCCAUGUAGGCCCUCAACAUUGUAGUCUUGUUGCUUUUUAGGGGCAUCAAAGGAUAACUGACAUGAGUUCUUUUUAUUGCUUUGGUCAAAGAAUAUUUAUUCCUAUUGACUCCUUCUUUUAAGUCAGAAAAAGAGAUAUUUUAUUUUUUCCCAUAAUGGUGUGCACUGUUCAUGUGCUGGUAUAACUACUAAAUUUGGGUUCUGAUAAUCUUCAAACUCUUUGUGAGUUAUACUCUCGUUCAAUCAAACUAACUCUAAUUUGGUUGACAUAUCAUCAAGUCAUUAGUCUAUUUCAGCAUCAAAAUUUUCCCCAAACAUAUAUUAAGCAUAAAAAAUAUAUGUAUUAUAUGCUUAUCAAUAUGUUAUUUGAACUCACUAAAUUUUUUGCCACAUCCAUCUUUAAAAAUAAUUUUUUUUAAAAAAAUUCCCAUUAAUCUGUCUUCUUCUCUAUCUCACUGUAUGUGUAUGUUUUCUCUCUACCAUCACUUCUUGCAAAUUAAUCUCUCACUUUUACUCACUUCUAGCCAUGGAUUAUUUUUCUUCUUUAUUUCCACUCUUUGUGUCACUUGAAUUCGGACAUUUGUUGAUUGUACUUUCAAAUUGGCAUUAAAAUUUAUAACUUUAGCCAAUUCCUAAAACAAACAGUUUUAUUCAAAGAGGUUUUAAGAUGGAUGUGGCAAAAAAAUAAAUAUUUCUUAAUAAUUUCCCAUUAAUCUGUCUUCUUCUCUAUCUCAUUGUAUGUGUAUGUUCUCUUUCCACCAUCACUUCUUGCAAAUUAAUCUCUCACUUUUACUACACUUCUGGCCAUGGAUUAUUUUUCUUCUUCAUUUCCACUCUUUGUGUCACUUGAAUUCGGACAUUUGUUGAUUAUACUUUCUAAUUGGCAUUAAAAUUUAUAACUUUAGCCAAUUCCUAAAACAAACAAUUCUAUUCAAAGAGGUUUGAGGAGCUGAAAAAUUGGAAGAGAAAAUAUGAAGUUAAUCAAAAAUAUUUUUAUAAUAAAUAUUUAAUUAAAGAAGAGAGUGUCAGAGUGUAGAGAAUUAUCCACUCCACAGAAAUCUUAAGUUGAAGUAAUUAUUUAGAGAAUAUUGAGAGAAGUCAAUUUGAGUUUGCUUUUCGUUAUUUCCCCUUAAUUUUUUUGACUUUUUAAGAUCAAUUUGAGAUGGCUUGAGAAUUGACAUCACUCGGGCUUGUCCCUCACUUGAUAGACAACAAGCCUUCGUUCCUUAAGCUAUCUUCACUGCAUCUUCAAAUCUUAUCUGUCGCUUUUUUUACUGUUUUAGAAAUUGAUUCGGGCAUCAUUUUCCGAAAAACAAAAGAUAUAAAAUUCUUUUGGCUUGAUAUCGACGCAAUGAAGGACCUGUAAAUAAUGAUACAACUUGUGCUAUCUUCAAUACAUUUUCAAUUAAAGCUUCUUCUUAUUAUUGCUGAGAGCAUCGUAACUCAUAAUUCAUAAGCUCAGAUUUUAAAAUUCCGAACCAAAAUACAUGCUUAAUCAAAGCCGAUGGCUACAAAUAUGUAUAUGCUGUCUUAUACAACAUGUAUAUGCGUAAGACAUAUCAUCUAUGCAUAUAUAGUAAAGAAUGUAGAAAUGCAGCAGAUAUACUGAUAUGUAAGCAAAUAUAAGACAGGAAUUAAGCUGCAAUUUUUCAUUUGAUAGCCACCCAAUUUUUCAUUUGAUAACCUACUGUGUUUCACUGAUUAAGUAUAGUUUUUGACCAUCAUUAAUCAUGUCUACAUUAAGAAUUUUACCUCCAUCUUCUAAUAACAUCGAAUGACCACCUGGAAAAUCUAACUUAUCUACUGUAAGUUUGAUAAGCUCUUCAAUGUUAUGUGGGACCCACAACACAAUUCCAUGUCUUCUAUGCAUUUUCUCAUCCCAAGGGUGGAAAGGGAACACAGUGCAUUUCCUUGGGUGCUUUUUACUUGUAAUUAUCAACAAAAGAUUCCAUUACUAACAAAUAUUUUAUUACUUGUGUUUUGUAUUUCAACAUCCAUCAGAUUUUGAUUAAAUGAUUGAUCCUAUGUUAGGAUCCCCAUUCUAUUAGUUAAAAAUAGAGAACUGAGCAAGUUGUUUGCAUUUGGAUCCCCAAGUUAUUGGAUCAUCUAACAAGUCUGUUAAUUACAUUUGAGCAUCUACAUGUAGAUAUAUCAGUGUAUAAAUACUAUCAUUGUCCUUUUCCUGAAAGAUAUUGUAUUAGGAAUUAUCUCAGCAUAAGACCAACCUACAUGGCUAUGCCAAUGGUGACAACUUUUUGCCAACUAACAAGAUCCUCUAUAAACAUACCUAUAAUUCAGUUUUUUUUUCAUUGUUUUUAUUCAUAAUUUAACCUUCUUUAGAAAAACUAAUUUGUUCAGCAGCUAGUUUGGGUAGUAUUUAAGAUAAGACAUAUCAAAUAGAUCAGAGUUAGCAUAAUGGAAGUAGUAAUAGAUUUUCAGCAAUACCUAUCAUGCCUUGAGAGCAAUAAUGGAAUUUUGACAGCUGAGUGCAUUUUGCAUCUUCAAGUAGCUUGAUCAAAUUUUUGUUUCCACACAUUCUGCCCUCAUCAAGAGGGGUGUUUCCCCAUCUGCACAGUAAGUAUUCAAAAAGCAAUGACUUCCAAUGAAUACAUUUUUCCUCUUUUAUUUUAUUUUUUUAUUAUUAUUUUUUGGUUUCUUUCUCAAUCAUCAAAGGUGGUUCACAGAGAGUGACACCAAACAGAUCAGUGCAUUUGUAGUAAGGCAUCAAAAAGGUUGAAUUAAAUGCACAUAUAUAGCAUGACUGUAUCCAUAUAUCUAUGAGGCAAAAUAAAGUUUUCAAUGGUACCUGUCCUUUGUAAAGACACUGGCACCAGCCUCUAACAGCAACUUUACCAUCAAAUAUAAUCCCUCUGAAGCAGCUACGUGAAGUGGGGUCCGGUGGUCAUAAUCUCUGGAAUUUGGAUCAACGCCAUUGGACAAAACUCUUUUAAGGAAAUCUGAAUCCCCCCUGGCAACAGCAGUACAUAGCAAACUACCAGCGUCAUCUACAUUCAAGGAGGCCCCUUCUUUAACUUAAUGGCUUCUAGCAAGGGUGUGUUCCCAAAUUUAUCUGUGUAAAACAAAUCAACGACACAUGUUACCAUGACUUGACGGACAGAUUAAAGUUUCAUAGACAAACUAAUAUGGAAAUUAUUUCAUUAUACAAUUACCUUUAAUGUUAGUGUCUACUCCUUUUUGAAUAAGGAAAAGUGUAAUAUCUUCAUACCCUCUUGAUGUUGCCAGAUGCUGUUGAAAGCAAAAGAUCAUGAUCAGAUGGCAACAAUUAGUUGAAAAACUCUCAGCAAUUCUGGUUCCAUGACAACUUGCAACAGCAUAGAAAUUCAAAAACCCAUUAAUCUCAUAUCAAUUAAAUUGGAAUGCAUGUUUCUUGGAACUCUCAUCCAUAAGGAGUUAGCAAUAAGGCUUGGGCCUAUAAAGAACUGGUAAAGUACAACUGAAAAUAAACUUUUCUGUUCAAUUUAAACAUAUACACAGGUAACAUAAAAAGUAGUAGAGGUUGUUCUUCAUGCUUAUAUUUAAUUUGUCUUUAUCCUGAAUAUUCCAGAAGUAGAAAUCGUAGAGUUUUAGCAUUUAUCUAAUCAUUUAAAUGCAGUACAAAACCCAUUGUUCAAUAGCAUUAAUUUAAUCUUCAACAGUACUAAUUUCAUAGGCAAAGACAAGAAACUAUCCUGUCACAACUUCUCAAUGGUGCGGGUUAUAUCACUACUAAGAACUCCAUAAUAGAAUUAAAUUUUCAAAUAAGUAGCAAUGUUAGCAAUUGCAGUUCCAAACAGGCUACGAUGACCUGGACCUACCAUUUUCUACUAUCAGAAAAAUAAACCAAUACCAAGGGGGAUCUUCCAUCAUAAUUUGUCUUGUUCAGAUCAGCUCCAGCACGGAUUAAACCUUUUAGCUGAUACAAAUCUCCAUGGUAAGCUGCACUAUUAACCCUCAAUGCAAGCUCUGCUUCAUGCUUACCAAUGUGAAAUGUGAUGUCUGACUCCAGCUGCUUAAGUCGAAGAUUGGAUUCUUUGCCCUGUCAAUUAUGUAAUUGCAAAAAUUGACUACUUAAUUAUUUAUUGUUUAAAUGAAAAAUCCAGUGAUAUUUAGUCAUGCUUUUCUACCUACUACAGCCACAAACAGAAAAGUAGAACUUCAGCAGUAGCAAUUAAUUCAUCAGCAUAGUCAUAUAUUAAUACAUAAAUAUAUCUCAAGAAUACUUGUAAAAGACUGUUUAUCAAUCCGCAGAAGCCUAGACAGUUCACAUAUACGAACUGUAUAAGGCCGAGGAAUGUUGCAAAGAAUAGAGACUUCUCCAAAUGAGCUGUUAGGUUGUAGUUGUGAAACAGUUUCUUCUGAUCCAUCUUCCCCCACACCAACAUCCUCUUGCACAAAGGUAAAUUUUGCUAAUUUUAAAUAAUUCCAUGGAUUUGUAGUUUAUAAGAGUGGCUUAGAAUAUCAAUUAAGAUAACCAACAUAUAUUAGGCGGUGAACAAGAAUCUAUUGCUUAUAAAUGUUGCAAAACUGGCCAUACCACAUAUUUGACACUUGGAAACCAUUGCACAAAUAUGCAGCAGGGAUAUUGUCUUUCAAUUUUAUUGUAAUUUGACACCUGAAGAAAUAAAAUGACAAUAGACUUGCACAUAAGAGAUAUGAAAUAUACAAUGCUAGAAAUUUCCCCUUGGUCAUUGUUUUUGUUUUCUGUUUGAAGUAGAGAUUGUUCACUUGAUCACUGCAGUGUCAUUAUUUUCAACAACGAAAAUAACAUGUUAUAAGAUCAAUUUUUUUCCCCUCAAAUAACCAGUAAAUGUUUUCUUUCUGUUUUAUUUUUGGGGGACUGUUGAAUCAUCAAAAGUGCCUUAUACGUUGAAGAGCCAAUUUAAAAAAAAAAUUGGUAUAUUAAAAUAGAUUGUACUUACAAGUUUUUAAACUGGUCAGCAUGAAAUACAGCCACUUUCAACAUGUGUUGAUGCAGCCCAAUGUGAAAAACCAGUUUAACAUAUAUAAAUGUGUGAAGCUGUGUUUUUAUUUUUUUUUUUAAAAAAACUUACAUAUAUUUCAAGCCAAGCAAGGAGAAAAAAGGACAAAAUAACAUAUAUAAAUGGGUGGCAAGAACAAUCACAGCAACAUGCUGAAAAAUGUCAUUCAUUCUUGGGGAAUAUAAGCAAAAUAAUAAUGAGCUUGAAAAAUCAUUGAGAAGACAGAGAACAUAAAGCAAAUGAGGAAAACAACAAACUGAAUGACUGACAUUGCAAACAAAAGGAUAUUUGAUCAUACCAGCACCCCAUGACAGACAAAGUAAAGUUGAUCUAUCACAUUCCCCUAUUCCAUUAUCACUUCUCCUGGGAGAAAAAAUUCCUCAUGGAGUCUAAUAACCUGCCAAAACAGAGAAAAAUACAAAAGAUAAUUUAUAUGGAUUGUUUUCAUUUCUCGGUAGUAGUUAAGUGAGGAUGUUUAUGGAAGAUGAGGAGAGUUCUAUGAGAGUGCCUAGCCAUUACAUACCAGCCCUGUGACUGCAUUACACCAAUGCACUAAAACUAAAUUCACAAGUCAUACUGUUCAAAACAGCCUUUUCAACGACUUAUGUUACAGCCAAACAUCCAUCCUUGCCAUACAAAAUUCAAGAUGUAUGCUAAGAGUUGUGAAAUCGUUACAUGUAGUACAUAACACAUGUUUCAAGGUGCACCCAUUGCCAUGUUCUACUCAUUACAAUAAAGAAGUGCCAAGUCAUGGGUAACUAAAUAGCAUCAGUGUUAGUUUCCCUUAUUUCAACAUUCAAUUUAUGGCAUUUUCUUGCAUGAUGCACUAGGUAAAUGGACGGCUAAAACUUACAAUUUGAUUAAUAAACUCUGAAGAGCAUCCCUUAAAAAGAGAAACCUUUUCAAUAUACGGCAUGUACAAUGUUUGAGAAAUCUGCAAAAGGAAAAAAAAAAAGAAUGAUAAGAGAAAGGGAAACUAUGUCAAUGUGAUAAUCUGUACUGUUAAAUACAGUACAAAUUAUGUUUGAUAAGUAAUAUAUAACAGACAACAUUCAUGAAUAGAUAUUAUAUAACAUAACAUAUGUUUUAAACAAAUUUACAAAAAAAUGGUGAAUGAUACUAUAAUUAAAAUGAUUUAAAAAGGUAAAUGUUCUAUCACGUAUGACAAAGGUUGUUCACUAGGUAAACAUUGACUUAUGUGCCCAUUUUCAGAUUCCUUCUAUGAUGGAAGUCAAUUCAAAUGCCACAAAAGUUUUUGGCUUGUGAUCCUGUGGAGAUCAUUCAGGUACUAUCUUUGAGAAAAAUGAAAAGAAAAUGAAAAACAUAAUUCCCCAUUGAUUUAGAGACCAUUUUCUGUAACUCUGAGACAGAGGGAAGCCUCUCUUUUCAUUAACCUUCCUCCUGGAAUUCCUCUCCUUGGGUAUUGGGUUAAUGUAAAAUUAAAUUUGAUGAUUCCUGUCCUGAAAAUCCUGGCCAAUAGGGAAGAAUCUUUCCAGAUUAUGGUCAAAUAUACUUUCUUAUUAUCUAGACCAGCAAAAAUUUGAAAAUAUCAUACACAUGGAUAUUAGAUUUCUACAUGUCUCAAAAAGUCUGCUGGAGGAAACUACUUUAAGUCCAAUCAUUAGAUGAGGUUGGCUUUCACAAUAUAUGUGACAUUCAAAGAAGCAGUUUCGGCUAAUUUUUUCAAUGUCCACACCACAUAUAUGAUCAUAGAAUUUCUUCUACAAUUAUGGACUUCAAGUAGGUUUAUAGACUUUCUUCUAUAAUUAUGAACUUCAAGUAGGUGAGAAGGAAAGCAAAUGAUGACACAAAAGGAUCUAGACUUAUUUAGGAGCAUAUCUUCACAUUAUGUCCACGCCACAUAUAUGAUAGACUUUCUUCUAUAUUUAUGGACUUCAAGUAGGUACACAGACUUUCUUCUAUAAUUAUGGACUUCAAGUAGGUGAGAAGGAAAGCAAAUGAUGAGACAAAAGGAUCUAGAUUUAUUGACGUGCAUAUGUGUUGCCGCACAUUAAAUGAGUAUAUUUUGAAAAUAGAAUUUCUCCUGUGUAAGGUUCUUUGCUUUAAUCAUUUUUCUUUUUAAAAGUAACCAAUUAUGAUAGAAGGAAUGAAGAAAAACAUAAAGUGAUUGCUCCUACUGAGGUAUUACCUUAGCACGAAUGGAGACAGGGAUAUCCUGGAGAACAGAAGCCUCAGUGUAGUUACUCUCAUACUGUAACCGCAUAUGGCCUUUGAUCUGAUCACGAAUGUCCCUACCAAGUCUAUUUCGGUUCAUAUAUUUAAUGAGAUCUGUCAUUUUGUCCCUAAAUUUUUCGGUCUUUGAUCCUUUCACAAUCAAUGCAGUCAUGUUACCAAUCAAGUAAGCUCCAAGAACCAUGUCAAAGGAGACAUAAAUCAUUAUGAAUAUCAUCUCCCUUAGAUUAACAGCAUGUAUAUCUCCAUAACCUGUUGCGCAAAACAUCCAGUUCAAAAUGUAUAUGUUAGAUAACAGGGCAAUUGCUUUCAUCACAAGUGGAGAUCAACUAUUUGCUAUGCUGUCAGCCUGUCACAACUAACAAUCAAUCAUGUUUGAAUAAAUAAGCCUUCCAUAGAUUGAAAUAGAUUACCAUAUCUCAUUUUCAAGCCUUAGUAUGUAUACACAAGCAUAAAUUUUUCAGAUGACAGAAUCUUGAUCCAACCUUUUCACAUACAUAUGUUUAAUUGUACUGUUAAAAUCUUGCAUUUGUAUUGACAUCAAUGGCUCCCCAUUAAUGUUUCAAGAUAUGUAAUUUAAAAACAAUAAGUUUGCAUUUCAGAUAAUCUAGAGCUUUUGUUUCCAUUAAAGUGGCAUUUUGAGUGUCCAUUGCUUUCCCCAUUGAGAUAUUGAAAAUUAAAAUUCCAAAGCACUUCAAUCACUCAAUAAAUUUUUCUAGAUUUGAACUUUACAAGACACAAACGAUGAAGGAAAAUAAUAUGAAUCCGCGAUGCUGUAGAUUAUAUAGAGUACAAAUAUGAAUUAGAAAGGUAACUUACCAACAGUGGCCAUGGUUAUAAUGGCAAAAUACAUAGAUGUUGUGUAUCGUGUCCAGAUGUCGAUGUCUCUGAAAUUUGAAUAGCUGUAAUCACCCAACUUCAAACUUCCAAUCCAUGUGUACCCCUCUUUUUCAGGAGGCAGAGUGGUAGCCAAAUAGUAAAAUAUGCAGGCAGCAGUAUGAGUGUAGUAGAUUUCAACAGCACUAAGCUUAAUAAUCCUGGUAAACAGAUAAUUGAUUCGUAUAUCCUUCUCCAGCUUUUGGAAAAAUUCAAUCACCUUUCGUACCGGAUAUAACCUAAUCCAUAAAAGGUACCUAACUUCUUCUUUUCUUCCACAAGCCUGGAAAGAAAAAACAAAAAAGUCUCAGAUAUUUAGCCAACUGUCUCCCGAGAAUUUGAAAACUACUUGGUCAAAAUAGCAACAUCUGCACAUUUACAACUCCGAAAGAUCAUUAUGUUUGUAACAACUCUAAUCAAGUCCACACAUUGGUAAGUUAAGGCUUGGCAUGUGAGUUUAUAAGUACUUGGGCUCCCUCUCUUUACAAUCCAAUUUUUAAGGAUGAGUUUUACCCGAUGUACCCUUAACAAUUAGUACCAGAACAAGUUGUUUUCUUAGAGAUAACCCUCGCUACGGCUGGUCCUGGUCUCAUGACCUUCGUGUGUCACCUAACUAAGGUAUGAACCGUCGUGAUUGUUAAUUCCUGAAAGAGGGAUGGACUGUGACAGACUCUAAUUGAGUCCCACAUCACAAAUCUUGGCAUAUGUGCUUAUAGGCAUUUGGUCUCCCUUUUCUCACAGGUGAGUUUAUAAGGCAGUACACUCAAGAAAUAAUAUGUGCGGUUAUAAGUCCUCAGACUCUCUCUCCAUGUUAUAAGCCGGUUUUUAAGGGAAAUUUACAAAAAUAAUCAUAAAACUUUUGUUAUUUUCACAAUUAACCCUCUCAACUUUUUUCUAUCAACAUUAGCCAAACACACGUUUUUCUCCCCAAAUUACCCUUCUUUACAAACCAAAAGUAACUUUCUUUCUCCCCUUUCGUCAAACCAAAGGUAGCUUCCCACUCUUGAAUCAUCAACCAACGGCAACGGCAAAAGGCAAAAGGCAACGAUAAAAAGUGAAAUCUGAUCAUAAUUUAUCCAGAUCCAACACUAAUCGGCAUCACAUAGUGGUAUGAGUUAUUUUCUGAACUUGCUCGAGAGUUUGAGUGAACUGGGAAUCGUGGUUUCAUGGGUGAAUCUGGCGACAGGUUGCCUGUCGCACCAAGUUUUGGUGCGACAGGCAACCUUUCGCACUAAGUUUCGUGUGACAGUCAGCCUGUCGCACAAAAAGCCACAUUCAUUGCAAUUAACUAUUAAUUUGAUAGGGCUCAAAUAAUUUAUUUUUUUUAUAAUUUCAAGCUUAAUAGAUUCAGUUGUACUUGAAUUGCGUUACGAUGGUUGGUGGGAGACAUUAGAGGAUGGGCAUAUAGAGUAUAUCAACGGUAAAAAUAGAGCUUUUUUGGUUGGGAAAAAUUAUCUCUUUGAUCUGUUAUUGGCAAGAGUAUACGAUGUGUUACAAAUUAACCCUAAUGAAUAUAGUAUCACAAUGAAGACAACUUUGAGGUCUAGUAACACAUUAUAUUGUGUAUGUGUACUGCCCAUGGAUAUAUUUGAUGAUGAAAUGGUGAGGGUUGUGUUACCUAUGGCAUCCAACGUAGCCAAUUUUGGAUGCAUUCCUAUAUUCAUGACCACAUCACCUCGAGUUCCGAGUGAAGGUAUUGAGCCACAUGUUGAUACAGAAACUUUGUUUCGAGCAAAAUGUCUGGCCUCGAUAAUGAAGAAGAGGUGUUGCCAAGGACAAUAUCGCUGCAAUAAUAUUACUCUCCAAUGCACGACAAUUAUGACAACAUUGAUGAUAACGGCGUUACGUUACAGGAUGUUGGAGCAACGGUAUUUCCAAUAACGACGUCGUUGGAGCAACGGUAUUCUCCGUAUCACAACAAUGAUUUUCGGGACAAUGAUGAUUUUCAUGAUGAGACAGAGGGGGAUAAUGUUUGUGCAGAACCUUUUAAUAAUAUGAGGGGCACUCAUUUCAAUAAUGAUGGUGAUGAUGGAGGAGCCGGUCCUUCGAAUGUUCCGUCGUUUCAGCAUAAGAAUGAGUGUGAAGACAAUACUUAUGUGAAUAACAGAGGCAAUAGACUUAUUCCUUCUAUGGUUCGAUCGAGAAGGAGAAUUGACUCCCUCACAAGUCUUGCUCCAAUUUUGCCUUCGAACAUGGUUGCUCCAAGCUUUGUUAGCAGUUGUGACUCAGAUGAUAUUAGUGUGGGUAAGCUAUUUACUGAGAAGAAUGAGUUUAUAUUACAACUACGCAAGGUUGCCUUUAGGGAUAAGUUUGAUUUCAAGAUUGCACGGUCUACAACGACAUGUUUCGAGGCUCACUGUUGUUCGGAAUCAUGUAAAUGGCGUAUUCGAGCAACUAGAAGUUCGAACGAGCAAAACGUUCCUUGGGUGGUGUGGAGAAUUGAUAAUGUACACACUUGUCAUAAUGAGGUAUUGGUUGAUGGACGUAAUCAAGUAAGGAGCCGGGUUGUCAGUCAUAUUAUCGUAGAAAAAUAUAUUCAAGACAAGAGAAUUUAUACUCCGAAUAACAUAAGAGCAGAUAUGCAACAGGAAUACGGUGUUCAAUUAACAUACCAGCAGGCAUAUCGGGCGAGAGAAGUUGGUCUUGAAAUAGUUGGAGGCAACCCUGCGAAGUCAUACAACUUGCUCCAUAAAUACUCUCACGUACUAACUACAGCGAAUAAGGGUACAGUCACUCACCUCGAGCAGGAUGGAGAUGGUAAUUUCUUGUACUAUUUUGUAGCACUCGGAUCUUCCAUCAAGGGUUUUAUGCAGUACAUUCGGCCUGUCAUUGCUGUAGAUGGUACUCAUCUGAAGGGGCUAUAUCGUGGAAGUCUAGUAACCAGGCACCAUUCAACAAUUGACAAGCGAAUCAAAUGCUCACCAAUUUGAAACCAUAACUGAUCCUCACGACUAUCUUUUUCAUGGGCCACUUGCCUCAGUAAAAGAUUGUACAAAAUUACCCCACUAAAUGGAAAACUUUGACACUCCAAGUGAGACUUUGCAAAUUUUGAUAAUGCCAGCUUCAGCAUUCAUUUUGAUAAGUCUGUUUCCUGGCUUUUACGACCGAAGAUAAAUUACACAUGCUUGAAAUUCGACCCGGAAAGUGAUCGACAUAACGAAAAUACAUCCUGCCUACUUCGAUAUCAGACGAUUCUAAUUUUCGAAAUGUAUUUGUAAUAUUUAAAACAUUAUUACAUUGCAUUUACAACAAAAAUAAAAUAAAUUUACUUGACGGAAAAAAAAUUAUAAAGUCAUAGUAAUUUGGUGCGACAGGCAGCCUGUCGCACCAGAUUUGGUGCGAGGGGCUUGCUGUCGCACCAAAUUGGUGAAACAACACCCAUUUGCGCGCGCGCUGCUGCCCAGGGAUGGGCGCGAGCUAGCGCCCGUCGCUUGGGAGAGCGGCGCGCGCUCUAGCGCCCUUCGCUGGGCAACGGUUCCCUCCUUAAGAAACACUCCCAAAUUGAGAAAGAAACACUCCCAAAACAACAACAACCACCACAAUCACCACCACCACCACCACCACCAUUAUUAUUCUAAAAUUUCAUUUUAAAUUAAUGAAAAUAAAAAAAAAUAGCUAACCUAGAUUUUGUUGAAGACUGUAGAUGGUAGAUCGGACGCCGAAGAGGGAUGAAACCACCGCCGACGAGGGAUGAAGCUGCCGCCGAUGAUGGGAGUUUGUUCGGUUUGGGAGAGAUGGGUGAAAGAGAGUGUUGGGGGAGAGAUGAAAGAGAGGGGUAUUUUGGUCUAAAAGGGUCUUUUAUGGCUAAUGUUGAUAGAAAUUUAUUUGGGGGGUUAAAAUGAAAAAAGCCAAAAUUGUUAUGGCUAUUGGUGUAAAUUUCCCGGUUUUUAAGGAUGAGUUAUAACCAAAUAUUUAUGCACUAUAAAAGUAGUACAAUCAAGAAAUAAUAAUAUCUUGUAGAUAACAUCCCAGGGCAAACAACUGAGUAAAUCAAUGAUAAAACUAGAUUUCAAGUACCUGCGAUGCAAAGAGAAUUUAAAAUUAAUUACUUAGUUAGAAGUAAGAGAAUGAGAGAGGAAGCAAAUAAAUUAAAUUAAAUUUGAAUUACCUAAGAGCAAUAGGGGUGCGCUUGUAGACCAAACGAUAGGUCUGGCUAUCUCUAUAAGCAAGAAAAAAUUGCAAGAUGAUGUCAACUAGGAAAGCAAUUUGUCCUGCAAUGUCCAAUAUAAAGAGGUUCUCUGGUAGUCCCCUGAAGAAUGCAAACUCCAUUGGUUUGAAGAACGAUGAAUAUAAUGCCCAUAUCAGUAUGAAUUUUGUCCAUAUCUGAUACCACCUGCAGUCAUCAUUUUAAUCUUUAACUCCAUUAUUUAUAUUCCGUAUAUAUUUUAAUUUAGAUUCUUUACUUAAAAUGACCUAAAUUUUGAACCAUUAUUCAGACUAAUAAUAUAGAAUACUUGUUAUUAUUAUUUAAGUUAUAUUUUAAUGUGUUACAUUAAUAUUUAUACUAUAUGGUACUGAAAAAUAAAAGAUGUAUACUAGAGGACGUGGGAUUAAAAAUUAAUUUGAACUUUAUCUAUUUUUUAUCUUUAAAAAUAUUUUAUUGGUUGGCAUUCCUCUUUCCUUAAUUCUCAUGCAAAGAGGGCUUCAAUCUCCCUAAUAGUUGUGGGAGUAUUUCCUUUGAUUUUUUAUCCUAAGCUUAGUGGGCUUCAAUUAUCUGUUAAGCUUUAAUUAAAUAUUUUUACUACGUGUUAGACUUUGGUUGUAUUGUAUAUAAUAUUAAAAAAUAUAUUAUGUAUGAUUUUUUUUCUAUUUAGUAGUUUACGUUUUAUCUAUUGUGGGAGAAAAUUUUGUAUAGAAUUAUCUCACUACCAUAGUACAACAAUUUAAAACUCUGCAAUGUAGCAAAGUAUUCGAUCCUUAUGUAAAAUCAUCGGUGGAUCUACAAACUUAUGACCCACUAACCGAGUCUAUGACCAUCUAUCCUCUAAGAAACUAAAUCUAGGCAUACUUGAAAGUAGAACUGAUAAAAUUUAACACGACUUGAUUACCCGAUGCAUGUAAGACACGAAUAAAUGGGGACGAAUCAUCAAAUUUGACACGAUUAUUAAAUGAAUCAGGUCCGAGUCGACACGAUUUUUUUUUUCGUGUCAGAUUAAGGUUAAAGCUUUUGACCCAUUUACGCGACCAAUGACAUCAUUAUAUUUUCUACUCUAAAUUUGUGUGUAGGUUCUUGUCAUAAAAACUCAAAUAUUAAACAUGAUUCUCUCUUUUCUUUUUGUUUUGGAAGGAUGAACAAAUAUACAGUCAUUUAUUUAUAAGAUUUUAUAUAGAUUUAGAAUUUCAAUAGUGUAAAUGUGUAAAAUAUUGGUAGAUAUGUAUAUUUUAUAAUAUCAACAAAUUAUAUAUAUAACAAUCUCUAAAUGUUUGAUGAAAUUUUGUUAAGUAUAUAGAUAUAAAGCAAGUUAGUUGGGUAACCUGUUUAUUUUUUGUGUCGGGUUAAUGUCUCAACAAUUUUGACACGAUUACUAAAUGAGACGUGUUUGGAUCGACCUAAAUUUAAUACGACGCAAAAUUAACACGACACAAACACGACUCAUUGACCCAUUUUGUCAGUAAAGGCCAAAUAUACUUUAAAAAAAUUUAAAAAUAAAUAAAUAAAUUUACCCCCAUCCCCUAAAGUAAGGAAGCGAUUUUUUUUCCCAAUCAAAAAGAGUUGUGGUUUUACCCUGAAACUUUUGUGUAUUUCUCUGAACAAAAAAAAGUUAAUUAUAAAAAUAUUUUGAAAAAUGAAAACUAAAUUAAUCCCAAGACCAAAAAGGGUAAUUGUUGAAUUGUGUAAAAUUGACGUACGAAUAACAAUUGUUAAAAAAAUGGACACAAUUUUUCAAUUAUUUUUUAACUUUUUUUAUAGAUAUUUCCUCCCCCCUAAUUGCCCCCAAUUUUUUUUAGAAAAAAAAAUUAUUAAUUUUUUUUUGAAAUCACAAUUCGUGAAUUAUGAAGUAUCACAAAUUUUCUUUGAAAAAUCUUUCAACAAAAGAACUGAGUUUUCAGCUCGUGAAAGUAGCAACAUUAUUCCCACAUUGUAGUAGGUUACCGAACAACUGAAAUCAGCUAUUUGGUAUUUUACAAUCAAUUCCACCAAUACAUUUGAAUUCUCUAUGCAAAUGCCAAACGAAAAGUUUAUUUGUUAAAAUUUACAGCACGUGCACUCAAUUGUAUCUCCCUAAGCACAUGCAAAACUCAUCAUCAAUAUUUCAUUGCACAAUUUGGAAUUCAAUAGAACAAAUAAAUAUAAGUUCUUAAGAAAAUCAAAAUUUUUAAUUAUUUAUAAAUUAUAACUGUGGAUUGAGGAUUUUAUUUUGGACACAACUUGGAAAAGCAUUAGAAAGUAGGGACACUCACUGACAUUGCAUUUAAUUUAAAGAUGUUCGGCUUAGUUAGUAGUGACGCAGUUUUAUGACGGCAGUAGCGUUAGCCAAUAAAAAGCAAACACGUGUAGAAUAGUGGCGGGAAGUAUUACCCUUUCACCUCAAACUUGAAAAUGUAUACUUUGGGCCGAUGAAAAACUUAAUGCCAGGAGGAUGGUACACAAAAGCACUGGUUGCAACCAUGCCAAAGUCUCCUCUUCUAGCGAUUGGGGAGGUUACACCGACGUACAGUGCUCGAUGAAUUUUAGACGGUUGACACUAAUCUUUAUCUUAAUGUAAAGAAUUUUAAAGUUGUAUAUUAAUCAAACAGAAUUCCGUGAUCAUAAAUUAUCAUUCCUCCAGUUAAUCCCAAAUUUUCCCAAUAAUCACGGAGACCAUAUUAUUUAUUCUGAAAAAAGAGAUUGAAUUUCCACACAGAGAGAGAAACCAGACAGACUUGUUAUCAGGAUGAAUGACUGAGCCUUUGGAGAAAUGUCUGAUACCAGUGAUUAAAGAUGUCCGCUGAAGUUUCUUCGAAAUCCAAAUCCAAAUCCAAACUGAUUUGCAAUCAAAUUGAAUCUGCUUCCUCUCGAUGAUCUGAAUCCUUCUCUCAAAUCAUCCACCUCAUACUCUCCUUCUUUAUCAGAAUCUCCCACAAUCGAUCUCCUCUGCUUUGCUCUGCUCCCCAAGAUCCCUCAACUCAAUUCAACUGACUUUUAAAUUCUAUCCAAAAAUUGAAAAAAAAAAAAUACAAGCUAAUAAAUUAAAAAGAGUCCAACUGCAAGUAUGGAUUACCUCUUUCUAGAGACUAGACAGAGAGAUGAUGAAUCACGAGAAAAAUGGGGGCCUUAUACCAAAAUGACUUUCAAAGUAUAAAUGGUUGGAUGUUUUUGUUUAAGCGGCAGCAUGCUAGAUACCACCACAACUUGCUCCAUGCGUUUGCGUCAUCUCUAAUUUACAGCCAGAAAAACUAAAUACAAUAAAAUCUCUCAAACGUGACGGUGUUGAACCAAAUUAAUUUUAUUACAAAAAAAAGUUAUAUUUUAAUAGAUAUAUAGUUAUAAAAAUUAUUAUUUUAACGUAAUUAUUAUUGGAUCAAGUGAUAUAGUAGUAAAGUGCGUGUAUAUAUAUGCUACUCUAUUGAUAAUUAAUUAUUGGAGCAUUUCAAAUCUAACGUAUAAAUAUUAAUAAAAUAGAUAGAUCCAAUUUAAAAAACUAAUAUGUAUUUAGUGUUAGAAAUACGCAGAGUAAUUUAAAAAGUUUAUGAAAUUAACUAUUGUCCCAAACAACUUUAAAAAAACAUAUUUUAUUUUAUCUAAAAUAUUUAAUGGAACAUAGUAUAUAUAUUUUUAUAAUAUACAUAUAAUUAUUAUUAUGUAGAGGUAAGUUGCUUAAGAAAAAUCUACAAAAUUAUAAUUUAUUACACUAUAGAGUUUACUUUGAUCUAUAAUUAAAUUAAAUUAGAAUCAAAAUUUUCUUUGACUAGAUAGAAGUUAUUUCUAUAUAAAAUAUUACUAUAAAAUAAUUUUAUUAUACAGUGAAGUUUUUUAUUUUCAUUUACUUUUUUGAAAAGUAUAUGUACAUCUAAAAAUAGACUGAUGUAAAGUAGAAUAUUUGAAAUGCCCGGAAGAUACGAUUAAAAAAAGAGCAAGAUUACUCCCAAAAUACACGUAAAAAACUGAUAACUUUCAACUUCAAGAUGAAGAGAGUAGGCGACCAUGCCACCAGUAAGCUAACUAGUGGCUUACACAGUUGUUUUACUUUUGUUUAAUCAAUUUAUUGGUAUUGGCAGUUUCAGGCACACAAAUUUUCCCUUUAAUUUUUGUCUGCUCUGGAGAUUAUGUGUGCUUCGCAAGAAGGCUUCGGUAAUUUUAAUUUAAAACGGCUGGAGUUUGAUUGAGUAAGCUUGAGUAAGAUUGAGGCAUUCUUUGUGUUAUUUUUAAAUUACCCUUUGAUUACGAGUAAUCUACUAAUCUAUAUGCUUAUCUUUUGAAUCUUAAUGUUUCCAAUACUAACAUGAUGACUUGGUAAGAGAUCCUUGAUUAUUGAACAAAUUAUACAAAAAUCAAAGAUGAUUUGAAAGUUGUCUUGUUAGGUCCAGUUAUGUUGGAACUACUAUACAGUGAAACAUUAAUAAUGACCGUAUGAUCAUAUAAAUAAAUAUUAAAUAUGUACUUAUUGCUAUUAUCUAAUAGUUAUCAUCAGUGCUCUACAGUGGGACAGCUCCACCGUAGCCACUGCCUUAUUACAAUGGUUUUAAAAAUUGCAAAAUCGGUAUAUAAGCACACAUGAAUUUAUUUUGUGUUUUAAUUUAUAUAUGUCUCUUUUAUCUAUAAUACCGAUAAGUCUGGAUGUCUCUUUAUAUUCCGUCGAUUUUUUUAAUAAAAUUUAAUUAUGAAAAUUUAUGUGUAGUAUUGUAUAUAUAAACUCAAUAAAUUAAUAUAUUAAAAAUAUUUAUUAAUUAAGUAAAUAUUAAUUAAAUGACUUAUAAUUUAGUACGUUACCAAUUCGAGAUUUAAAAAAUAUAUUAUUUAAUAAAAAAAUAUAAAUUCAUUGAGAUUUUAAUGUAAUAAUAAUAAUAGUUAAAAUGGAGAAAUAACCCUUUGUAAUCUAUUAUUUGCAUGUGGCAAUCGCCUUUUUUGUCUUUGAGAUGCUCGUGUAGUCAAAGAAAGAUGGUGGCUUUAUGUUCUCGAUACGCAGCCUUAUUUUCACUGUAUUGAUGUAAAAGUGAUUAGGGACUAGAUGUUUUCCACCUCUACUUUUCAAAUUUAAUAAAUAAAUCCCUUUAAAAAUAUAUUAAUAAAUAAUUCAAUAAUUGAAAGUCCACAUAAAUACAAUAAAAUAUCUUAGACACCCAACACGUUGCCAUCUAUUUGAUAAAAGUUAAAACAACAAUGAUAGAGAAUAAGAAUCUCAACAUUUAUAUCUAACUAAGAAAUAGAACCGUGCUUCGCGUGGCUUUGAAAAAAAAAUUUAGUAUUAUCAUUUUUUCUUGUGAAUACGUUGAAUAAUUUCUAAGGCCUAUACCAUUUUUCAUUGUAUUUUCAACGGUGUUUCUUCAAACAAAUAUUGGAUGUAUUCAUUGAAAAAAAAAUUAAAAUUAGGUAAUAACUAAUAAGAUUAGUGAAGUCAAACUGUCAAUCAAUUCUUAUGAUAAAACAAUAACUAAAAAUAUAUAUAAUCAUAGUUUUCUUGAUUAUAUUCAACUUACUAAUCUAUUAGAACUUUUAUAUCUCUUUUUUUCCAACCAGCUCCAACGAUCUCAAUAUCACCAACACCACGUAAACUUUCGACAACAUCUCUAAUAUCAUAUGGAAAAAUAACAUAAAUGUUAAAAUAUAAGGAUCGAUAAUUUCUAAUAUACACUUAAAGAUUAACAAACAUUAAUAAUUAAAAUAAAUACCUGAGAGGAUUGUGUUAUCAUUCACGCACAAAUCAAUUAAAUUCGGAGAUACGAAUUGGAAUCCAUUGAUUGAAAUCUUAACAAUUCCUUCUUCUAAUCUCUUAAUCAAAGUUAUAACCAAGAAAAUAAUUUUAUAUUGAUUUUAAAGUGGUUUGUACUUGCUUGUAGUUGAAACAACUUUCAAAUUCUUGACACUGUACAAAGAACCAUCACUCAACAUGUGACUAAAUCUUGUCACUAAUUUUUCCUGAUUGUUGCAUGCAUUAGAUUUUCCUAUGAAAAAAAAGCUAACUUAAGUGAAACAAUUGGGGAAAAAAAGAUAAUUAGAGAAAACAAUAGGAGAAGGAAUUUUUUAUACAACAUUUUCAUCAAUAAAAAUCAUGUCCACACUAAUAAAUUUUUCAUUCUUCUUGGUAUUAACAGACUCCUACAUCCUACAAAACUUAACCCUUAUCGUCCAACUAUCUUCAUCAUUGUUCAACUCAUGAAGAAAAUAGUAUUCCAUGAAGCACACAAUACUAAAAAUUCAAAUAAGUCAAACAAUAAAAACACAAGAAUCUUUCUAAAGAGGAUGUUGGUUAAAGAAUAAAAAAAAAAUUCAAACAUAACAAAUCUUAAAUACUUAGUGUUUAAAGAAGUCAAAAGGCACUAAACAAAAUGUUGCAUAAUUAAAUAUAGGAUUAUGACAUUAAAAUUAUGCCUUGGUAGUGGCAUUGUUAAGGGGAGAUGAAGAAGCCUUCUUUCCUAUAUUAAUUAGGCCCUGAUAGAGGCAUUGCUAAGGGAAAAUGAAGGAGUCUUCCUUCCCAUGUUGAUUGAUGUAUUUUAAGCCACAAAUGUUGAAUUGCUGGCAUAAUAAAAGAAAUGAAUGUUUCUAACGCUUAUAAUUAAUUAUUUUAAUGGUUACAUAUUGUUGAAUAUAUUAGAUAAUAGAGAAUACAAAAAGAUGAGGAAUAGUGAUGCCACAUCAACUCUUUUAGUCCAAACUUUAUAUAUUGUUGAGGGAAUAUGAAUGAGCAUUCCUUCCUAUAUUAAUUAGUUAUUAAUGUAUUUUAAGCUACGAAGGUUUAAUUGCUAGCAUAAUAAAAGAAAUGCAUGUUUCUAAGGCUUAUAAUUAAUAAUUUUAAUGGUUACAUAUUGUUGAAUAUAUUAGAUAAUAAAAAAUAUAAAAAGAUGAGGAAUAGUGAUGAAUAUAUUAGAUAAUAGAGAAUAUAAAAAGAUGAGAAAUAAUGAUGCCACAUCAGUUCUUUUAGUCCCAGCUUUAUAUAUAUACUAGGAAAUAGAACUGCCAUUCGCUCGGCUUUGAAAAAAAAAUUUAGUAUUAUUCUUUUUUCUUACUUUGCACUUGAUGAAACUGAUAAAAAAUAUGAAUUGAUUUUUUUUUUCUAAAGAUAAGGCAGCCUUAUAAAACUAAUGUUAUUUAUGAAAGUUAAUUAUUUUUUUGUUAACUUUAAAAAUAUAUAUUAAUGUGUAUAUUGUAAGUGUACAGACCUUAUACAUUUUGUAGUUGUUGAUAAGUUCCAAAUUAUAUUCAACUAGCAAAUCUAUUAGAACUUUUAUAUCUCUUUUUUUCUAACCAGCUCCAACGAUCUUAAUAUCACCCACUGAUACAAACCCCGUUAAGAACUGACGCGACCCUAAUCAAUUUAGUUUUCAAGAUCGAAUCUAAACCAGGAAUGGAAUGGAACCUAGACCCAAUGCUUAUUGAAAGCAUGAACCUUGGUAUGUGAAGACGCCACAACCAGCUAUUGAUGGUCUGAUUGAUAAGUCAAGAGUUUGAACGCCAUGGAAAUCAGAUAAGUUCAAAGAGUUCGUAAAGAGCCAAAGAGAAUUAACUCUCUCACCAAUUGCAUAAAAAAAAACUUCUUUAUAUGUUUAUUGAAUACGAGUACUUUAUAUAAGGUUGGUUACAAGAAUUUUUGGAAAUAAAUCCUAACCCAAAAAUCAAAUCUAAAUUUAAAUAUUCCCUAAUAGGAAAGAAUCUAAAUUAAAUCAUAAUCCUAAUGUAAGUAAAUAGGAAAGAAUUUAAACCAAAUCAGAAUCCUAAUCGAAGUAAAUACGGAAGAAUCUAAAUCAAAUCAGGAUCCUUAUUGGCUUAAAUGCCUUACAUCAAUUAAAUGGAAACUAGGUGAUUAAAAUAGAAAUAACUGAUUUGUUUCCCUAAUAGCCUCCUCAAGAAACGGGAAAGUAUCUGAAAAAGGAAAAUAAUAUAUUUUCCCGCCAUAAUGUGUAAGCCAACUCCCUAUUUCAUGGAAGUGACUAUUUGGAAACUUCAAGAGCCUAAUGUGUGAUUCCUUCAACGGGCGUCCACGAAUUUGAUUGAGCCCAAGUUGCUUGAAUCAAUCCAUUAAGCGCUUCUUUGAAUUUCUUUACUCGAGCUCUUGUAACGGGUCUAACGGGAACUUGAAUAGGAUCUGAAUAUGCCUUAUCCCAUGUGCUUGUGAUAGUUUUAUCCUUAAUCUCAUCAUUCCCCUCCUCUUGAAGAGGAUUUGUCCUCAAAUCAUCACCAACAUCAAAAGAACUCAAAUCAGAAACAUUAAAAGUAGCACUUACAUUGUACUCACCAGGCAAAUCCAGUUUGUAUGCAUUGUCAUUGAUCCGUUCCAAAACUUGGAAUGGGCCAUCCACUCGAGGUAAUAACUUAGAGUCCCUUCGUUCCGAAAAUCGUUCCUUGCGCAUGUGUAACCACACCCAAUUGCCGGGUUCAAAGACUAGCUUAUGUCGCCAUUUGUUCGCUUGUUUAGCAUAUUGCUCAAUUCUCCACUCAAUGUUGAACUUCGUCCUCCCAUGUAUCUGUUUAACAAUUUCAGCCUUUUUCUUGCCGUCUAAGUUAUCAUGCUCAGAAACAGGUAAUGGAGUUAAAUCCAAUGGGAUUAAAGGAUAAAAACCAUAAACAAUUUCAAACGGUGAAUACUUAGUAGCAGAAUGAACGGAACGAUUAUAAGCAAACUCAACAAGUGGUAAACAAUCUUCCCAAGUUUUGAUGUUCUUUUUAAUGAUAGCUCGCAAUAAAGUAGAUAAAGUUCUAUUCACAACUUCUGUUUGACCAUCAGUUUGAGGGUGACAAGUAGUUGAAAACAACAACUUAGUUUCUAACUUAACCCAUAAGGUUUUCCAAAAGCAACUUAAAAACUUAGCAUCCCUAUCAGAAACAAUUGUCCUAGUCAUACCAUGCAACCUCACAAUCUCCCUAAAGAAUAGGUCAGCAACAUUAGAAGCAUCAUCUGUUUUGUGACAUGGAAUAAAAUGUGCCAUCUUUGAAAAUCUAUCUACAACCACAAAAAUUGAGUCUUUCCCUUGUCUAGACCUCAGUAAACCUAGUACAAAAUCCAUCGAAAUAUCAGUCCAAGGUGCACUAGGUAUUGGCAAAGGGUGUAUAAGCCAUAAGGUUGCACUUUCGAUUUGGCUUGCCUACAAGUAACACGUCUACCACAAAGUUUUUCAACAUCUCGUUUCAUAUGUGGCCAAUAGAAGUGUUCCUGUAAAACUGCUAGAGUCUUUACAACUCCUAAAUGCCCCAUUAACGCUCCUCCAUGGGAUUCUCUUACUAACAAAUCUCUCAAAGAACAGUUAGGCACACACAGUUUAUUCUCCUAAAAUAAAUAGCCAUCAUGCCUAAAGUAUUUACCGACUACGGUCUUUUCACAAGCUUGGUAUUCAACACUAAAAUCAUGGUCAUUAGCAUACAAUUCCCUAAUAUGUUCAAAACCAAGUAGUUUAGCAUUAAGUGUUGAGAUUAAGACAUACCUGCGGGAAAGCGCAUCUGCAACAAUGUUUUCCUUACCUUGCUUGAAACGAAUGACAUAUGGAAAUGUCUCAAUGAAUUCUACCCAUCAAGCAUGUCUCUUGUUCAACUUGUGUUGGCCUUUAAGGUGUUUCAAGGACUCAUGAUUGGUGUGAAUCACGAACUCCUUAGGCCAUAGGUAGUGCUGCCACGUUUUUAACGCUUGAACCAAUGCAUACAACUCCUUAUCGUAAGUAGGGUAGUUUAAGGCUACCCCACUCAACUUUUCACUAAAGUAAGCAAUUGGUUAUCCUUUCUGCAUUAGGACUGCGCCAAUACCAAUACAUGAGGCAUCGCAUUCAAUUUCAAAUGUUUUAUUAAAGUUAGGCAAAGACAAUAAAGGAGCCUUGGUCAGCUUUUGCUUGAUUAUUUGAAAUGCCUUCUCUUGCACUUCUCCCCACUUGAAUCCAACAUCUUUUUUUAUUACUUCAAUAAGCGGUGCGGCUAAUGUGCUAAAGUGUUUCACAAAUCAUCGAUAGAAACUAGCAAGCCCAUGAAAGCUUCUCACAUUACUUACACUUGUGGGACUCGACCACUCUUGGAUUGCACGUACCUUUUCCUCAUUAACCUGUAUACCCUGUGCACUCACAACAAAUCCUAGAAACACAAGUUUGUCGGUGCAAAAAGCACACUUCUUCAGGUUAGCAAACAACUUUUAUUUUCUAAGCACAUCUAAAACAGAUUUCAAAUGCACUACAUGAUCGUUUAUGUUUUUACUAUAAAUGAGGAUAUCAUCAAAAUAAACAAUAACAAACUUGCCAAUAAAAGCUCGCAAGACAUGAUUCAUAAGUCUCAUAAAAGUGCUCGGGGCAUUAGUCAGACCAAAAGGCAUGACUAACCAUUCAUGCAAACCAUAUUUUGUUUUAAAAGCAGUUUUCCAUUCAUCUCCUUCUUUCAUUCUAAUAUGAUGAUAUCCAUUUUUCAAAUCAAUUUUGGAAAAUACACAAGACCCAUGUAAUUCAUCAAGCAUGUCAUCUAGCCUAGGAAUGGGAUGUCGAUACUUUAUUGUUAUAUUGUUGAUGGCUCGACAAUCAACAAACAUCCUCCACGUCCCAUCCUUCUUAGGAACUAAUAAAACGGGAACUGCACAUGGACUCAUGCUUUCUCUCAUGUAUCAUUUUUCCAUUAAUUCAUUAAUCUGCCUUUGAAGUUCCUUGGUCUCCUCCGGAUUGCUCCUAUAGGCUGGUCUAUUUGGAAUGGCUGCACCGGGCACCAAAUCAAUCUGAUGCUCAAUCCCUCGGAUUAGAGGUAAACCAUGUAGUGUUUCCUCAGGAAAGACAUCCUCAUACUCCUGCAAAAGAAAAGUAAUAGAAUUAGGCAAAGUAUGGUCAAAUUCGUUAGUGUUUAAAAAUGCCUCAUUGUACAAAAGUACAAUCAUCGGCUGGUGUAAGAACAACGCUUUUUUUAUCUCACUGGCUCUCGCGUAGAAAUUCUUUUGUUUUCCAUCUAAUUUUCCUCAAUGGCCGUAUUUUUUUUUGUUUUUCUCUCACAUUUUCCUCAGCCUCUUUUUGAAUUUCAAUCUCUUUUUCUCUCUCUCUGUAGGCUCACUUGGUUUCCAUAAACCUGCUUUGGUGUCAAUGGAACAAGAGUGAUGUUGCGUUGAUUAAAUACAAAUGAAUAUUUGUUGGUGAAGCUAUCAUGUUUCACACGUCUGUCGAAUUGCCAAGGUUGCCCAGUAACAAGUGUCCAGUCUGCAUUAGCACUACAUCACAAAGCACCUUAUCUUCAUACUUGCCAAUCCGAACAGUCACUAGUACCUGCUUGUUCACUUUCACCUCUCCACUGUCAUUUAACCACUGUAGUUUGUAUGGCCGUGGGUGUUUAAGUGUCGAAAGCCCUAACUUCUCUACCAUGAUAGUACUAGCAACAUUAGUACAACUUCCUCCAUCAAUAAUCAUACUACAUACUUUGUCUUGAACGUACCACCUAGUAUGUAAAAUGUUUUCCCGUUGCACUACUUCGUCUUCCUUUACUUGCACACUCAAAGCUCACUACUGAAGUCAAUUCCCCAAGGGCUAUAUACUCUUCAUCUUCGACAUCCUCUAAUGGUGGUAUCUCAUUCUCUUCUGUCUCAUCUUCAGUUACAAUCUCACCAUCGUCCCGCAAUACCAUAACUCUUUUAUUCGCACAUUCACUUGCAAUAUGCCCCCUGCCUUGACAUUUAAAACACUUAAUGUCACGAUUCCUAAUGGCAAGAGUCACGGUGUUACCUUGUGUAUUGUGCUUGGAGGGCUCGAAUCUUAGCUUAAGUGUAGUAGAUGCUUGUGGCCUCUCGUCUCGUUUCACAUAGCUCGGCUUCCAAGGAGUAGAACUCGAGCUAUGGCUGCACGAGUGUUACCCCUCCUCUUGAGUCGCUGCUCAAUCUUGAUGUUGUUGACUAUCUCCUCAAUCUCCACAUAAUGUUGCAACUCAACCUUAUCUGCAAUCUCCCGAUUAAGUCCAUUUAAGAAUCGUGCCAUGGUAGCUUCUCUAUCCUCCUCCAUAUUUGCUCCAAUAAUGGCAAUCUCCAUUUCUUUAUAAUAAUCCUCAACGGUUCGGCUACCUUGUGUAAGACGUUGUAAUUUUUGGUACAAGUCUCGAUAAUAGUGGUUAGGUACAAAAUGCCUUCUCAUCAAUGAUUUCAUUUCAUCCCAUGUCUCAAUUGGACGUUCCCUAUUUCGCCUCCUGCUUAUAACAAGCUGAUCCCACCAAGUAAUAGCAUAGUUAGAAAACUCAAUCCCAACCAAUUUUACUUUUUUUUUCCUUUGAAUAAUUGUGGCAGUCAAAUAUGAACUCCAUUUUCUUCUCCCAUUCAAGGUAUGCUUUUGGGUCAGAUUUUCCUUGAAAAGAUGGAAUCUUCAUCUUUAUGCCACUCAAUCCAUCAUCUAUAUUCCUAGCUCUCCUACCUUGUCUAUCUCUCUUAUAGCCACCCAUUGAGUCCUCUCCUUCAUCAUACUCAUCCCUAUAAUAGUUAUCAAUCUCUCCUUUAGUUGGAGCUCUUUCUCUCCUAUGUGUUUGGGGAACGGGUUGUGGCUGCCCUGCACGUGUGUUCUCCACCUGAUCCAAACGCUCAUGGAUGAGCUCUAAUUCAGCCUUCAUCAUCCUUCUCAUCUCUCCCAUCAAUGACGANNNNNNNNNNNNNNNNNNNNNNNNNNNNNNNNNNNNNNNNNNNNNNNNNNNNNNNNNNNNNNNNNNNNNNNNNNNNNNNNNNNNNNNNNNNNNNNNNNNNNNNNNNNNNNNNNNNNNNNNNNNNNNNNNNNNNNNNNNNNNNNNNNNNNNNNNNNNNNNNNNNNNNNNNNNNNNNNNNNNNNNNNNNNNNNNNNNNNNNNNNNNNNNNNNNNNNNNNNNNNNNNNNNNNNNNNNNNNNNNNNNNNNNNNNNNNNNNNNNNNNNNNNNNNNNNUCUGAGUAGUUGCAGAUUGAUCCUCUUCAUUUGUGUUUCGUUUUAGGUUGUGAGACAUAGCUAUUAUCUGCAAAAGAACAUUGGAAAUAAUGUAGAAGGACCUCACCUCACUCCCUUACGGGUUUCACUCAAGAAAAAUGACUCAUUUGGCUUUUACCCUCUAAUACGCUCACACUCUCUUGCCUUUUUCCACUUUUAGUAAUCCUCACUCUGUUCUUAUCAAACUAAUCAAACCAAUAUUAGGAUUUCAGCAGCAAUUCAAAAAGAUGAUAACUAAGGAGAAUUUAAUUUCAAGAGUAAGAAGGCAACGUGUACGAAAGUCAAGUUUUGAUUUUGGGCAAAAUUUUCACCGAUGGGGUAAAACUUAUUGUGGACUUCCAAGACACAAAUAAUGAAAGAAAAAAAAUGAAAGAUUUUAAGAGGAGAUUGGAGUUUCUUUUUUUUUUUUUAAGGAAAAAGAAUAGGUAAAACUUGUAGAUUUAAGGAGAAUUAAACCACAAAGAUGCAAAAUUGAUUUUAAAAGGAAAGCUUAAAAAUACUAUUCACACGACACUAUUCCUCUUUUUAUUUAUUUAUAGAUACUAGAACAAGAUGAAAAAUUCAAACAAGAAUGAAAAACAAUAAAGAUAGAUGGAUCUGACCUUGGAGCCUAAGCUCUAAUACCAAAUGAUACGAACCCCGUCAAGAACUGACGCGACCCUAAUCAAUUUAGUUUCCAAGAUCGAAUGUAAACCAAGAAUGUAAUGGAACCUCGACCCAAUGCUUAUUGAAAGCACGAACCUUGGUAUGUGAAGACGCCACAACCAGCUAUGGAUGGUCUGAUUGAUAAGUCAAGAGUUUGAACGCCACGGAAAUCCGAUAAGUUCAAAGAGUUCAUAAAGACCCAAAGACAAUUAACUCUCUCACCAAUUGCAUAAAAAAAACUUCUUUAUAUCUUUAUUGAAAACGAGUACUUUAUAUAAGGUUGGUUACAAGAAUUUUUGGAAAUAAAUCAUAACCCAAAAAUCAAAUCUGAAUCUAAAUCUUCCCUAAUAGGAAAGAAUCUAAAUCAAAUCAUAAUCAUAAUAUAAGUAAAUAGGAAAGAAUUUAAACCAAAUCAGAAUCCUAAUCUAAGUAAAUAGGAAAAAAUCUAAAUCAAAUCAGGAUCUUAAUUGGCUUAAAUGCCUUACAUCAAUUAAAUAGAAACUAGGCGAUUAAAAUAGAAAUAACUGAUUUGUUUCCCUAAUAGCCUCCUCAAGAAACAUGAAAGUAUUUGAAAAAAAAUAAUAUAUUUUCCCACCAUAAUGUGCAAGCCAACUCCCUAUUUCAUGGAAGUGACUAUUUGGAAACUUCAAGAGCCUGAAUCAUGCAUUUAUCAUAUGCGAUUCCUUCAACGGGCCUCCAUGAAUUUGAUUGAGACCAAGUUGCUUGAAUCAAACCAUUAAACGCUUCUUUGAAUUUCUUUGCUCGAGCUCUUGUAACGGGUAUGACGGGAACUUGAAUAGGAUCUUAAUAUCCCUCAUCCUAUGUGCUUGUGAUAGUUUUAUCCUUAAUCUCAUCACCCACACCACAUAACUUCUGACAACAUCUGUAAUAUUAUGGAUCAAUAAAAUAACAUAAACAUGUUAAAACAUAAGGAUCAAUAAUUUCUAAUAUACACUUAAAGAUUAACAAACAUUAAUAGUUAAAAAAAUACCUGAGAGGAUUGGGUUAUCAUUCACACGUAUAUCAAUCAAAUUCGGAGAUAUGAAUUGGAAUUCAUUGAUCGGAAUCUUAACAGUUCCUUCUUCUAACCUCAUAAGCAAAGUUAUAAGGAAGAAAAUAAUCUUAUACUUAUUUGAAAGUGGUCUGUACUCUCUUGUAGUUGAAACAACUUUCAAAUUCUUGACACUGUACAAAUAACCAUCACUCAACAUGUACCUAAACCUUAUCACUAAAUUUUUCCUGAUUGUUGCAUGCAUUAGAUUUUCCUAUGAAAAAAAAUGCUACAUUAAGUGUAAAAAAAUUGGGAAAAAAAUUGGAGAAAACAAUGGGAGAAUGAAUUUUUUAUACAACCUUUUCAUCAAUAAAAAUCAUGUUCGCACUAAUCAAUUGUCCAUUCUUCUUGGUAUUAACAAACUCUCACAUCCUACAAAGGCUAACCCUUAUCAUCCAACUAUCUUUAUCAUUGUUCAACUAAUGAAGAAAAGAGUAUUCCAUGAAGCACACAAUACUAAAGUUCAAAUAAGUCAAAAAAUAAAAAACACAAGAAUAUUUCUAAAGAGGAUGUUGGUUAAAUAAUAAAAAAAAAUCCAAACAUAACAAAUCUUAAAUACUUAAUGUUUAUAAAGUUUGAAGAAGCCAAAAGACACUAAACAAAAUGUUGCAUAAUUAAAUAUGAGAUUAUAGCAUUAAAAUUAGGCAUUAAUGGCAUUAGUGGCAUUAGUGAGGCGAUAAGUGUAUAUUUUCCAUAUAUUUUGCUAUUAAUUUCUCCAUCUUUUUCUUGUUUUGGUCUUAAAUAUUCUAGUUAUUUUAGUUAAUUUUUAAUUUAGUAAAUUAUAUUUUAUUGUGUUAAUUUUUAUCUUAAUUUUAUUUAUUUUGUUAUUUUAGGUAUAUUCUGGAAUUAAAGAGAAAUUAAAUCGGAGCAUUCAGGAAAGAAAUUUGAUUGAAGAUUGAGAGUCAAAAGUGCACAAGAGAUCAAGAAUUGGAAGGAAUUAGAAAAUAAAGAAUAUUCUCUAAUUAAAGCUUGUAUGGGCCAAGCAAAAUUAAUGUUGCACAUGGAGCUAAAAUUAGAAAAUGGAAGUUAAAAAGGGAGCCAAGCCAAUUAACAAGCCAAGCCAUCACAUGAAAGCAAAAUUGGAAAACAAAGAUUGCAAACCAAAAGUGGCCAGCACGUGAAAGGAAAGAGAAUAAAGCCUUUUGGCUUUAGGAAAUCAUGGCCAAAUCAUUAUUGGCUUAUUAAUUGAAGCAUGAAAGUGGCGGUUUUGGGCUUUGGAUUUAAUUCUUUCCAUGCAAGGAUUUAAAAAAGCCACAAUUGAAGCAUUAUAAAAAGGAUCAAGCAGAAGCAACACGGGGAUUUUUUUUGCAGCCAUAAAUUCAUGAUAUGGACCAAAGGAGGUAUGUUGAAUGCUGGUUGGUGUGGGCCGAACAUGGUUUAGUUCAAGGAGGUAGUUUUUCAGGGUAGAAACAAGGUUAGGGUCACGUGUCAGGGGAAAACUAUGAGGGAUGGUUUUCCACUCAUAGGCUUGGUCCUGUGUCCAGAAGAUUUUAGUGACAGGGUGUUGAAAGUAGGGACGAUGGACAAUGAAGAUUGAGGUGAAUUGUUCACCUUCUUGAUCAGGGAGAAGAUUGAGGUGAUGGUGAUUUAUGAUAAGGCUGAGUUUUUUUCUCCACCAAGAGAGUCCAUAACAAAGAAUGGGCUCUGGUUGGGUCAGUGAGAUGUCUGAAUAUUGUAUGUACAGGGAAGAUAAGCUUAGUAGCAUAUGAAACAGUGAGGCACCAUAGGUACCACAGUUUAUCUUCUGUAAUAUUUUUGGAGGGGUCAAUGGUAAGUCCUGUGAGAAAAAGGUAAUCAGGGUGAAAACUAGGAAAACCAUAUGACUGAGCAUGAUAUAUGUUCAUGAAGUACCAAAAAAAAAAUUUCUUAGCAAAGUCUUGGAUUUGAUAGGGACUGGAAAACGUGAGAUUACAAGGGAAAGAUUUCCUUGUAAAGGCUGAGUUUGGCAAAGGAGAAUUCAUGAAGAUCACUGGUAUUGUAACAGAGGAGGAUAUGAGAGUAAGAGGGGCUGAAGAUGGAGGCCUGGAUAGCAUAUUAGGAAUGAGAUUUUGAUCUCCCUUAAUAUGCUGGACUGAAAAAGCAUAUUUGGAAAACCAUGUCUUAAGACAGAGAAGUUGUUUAUCUGGAAGUAUUUUGUUUUUUAAAUUAAGAAUUUUUGGAAAAGAGGAGUUGUCUAAUCUGAUAAGAAAAUUAUGGCCAAUGAGAUGAAAUUUAAACUUUUGAAUUCCAUAUUUUAUGACUAACAUCUCCUUGUAGAUUACGUGAUAGUGUUUUUCCGAUUCUUUAAACUGACCACUGGCAUGAGCACAGUAAGCUUCUUUUCCAUCAAGCUUUUCUAAAAGUACUGCACCCCAGUACUCAUCACUUGCAUCUAUUUGGAGAAUGCACUGUCCUUCAAUGGGAAUCUUUAGUGGAAAAGGAUGCUGGGUAAUCUUCUUUAGAUGUUGAACUGCAGCAGUCUGAGAGGGACCCCAUGAUGGAGCAGAUUUCUUAAGCAUUUUUGAUAGCUGGCUGGUGUGGAUUGUCACAUGAGGGAAGAAAUCCCGAAGAUAAUUCACAAUGCCUAGAAAUUGCUGAAUUUGUUUUUUGGACAAGUGUUCAUUAGGAAAAUGGACCAGUUCUUGAGCAAUGUGUAGACUAGGAUGAUAAUGACCAUCUUUAAUGACCAUUCCAAGAAAUUCUACAAAUUCCUGGCCUAAGAUGCUCUUUUUGUCAAAAAGCAUAAUGUCAUGUGAGUCCACUAUCUUGAGAAAGUAGGAAAGUAAAUCUUGAUGGGAGUCAUGAUGUUUAGAAAAUAAGAGCACACCAUCGAUGUAGAUAAGUGCAUGAUGGAGUAUGGGCUCAAAGAUUUUGAUCAUGGCCUUUUGAAAAAGUGAAGGUGCUACUUUGAGACCAAAUGCAUUACUUUCCACCGAUAGUGCGCAUUUGGAAUACAAAAGGCAGUUUUGUGACGGUCAACAGGAUGAAUUCCUAGUUUCCAGAAUCCAGCUUUAAGGUCAAAUUUGGAAAAGACCUUAGCAUCACGAAUAUGGACAAACAAAGUUUGAAUUUUUGGCAAAGGGAAUUUACAUCUCGGAGGAAACAGUUAAGAGGCUGAUAAUCUAUGACAAGACAUUUUUUGCCUCGGACUAUUUCGGACCGUUUUUCCACAUAGAAGGCUUGACAAGCCCAAUCUGAAUUUGUGGGUUCAAUAAGCCCUUGUUCAAGUAAUUGAGAGCAUUCUUGUUGGGCUAAUUUAAGAUCAGAUGGUGUCAUACCAGGAUGGGUAGCUUUGGUAGGAUUGAUGUCUUCGUUGAGCUUAAAGGGAAGCUUAAUGAAAAAGUUUUUAUUUUUCCACAAUGGACAUGGAUGUGAAAAUUGACUAUGGCUUUUAGGACAGAAAGGAAGAAACUGGGUUUUGAAUGAGUCAUAAAAAGAGGGAGAGUUUGAGAUGGAAAACAGUCUCAGGACAUCAGUGUAUGGUUAAAACAUUUGUUUGUACCGAAUCCCAGAGGUUGUAAUGUGAAUGUUUUUAAUCAGGUGAAGUAUGUCGAACCCAAUUAAAAGAUCCUUAUCAGGUAGAGUGGAUCCAAUAAUUUUGAUCCAAAGAACACAAUUUGGGAAAAACUAAAUACCAACUGGUUUUUUGGUAAUCAGGUUGGUUUGGAAUAACUCACAAUUGGCUGCUCUGAAAUACUCUUUAUGCUUUUCCCAAAAAUGAGAUGGAAGAAUGGAUGGAUUGAGCAUACUUUUUUGUGCUCCAGUGUCAAUGAAUCCAAUGACAAGAAUUGGUUUGUCAAAAUUUUCGGGUAAAAGAUGGAUUUUGAUUGAAGGAAUUGGUAUGACUACCUAGGUUGUGUGUGUUUGUUGUAUUGUUUGGAUUAUUGAGACACUAUCUGGGUCAGAGUGAUCUUUUGUAAGAACAAAAGCAGUUUGUUCGUCAUAAUCUUCCUGUUUUGAAAAAAAAAGAUUGAACAUCAUCAUCGUUGGAGAGCAACGAAGAACCUUGAAGAUGUUCAAUGAGACGAACUGAUUUAGAACGGCAGUUUGGACAAUUUCUAGCAAAAUGCCCUUUUUUCUUAUAGAUGAAACAUCGGCUGCUUUUGGAUUUGGAGGAUUGAGUAAGAUCCUGUUUUUCGAAAAAAGUGGUAGGGUUUUUUGGGUCUAGAUGAAGUGCGGUAUUUCUGGAAACGAGAUUUUUUCUUGGUUAAACAAGUGCAAUCUUUCUUACUUUUACACUUGAUAGAGAGAUGAGGUUUUUUGCAGGCACUUUUGAUUGCUAGUUGUUUUCCAUCAGAUCUUUGAAAAACUCUUUUUGUUCACAGAGUUUCUCCAACCAAUUUACUGCCAACUGAUAGAUUUUUCCUAAAGAAAGGUUGGUGAUAUCCAACUGAUGAAUAGUGAAUUGUCUUUGUAAAUCUGGCUGGAUUUCUUUGGGAAGAGAUGCCAUAAAGACGUGCUUUAACGAAGGAUCACUAAAGCCAUUAAGCUUGUAGUACAUCGUAGACAUUCUUUUGUAACGAACAACAUUUCAUUUGAUGGAAUUCUCGUCGUGUUUGUUCAUUAGCAGCAGUAGCUUCUCCAAGAAAUUGUUCAUAAAUGAUACCAAGAACUUGAGGAAUUUCAGCUUGGACUAACUGAAGUUGUCUGUAUUGGCCAGUAAAACGAGAACCGAAUUCUUUAAGGAUUGUUUGAGAUGUUGCUCCAGUUCUGAGCAUCUGAACAUCUAUCUAUGCUGAAAAUUCUUGGAAUCGGACUAGCCAUUUGACUUUCGGGAUAUCAUCAAAGGUAAACCAUGGGCCAUUUGAAGGUUUAGGAGGAUUGUCAUGAGAAGGUGUAGUGGGGUUGGUAUUUGACUAUGUUUAUUCAACAAUCGGUGUUGUUGGAGGAGGAGAUGAAGGAGAUGGAUCAUUGGACCCUGUAGAGGGUUGAACCAUUAACAAUUUUGAGAUAUCAGCCAAAUUUGCUUCAGAGUCUGAAGAAAGAGUGGAUUCUUUUGAGGAUUCAUCAGAGGAUUCUUGAUCAAAAGAAGUGUCUUCUGAUUCAGAUAAAUGAGAACAAACUUGGGACGAAUACUGAUGUAAAGGUGCUUUGUCUUUUGGUUAAGGUUUAGGAGUUAAUUCUUUCGAAGAUUGUAGAUCUAGGACAGAUGGUGGUUGUUGAUGGGCUGGUGGUGGUUCUAUGGUUUUGGUGGGUUUGGGUUUUUGUUUAGGUGGAGUUGGAGUUGGAGUUUACCUAUACAAAGUAUGGGACAAUCCAAAAAAUUUGGCAUAAUCUACCGGCUGUCGGGAGGUAGAUGGUGUAUAAAACGGUUGGUAGGUAUUGAAGGUUGGUGUAUGGAGAGGCAAGGUAGGAGUUUCGGCAAAUGAGGAAGGUUGUUGCUUAUCUGCAUCUAUUCUGGCUAGUUGAGCUUUUAGUCUUCUAAUUUCUGCCUCUUUUUGGUUGAAUUGGACCCUAGUACCGAUUUUGAAUCAUCAUCUGAAGUUUUGUAUCAAGCUGAGAGACUUGAUUUUGCAGAUUGAGGUAUAUAUGUUCAAGUUGAGCCGUGAUCUUAUCAACUUUUGUGUCAGUCUGCUUAACUUGAGUCGCAACCCUUUCAAUUUUGUCAUCAAGGGUUUUGAAAGCCGAAUUUUGUGCUCUGGCAUUCUGUGUUUGCCAGUUUAGGACGGCUUUAAAAGGUCUUGGAUCCUCAAGUUGGCCUGUGGGAGUUACCGGAGAUAGGAUAAAAGGUUUGGUGACAACCUUUGUCUGCGGAUCUGUGUGCUUUUCCAAAGGUGGAAACUGCUCUUGGUACGAGCUGGAUGUAAUCAUCAUGCAAGACUGGAUUGGUGUUGGCUGAAUACUAGGCUGAUUAGCCUCUUGUUUGCAUGGUUUUUGUUAAUACUCAUUUUGGAUGAGCCUCAAUCCUUUUUUAUAGAUCGGAAAAGGAGUCGUAUUAUCUAGAUCAUCUGGAGGCAAAGGAGGCCUUUUUCGGCAUGGUUCCAUUUUAUGACUUUUCUUUUUUUGACGUCUGGGUCGUUUGUUAAAGUCAUCAUCAUCAUCUUCUUCAAGGCAUGGAUAGCCUGGAUCACACAUAUGGGAACCUGGAACAUCCCAUAAAAAGUAACCAUUAAUCUUAUCUAGGUAAAUCAGGUAGCCAUCAGAAGCAAAUCCAUGGAUGGGAAUGUUUUCCUGUGCUGUGAGAACAACGGUAAUGAUAGAAGAGUAAGAGAAAGAAGCUCUGGGUGGUGUUUGUUCAGUGGGUGGCUGAAAGGUCAUUCUAACCGUUCCAUCGGCUCUUUUUUCAAAGAGAGCGUCAGAAGUUUGAACAGGUUGGGAAUUUUGGUGAAAUUUUUCAUUAUUGGAUAGCCACUCAAGAGGCAUAAGUUUAAGAAGCUCGUUCUUUUGAAUCUGUCUUGGGAUCUGGACUAUGGAAUGGAUGGUUUCUGAAUCGGCAAUAAUCAUUAGAGCAUCAGAUGAGGUUUGUGGUGUAGGAAGGUCAAGUGCAUGGUUUUGUAAUCGAUACACCAACUGGUGGUGUAACGCUGCCAUUUUUAAUGAAAUUGUUUGUUCAGCUCCUUGCAGUUGGAUCUGAACUUUUAGAGUUGUGGGUAGAUUGAGAUCAUCAAGAGAGAGGUUGAAAUUAGGGUAGAAAGUCAAAAGAACACUUCCUGCGUGUAGAGUGGUCAAGACAGUGCCAAUCACUGCAUGUUGGUACUCUUUGAACCGAGUGUCAAGUAGUGCUAAUCGGGCGGUGACUGGUAACCCUUUUCUACCAUGAAGAGUGAGAAUCAAUCGAACUCCGCCAAGAUGGAGAUGAGUAUAUCCUUCUCUUUUCCAUUGGGAGACAAGCUCUGUUGGAAUUUCUAACGUGACAUACUGUUCCGAUUGUGUUGCUUGAAGAGCACACUGGUCUAAUCGAGAUGACGGGACAUUUUCUUUAGGAGUAGGUCUUUAAUACUCUGGGUAAAGGAGUUUGGUCUUUGAUAUAGUUUGUAUGGGCUUAUGAGAGGCAUAAAAGAUUCAUUGAUCUAAACUGAAUCAAGGACAUAAGAAUAUUCAACAAGGUUUUCUAUUUUUGAGGCAAGGUGUUUAGUACAUGUUUUCGGCUGAAAAAGUGAUGAAGAAAGAGUAACAGGAGCAAGAUUUUCUGAGUUGGAUGAAGAAGCCAUUAGAGAAGUUUUUCCUCUAUUCACCAAUUAAACAGACAGAUCUCAUGUUUACCACUUCUUGCUAGGUUCGUACUAGGCUCUGAUACCACUCGGGACAACCACUGUUCAUCCUAUCCUGCAUCCAAGGACAAAGAAAAUUAAAUGCAGGAAAAGAAAUAAAUAGGAAUCAAUUUAAAAAUAUGCUAAGGUUACGGGAUCCACUCUUGGAUUUCAAAUUAUGGUUAUAACAUUCUCUCAAAUUUAUAUUUUGCAUUUCUUUUGCCAGUUACUUAUUAUGCUAUGGGACUAAAUACCUAAUGUGCCACAAUUAUACUAGAGUGUCAACAUUAUGUCAAAAUACCAUAUAAAUAUAAAGAGACCUGUAUCUAUAAAUUAAGAUGACAUAAAAGAAACUGGUAAGGAAGAAAAAUACAAAUACAAAAUAAAAUAAACUUUAAGACUCACUUCGGAGGGUAAUUAUUUCAAUAAUUUGAAUUCUUUAGCUUCACCUUUCACUUUAUCUUAGAAACUUUAGCCACUCAUAUUAAAAAAAAAAACACUCAUUUUAUUUAACAAACUUCUGAAAUAUAUUAUAAGAAAAUUGAUUAUAUAAGAAAACAAGAAAAUAGAAGAAAGAAAGAAUUCCUCCCUUUUCCUCUCGUUCUCCUCCCCUUGCCUUUUAUAGGCGAGGAAUGCAUCCUCUUCUUUUAUUUUAUUACUAUUUAUUUUAUUUUUUAUAAUAUAUACACAUAAAGAAGUGUAAUGGUCAAGUGGCAAAAUGGCCACCUGACCAUCAUGGGCAUGUUUGCUCACUUUUUCUCCUUUUUAUUUUUUUAUUUUUUUUACAUAUUUUCAAUAAUGCAUUCCAAAUGACUCUAACAAUUCUUUUUUGUUUCUCAUUUCCAGUUCCAACUCCUCUUUAUUCUUGAAAUAAUAUCUACACUAUAAAAUCAACAUAAAAUUAACAUAUUACAAAUUAAUUUAACAUAAAAAUAAAUUUGGGGAGUGUUAAGAUAAUUUGGAAAUAAUAAGUGCAUUAAUCAACUCUGUAAGUGAAAAACUAAUAAUUUUAUCCUUAUUAAAUGUACAUUUUUUAGUGUCAAUCACCUAUCUAAUUGGCUACUCAAAUAAGAUAAGAGUAAAGUCAUAAACAUUAAUUAUAAAAGAAAAUAAACAAUCUCAAAAAAAUAAAUUGAAUGAUAGAAAGUGAAUAUUAAUCAUAUGACAUGUUUAGGGUUUUGAAUUCAUCCAAUCAUCCUUAACCAAAUAGAAAAUUUAGCCUAACAUAAUUGAAUCAGCAAUAAAAGAGUUGAUAAAACCAUUCAUUGAGAUUAAUCCAAACAGAUGUUGCUCCAAUUUAAUUCCUUUUGGCCUCUCUUUUUUUUUUUCCUCUUCUUGCGGCUGCAUCUGGCCAGUGGAGGAAAUAGCAGAAGGGAUAAAAGGUUUGGAUACCACAUUUCGGUGGGAAUCUGUGUGAGUUUCUAAAGGAGGAAAUGAGGAAGAGUAGUCUGAAGAGGUAGAAGAAGAAAACAUCAUACAAGCUAUCGGCUGGACGAUAGGUGUUGAGUGUGGGAUGGGAGAGGGAAUCUCAGGUUUGCAAUGCUUUGCAAUCCAUUUGAGUUCUUUUUUGAAGAUGGGUAAUGGAGCUGGAGGAGGUGGAGGAUCUUUUGGGGAUUUGGGUUCACAGUGUUGACAUGGGAGUGGAAGUUUGUUCUUUUUGGGUUUCUGUUUGGUGGCAUAAUCAUCGUCCUCUUCCCAAUCAUCCCAGCAGGGACAAUUUAGGUCACACAUGCCAGAGCCUGGGAUAUCCCAUAGGAAAUGUCCAUUUUGCUUUGCUGGAUAAACAGGGUAUCCGUCAGAAUUAAACCCUGUAAUGGGCAUAUCUUCCUGAGCUGUCUGAAUAGCUGUGAUCAUUGAAGAAUAGGUAAAGGAGAGCUAAGGGGGCUCUUGUGGAGCACUCGGAGGAGGUUUAAAAGUCAUUCGGACUGUUCCAUCUUGUCGUCUUUCAAACAUGCUUUCAGAUGUCUGAAUUGGAGCUGUGUUGGUAUGGAACUGCUCAUAAUUGGAGAUCUAUUCAAGAGGCAUAAGCUUGAUAAGCUCAUGACGAGGAAGUUGUCGUGGGAUCUGGAUGAUUGUGGGAAUUUGGUCAGAUUCUGCUAACACCAUGAGGGUGUCAGGUGGUGUUCUGGAGUGGGUAGAUCUAAGGCAUGAUUUUAAAGCCUAUAGACUAGUUGGUGGUGUAAAGUGGCCUCUCCUUAAUCCUGCCAAAGCCACCUCUCUUACCUGGACAUUACUUGAAUGGUUCUCCCCAAUACCUUGGUGGAGAAAGAUGCUCCAACAACUGUCAGAGAUUUACAAUCUUGAACGAAUGCCUGCCUCUAAAGCACAAUUGUUUACAUUAGUAUUUAUCAUUCACAGGCCAUACUUCCAACAUCUAGACACAAAUCUCUUUUGGACUCAAGACCAGGUAUAUGAAUGAUUUACUGCACCUCUGAAGCACAAUUGUUUACAUCAGUAUUUAUCAUUCACAGGCCAUACUUCCAACAUCCAGACACAAAUCUCUUUUGGACUCAAGACCAGGUAUAUGAAUGAUUUACUGCACCUCACCCAGCUGUCAUUGACAAUGAAAUCCAAUCCAACCUGCACAACUACCUUUGUCAAUUGAACCACCAAACUCCAUCACACCGGGAUAUCUUUCACACCUCCUUAGGACCACAACAUGACCUCAUCAUGAUCCCCACUCCAUCCGCCAUAUCCAAACCAAAGUCCACAGGAAUCAUCAUCAAAGAAGAAAAACCAGACUACACUGAUUUCCUUUACCAAGACUCCCAAGACCCAUGGGAAGAAUUCCUUCCUUUAAGCCAACAUCUCCAACAGUUUCCACAACCAACCAUGUAUGAACCAGGAUCAUCAUCCUAACCCUCCAAAGUUGACAAGGCCACUCAGAUGCCAAGCCCCAAGUCCCAGUCAUCACCCCCCAAGCCAGGAUACCGAAGAGACUGCCCUUAUCCACCUUGUCGUGGUCCCCACUGUAAGCAUCCAAAGCUCUCUAAAACCUUUUUCCCAAAAUACAACCGUGACACGAACCCAGAUGAAAUAGAAAGCUCAUCCGAAGACGAGUACAUGAAUCUCCGCUCUCCAUAAAGUAGUUUGUCUUGUUGUAAUAAUUAUGUUCUACUUUAUGGUUUUGUCCUGUAUAAUUAUUAAGGCUUGCUUUUACUUUAAGCUUUUGCUUUUGUCAAAGUCAUGCUUUAAUUAUUAAAGCACACUUUGUCCUUUGUAAUCAUUAAAGCUGUCAUGAUGUGUCUUUUACUUUUGCUUUUGUAAAAGAUAGGGAUCCUGUCCUAUCUUCUCCGAGAAUUCUCCUAUAUAAAGAAUUCUCCAUUUGUUUGUAAAAUAAGAAGUUUUCGAAGAAAUAAACUGUGCUUCCAUCAAACUAUGAAUUUCUAAACUCUCUUCUCUCUCUGCAAAUGAAGAUCUAGAGAAAGAAAAGAAAUAAAGAAUUAAAUUUGUUCAUUUUGGAACCUUAAGGAAGUAUGCUCUGCACUUGCCUUCCAGUAAGGAUCCUGUGCAUCAGAAAACUUAUGAUGGUUUCUUAAACGGUUUGGUACCCUGUUUUAAAGACUAAAGAAAGUCUGGUUUGGGUUAUAUGACCUUAAAAGAAACGUUUUUAAGUUUUGAUACUCAUCCUGUUCUUGUUAGGAUUUGACAUACUUCACCAAAUCACAUACCUCCAAAUCAUUCCCACUGGAAUCCGAGUGAAGUCCAUGUUCAAACCAUUCACAGACAUUCUGAAACUCUACAAUUUGUCUGACACUCCCCAGUCCUACCAGGAUAUUUCAUCCCAUCUUUUGCGUUUCUGUCCAGAGUCCCAUUCUGAGUUCACCCAUCCAACUCCAUUGUGGAAAAACCCGUCUUUCUUCAUUAAGUUACCUUUCAAACUCAAUGAAGACAUUAACCCGACCAAAGCUACUCAUCCAGGAAUGAGUCCUUCUGACUUACUCCUAGCCCAAAAAGAAUGUUCACAACUGUUAGCCCACGGUCUAAUCGAGCACACAAGUUCUCAAUGGGCUUGCCAAGCCUUUUAUGUUGAAAAGCACUCUGAGCUUGUCCGAGGAAAGAAACGCUUAGUCAUUGACUAUCAGCCACUUAAUAUGUUUUUGCAAGAUGACAAAUUUCCUUUGCCCCGAUGACAAAGCAUGUUUACUUUUCUAAAAAAAUGCCCAGAUCUUUUCCAAAUUUGAUUUAAAAUCAAGUUUUUGCCAAUUAGGCAUUGAACCCUCGGAGCGUUACUUAACUGCCUUUUGUAUUCUAAAUGCCCAUUAUCAAUGGACAGUCCUUCCCUUUAGCCUCAAAACUGCCCCAUCCAUUUUUCAAAAAUCCAUGGUCAAAAUCUUUCACCCUAUCCUGCAUCAUGCAUUAAUUUACAUUGAUGAUAUCUUGCUUUUUUCAGGAUCACAUGAUGAACAUCACCAGUUGUUAAAUCCAUUCUAUGAUAUUAUUCAAAGUCAUGGAAUCAUGCUGUCUGCCAAGAAAAGCACCAUUGCCACGGAUAACAUUGAAUUCCUUGGUAUGAUCAUAAAGGACGGCCAUUAUCAGCCAGGAAAGCACAUUGUCCAAGAGUUGCUCCACUUUCCAGAUCAGCAACUUUCCAAAAAGCAAGUUCAAUAGUUUCUAGGCAUUAUCAAUUACAUCAGAGACUUCAUCCCGCAUGUGGACCGCUAUACUCACCACCUCUCGGCUUUAUUAAAAAAGAAGCCCCCAUAAUGGAAUGCUGACCACACAACUGCUGUCAAUACCCUCAAGCAAAUUGCGCAAAAUCCGCCUCCCUUAAAGUUAAUUACUGAUGGAAUGCGCAUAUUGUAGACAGAUGCAAAUGGUGAAUCAUGGGGUGCCAUCCUCCUCGAAGAACUCAACAACAAAGAAUACUUUAUCGCCUAUGCUAGCGGACAAUUUUUUGACACACAGAAGCAUUACCAUAGCGUAUUCAAAGAAAUCUUAGCGGUGAAGAAUGGCAUAAAAAAAUUUGAGUAUCAUCUUAUUGGACAUCAUUUUCUCAUCCGAUUGGACAGUUCAGCCUUCCCCAAUAUUCUCAAUUUCAAAUGUAAAACUAUCCCAGAAAAGAUGUUACUCCGAUUAAAAGAUUGGUUUUCCAAAUAUGAUUUUUCAGUCAAGCAUAUAAAGGGGUCCCAGAACCUCAUCCCUGAUAUGCUAUCCAGACUCUCAAAACCAGAACACUCUCUAACCUUGAUUUCCACAACAUACCAAUUUCCGAUCAUCUCCAUGACCACAUCACUCCCACCAGAAGCUCUCACCAAGAAAAUUUUUCCCCUUGACAAAACUUUCUCUUCUGUCUUUGUUAUCCAAGAGUUUGCAAGAAAAGCUGUUUUCCGCUUCUUCAUGAAAGCCUACCUUUUGGCCGACUCAUUUCCAUUUUCCGCCUUCCACCUAGAAAAUCUGUUCCUUACAGGUUUAACCCUCGCUCCGUCCAGCGAAAUCACUGAAGAUGAGUUAUGGUACAUCUAGUGCCUAACUAUUCUUUAUGCAACCAAGCUAGUCCUCCCAAUCACUCCCACUUUGAACAAUCUCAGGAGCAGAGAGACUUUUUUAUUCAUGGCUUCCACUUCAUCCACCCCUCCUUCCAAUCCUGUUACUCUUUCUUCUACUCUUUCUUUGCCCAAAUCCUGCACUUCUCAUACCGCCAAUAAGAUUGAAAACCUUGUAGAAUAUUCCUACAUCCCUGAAUCUGCCCAAAUCAGUGAGUCCUCCUACCCUCUCAUCAGCCCUUAUCAGCUGUACAAACGCCCCAGUUCCUUUACCCGAAGUAUCCGUACUCUCAUAUCUACUAGAUGGCCUUAACCUAAAGAAUAUAUCCAGUCUUCUCGCCUGGAUCAAUGUGCUCUUCAAGCAACCUCUGCUAAGCAAUAUGUCACUCUGGAAAUACCUUCAGAGUUAAUUUCCAAUUGGAAAAGAGAAGGUUACACUCAUCUCCAUCUUGGCGGCAUCAGAUUAAUCCUUACCCUUCAUGGGAGAAAAGGGUUACCGGUCACAGUUCGAAUUGCUAUGCUUGAUACCCAGUUUAAACAGUACCAAGAUGCNNNNNNNNNNNNNNNNNNNNNNNNNNNNNNNNNNNNNNNNNNNNNNNNNNNNNNNNNNNNNNNNNNNNNNNNNNNNNNNNNNNNNNNNNNNNNNNNNNNNUUAUCCAAAUUUCAACAUUUCUCUCCAAGACACCAAUUUGCCCACAACCUUGAAAGGUCAAAUUCAAAUUCAAGGUGCAGAACAAAUUUCUUCCACCAAAAUAGCAAAUCCGUCCUUAACUAGCAAACCCAAAAUGCCAGAGCACAAAAUGAUACUUUGUUGCAUAUCAAUUCAAAAGUUGAGAAAAUCAGUUUACGAACUGAACAUAUUAAGAAGAAAGUUGACUCCAUUGCUGCACAAGUGCAGCAGAUCCACCACAAUCUUCAAUCCAGAAUUACUCAACUUGAUUCAGAGUUACGAACCAUGCUUACUCAAAGAUACUAUGGCCUAGAAUUUGACCAAAAAGAAAGGGAAAUCAGACGUUUAAAAGCCGAGCUUGAUUAGAUUGAAUCUGCAAAACAAAGACCUACCCUUUUUACCACAUCGCCUCCUAUCCCUUCCAUAGGUCCAACUUAUCAUCCAUUUGCCUCUAUGCUUUCCCCCAUCAAAUAGUAUGACCCUUCCAAGUUAUUUGGCAUGACUCAUACCCUUUUUAGAGACAAUCCCUUACCACCACCACCUAAACCUAAACCAAAGCCUAAACCUCAAUCACGCCACGUCAACAUUCAUCAGCCAUCCAUGUCCAUUCCUGGACAACAGUCCCUACCGCCCGCAUCUCCACUCCCACCUCAAUCCCAAACUCAUCCUCAGUCCAAAGACAAAGAACCCAUGCACCAGUAAAGUGCCCACACUAUAGAUCCAUCAUCUACCCCCGAUGAUCAAACUUCUGCUCAAACAUCUGAUUCCAAUCUAGCCAUUCCCAACAGCCAUUCUGAGUCUGACACAGAAUCUUCAGUAUCCACUAGUGACUCUGAAAAGUCCUAUGCUGAUAUCACCAGAAUCCCGAUGGCCCAACCUGAUCAACCUGAUCACGCCCAAACCUCUCACACAGAACCAUAUGUUGAUAUUCCUUUAAAAGUUGACAAAGACAUACCUGAAUUCUCUGCAACACACCAACCCCUUCCAGCCCAAGGCCCAACCGGUCCAACAAGUCAAAAAUCGUCAAAUGGUCCAUGGUUCACCUUUAAUGAUCUUCCAUCUCAUUAAUGGUGCGAGAGACUUACUGAAAUAUCUGCUUGGAUUGACCUCCAAAUGCUAAGGCCAGGAGCAACAACUCAAUCAGUCCUUAGAGAAUUUGCUACUCGUUUUACGGGUGCUCUAAGAGAUUGGUUCGAUUCUUUAGGCCAAUACAGACAAUUACAGUUUGUUCAAUUACCAGAAGUCUCAAGUGCCCUUGCGGUUAUUUAUGACCAAUUCCUUGGAGACCCCUCUGCAGUUUUUGAAGCUGCACGACGAGACUAUCUCAACAUGAAAUACUGUUCACUCAAUGCUAAGGAUCUUGACUUUCAUUACAAACGAAUGUCCUUGCUGUUCUAUAAGCUUAAUGGCUUCAAUGAGCCAACAUUAAAGCAUGUCUUUCUAGCUUCCCUUCACGAAGAGCUCCAGCCCGAUAUACAACGGCAACUCACCGCCUCCAACUCAUCCUUGACAACAUCUCUCUUGGCAAAAUCUUCCAGAUUGCCAAAACAUGCCUUGACAAACUUUGCGAGCAGAAACAAUUUUUCAAAGACCUGUUGAGAGAUAACGAGCCCUUCAGGAGUGCCUAUAAAAAGCCCUAUUUGUAGAUCAAAUGCAAAAAGAAAAAGGAUUGUGAUUGCGGUUCUAAGAAGAAAAGGCAUUUUCAGAAAUUCAAAAAUCCGAAAUGUUCAUCCAAAACCCGCAGGUCCCGAAAACCCUACCGAUUCUUCAGAAAAAAAAUCAUCUUCCUCCAGAGCAUUCAAACAAAAAAUCAUCAAGCCGAUGUUUCAUCUGCAAGAAGAAAGGUCAUUAUACUAAAGAUUGUCCCAAUAAACGAGAGAAAUCCAUCCGGCUAGUCGAACAUCUUCAAGCCACUACAGACUACUCUCCCGCGACGGAUGAAUUGGAAUUCUAUUUCUCUGAGCAAGAUGAACCCAAUGAUGAAACCGUGUUCGUGUUACAAAAUUCCUCUGAUGACUCAGACAGUGAUGUGUCUCAAGUUAUCUUCCACCAGCAAUUACUGUCCCUUGACACUACUGUUCUUAUACCCUCCAUCAAACUCCAUAUCUUGCCCUCCAAAUUCCAAAGACCCAUUCUAGCAAUUGGUCUCAUAGAUACUGGCGCCCAAUGCAGCAUGUUAAACCCCAAUCUCCUUCCACCUAAAUACUGGACAAAGUACGAAGAAAAUUUCAGGGCCGUUAAUGGCAAAUUUUUCACUACCUCUUUGAUUACCAACAAACCCAUUGGUAUUCAAAUCUUCCCAAAUUGUGUCAUUUGGACCAAGGUUAUCGGUUCAACCCUUCCUAAUAAGGAUAUGCUCUCGUUCGUUCCCCGUACCAAAAGCUAAAGUUUGACUUCUAUAAUUCUUGGUGGUCGACUUAUUUGGUGCCCUUUGCCUCCUCCAAAUCCAUGAUCAACAAGGAAACUAAUGCGUUCCACGUGCCGUCCACUUUGAUUUCAAAUCAAAGCCAUUUAAUUGCCAUUGUUCCUCACAUGCAUGCCAAUCUUUUUUUUCCAAUUUUUGCUUUCCUGUAAUGGCUUAACAUGUUAAUUGCCUUGGCUUCCUUUUUUACUUCCAAAAGAAAUCUUCAAUUAUUGGCUAAAUUCCAAUCAAAUUUCAACUUUCUCUUUUUGAAAAUUUCACCAAUAUUAAAAAAACAUAAGGAUAAUUAAAUAUUUGAAAAAGAAGAAUUAUUAUUAACUAAGUAAAAUGAAUUAUAAUUCAAACUGAAGAUGCAAAAUUUAAAUUAAAUCAAAAUAAAAUACUAAGUUAAAAAUUAACUAAAAAUCUAUGAUAUUUAAGACCAAAACAAGAAAAAAAAUGGAGAAAUUAAUAUAAAAUCUAGACAAAAUAUGCACUUAUCAUAACACGGUUCCUUUUACAUCUUAAUAACUAGUUUUUUUUUAAUAGAAAUGUCCAGUUAGUUCUUUUCAUUCUCUUCUUCUUUUUUUAUGUUGAUUAUUAUUUUUGAAAUCGUUGAUCAUUCCUUAUUUGUAAGAUUAGAAAGAUUACGUAACCAAUUUAACAAUUUAACAAUGUCGAUUAUAAUAUUUAUGUGUGGUGGGUGACAAUGAUAUGCAACUAGACAUGCUAGCAUGUGCGAGUUACCUUGGCACCCACUUAACUUACAAAAGUCACGGACUCACGGGCAUCAGUCAUUUUCUUAUUCCACAAUUUCAAUCAAAUCAAGAUUCCUAAGUCUUACUAAAAUAUGCUAUUUUAUAAAUGGAAGAUUAUUUUAACUAAAAAUUGUAACUUAAAAAAUAUUGGUGCAAAUUUUAUCCGAACUUACUAUGUGGUAAUUCCAACUAAGGAUGGCCCUCUUAAGACUGAGUUAUCUCUUUGUUAGAUUCGACAAUGAUAAAUUUCUCCUUUGAGCUAAUGGAUCUCUGAAUUUUCUCCUUAGAGAAUAAGGAUGUUUGUGUCCAAUGAUGCUUUAUAAACAUAAGAAAACAAUCAAAGAGCCAACUUUGCUGGCGUAAACCCUUAAUCAAGAUUUUUGGAAAUAUACAAUAGUUCUCAUUCUUCUACCCAUUCGGGGGAGUUGAUGAGAAUUCAUAGAUAUUAUCUUAACACCAAAGAAGAGUUUGACCCAAUGCUUUAUUUCUGUCCUAGUUGAUCUUGAUUCGACAUUAGAGCUAUAUUAAUUUUUCCCCAAUAAUCAAAUACUUUUGUCUUUAAAUAAAAGCCUCGAGCUGUAGAGUGGUGUGUAGGACUCAUGUAUGUAGUAGUAGCUAGACUUCGCAUGCCGACUUCGCUCCCCUUACAUUUGUAAACCAAUAUCCUGUGGUCUCUCCUCUAGUACUCAUCCCAUGAUAAGACGAGCCUAGAAUUAUAUCUAUAAACCUAAACAUUGAAAUUUAGCUUCUAAACACUCACUGUUUAGGAAAAACCUAGUCAAAUUUAGUGAUAACGAACUACGAAACAGCUACACUACAUAAAUGCCUAAACCCUUUGUUCUCCACAAAACUAAGCGGCAACUCGCUUAUAAUAAUCAUUUUAGUGACUACCCUUCUACAAGAGUCUUGAUUCCAUGCUUUAGCUAAAACCAUAUUACUUACAUUUCCUUCACCACCCUUAGCUGUCAAUUUCUACUAAUUUUUAUCUUAUUGUUCUUGGAAUGUCUUGUGUAUGUGUUAUAGACUUUUAUAUUAUUUCUCAUAUUGGUAAUCUUGUCAUGCCUUAAAUGGCAUCGAUAUUGUUUACCACAAUAGUUACACUUGCAUUUGUUGGAUUAUCCUCAAGUAAAGUGUAAUAAUUCUAUAUUAGAGACACUUUCUUCAUUAGCGAAUUUUUCCGCUUUGCCUUUUCCUUUCCCUUUUGAUUUUCUUCCAUUUGCACACUUUGUUCUUCAUCAUCACUUGUUGAAUUUGAUCUUGAGUGUCCAAUCAUCUAAACAUACAAAAAAAUUAACAAUUAUUAAUUCAAAACAUAAAACUAUGAAAGUAUCACUAUAACACUCACAAUCACAAACAUGCCAAAUACAUUUAAAAUUAAUAAUUAAUAAUAACACUAACAUAAUCGUGAUGAGAACAAUUAACAAUAACACUUUUUUAAUUUCAAUUAAUAAAUUAAUUAUACUCUCAAACUUAGCAACAAACAAUUAAACAUAAUCUUACAUGUAAUAUUGAUGAUUAUUCACUAACAAAAUUUUAAAAUAGAUAUUUCUUAUAUAAAUUUGGAAGGUUUGAUUUUUAUUGAAAUUAAAAUUAAAAAAUCAUGAUCUCUAUGCUCAUGCUCAUUAUAUUACUUAUUCUAUUACAUUUAUAAUUUUUUAAAUUCAAUGGUUAAUUUUAUGCUUAAUAAUACUACCCAACAACAAGAAGUCAUAAUUUAUCCAUGAUUCAUCCAUGAAAAUAAACGAUGCAUUCUCAACUUCUAGUUAAUAUUUUCAUAAUGCAUUCAUGAUUUCUCGUUUAUAUACAGAUGUAGUACGUAGAACAAUAUAUUAUUGUCUUGCUAAUUUCAAAGUCAAUUUUAUUUAAACUCAAACAAUAAACCCCAUUAUACAAUUCCAUUUCUUGUUGAAAUUAUUCGGUUCUUCCUCAUAUUUUAUUGUUACUAUCAAAAUGCUAAAAAAAUAAGAUAACAAUUAAAUUAAAAUUAAUAGAAAUGGGAAAAACCAGAGCCCCUUCUUUAUUCAAUGAUAAUAUACAUAUAUAUUAAUAUAUACUAUAGUAAUAUACCAUGAAAAAUUCGAAUUAGAGGAACUUGGUGAUGGUGACAGUCUGUCGAGGUGGAGCAAGCAGUAACAUAUCACGCUGGCUCGUCGCAGACUCAUGAUGCCUUGGCUUCACGCAGUUGCAUUGGCGACUGUUCGCUACUUUGUUGUAUAUGUAGUCGUGACGUCUGCAUUUGCAUUUGUACGUCUCCUACUUGUGUUUAGUGAGUGCUGCUGCUCUCUGUGUGUGGUGUGAGUUCAGUGUUGUAUGUGUGAGAGAGUGUGUGUAUAUAAUGUGAGUUCAGUGCUAUGUGCGUGAGACAGUGAGUCAUGAUAGAAUUAGGUUUAGAAAUUUAUUUUGUUCUUUAGAUUUAACCUUUUUUUUUGUCAUGACCUGAUAAGUGCAUAUUUUUUAUAUAUUUUGUUAUUAAUUUCUCCGUCUUUUUCUUGUUUUGAUCUUAAAUAUUCUAGUUAUUUUAGUUAAUUUUUAAUUGAAUAGGGAAUUAAUUAAUAUACAUAUUUUACCCUUUUAUUAUAUAUUUACUAGAAUAGAGAAUUAAUUGGAGAUUGUGGAUAAAAAAAGGCAUGAAGAAAUUCAAAUUGAGAAGGAAUAAAGAUUAAAUUGGAAGAUAAAAAUACAGUCAAGAAUCGAUAGAACCGAGUGGAAGAAAUCAAAACAAUUAAUCCAAUUAAGAAAUGUUGAAUAAUUAAAAGAUUUAAUUUUUCCAAUUGGCAAUUGGAGUGCACGUGCAUGGCAUUGCAAAAGUGGAAAGCAAUUUAAACGGGCCCGCAAUUGACUUUCAAAAGUUGGAAUUAAUGGCUUUUGGUGGCAUUAAAUUGGAAAAGGAUUUCAAUUAGAAUUGAAAAAGGAUUUCUAUAGACUUGUUGGAGAAGAAUUCGGUCAACUAGCAUUAUAAAAGGAGAACUGCCAGAGAGCGAGAGGGAAGAGUGCAGACGCAAUUCGGGCAGAGGAAAAUCAACAGCCGCAAGGAGAAGAAAAAAAUCAGCGGCUGGAAUUAAGUUAAAGCAAAGGCAGCCGCUUGAAUUAAUCUCCAUGAUUGGUUUUGUCAAUUCUCUUAUUCCCAAUUCAAUUAUGUUAGGCUAAAUUUUUGUUUGGUUGAGGGUGAAUUCAAAACCCUAAACAUGCUAUGCAAUUAAAUUUAAAUUCUAUCAUUCAAUUUAUUUAAUUGAGAUUGUUUAUGUUCUUCUAUAAUUAAUGUUCAUGGUUUAUUCUUGUUUUAUUUGAGUGGCCAAUUAGAUAGGACUUGAAUAAAUUUUAUUGCUAGAUUAAAAUUCUUGAUCCGUAAUUGUCUUGAUAUUUUAAUCAUUAGUAGCAGGUUGGAAUUAGUGAUUUCAAUUGAAGAACAUAACCUAGGUUAAAUAAUCCGAGCUUGUGUGUUUAUUGCCUAGAUCAACCUAAUAUCUUUCUCUGUUUAAUGCUUCCAUUAUCUUAAAUUUAAAGAGCUUGUUUUAAAUUAUUUAAUGGUUAGAGAUUAAGUGAAGAGCUUAUUUUGCCUAACGACACACUAAGGAAAGAUUGAGACUAACAGAGCUUAUUGUUGUCUACGGUUGAUAGUUUUAAUAUAAAUUGAUAAUAGAAUUGAUAUAUUAUGUGCAUGUUUGGUGGUGGCGAAUGAUCCUUUAACCAAAGUUUUCAUCAUUAUUAUUUCUUUCUCCUUUAAUUAGAGUUUUUAUUAAAUUCUUGUUCAUAGUUUUAAUUUCUUUACUUCUUACUAUUUAGUUAAAAAUUCAUAAACCCCCUUUUUUUAUUUAUAAUUGGCAUUUUCUUUAGUUAGAUUAAUUUAUAUUAUUAUUACUACUAUUAGUUUAUUUUAAAUCUUGCUUUAGAGUUGAUAAUAAAUAUAACUACAUAGUCUUUGUGGGAUCGAUCCUUACUCGCUCUGUACUAAUUAUUUAUAUUAGUGGUAAGGUUUUAAAUUUGGUGCACCUUAACAACACUACCAUGACCAAUCCAAUUAAAUUUUCAGAUUAGAUCAGGUUGGGUAAAGUACGACCCGAUCAGAUUGGGCAAAUAAUUCGAUCCAAUCUAAUCCUAAUUUUUUUUUGUUGGGUUAGGUUGGAUCGGGUUAUUUGCCUAUCUUUACCACAGCAUCACCAUCUCCCUAGUAAAUACAACCAAUGGAGUCCUCCAUAGGUGCAUCUUCAUAGAUUGUAUAUCCAGUCCAUGUAAGGCGUUAGCGAAGAUGAUAUCUACGAAACUUUUAGUGUCACAAGUGCAUCAUUAUAGGGAUAAGAGAAUCCCUCAACAAUACUGUUAACUUUUAAGUUUGGAGGCGGGUGGUUUUAUAGAGGUGGAUGUGUUAGGGGCGUCUCAUCUAUUGUUCCUACUUAUUUUAUCCCUUUCUUUUGGGACAUCGACGAAAAAUUCAGGGGUUUGUCGUUGUUGAUAAGGGUUUGGAUCUUCUUCUUGAGGUAGAAGUAUUUUGUAGUUAUAUGGCCAUAAUCAUGGUGGAACUCACAAUACUUGUUGUUUCGUCUCGGUCUCACACUCUUUUUCAUUCAUGUGGGGUCCUUAAGCAGUCCCUUAUAUUUAAUGUAAAAAAAGGAUUUGCUCACACAUGGUAUUGAGCUCGUCUCUAUUUAAGCGAGAAAGAGGUAGGGAGCUUCAAUUACACACUUAUCUCUGUGAAGAUUCAUGUUUUGCCUAUAGUGGUUGGGCCAUCUCAUGUCUUUUAAUGGUGCAAUGUUCUUCGAUAUCGAUGAGCUCAAAAGCCCGAUGGUGUGUUGCUACAUAUAUUUUAGGCUCAUUGUAUUUAUUGAACUUUUUGUAGAUCUUCUCGUCUUUGAGAUUUUUACAGAAGAUCUAAAGGGUUCUUCCUUCACUGUAUAGAUUGGGAUGUAAACUCGCCCUCUUUUUGUACCAUUUUGAAUAGAUCUAAAAAAUCUCAUUGUUCUUUUCUUGCAAAUCAAAAUUGGGUGAGAAAGGUUUGUAGUAAUUAUUCCCAUGACAAGACACUCUCAAGUGGGGAGGCUCUUGAACCACACCUUGGCUACAUUCUUCAACAUAUGAGGGAAGAUACGAUAGAUGGCAUCAUUAAUGAUGCCUUUAAUGGCCAUUUUGCCUUCAUAAGUCUCAAGGUGUGUGGUGGGAUUGGUACGUCCUUCAUGGGGUGAGAUUUGGGGUAUAGUAAAGUCAAUUAAAAAGAACCAAGCCAGCGAUUUUCUUGGUGAGUGUGGAGUGCAGGGAAGGGGGAGAUCUCAGGGAUGAUUCCCUUUCCUUUUGCAAUUUGAUCUACCUUUUUAUAGUGGUAAAGUUCAGCCAUUACAUCACUAUUAACUUAUUCUCAGCCAACUCUUCCCCCUCACAGUAAAGCUUAGCAUUCCACUUGUCAUGGAGAUCAGUAAAGAUGGGUGGGGUUUGCCUUUUGGGUUGUCCCCUUAUAUUGUAACUGGUGGCGGUGAAUUUUACAUCUUUAUUGUGUAUAAGUUUCAUUUUUAACCCAGUUAAGGGAGUUUACUUGGUCUAGCCCUAGUAGAUGGGAUGGCUUGAAUCGUCACAGUGAGUGGUGGAGUAAGACCGAUUUCAAGCAAAUUACGCAAAAUCUGCCUCCAUUAAAGUUGAUUACUGAUGGAAAGCGCAUAUUGCAGACAGACGCAAGUGAUGACUCGUGGGGUGCCAUCCUCCUUGAAGAAAUCAAUGGAAAAGACCACUUUAUCGCUUACGCUAGUGGACAAUUUUCUGACACACAGAAGCACUACCAUAACGUGUUCAAAGAAAUCUUAGCGGUAAAGAAUGGCAUCAAAAAAUUUGAGUAUCAUCUGAUUGGACACCAUUUUCUCAUCCGAAUGGACAGUUCAGCCUUCCCCAAUAUUCUCAAUUUCAAAGGUAAAACUGUUCCCAAAAAAAUGUUACUCAGAUUAAAAGAUUGGUUUUCCAAAUAUGACUUUUCGGUCAAGCAUAUAAAGGGAUCAACUGUUGAACAUCAACUUGGGUUAAAGGCUUUUCAUUUUGCUUGGAGACUGCUUUGGCUAGAGCUUUGCUUAAGCCGUCGGAGUUCUAUUGGCUGUGUUUCUCACGGCCCUCAACAGUAUCUUGUUAGGGGUCAUCACCCUCUUGUGGGUUGUUAGUGACCAUAUUUGAUUUAUGGGUAAAGAGGUUUUUUAUAGGUAAAGGUAAAAGUUUUUUGGAGAAAAGUAGUUUUUUUUUUUGUGAAAGAUGCAAUCUUUAAUGGAAAAAGUAAUGGCUUUAUAUGUAGAAAUGAGUGGGUACAAUUACAGAGUGGGUGGAUUCUUUAAAGAUAAGAAGCUCUCUUUGUUAAUGGAGGUUGGAAUAAUGAACUUUUUGUUCGAACCACGCAGAUGGCACCAAUUUUUUUUUUUUUUGUCUAAUUUGAUUUAGCCCAAAAAUAUUAUGAGAACUUUACCUUGAUGGUAAAUUCAUAGAUGAUUGGGGAUGUUUUACUUCAUGACAGAUUUUCUAGAGAUGAAUUGGGUUGAGACAAUCCUAAAAACAAAGAAAGAUAACCAUUAAAGGCAACACCGGUGGUUGCUGGUGACGGUAAUUCGAUGGUUAAGUCAUGUAAGGGUUGGAGAAGAUGAUGGAUUUCAAAGAAAUCAUUGAACAAGUGAAAUUUUGAAUGUCGUGUGAGUGAGAAAUAUUUUCUUUCUUGUAGGACUAACCUGACCUUACAAAGGGAGUGCCCUUGAGGACAUCUAUGUGUCUUUUGGGACACGUAGCAAAUUGCUAUUGGUUGUUGUUCUCAUCAGAUAGGGGCCGUGGGGUAAUUUAACUGUUCACCUUGAAUCUUUUAGGCUCUUUAAGAUUGGACACCUAUCGUUUGUGAGACUAUCUGUACUAACAACAUAUUUCUAACUUUGAUUGGCUUGUUUCAAAUAAGUCAACUAGGUUGAGAGAGCUGCUGACUUCAUAGAUAAUGGUUCAUACGACUGCUCAACCGGUGCCCUCUUUUAUUUUUUAUGCAUGUAACUAUUAGAGAGAUAUUUUGGGGAUGAUUCUUGUGGGGACCAUGCAGUGAUAACGUAUAAUGACUUAAGUGGUGGAGUUAUCAUUGUUAUGUGGUCUCAUGUUGACAUGUGGUGAUUUUAAGUAUUUUGGGGACUUUUUCUACAGUUUUCAGAUUGUUAAGGUAGCUCAUGCUUUUUCUUUAAGGACAUAUUAGGCAUGGGGAAUAAUAUAAAAAUGUCGCAGUCCAACUAUAUGAUUCAAAUUUGAUCACCAAUAAGAAUAUUUGUUGUCCUUUUACUUAUUUUUAGCUUGAAUAACACUAGAAUUCUCAACAUUUAUAUCUUAAUUUAUGCUUUGGUCUGGUUUUAAUUCAAGCUAAAAAUAUUAUGGGAGCUUCGCUUUGAGAGGUGGCUUUGGUGAUAAUGGAGACUAAGUCACUCCAAGACAGUUUUUUAGGGAUAGACGGAGUUGAGGAUAGAGAAGAUGAUGGUUUUCAAAGAAAUCCUUGAAAAAUAGAAAGUUUGAGUGUUUGUGGGAGUGAGAAAACUUGUCCCUGUUGUGAGACUGACCUAACCUUAUAAAAGGAGUGCUCGUGAUGGCAUGUUUGUGUCUUUUUUGACACGGCAAAUUGUCAUUGACUGUUUUCUUCCUUAGGUAGGGCUUAUAAAGUAAUUUGGUCAUUUUUAUUGAUGUUCUUGGGCUUCUUAUGGUUGAACACUAUCCUUUGUGAGACUUUAUCUGCCGACAACAUGUUCUCAGUCUUGAUUGGCUUAUUUUAAGUGAGCCAAUUGGGUUAUGACGUCACUGAACUCAUUCAUGAUAGAGCAGACAGCUACCCAAAUGAUCCCACUCGUUUAUAUUUAAUAUAAGUGACUUUAGGAGAGAUAUUUUGGAGGUGAUCUUAGUGGGCACCAACCAGCGAUAAUGUGUUAUGACUUAUUUGGAGGAGUUGUCACUACUUCAAUGGUCUCAUGCUAACAUGUGGUGGUUAUGGAGUACUUUAGGAGACAUUCUCUGUAAUUUUUAGGAUGUUAAGUGGCUUAGGUUUAUUCUUUGGGAACUUCCCAUUAUAUCCCUGCCCUUUCAAUUCUCUCUUCAUUCUUUGUAAGUGUUUGUGAGUCAUGACAGAUGUUGCAUACAUAUCACACCCAAGCCAUUUUUUAUCCAGAUUUUACCUUCAACAAUUUAUAUUUUAUCUAAUGCAACAUCCAUCUAUCGAAUGUGUUUUCAUUAGAUUUUAAAUUAAACCUAAGUUCAACAAUAAAUUAAUAUAUUCAGGAAAAUGGUGUGAAAAGUUUAGAUCAGGGUGUGUUUUUCUAGGGUCUUUGGUGUAGCUUAGGUGAAUAUAUUGAGAGAAGUGCAACUAGUCACUGAGGAAAAUGGAAGCCAGGAAAGGUGGCAAACUCAAAUAAGAAAACUUAAAUUAGAGGUGGACUGUGGUCGUUGUUGGCCUUUCGGUUUUGGAGCAUGCCUGGAGAGAGUAAAGCUUAUAGAUAGUCUUUAGGUUACUGACAUGUUUAUUUGGAACCUUUUAUUCAGGAAAAAUGACAAAAUCCUUUAAAUGAUAAGUGAUACGACUUCUCACUUGAGGACUUGAAUUCUUAUUUCAUCUUGCCGUGUUGCCCCCUUUUUUCUGGGUUUUAUAGCAAUUUUCCCUUAACAUAUUCAACUUCACCUUAACUUCCUUCUGCAGAGGUGCCUGUAACUUUUUUGACAGGUGUGACUCACUUCUUAAUUUAGGUUAAUUACCUGAAAUUUCUUUAAACUAGAUGGUGUUAUAAUAAUUUUAUUAAUAAGUAUUAAAUUCAUCAUCUAAUAAAUGAGUAAAUUGAAUUCAAACUUAUAUCUAUAUAUAUAUAAAGUUGGGACUACAAGAGGUGGUGUAGCAUCACUAUUUCUCAUUUUCUUAUAUUAUGUAUUAUCUAAUAUAUUGGUUGAGAUUAAAAAAUAAUUACAUUACAAAAUAUUAAAAGUAGAAAAUAAUUAUUAGAUUACAAAAGAUUACAUGUCUCUUUCUCUUUCUAUUUAAAUUCAACAAUAUGUAACCAUUAAUAAUAAUUAAUUAUAAGUCUUGAAACAUUCAUUUAUUUUAGUAAGGCAACAACUAAAUUUUAGUGGUUUAAAAUACAUAAACUAAUUAAUAUAGAAAUGAAGGUUCCUUCAUCUUCCCUCAUGGUAGUGUCGUUAAGGUGCACCAAAUUUAAAACCUUACCACUAAUAUAAAUAAUUAGUACAGAGCGAGUAAGGAUCGAUCCCACAGAGACUAUGCUAGUUAUAUUUAUUAUCAACUCUAAAGCAAGAUUUAAAAUAAAAUAAUAGUAGUAAUAAUAAUAGUAAUAAUAAUAUAAAUUAAUCUAACUAAAGAAAAUGCCAAUUAUAAAUAAAAUGGGGGUUUAUGAAUUUUUAACUAAAUAGUAAGAAAUAAAAAAUUAAAACUACGAACAAGAAUUUAAUAAAAACUCUAAUUAAAGGAGAAAGAAAUAAUAAUGAUGAAAACUUUGGUUAAAGGAUCAUUCGCCACCACCAAACAUGCACAUAAUAUAUCAAUUCUAUCAUCAAUUUAUAUUGAAACUAUCAACCGUAGACAACAAUAAGCUCUGUUAGUCUCAGUCUUUCCUUAGUGUGUCGUUAGGCAAAAUAAUCUCUUCACCUAAUCUCUAACCAUUAAAUAAUUUAAAACAAGCUCUUUAAAUUUAAGAUAAUGGAAGCAUUAAACAAAGAAAGAUAUUAGGUUGAUCUAGGCAAUAAACACACAAGCUCGGAUUAUUUAACCUAGGUUAUGUUCUCCAAUUGAAAUCAUUGAUUCCAACCUGCUACUAAUGAUUAAAAUAUCAAGACAAUUACGGAUCAAGAAUUUUAAUCUAGCAAUAGAAUUUAUUCAAGUCCUAUCUAAUUGGCCACUCAAAUAAAACAAGACUAAACCAUGAACAUUAAUUAUAGAAGAACAUCAACAAUCUCAAUUAAAUAAAUUGAAUGAUAGAAAUUAAAAAUUAAUCAUGUGACAUGUUCGGGGUUUUGAAUUCACCCUCAACCAAAUGAAAAUCUAGCCUAACAUAAUUGAAUUGGGAAUAAGAGAAUUGACAAAACCAAUCAUGGAGAUUAAUUCAAGCGGCUGCCUUUUUCUUCAAUUCUUUUUCGGUUUCUCCCUUGUUUUUCCUUCUUGCGGCUGCUGGUUCCUCAAAUCCUCUUGGUUAUUCCUACUGCUAAAAUGCCCUCACCCAGCAAUUCACCAUCCACGGGAAUAUUAAUUAAGGAAGAAAGACCAGACUAUAUCAACAUUCUUUUUCAAGAUUCCAGGAUCCUUGGGAAGAAUUCACUUCAAUCUUGCAUCCUGUAGAAGCAUCUAAUGCAUCUUCAACCAGUUCAGUCCCACCAACAGAUUCUCCAACUCGCCAAUACUAUGCCCAACUACCUUGGUGGAAGGAACAUUUCGCAGAAGUUGAUAGCGAUGUUGACAACCUGUCCCCCUCUCACAACCAUUGAAGACCCUAUCUAUGAGUCUCGUAAUUGCUGCCUCUUUAAGUUUUUAUUUGCUUGUAAUAAUUGCUUUUGCUUUUAUAAAAGCAAAGCAUUUACCUUUCUAAAAGCUUGCUUUUUACUUUUGCUUUGUAAUCAUGUUGUCUGUAAUCAGUUCUAGUUUGCUUUUGCUUUAAGAAAAGGAAUAUAGGGGUCCUGUCCUAUCCCUUUCAUAAUUAUGUUUUCACUUUUGCAAAAGGAUAAGGGUUCUGUCUUAUCCUCUCCACAGGAGUUCUUCUAUAUAAGAAGAACUUAUCUCAAUUUGUAAUCAGAACUCGUUUGGGAAUCAAAUAAAAUCGUGUUUUAAUAACAUGGCAUUCUAAAACUUCUUCAUUUUCCUCUAUUCUCCUUGAAAAACAACAGACUCUCGUAAUAGUUAAUUUCGAUCCUAUAAUGAGUAUGCUCUGCACUCGCCUCUUUUGAGGAUCUUGCUCCUGUUACUCUUUCUUCAUCACUUUUUCUGCCGAAAACCUGUACUAAACACCUUACCUCAAAAAUAGAAAACCUUGUUAAAUAUUCUUAUGUCCCUAAUUCAGCUUAGAUCAGUGAAUCUUCUAUGCCUCUCAUAAGCCCAUACAAACUAUAUUAGAGACCAAACUCCUUUACCCGAAGUAUCAAAGACCUGCUCCUAAAGAAUAUGUCCAAUCAUCUCGAUUAGACCAGUGUGCUCUUCAAGCAACACAAUCGGAACAAUAUGUCACUUUAGAGAUACUAACGGAUCUUGUCUCCAAUUGGAAAAGAGAAGGAUAUCCUUAUCUCUAUCUUGGUGGAGUUCGAUUGAUUCUCACUCUUCAUAGUAGAAAAGGGUUAUCAGUCACCACUUGAUUGGCACUACUUGACACUCGGUUCAAAGAGUACCAACAUGCAGUGAUUCGCACUGUCCUGACCACUCUACACGCAGGAAGUGUUCUUUUGACUUUCUACCCUAAUUUCAACCUCUCUCUUAAUGAUCCCAAUCUACCCACAACUCUAAAGGUUCAGAUCCAACUGCAAGGAGCUGAACAAACAAUUUCAUUAAAAAUGGCAGCGUUACACCACCAGUUGGUGUAUCGAUUACAAAACCAUGCACUUGACCUUCCUACACCACAAACCUCAUCUGAUGCUCUAAUGAUUAUUGCCGAUUCAGAAACCAUCCAUUCCAUAGUCCAGAUCCCAAGACAGAUUCAAAAGAACGAGCUUCUUAAACUUAUGCCUCUUGAGUGGCUAUCCAAUAAUGAAAAAUUUCACCAAAAUUCCCAACCUGUUCAAACUUCUGAUGCUCUCUUUGAUUAUUGCUGAUUCAGAAACCAUCCCUUCCAUAGUCCAGAUCCCUAGACAGAUUCAAAAGCAGGAGCUUCUUAAGCUUAUGCCUCUUGAGUGGCUAUCCAAUUAUGAAAAAUUUCACCAAAAUUCCCAACCUGUUCAAACUUCUGAUGCUCUCUUUGAAAAAAGAGCCGAUGGAACAGUUAGGAUGACCUUUCAGCCACCCACUGAACAAACACCACCCAGAGCUUCUUUCUCUUACUUUUCUAUGAUUACCGUUAUUCCAACAGCACAAGAAAACACUCCCAUCCAUGGAUUUGCUUCUGAUGGCUACCCGAUUUACCCAGAUAAGAUUAAUGGUCACUUUUUAUGGGAUGUUCUAGGUUCCCAUAUGUGUGAUCCAGGCCGUCCAUGCCUUGAAGAAGAAGAUGAUGAUGACUUUAACAGAUGACCGAGACAUCGAAAAAAGAAAAGUCAUAAGAUGGAACCAUGUUGAAAAAGGCCUCCUUUGCCUCCAGAUGAUCCAGAUCAUACGACUCCUUUGCCAAUCUAUAAAAAAGGAUUGAGGCUCAUCCAAAAGGAGUAUCAACAAAAACCAUGCAGAUAAGAGGCUAAUCAGCCUAGUGUUCAGCCAACACCAAUCCAGUCUUGCAUGAUGAUUACAUCCAGCUCGUACCAAGAGCAGUUUCCACCUUUGGAAAAGCACACAAAUCCGCAAACAAAGGUUAUCACCAAACCUUUGUCCCGUCUUCGAUAACUCCCACAGGCCAACUUGAGGAUCCAAGACCUUUUGAACCCGUCCUAAACUGGCAAACACAGAAUGCCAGAGCAUAAAAUUUGGCUUUCAGAACCCUUGAUGACAAAAUUGAAAUGGUUGCGAAUCAAGUUAAGCAGACUGACACCAAAGUUGAUAAGAUCACGACUCAACUUGAAUAGAUAUACCUCAAUCUAAUCAAGUCUCUCAGCUUGAUACAAAACUUCGGAUGAUGAUUCAAAAUCGGUACUGGGGUCCAAAAUUCAACCAAAAAGUGGUAGAAAUUAUAAGACUAAAAGCUGAACUAGCUAGAAUAGAUGCAGAUAAGCAACAACCUUCCUUAUUUGCCAAAACUCCUACCUUGCCUCUCCAUACACCAACCUUCAAUACCUACCAACCAUUUUAUACACUAUCUACCUCCCGACAGCUGGUAGAUUAUGCCAAAUUUUUUGGAUUGUCCCAUACUUUGUAUAGGCAAACUCCAACUCCAGCUCCACCUAAACAAAACCCAAACCCACUAAAACCACAUAACCACCACCAGCCCAUCAACAACCACCAUCUAUCCUAGAUCUAUAAUCUUCAAAAGAAUUAACUCCUAAACCUGAACCAAAAGACAAAGCACCUUUACAUCAGUAUUCGUCCCAAGUUUGUUCUCAUUUAUCUAAAUUAGAAUACACUUCUUCUGAUCAGGAAUCCUCUGACGAAUUCGGUUCUCGUUUUACUAGAUCUCUAAGAGAUUGGUUUGAAAGUCUUGGCUAAUACAGACAACUUCAGUUGGUCCAAGCUGAAAUUCCUCAAGUUCUUGGUAUCAUUUAUGAACAAUUUCUUGGUGAAACUACUGCUGCUAAUGAACAAACACGACGAGAAUUCCAUCAAAUGAAAUGUUUUUCGUUGCAAAUCAAAGACCUUGACUUCCACUACAAAAGAAUGUCUACGAUGUACUACAAGCUUAAUGCCUUACAUGAUCCUUCGUUGAAGCACGUCUUCGUGGCAUCUUUUCCCAAAGAAAUCCAGCCAGAAUUACAAAGACAAUUCACUAUUCAUCAGCUGGAUAUUGCCAACCUUUCUUUAGGAAAAAUCUAUCAGUUGGCAGUAAAUUGGUUGGAGAAACUCUGUGAACAAAAAGAGUUUUUCAAAGAUCUGAUGGAAAACAACCAGCCAUCAAAAGUGCCUGCAAAAAACCUCAUCUCUCUAUCAAGUGUAAAAGUGAGAAAGAUAAUCUCAUUUCUAGAAAUACCAACACCCACACAAGAAAACCUGCACUUCAUCCAGACCCAAAAAACCCUACUGCUUUUUCUUGAAAAAGGAUCCUACCCAAUCCUUCAAAUCUAAAAGCAGCCGAUGUUUCAUCUGUAAGAAAAAGGGCAUUUCGCAAGAAACUGUCCAAACCGCCCUUCCAAAUCAGUUCGUCUCAUUGAACAUCUUCAAGGUUCUUCAUUGCUCUUUGACAAUGAUGAUAUUGAAUCUUUCUUGUCAGAACAGGAAGAUUAUGACGAACAAACUGCUUUUUUUCUUACAAAAGAUUACUCUGAUCCAGAAAGUGUUUCAAUAAUCCAAACCAUUCAACAAACACAACAACCCAGCUAGUCAUACUAAUUCCUUCAAUCAAAAUCCAUCUUUUACCCAAAAAAAUUGACAAACCAAUUCCUGUCAUUGGAUUCAUUGACACUGGAGCAUAAAAAAGUAUGCUCAAUCCAUCCAUUCUUCCAUCUCAUUUUUGGAAAAAGCAUAAAGCGUACUUCAGAGCAGCCAAUGGUGAAUUGUUCCAGACUAAUCUAAUUACCAAGAAGCCAAUUGGUAUUAAAAUCUUUCCAAAUUGUGUUCUUUGGAUCAAAAUUGUUGGAUCCAAUCUACCUGAUAAGGAUCUUUUAAUUGGGUUCGACAUACUUUACCUGAUUAAAAACCUUCACAUUACAGCCUCUAGGAUUCGGUACAAACAAAUGUUUCAACCAUACACCGAUGUCCUGAGAUUGUUUUCCAUCUCAAACUCUCCCUCUUUUUAUGACUCAUUCAAAACCCGGUUUCUUCCUUUCUGUCCUUAAAGCCAUAGUCAAUUUUCACAUCCAUGUCCAUUGUGGAAAAAUAAGGACUUCUUCAUUAAGCUUCCCUUUAAGCUUAACGAAGACAUCAAUCCUACCAAAGCCACCCAUCCUGGUAUGACACCAUCUGAUCUUAAAUUAGCCCAACAAGAAUGCUCUCAAUUGCUUCAACAAGGGCUUAUUGAGCCCGCAAAUUCAGAUUGGGCCUGCCAAGCCUUUUACAUAGAAAAAUGGUCCGAAAUAGUCCGAGGGAAAAAAUGUCUUGUCAUAGAUUAUCAGCCUCUUAACUAUUUUGUCCGUGAUGAUAAUUUCCCUUUGCCAAAAAUUCAGUCUUUGUUUGUCCAUAUUCGUGAUGUUAAGGUCUUUCCAAAUUUGACCUUAAAGCUGGAUUCUGGCAACUAGGAAUUCAUCCUGUUGACUGUCACAAAACUGCCGUUUGUAUUUCAAAUGCCCAAUAUCAGUGGAAAGUAAUGCCAUUUGGUAUCAAAGUAGCACCUUCACUUUUUCAAAAGACCAUGAUCAAAAUCUUUGAGUCCAUACUCCAUCAUGCACUUAUCUACGUCAAUGAUGUGCUCUUAUUUUCUAAAGACCAUGACUCCCAUCAAGAUUUACUUUCCCACUUUCUCAAGAUAGUGGACUUGCAUGGCAUUAUGCUUUUUGACAAAAAGAGCAUCUUAGGACAGGAUUCUAUAGAAUUUCUUGGAAUGGUCAUUAAAGAUGGUCAUUACCACCCUAGUCCACACAUUGCUUAAGAAUUGGUCCAUUUUCCUGAUGAACACUUGUCCAGAAAACAAAUUCAGCAAUUUCUAGGCAUUGUGAAUUAUCUUCUGGAUUUCUUCCCUCAUCUGACAAUCCACACCAGCCAGCUGUCAAAAAUGUUUAAGAAAUCUGCUCCAUCAUGGGGUCCCUCUCAGACUGCUACAGUUCAACAUCUAAAGAAGAUUACCCAGCAUCCUUUUCCACUAAAGAUUCUCACUGAAGGACAGCGCAUUCUCCAAACAGAUGCAAGUGAUGAGUACUCGGGUGCAGUACUUUUGGAAAAUCUUAAUGAAAAAGAAACUUACUGUGCUCAUGCCAGUGGUCAGUUCAAAGAAUCAGAAAAACAUUAUCACGUAAUCUACAAGGAGAUCUUAGCCGUAAAAUAUGGAAUUCAAAAGUUUGAAUUUCAUCUCAUUGGCCAUAAUUUUCUUGUCAGAUUAGACAACUCCUUUUCCAAAGAUUCUUGAUUUAAAAAACAAGACACUUCCAAACAAACACCUUCUCUGUCUUAAGACAUGAUUUUCCAAAUAUGAUUUUUCAGUCCAAUAUAUCAAGGGAGAUCAAAAUCGCAUUCCUGAUCUGCUAUCCAAACCUUCAUCGUCAGCUUCUCUUACUCUCAUAUCCUCCUCCAGCACAAUACCAGUAAUCUUCAUGACUUCUUCUUUACCAAGCUUAGCACUUCUCCAGUCCCUAUCAAAUCCAAGACUUUGCUAAGAAAUUUGUUUUCUGGUACUUCAUGAACAUAUAUCCUAGUUUUCACCCUAAUCACCUUUUUCUCAUAAGACUCACCAUCGAUCCCUUCAGAGAUAUCAUAGAAGAUGAACUGUGGUACAUAUGGUGCCUCACUGGGACAACCACUACCACUACCACCCAAACGGGGAGCCACUCCUUAGGUGUAGGAUAGGAUGAAUUGUGGUUGGAACGUCAGGAUCCACAGCCUAAAACUUUCUAAUGCAUAAGAUCCUCAAAAGAGGCAAGUGCAGAGCAUACUCAUUAUAGGAUCGAAAUGAACUAUUACGACCAUCUAUUGUUUUUCAAGGAGAAUAGAGGAAAAGGAAGAAGUUUUAGAAUGCCAUGUUAUUAAAACAUGAUUUUAUUUGAUUCUCAAACGAGUUCUGAAUACAAACUAAGAUAAGUUCUUCUUAUAUAGAAGAACUCUUGGAAAGAGGAUAAGACAGGACCCUUGAUAUGAUGCUGGUGUGGAUGAGGACCCCUAUCUUCAAUUUCUUAAAUAAAAAGCAAACUGCAAAAUGAUUACAGACAACAUGAUUACAAAGCAAAAGUACAAGCAAGCUUUUUUAAAAGUAGAUGCUUUGCUUUUGUAAAAGCAAAAGCAAUUAUUACAAGUAAACAAAAGCUUAAAGAGGCAGCAAUCACGAGACUCAUAGAUAGGAUCAUCAAUAGCUAUGAGAGGGGGACAAGUUGUCAACAUCGCUAUCGACUUCUACGAAAGGUUCCUUCCACCAAGGCAGAUGGGCAUAGUAUUGACGAGUUGGAGAAUCUGUUGGAGGAACUGAACUGGUUGAAGGUGCAUUAGAUGCCUCUGCAGGAUGCAGGAUUAAAGUGAAUUUUUCCCAAGGAUCCUGGGAAUCUUGGAAAAGAAUGCUGUUAUAAUCUGGUCUUUCUUCCUUGAUUAAUAUUCCAAUGGAUGGAGAAUUACUGGGUGAGGGAACUUUAACAAUAGAAAUGACCAUAAGUUCAUAGUGAGGACCGAGGGAGGUAUGUUGAAUGUCAGUUGGUGUGGGCUAAACAUGGUUUAGUUCAAAGAGGUAGUUUUUCAAGGUAGAGACAAGGUUAUGGUCAUGUGUCAAGGGAAAACUAUGAGGGACAGUUUUCCAUUCAUAGGAUUGAUCCUAUGUCCAGAAGAGUUUAGUGACAGGAUGUUAAAAAUAGGGACGGUGGACAAUGAAGAUCAAGGUGAAUUGUUCACCUUCUUUAUCAGGGAAAAGAUUGAGGUGGUGGUGAUUUAUGAUAAGACUGAGUUGUUUUCUCCACUAAGAAAGAGGAGAGAACCAUUCAAAGAGAGUCCAUAAUAAGGAAUGGGCUUUAGUUCAGUCGGUGAGGUGUCUGAAUAUUGCCUGUACUGGAAAGAUAAGCUUAGUAGCAUACAAAACAGUGAGGCACCAUAUGUACCACAGUUCAUCUCUAUGAUAUCUCUGGAGGGAUCGAUGGUGAGUCCUGUGAGAAAAAGGUGAUUAGGGUGAAAACUAGGAAAACCAGAUGACUAAGUAUGAUAGAUGUUCAUGAAGUACCGGAAAAUAAAUUUCUUAGCAAAGUUUUGGAUUUGAUAGGGACUGGAGAACGUGAGAUUACAAGGGAAAGAUUUCCUUGUAAGUGCUGAGUUUGGUAAAGAAGAAGUCAUGAAGAUUAUUGGUACUAUGCCGGAUAUGUUGGAAUGAAAAAUAAUAUUUGGAAAACCAUGUCUUAAGACGGAGAAGGUGUUUGUUUGGAAGUGUCUUGUUUUUGAAAUCAAUAAUCUUUGGAAAAUAAGAGUUGUCUAAUCUGACAAGAAAAUUAUGGCCAAUGAGAUGAAAUUCAAACUUUUGAAUUCCAUAUUUACGCCUAAGAUCUCCUUGUAGAUUAUGUGAUAAUGUUUUUCUAAUUCUUUGAACUGACCACAUCAAGCUUUUCCAAAAGUACUGCACCCCAGUACUCAUCACUUGCAUCUGUUUGGAGAAUGCGCUGUCUUUCAGUGGGAAUCUUUAGUGGAAAAGGAUGCGGGGUAAUCUUCUUUAGAUGUUGAACUGCAGUAGUCUGAGAGGGACCCCAUGAUGGAGCAGAUUUCUUAAGUAUUUUUUACAGCUAGCUGGUAUGGAUUGUCACAUGAGGGAAGAAAUCCCGAAGAUAAUUCACAAUGCCUAGAAAUUGCUGAAUUUGUUUUCUGAACAAGUGUUCAUCAGGAAAAUGGACCAAUUCUUAAGCAAUGUGUGGACUAGGGUGGUAAUGACCAUCUUUAAUGACCAUUGAGUUUAUUAGGAUAUACUGGAUACCCUUCUGAUGAAAAACUAUGAAUAGGAAGUUUCUUUUCUUGACCAGUUUGGACUGCUGUGAUCAUAGCAGUAUAAGAAAGCUGUGGACUGUCUGAAACGGGCUUGGUGUCAGGAGUUUGAAAAGACAGUUUGACUUGACCAUUUGGUUGUCUGACAAAUGUAGGUUCUGUGGUUUGUACUGGUUCAGAAUUUUGGUGAAAGUGCUCAUAGUUGGUUAGCCAUUCAAGAGGCAUGAGUUUGAGCAGAUCUUGUUUCUGGAUUUGUUUGGGGAUUUGGAUGAUGGUUGGAAUUGUGUCUGUGUCCGCCAAUAUCAUCAGGGCAUCAGAAGUUGUGUAUGGUGUGGGAAGAUCUAGUGCAUGAUUUUGUAAUCGAUACACCAUUUGAUGAUGGAGGGUUGCAAUCUUUGAUGUGGGUGUUUGUUCUGCUCCUUGGAGCUGGAUGUGGACUUUAAGGGUAGUUGGAAGAUUGGGAUCCUCAAGAGAGAGGUUGAAAUUUGGGUAAAAGGUUAAUAAGACAUUGCCAGCAUGAAGGGUUGUCAGAACUAUUCCAACAACAGCAUGUUGGUACUCCUUGAACCUGGUGUCUAGGAGAGCAAUUCUAGCUAUAACAGGUAAGCCUUUCCGACCAUGAAGAGUGAGAAUUAAUCGUACACCACCAAGAUGGAGGUGUGUGUACCCUUCUCAUUUCCAGUUGGCGACGAGAUCUGAGGGUAUUUCUAUAGUGACAUAUUGUUCACUCUGUGAGGCUUGGAGAGCACACUGAUCCAGUCUAGAAGACUGGAUAUAUUCCUUUGGGUGUGGUCUUUUAGUGGAGAUGAUGAGGGUUCGAAUACUUCUAGUAAGAGAAGUUUUCUGUUUGUAGAGAUUGUAAGGACUCAUGAUGGGAAACUGGGACUCAUUGAUUUGAGCAGAUUCUGGAAUAUAAGAAUAUUCAACAAGAUUCUCAAUUUUGGAGGCUAUGUGUUUAGAGCAUGAUUUGGGGAGAGAGUGUGUAGAAGAAAGAGAAAUAUGAGAUGAAGAUGAAGUAAGAGUUGAGCUUGAAGAUGAAGUUGUUUCCAUGGGUUAUGAAUCUUCUUCUAGGAGAUCAAAUAACAUUAUUCAAAUUACUAAUGACAUAUUCUUUAGGAGCAGGUCUUUUGGUUGAUAUCAAAGUCCUAAUACUCCUGGUAGAGUUUGGUCUCUAAUAUAGUUUGUAUGGGCUUAUGAGAGGCAUAGAAGAUUCACUGAUUUGAGCUGAAUCAAGGACAUAAGAAUAUUCAAUAAGGUUUUCUAUUUUUGAGGUAAGGUGUUUAGUACAGGUUUUCGACAGAGAAAGUGAUGAAGAAAGAGUAACAGGAGCAAGAUUUUCUGAGUUGGAUGAAGAAGCCAUUAGAGAAGUUUUUCCUCUAUUCACCAAUUAAACAGACAUAUCUCAUAUUUACCUCUUCUUGCUAGGUUCUUGCUAGGCUUUGAUACCACUUGGGACAACCACUACCUCCCAAAUAGGGAGCCACUCCUUGGUUGCAGGAUAGGAUGAACCACAGGCUGUGAAUCCUGACAUUCCAACCACAGUUCAUCCUAUCCAGCAGCCAAGGAGUGGAUCUCCUUUUGGGUGGUAGUGGUUGUCCCGAGUGGUAUCAGAGCCUAGCAAGAACCUAGCAAGAAGUGGUAAAAAUGAGAUCUGUUCGACCCCGCACUCACCGGAUUAUAUUAUAACUAGACACACUUAUACUUGAGAGUAACAACACUUUUGAGUUGUGUCAAGUUUUUGGCGCCGUUACUAAGGAGUUUCUUAAAUUUGGCGUUAAUUUUAUUCUUUUUUAUUAUUUUCUAUGUUGAGCAUCUUGCUUAAAUCAUUCCUUUGUUUGGUUCUAGUAAUUCAUUUUGUAUACUUUUAGUUAGGUCAUAAAGACUAGGUUUUUUCUGAACUUAGGUUAUCAGAGCCAUACCCAUCCUUGAAACUUUCAUGUUUUCUAAAUCAACGUUUUCCUGACCAAAAUGGUAUAAUUUAAAAGGCUUUUUCUAUUUUGUUCUCUAGAACUUCAGGUGCAGAGAGAGCUUCUCAUUCAUGGCUUCCACUUCAUCUUCACCUCCUGUUACUCUUUCUUCUACUCUUUCUUUGCCCCGAUCUUGCACUUCUCAUACUACCAAUAAGAUUGAAAACCUUGUAGAAUAUUCCUAUAUCCCUUAAUCAGCCCAAAUCAGUGAGUCCUCCUACCCUCUUAUUAGCCCUUAUCAGUUGUACAAAUGACCUAGCUCCUUUACCCGCAGUAUCCGCACCCUCAUCUCUACCAGACGCCCUCACCCUAAAGAAUACAUCCAGUCUUCCCGCCUGGAUCAGUGUGCUCUUCAAGCCACCUCUGCUGAGCAAUAUGUCACUCUGGAGAUUCCCUCCGAGUUGCUCUCCAACUGGAAACGAGAAGGUUAUACUCAUCUUCAUCUUGGAGGCAUCAGAUUAAUCCUUACUCUUCAUGGAAGAAAACGCUUACCAGUUACAGCUCGCCUUGCUAUGCUUGAUACUCGGUUUAAACAGUACCAAGAUGCUGUUAUCGGCACUGUUCUCACCACCCUCCAUGCAGGAAGUGUUUUACUUACCUUUUACCCAAACUUCAACCUUUCUCUCCAAGAUCCCAACUUGCCCACAACCUUGAAAGUCCAAGUUCAGAUCCAAGGUGCUGAACAAAUUUCUUCUGCCAAAAUUGCCACCUUACAUCACCAAUUGGUCUAUAGGCUUUAAAAUCAUGCCUUAGAUCUACCCACUACUGAACAUCAUUCUGAUACCCUCAUGGUCUUAGCUGAAUCUAACCAGAUCCCAACCAUAAUCCAAAUCCCAAGACAACUUCCUCGUCAUGAGCUCAUCAAGCUUAUGCCUCUUGAAUGGAUCUCCAAUUAUGAACAGUUCCAUAACAAUACAGCUCCAAUUCAGACCUCUGAAAGCAUGUUUGAAAGAUGCCAAGAUGGAACAGUCCGAAUGACUUUUAAACCACCUCCGAGUGCUCCACAAGAGCCUCCUCGGCUCUCCUUUACCUAUUCUUCAAUGAUCACAGCUGUUCAGACAGCCCAAGAAGAUCUGCCCAUUUCAGGGUUCAAUUCUGAAGGCUACCCUGUUUAUCCAGCCAAGCAAAAUGGUCAUUUCCUAUGGGAUGCCCCUGGCUCAGGCAUGUGUGACCCAAAUUGUCCCUGCUGGGAUGAUUGGGACGACGACGAUGAUUAUGCCACCACAAGGAAAAAGAAACCCAAAAAGAAAAAACCUUCAGUUUCCUGCCACCACUAUGAUCCCAAACUGCCACAGGAUCCUCCACCUCCACCAGCUCCAUUACCCUUUUACCAAAGAGAACUCAAAUGGAUUGCAAAGCAUUGCAAAUCUGAGACUCCAUCACUAAUCCCACUUCCAACACCACCACUCACUUGUCUGAUGUUUUCAUCUACCCCUUCAGACUAUUCUUCCUCUUUUCCUCCUUUAGACACUCACACAGAUUCCCAACGAAAUGUCGUGUCCAAACCCUUUGUCUCUUCACCAAUUACCUCAUCUGGCCACCUAGAACCUCCUAAACCUUUUGAAUCAGUCCUCAACUGGCAAACCCAAAAUGCUAGAGCACAGAAUGAUACUUUGUUGAAUAUUAACUCAAAAGUUGAGAAUAUCAGUUUACGAACUGAACAACUUGAGACAAAAAUUGACUCCAUCUCUGCACAAAUGCAGCAGAUCCACUAAAAUCUCCAGUCCAUAAUUACUCAACUCGAUUCUGGGCUACGAGCUAUGCUUGCUCAGCGCUAUUAUGGCCCAGAAUUUGACCAAAAGGAAAGGGAAAUCAGACGCUUAAAAGCUGAACUUGCUCAGAUUGAAUCUGAAAAACAAAGACCUACCCUUUUUACCACGUCACCUCCUAUCCCUUCCAUAGGUCCAACUUAUCAUCCCUUUGCCUCUAUGCUUUCACCCAUCAGACAGUAUGAUCCUUUCAAGUUAUUUUGCAUGACCCAUACUCUUUUCAGAGACAAUCCCUUACCACCACCACCUAAACCUAAACCAAAGCCUAAACCACAACCACGACCUGUUACAUUUCAUCAGUCAUCUAUUACCAUCCCUGGCCAACACUCUCCUAGUCAUACUCCGGCAUCGCCACCAGUACCUCCUCCACCAACUGAAUCUCAACCACCUUCUCAAUCCAAAGAUAAACAACCAAUGCACCAGUUCAGUGCCCACACAGUCGACCACUCUUCUACUACAGAUGACCAAACUUCUGAUUUAAAUCUAGCUGUUUCUGAUAGCCAUACUGAGACUGACACAGAAUCUUCAGUAUCUACUAGUGAUUCUGAAAAGUCCUAUGCAGAUAUCACCAGAAUUUUGAUGGCCCAACCUGAUCAACCUCCUCCAGGCCAAACUUCCCAUACAGAACCAUAUGUUGAUAUUCCCUCAGAAGUUGAAGAAGAAAUGCCUGAAUCCUCUGCCACGAACCAACCCCCUCCAGCUCAAGCACAUACCAGUUCACCCAGUCAAAAAUCUUCAAAUGGCCCAUGGUUCACAUUUGAUGAUCUCCCCUCUCAUAAAUGGCGUGAUCGCCUCAAUGAAAUGUCUGCCUGGAUUGACCUUCAAAUGCUACGUCCAGGAGCCACAACUCAAUCAGUUCUUAGAGAAUUUGCUACUCGUUUUACGGGUGCUCUAAGAGAUUGGUUUGAUUCUCUAGGCAACUACAGACAAUUGCAGUUUGUUCAAUUACCAGAAGUCUCAAGUGCCCUUGCGGUUAUCCAUGAUCAAUUCCUUGGAGACCCUUCUGCAGUUUUUGAAGCUGCACGACGAGACUAUCUCAACAUGAAAUGCUGUUCCCUUGAUGCUAAGGAUCUUGACUUCCAUUACAAGCGAAUGUCCCUACUGUUUUAUAAGCUUAAUGGAUUCAAUGAGCCAACAUUAAAGCAUGUCUUUCUAGCUUCCCUUCCAGAUGAACUCCAACUAGACAUUCAAAGACAACUCACCGCAUCCAAUCUUUCCCUUGACAACAUCUCUCUUGGCAAAAUUUUCCAGCUUGCCAAAACUUGUCUCGAUAAACUUUGCGAACAGAAGCAGUUUUUUAAAGAACUGUUGAAAGACAAAGAACCAUUCCGGAGUGCCUGCAAAAAGCCUUAUUUGCAGAUCAAAUGCAAAAAGAAAAAGGAUUGUGAUUGCAGUCCUAAAAAGAAAAGGCAUUUUAAGAAAUUCAGAAAUCCAGAAUUUUCAUCCAGACCCCGCCGAUCUAGAAAGCCUUACAGAUUCUUUUGAAAGAAGUCAUCUUCUUCCAGAGACUUUAAAUGGAGAAAAUCAAGCAGAUGCUUCAUUUGCAAGAAGAAAGGCCAUUAUGCCAAAGAAUAUCCCAACAAACGAGAAAAAUCUAUUCGGUUAGUUGAGCAUCUUCAAGUAACUACAGAUUACUCUCCAGCAAAGGAUGAACUGGAAUUAUAUUUCUCUGAACAAGAUGAACCCAAUGAUGAAACAGUGUUUGCACUGCAGAACUCCUCUGAUGAUUCAGACAGUGAUCAGUCCCAAGCCAUUUUCCACCAACAGUUACUGUCCCUUGACACUACUAUUCCUAUACCAUCCAUCAAACUCCAAAUCUUGCCCUCGAAGUUCCAAAGGCCCAUUCCAGCAAUUGGUCUCAUCGACACUGGUGCCCAACGCAGCAUGUUAAACCCAUAUCUUCUUCCACCAGAAUACUGGACAGACUAUGAAGAACAUUUCAAAGCUGUCAAUGGCAAACUCUUCACCACCUCUUUACUUACCAAAAAACCCAUUGGUAUCUAAAUUUUCCCAAAUUGUGUCAUUUAGACCAAAGUUAUCGGUUCAACUCUUCCUAAUAAAGAUCUCUUAUUAGGUUUUGACAUCCUUCACCAGAUCAAACACCUCCAAAUCCUUCCCAAUGGAAUUCGAGUCAAGUCCAUGUUCAAACCUUUCACAGACAUUCUAAAACUCUACCAUUUGUCUGAAACCUCUCAACCCUACCAGGAUAUUUCAAACAAGCUUUUGAGUUUCUGUCCAGAGUCCCAUUCUGAGUUCAUCCAUCCAAACCCAUUAUGGAAAAAUAAGUCUUUCUUCAUUAAGUUACCUUUCAAACUCAAUGAAGACAUUAACCCAACCAAAGCUACUCACCCAGGAAUGAGUCCUUCUGAUUUACUCCUAGCCCAACAAGAAUGUUCCCAAUUGUUAGCCCAAGGUCUUAUUGAGCCCAUAAACUCCCAAUGGGCUUGCCAAGCCUUUUAUGUUUAAAAGCAUUCUGAAAUUGUUCAAGGAAAGAAACGCCUAGUCAUUGACUAUCAGCCAUUAAACAUGUUUUUACAAGAUGACAAGUUUCCCUUGCCCCGUCGACAAAGCAUGUUUACUUUUCUAAAAAAUGCCCAGAUCUUUUCAAAAUUUGAUUUAAAAUCAGGUUUCUGGCAAUUAGGCAUUGAACCCUCUGAGCGUUACAAAACUACUUUUUGUAUCCCAAAUGCCCAUUUUCAAUGGACCGUCCUACCCUUUGGCCUCAAAACUGCCCCAUCCAUCUUCCAAAAAUCCAUGGUCAACAUCUUUCAGCCUAUUCUGCAUCAUGCAUUAAUUUAUAUUGAUGAUAUUUUGCUUUUUUCAGGAUCACAUGAUGAACAUCGUCAGCUGUUAACUCAAUUAUAUGAUAUUGUCCAAAGUCAUGGAAUUAUGUUAUCGGCCAAGAAAAGCACCAUUGCUAUCGACAAUAUUGAAUUCCUUGGUAUGAUCAUAAAAAAUGGCCAUUAUCAACCAGAAAAACACAUUGCCCAAGAAUUGCUUCACUUUCCAGAUCAGCAACUUUCCAAAAAGCAAGUUCAACAGUUUCUCGGCAUCAUCAAUUACAUUAGAGACUUCAUCCCACAUGUGGACCACUGCACUCAUCACCUUUCGGCUUUAUUGAAAAAGAAGCCCCCAGAAUGGAAUGCUGACUACACAAAUGCUGUCACUACUCUCAAGCAGAUUGUGCAAAAUCCGCCUCCUUUAAAGUUGAUUACUGAUGGAAAGCGCAUAUUGCAGACAGACGCAAGUGAUGACUCAUGGGGUGCCAUCCUCCUUGAAGAUAUCAAUAGCAAAGAACACUUUAUCGCUUACGCUAGUGGACAAUUUUCUGACACACAGAAGCACAACCAUAGCGUGUUCAAAGAAAUCUUAGUGGUAAAGAAUGGCAUCAAAAAGUUUGAGUAUCAUCUGAUUGGACACCAUUUUCUCAUCCGUAUGGACAGUUCAGCCUUCCCCAAUAUUCUCAAUUUCAAAGGUAAAACUGUUCCCGAAAAAAUGUUACUCAGAUUAAAAGAUUGGUUUUCCAAAUAUGACUUUUCGGUCAAGCAUAUAAAGGGAUCCCAGAACCUCAUCCCUGAUAUGCUAUCCAGACUCUCAAAACCAAAAAAACCUCUCACCCUGUUUUCCACUACUUACCACUUUCCGAUCAUCUCCAUGGCUACAUCACUAACCCCAGAAGCUCUCACCAAGAAAAAUUUUCCUUUUAAUAAAACCUUUUCUUCUGUCUUUGCCAUCCAAGAGUUUGCAAGAAAAGCUCUCUUUCGCUUCUUCAUGAAAGCCUACCUUGUCACAUAACCUUUUCCAUUUUCCUCCUUCCACACAGAAAAUCUGUUCCUUACAGGUUUAACCCUUGAUCCAUCUAGAGAAACCACUGAAGAUGUGUUAUGGUACACCUGGUGCCUAACAGUCUUUUAUGCCCCUAAGUUAGUCCUACCAAUUACUCCCACUUUGGAACAUCUCCUUGACCCAGACAAAGCCACCUCUCUUACCUGGACAUUACUUGAAUGGUUCUCCCCAAUACCAUGGUGGAGAAAGAAGCUACAGCAAUUGUCCGAGAUCUACAAUCUUGAACGUAUGCCUGCCUCUGAAGCACAAAUGUUCACCUCAGUCUUUAUCAUUCACAGGCCAUACUUCCAACAUCCAGACACAAAACUCUUUUGGACUCAAGACCAGGUAUAUGAAUGGUUCACUGCACCACAUCUAGCUGUCAUUGAAAAUGAAAUCCAAGAUGUCCUCCACAACUACCUUUGCCAAUUAAACCACCAACCUCCACCACUUAAAGACAUCUUCCACACCUCCUUAGGCCCACAACAUGACCUCCUCAUGAUCCCCACUCCAUCCACCAUAUCCAAACCGAAAUCCACGGGAAUCAUUAUCAAAGAAGAAAAGCCAGACUACACUGACUUCCUUUUCCAAGACUCCCAAGACCCCUGGGAAGAUUUCCUUGCCCUCAGCCAACAUCUCCAACAGUUUCCACAACCAUCCAUGAAUGAACCAGGAUCCUCAUCCCAACCUCCCAAUGCUGACACGGUCACUAAACCCUCCAAAGUUGACAAAGCCACUCAAACAUCACCAAGGCCAGGAUACCGACGAGAUUGUCCUUAUCCCCCUUGCCGUGGUCCCCACUGUAAGCAUCCAAAGCUCUCCAAAACCUUUUUCCCAAAAUCCAACUGUGACAAUCCCUAUGAAACUGAAACCUCAUCCGCAGACGAGUACAUGAAUCUCUGCUCUCCAUAAAGUUGUUUGUCUUGUUGCUUUCAAUAAAGUAGUUUGUCUUGUUGUAAUAAUUAUGUUUUACUUUAUGAUUUUGUCUUGGCUUGCCUUACGCUUUGACUUUUGCCACUUGUAAAAGUCUUUGUAAGCAUGCUUUAUCUUUUGUCCAUUUGUCUAAAGUCUUGAUUGGUGGACUUGGCUUUCUAAAAAGGUGUGCUAUAGGUCAUGAUCACUUGAGAAGUCAUGAUCUAUGUUGUCAUAUCUUUACUUUUGCUUUUGAAAAAAGAUAGGGGUCCUGUCCUAUCUCAUCUGAGAAUUCUCCUAUAUAAAGGAUUCUCCCCUUGCUUGUAAUAGAUAGAAUAUAAAAGUUUGAAGCAAAAAACUCUCGUGUGUUUUUAUCACUAUGAAUCUCUAAACCUCUCUCCUCUCUCUGCAAAUGAAGCUCUCUAGAGAAAGAAAAAGAAUAAAGAAUUAAAUUUGUUCAUUUUGAAACCUAAGGAAGUAUGCUCUGCACUUGCCUUUUGCAAGGAUCCUGUGCAUUAGAAAACUUUUGAUCGUUUUCUUAUCUGGUUUGGUACCCUGUUUUAGACUAAAGGAAAGUCUGUUUUGGGUUGUAUAACCCGAGAUGAAAAAUGUUUUAAAGGCUUUUCUGAUUCCCCAUUUGAGUAUAUCGACGGGAAACCGACGACGUAAAUUCCAGAGGUGAUCCUGAAUAGGCACUAGUCUGGUCUGCACUGUCGGAUAACAAGUCACGUACCCUAAAUGGUAUCAGGAUUACCAUAAAACUUAUGAAUAAUUUCAUCUUAGCCAAGAAAAUUUUACAAAUCAGUCCCUAAAUCGAAUUGGAACUUGGAUCUUUGAAUUAUAACUUAUUCUUUAGAACUUUUGACUUAAGAGCUAUGUCAACUUGGACUUUUGGACAUUAUGGACAAGGAUUCGAACUUUUAAAAUUACAAUUAAGGACCAGAAAUUAAAUUAAUUUUUUAAUCAGUUGGCAAUUAUUAAAAGUUGUUAAAAAAAGAAAGUUCCACACCUUAAGGUAAGUAUGUCUUUUCUUUUGUUCAUUUAAUUUAUGCACUUUUUUAUUUUCCUUUGCAUUUUUUUGCUAAUUUAUAUGGUCGGUUCAACUGCCUAAAUUGUUAUUUAAAUUUUAAUAAAUUUAUUUUCAAAUCUAUUUUUAUUCUUGUAAUUUUUAUUCCACAUUUAAUUUAUGUUUUAUUAUAUGGCUGGUCCUAAAAUAUUGCCUAAACCAUUAAUAUUUUGUUAAUUGUUUCCUUUAAUUACUUUGUUUAUGUGGCUGGUUUAUUUCAGUUUGUUUAUUCUUAUUUCGCAUUUAUUUAUUUUUAAUUUCUAUACAUUUAUUUGCAUAUUUAAUUUUCAGUUUGUUUUUAAUUGUGCAAUUUUAGUUUAGUGUUUUAUACAUCAUUCAUUUGAUUAGCACACAUCAUUAGCAUUGCAUGUGACGUUAGCCUCGUACAGAUAGUGGCAGAUUAAUUAGGAGAUCACCUUCACCACUCUUAGAUACGGCUGACAUUGGAGCUAAUAACUUUUCAGAGCACAAAGAUAACCAAGCCUUGUAAAAUCUUCAUGAACAGCCUAGGACACUUAGCGAUUUCAUGCAUCUACUAGAACAGGGUCACUAUCAUGCAUAGUUUUUCCCCCUAGUAUCAUUCAACUUCUAUAUACUUUUCAUGGUUUUGAGUCUGAAAUCCAUACUUGAAUUUGAGAGAAUUUGAGGAAGUUUGUAAUACUUGUACUGAUCAAAAUUGUAGCAUGAACAUAAUCAACUUAAGUUAAAUCUUGACUACAAAAUCUUAAGUCAGGAUCUAUCAGAAGACAAAUCACCACUUUCGAAAAUAGGUCUUGGAUAUUAGUGCAAUUUUACACAUUUAGGUUCUUCUUAGAUUGGAUUUUCUUAGUUUGAUCAGUGUUGUUGGCUUCCUCUUGUGCUGCUGGAAAUGAACUAUGUUGUUGGCUUUCUUUGUGUUGGUAGAAAUGACUCUGUUGUUGGCUUCCUUAUGCCACUGGAAAUGGACUAACUGAUCAUGGUUCAUUAAUGUUGUACAUGUUGCUGGAAUUUAGUUUUAUGUUGUCACAAUACUCUACUAUUUACGUUGGACUUUUCAACAAUAAUUAGUCAAUGUUAUUCAUUUCAUUUUCUUCGUCAGUGAAUUUUUAAUUGCAAUAUUAAUUUUAAUAAUAUAAUUAAUUAGCUAAUUUAUGAAAUAUUAAUUUCUAAUAAAUCAAUUGUAGGAUUUUUAUAAAAUGAUAAAUAAUUUCAUUGGUACAAACAAAAUAUUCAUUUUUUAUUAAUUAUAAUUUCAAUUUUCAAAUUAAUUGAAAAAAAUUAAUUAUGCUUUCCAUUUUCAUGCUAAAUUUAAGAUUUCCCGUCAAAAGUUUGAAAUAUAGAGCGCGAAAUUAAAAAAAAAAAGAGCCAAAUUCAAAAUUAUUAUAUUUUCUCUAAAUAAAGUUAUAUCUAUCACAGGCUAUGACUAGCAUUGUUCUAUCAUCAAUUCUUGACGCUGGCUAUAAUGAUGGUACGAACAACCGUCAUCCACCCCCUAUUAUGACAGUUUUUGCUUUACUAUUUGUAAUUUUUAUUAAUUAAAAUUCAUUUUUCUAACAUCUAGAUAGUAUUACAAACUACAUGAAAAUUUUCGAUCGCAAAGAUGAAAUUUCCCAUUAGAAAUUUCAAAAUAAACCAAGAAAUUAGAGAGAUAAAAAAGGAGUACAAAGUAAGCAUUGCAACGAACGAAGAGGGGUUCUUCAAAAAACAAGUGUAAAUGCUUUACUUUAUUUCCUCCGAAUAAGACUAUAAGAAGUUUAUCUAUUCAGUCCUUUAAUUAGAUAAAAAGGUUUGUAUCGAUUGUAAAAGGAAAGAAGGGCUGCAUAUAUAAUUUUUUCUGUUGUAUCGUUUUACGAGCUAAUCAUUAUCAUUUGAUUCCCUAAAACUUAAAUUCUAAGGAUUAUUUUGGUUGUCUAAUUUUCGAAUCGUGACCAAACAAUAUAAAUAAGCCAAAAAGCCAACAAGGGUUUAGAUAACGGCUUUAACAAGAAAUGCUUGAAAGUGGGUGUUUAACAACCUUUUUGCCGCUUUUUGGCUCUCUUUGGAAAUUAUUAGUUGGACGAUAAUUACAUUGACCAAAAAGCAACAGUGCUUGGAUUACUUGGAUCAAAACUUUUUGUAAAUCUAAUACGAUGGAUUUAAUAUCCCUUACGCAUUUAUAAACUUUUAAGACAUAAUGUAAUUGGUUGAGUUUAGUACCAAGUCACAUGAAUUAUUUUUAUUAUUUAUAUUUUCAUCUAACUAGUAAAUUUAUGUUACAUCAGCACAUCAAAGGUAAACAGAACCUCAUCCCAGACUUCCUUACACGCCCGGCUAUAAAUAAACCCUCGCUCUUCUCUUCAACUCACAUCAUCCUAGUCAUAGCCAUGAAUCAGCAACUUCCUUUCAUUUUGUUGAAUUCGGGACCCCAGAUAUGAUUGUUUAUCAUUUGUCCUGUUAACCUUUUACCCAAACUUCAACCUCUCUCUUGAGGAUCCCAACUUGCCUACAACCAUCAAAGUCCAGAUCCAUCUCCCAGUACAGAAAAAAGAAGCAUAACCGUUGUUUCAUCUGUAAGAAACGCGGUCACUUAGAAACCCUUUUCUAAAGCUUGCAAAAAACCCUAUCUCCAAAUCGAGUGCAAAGAUGAGAAGAAAUGUUUUUAAACAGUUUUUCACGAUACCACCCAAAAACACGGCACUCAUGGCCUUCAAAGAGGGUGAACGUUGUGAGAAAACAAUUUCUUUUUACAAAAAGAAAAUUGACCGAGUCGCUAGUCAAGUCUCCCAGACUGAAACCAAGGUGGAUUCAAUCAGUAGCCGUCUUGAUCAUAUGUAGAUACAUCUUUAGGACAGAAAAUCUUGUUGAGUAUUCCUAUAUCCCUAAGUCUGCUCAAAUAAGUGAAUCUCAAUUUCCCGUCAUGAGUCCCUACAACUUAUAUAAGCAGAAAACUUCUUUCACCAGAAGUAUUCGUACCCUGAUCUCUACCAAGAGACCACUUACUUGCAAAGCAAGAAUGUUCUCAGUUACUUCAGCAAGGUCUGAUUGAACCAACUGAUUCAGAUUGGGCUUGUCAAGCCUUCUAUGUUGAAAAAAGGUCCGAAUUAGUUUGUGGUAAGAAGCGGUUAGUUAUUGAUUACCAGCCACUCAAAUCUUUUCAGAUUGCACAUAUGGGCUUCAGGAACAUCCCAUAAAAAAUGACCAUUGAUUUUGUCAAGAUAUACAGGAUACCCUUCAGAUGAAAAACCAUGGAUUGGAAGGUUCUUUUUUCCUCAGAUUAUUGGGAAAACCAUUCCAAACUAUUCAGAGCAGUUAAUGGCGAAACAUUUGAAACCACUUUGAUUACAACUUCCUUUCAAAGCUCUCAACCAAAGAUCUUUUCCUAUGAACUUUCCUUUUUCUUCAGCCUACCAAAUCCAAGACUUUGCUAAGAAAUUCCUUUACAGGUAUGUUUGUUUUUCAGGCGGAGGAAAAGAUUCCUCAUAAGAUUGACUUUGACUUGAAAACAUUAGGCAUGACCGUAUUGGAUGGACAAGAGGUUUGGAAUCUGUUGGAGAUCAGGUUGAAGUUCUGAAGGGAGUGAGGCUAUGAAGACAUGCUUGAGGGACGGUUCAUUGAAACCGUUCAGUUUGUAAAAUAGAAUACUCAUUCUUUUGUAAUGAGAUUCUAAAAGAUGUCUUUUGAGAGAACAACAUCUCAUCUGAUGAUAUUCUUUUCGUCCUUGCUUGGAUGACACGGAUGUUGAUGAUGAACUGGAAGUUAUGAGAAGAAAGAAAAAGAAAAAGAACAAACCUUCUCAUCCAAACCUUCCCAGUACAGAAAAAAGAAGCAUAACCGUUGUUUCAUCUAUAAGAAACGCAGUCACUUUGCUCGGAACUGUUCUCAUAAAUCUGCUCCUCUGACCUUCUAUGGACACUCCUAGAAUGGUAUUCAUAUACUGAGUAUGCUCUGCACUUGCCUUAAGCCUAAGGAUCCUGUGCAUCAGAAAGGUCCUGGACAAUCCGGAUUGCACAUAUGGGCUUCAGGAACAUCCCAUAAAAAAUGACCAUUGAUUUUGUCAGGAUAUACAGGGAUAAGUUUUCCAUUCAUAAGCCAUGUCUUGAGUCCAAAAGUCUCUGGUUUCUGGGUGUUGGAAAUAUGGCCGGUGAACAAUGAAAACUGUGGUGAACAUGUUUGCUUCGUGUUCUGGCAUCCUUGAAAAGACAGUUUGACUUGGCCAUUUUGUCGUCUUUCAAACGUGGCUUCUGUUGUUUGUACUGGUUCAGAGUAAUCAUCACUGGCAUCUGUUUGCAGAAUGCGUUGUCCAGUUGUAGGAGUCUGAGGGAGACAUACCCGGAUGAGAGGCUUUUGUAGGGUUUAUGUCUUCGUUGAGUUUGAAGGGAAGAUUUGCUUAUAGGUUUUGACAUCCUCCAUUUAGUCAAAAAUCUAUUCCUUACCAGUUCUGGAAUUCGCUACAAACACAUACAAGAGUUUAUCAUUAUUCAAUUUACUUAUAUUAAACAUAGGAUCUGCCACUCAGGUUGUACUCAUUUUCUCAAAAAUAUUAUAAACUUUGUAACAGUAGAGACUCUUACCCCAUCUAAUAAUUGGGUGGGGUAGGUAGCACAAUUGUAAUAUUAACUGGAAGAGUUAUGAUUUAAGUUGGCUACAAUAGAUAUCUUACUAUAAAUACUAGCAGACCUUGUAUAAAAAUUUAGGUUAUGUAACAAUAUAAAUAAUUUAGGUUGAUGUUAGUAGAUUCCUAAUUGUAAACCAAACAACUUCAAAAUUAGCCUAAAUCUUUUUUUAAAUUAAAAACAUUUUUUUAGUGUUUCCCCCUUUUUUGUAAAAAUUUCCUUAAUUCAUAUUAUCAUUAAUGCUAUCAUGGCAAAUAUAUAACAGAUUCCUAAUUGUAACAUAUGUAUGUUAGAGAAUUUUGGAAACUUAAGCCCAAAUAUACUAAUUUCGCCAGAUAAAAUGAUCAACAAAGUUAAAAUUGUCAUAACAAUAAGAGGGUCUGAAUUAAUGUAUUAUAAAAUAUUAAGAAAGUUUUGUUUAAUUUCACCAAAUAAUUAACCGAAAUUAUGUUCAUUUUUCCUGCAAACUAAGAUAUGUAAAAUUGGAGUAUGAACAUUUUGUUAACUUCUAAUAACUGACGACUAAAUUAAUUACCUCAGUAGUUAGUUCAUUUUUGUCACUUAAUCGAGUGGUUUGAUUACUUGUAUAAGUUGGAAACAAGAAAUUAAGUACGUUGUUUAAUAAGCAAGAAGAGAUUUAAAGGAAUUUAUUAGUAUGGUAUAUGACAAAUAAGCAAGCACGAGAGCGAGAUUUAAUCAGAAAGUUUGGUACAAGAGAGAAUGGUAAUGCUGGUGAUGUUCCAGCAGAAACAAAGACAGUUACAAAUCUCCAAACUUUGAUCUUUUCGUGCCCUUUAAAUUCAGUUUAAUUCUACGAUAAUGUUGUGGUUCAAUUGUUGGAACUAGCCAAACAUGGAGAAAGCACGCACCAAGUCUGCACUUAAGGUUUUUAUGCUUCCUGUCAAUAAACUCCAUUUUGGCAAUUGGUUUUUGUAGAAUAAAUUACUAAUUAAACCUUUUUUUUUUUUAAAGUUUGUCAAAGCUAGUUCACAAUCUACAGGUUCGUGGAGUUCCUCAGCAAAUAGAAUGGUGAGAUACAUUAAACUUUAUCCAACUCUAGAAGCCCAUUCAAUUGUUUUGCCACAUCAGCAUCUAAUUGAGUCUAAAAUAAAAAAUAGUUAACAAUCGCCGAUAUCGGAGUGACAAAAACAAUGACACUGUACAGUGCUCCGAGUUGGUAUAUUAUAAAGACGCUGUCUGGGCAACACUGUUUGGGCCAAAUAUCAUGAUUACUCAUAAUUUAAAAAAUCUUACCACAUGCCCAUUUAUUUUGAAAAUUGUUGAAUAAGAUUGUAGUUAAAAUAAAUGAAUCUACAUCACAGAUUUCACAUUAGUAGCUUACGAAUAAGUCAGGAACUUAUACGUUCUAAACUAAACUGAUCAACGGCAUCAACUACGAUAAAAAGAGAAAAUAUAGCUGAUAUAUUAUUAUUAUUUUCGGGUACAAUUUCAAACUGAUUGCUUCAUAAAAGAUUUUGUAGUAGUUUUUUUCAAGUAAUUGAUUUCAAAAGCAGAACUUUCUUUCUAUCAUAACCUUAAAAAUUCGAAGUGAUUAUAAUGUAAUAAUUCAUUUAUAACAGCGCUAGUUCUUUCAUAAAUAUUACAUUGCAAGCUUUAUUUUCAUUUUUCCAUUUUUCAUCCGGGGAAUUAGAUAACACCAGUUACAUCACCACUUUAAUUUUCUGCAUCAAUAUAUCAUAUAUAAAUGAAUUCUUGACAGGCAAAAGACUUUUGUAACAAACAUUAUAAGGUAGGCUUAUUUCUAUUUUAAUCAAAUAUCAAUCCUACAAUCUCUCUUUGAAGUAUAAUUGAGAGAUAGAUCCCAUGCAUGCAUUCCUAUCUUCAAUAUCAGGCAAAAGAAAACACAAAGCCGCAGGAGUUCACACUCCAUACUCAACAAAGAGCUGUUAAACGAGCAAUGUUCAACUAUUCUGUGAGUAUGUAAUAUAUGUAUUUAAUUAUAGUUUACUCAAAUAUAUCAACUUACUAUUCAGGUCAGAUUUUAAGCCUUUUGUGAGCUCUUUGAUGCACACAGGUUGCAACAAAACUAUACCUUCAGGAGCUACAAAAGAAAAGAGUGGAGAAGUUGCAGAAGGUAUAGCUACUAUCUCUUUAAAGGGUGUUCACUUUAUGGAAGUGACGCUGUUACAUGGUGCUAUUUAAUUAAUCUAUUACUUCAAUAUUAUUUUCAAAACAAUCAUAAAAUUGUGCCAUAUAUAUGUCUAGAUGCUCACUAUAUAUGUAUAUAUAUAAUUUAACAUUGUGUCUAAGUCAUCAUUUGAAUUUGAUGAACUUGCAGAUGAUAGAAGAAGAGGAGAUACGAUUGAUGAGAAACGAGAUGAUUCCAAGAGCUCAGUUGAUGCCUCUAUUUGAUAGACCUUUCUUUCCACAAAGGUUUUUGCAUAUAUAAUCUAGAGCAGAUCAAUUAUAUAAUUUUAGUUAUCCAUUCUCAACUACAAAUGUUGUUUCUUAUUGAAGAAAGGAUAAAUAAUAUAAUUUUAGUCUCUAUAGUUUGUGCUAAUUAUUCAUUUGUUCAUAUAAUUCGUGAAUUUUUAAAAAUAUUCCCGUUGUUACUUUUGUAGAGCUGUUGAAUUUGAUUUUUAAGGAUAAAAUAAUACUUUUGUUUCAUUAAAAUUAAAAUUAACCUAACAGAUGAAAAAUAAAAAUAGAUAAUAAUUGAAUAGAUUUUAACGAAAACAGAAACAUGAACCUUUUGGAUUAUAUCAACUUAAAUUCUCUUUUUCCUUAUAAUUUACAGAUCAACCGACCGUAUGGCACACAACAAGGGUUGGAGCUGCAUCUCUGAUAAUGAGAUCUACAGUUUUGAUCACUCUUAUGCUUGGAAGCCCUUAAAAUAAUAUAAUUAAUAAGAUUACCAUUUGCUUGAUUAAUAUUUGUGUAUUCAUAAAAAUGAUUUGCGCAUUUAUGUUGCACAGCUAGGUUUCUUUGACUCAGCAACCUUUAUACGGUGUAUUCAAAAUAUAAAAAAGUAAAUCUUAUUUUAUUGUUUGUUCCAUUUUAACUAGUAGAUACACUUGUUCAAAAUUUCAUUAGAAUCAUACAACCAUAUGAAAAUGUAAAUUUUUGUGAAAACAUCAAUAUAUGAGAUAAAAGCUAUACAAUUUUUGUUGUGGGAUUUCAACCUUUCCACGUAUCCUAAACUAAUUGUCUAGACAUGCUUUCAUUUUCUCAGAUUAUCUUGUGUUGAAUUGGGAUUUUGACCGAUAAUAUGAUGGCAUAUAAUACUGAGUUGUCAGUUCAUGAGUUACACCAAUGAUAGGUGAUGGGAUAAUGAUUCCCUUAUUAAGAAUUUCAAUAGUGACACUAUUUGUGUUGAAUCAUAGUUAAAUAGAUAAAUUAGAGAAUCAACUUAUCUAUAUAGAUAGUAGUUUGGGAGCAAAGUGCCCCAAAUAAAAGAUGGAGAGUUGGAUGGAGAGUGCCUCAAGUAAAAAAUUGAGAAUUAGAUGAAGAGACAUUAAAACUAAGUUGAUUAUAGUUUUGGUGUUGAUUGAAUAAUUUGAACUAAAGUGAAGCUUAGUACUAAAAAAUCCUAAAAAUAGAUUGAAUAUAGUCAAGUUUUGAAUGAAUAAUUUGAACAAAAGUGUUAGAAAUGCGAGUUGGUAUUUCAAAAUAUCAAUAUCCCACAUUACUAAGAAAAGAGAGCACAAAUUUAUUUAUAUAUGGAAUUCAAAUAUGGUUUGCUAACAAGCCUAUUAUCAGGAGGUCUAUGAGCAUGAAACCAAGCCCAAAGAGGAUCCCCUUUUGGAAACCUUUAAUUGGACACACAGUGGGAUCCCCCCCCCCCCAUGCCCCCCAAACGAAGUGUCGUGUAUGUGCAUGGGGUUGACCUAUUUUUAAGUUUUUGCCCUUUAUUUAUUUUAUUUUGAGUUAUUUUGAUUUGUUUAUUUUAUUAUUUUAAUUUGACUUAUAUUGAGAAUUUGAUUCCUAUUCGAAUUAGGAUUUGUUUAAAUCAAAGAGAAAUUUGGGCUAGGGCUUGUAUCUACAAAAGAAACUGCUUAUACCAUACGAUUGGCAUUCGAAAAUUGUUUAGGCCCUCAGUUUCCUUUAAUUUUCUUCGUCUUUCUACUAUUCAAGCCUAUCGUCCAUAGUAGUCAUUGUAUCUUGGAGAUCAAGCUGCUUUGUUUGUCCUUCUUUCACCGAGUUAUCAACACUUAAGGUGUAAAAUUUGGUCUUAAUUGGAUUCCUUGACUAUUUUGUUGUUUGCUACUUCUAUAAAUCAAAGAUCAUUUAUUGUGAUCACUUAGGGUGAAAUUUGGUCUUAAGGACUCUGUUGUACUUAUAUUGUUGACUCUAUUGUGUUUACUUUAUCUUGAAUUUGGAGUAAAUUAUUUUAAAUUAUAGUUUUACCCUUAUUUAAAGAAUUCUAGUUUUUAAUUACAAAGUGAAAAAAAUAUAUUUGUAAAAUAAACUAUUUUUUAUUAUUAGUUUUAAUUAUGUAAAUUAAUAAUUAUGAAUAUUCUUAAUUAUGUAAAUCAUAAUUUAUUUAUUUAUUUAAAUUUUAAUUAUGUAAAUUAAAUAAUAUAAUACAAAAUUAAUAUUUUCUUAUAAUAAACUAUUUAUUAUUAUUAAUUACUAAUAUUAAAUAAAUACAAUACUAUUAAAAAUUAAAUAAAUAUAAUUUAUUAUUUUUAAAUAAAUGUAUCAUUAUUUCAUUUUAAUAAUAUAAUUAUAUUAUAUUUAAUAAAGGAAUGAUAAAAAACGAAGAGGGAGUGGAAUCCCACUCCUCACUCAAAAAAUGAGCGGGACCUACAAAGUGGGACUCCUACUCCCCUUUAUAAAUGCGCAAGUAAACAUUAAAGUAGGAAGAAUUCACACUCUCUACUCCCACUGUAGCAAGUAAACGAGCUAUAAGUUUUGGGAGUUAUGAUUCUUGAGGUUUUUGUAUGAUUUUUAUGGGUAUUAUGUGUUGAAGAAUUUUUGAUUAAAUGAAUACCAUGAGGAUUAAGGAAAUGCACUGGAUUUAUAUGACAGUUAAUAACUCCAAAAGUUAUUUAAAAUUUUAUAUUUUGUCAUGAAAAUUUGUUUAUAUCUAAUGGAACUAUACAUAUUGAACGUUACAUAGAAUUUUGUUUCAUCCAAAAAUAUCUUAUAUUCUAUUUUUAAUGAUUUUUUGAAUUAGGCCCUGUGAUUCUAAAAAAUUAACUUUUCUGUAGUGCUAUAAAAUGCAAAAAAUGUUUAGACUAACCAAAACUUCUCAGAAAAUUAUGAAACUUUUCAGAUCUAUUUCUUUAUAUGCCUAGUUUAUCAUAUUCAAAAUUGGGCCCAAUUCGUUACAUUUUAAUUAUUGUGAAUCGAUGAGUAAAGGAUACUCAAUUCUAGAUUUUGGAUUUCAAGACAUAAUAGCCUUGAAAUAAAAUUUAUUUGAAACAUAGUUUGAAUGAAUUUGGCUUUAAAAUUUUUAAUACUCAUAAAUUAAUGCAUCUAUUUAAGCCCUGAAAAAUUUAAUGACUUUUGAAUUAGUAUUUUAUUUUAUAAAAAUCAGAGAUUGAGGACUGGUCAUUUAUGUCUCCACAUUGUGAGAAUAAAAUCGUUGGAUUCAAUGAAGUUAUAGGAAAUAGUUCCUUGAGGAGAAUAGAUUGUUAUUAACUUGUUAUAUGAGUAUGUUCAUGGAGCUCAAUCUUUAAUUUUAGGUUGCGGUGGUUAGAUUAUGAGGUUAAGCUUAUCGUUAUGAUCGCUGAGGAGUAAAUGAAUUAAACUUUAAACUAGGAUUACAAUGAACAUAUGCAUUCGAGUGGAUUUUGGAAAGAUUACUUUGAUAUGUGCAUUAUGGAUGUUUCUGGCAAGUGUAUUUGACAAUGUUUGGCAUAAGCAUGAAUUUGUGUGCUUUAGUUGUUACCCCGGUGAAGUGGCGGAUAACGGUAUUCCGUGACAAUCAAGUUGGUUACUUCAGUUUUCCAGAAUAAUUGAUAUUCUGAGGCGAAGGUAUGGACAGAAACGAGAUUUUAGCAAAGCUUCACAAUCGAUUCCCUUCACUUUCUCAGAAUGCCCUCCUUACAAUCUAUAAAGCUCGGUUCGAACACAUGCGAUUGCUCAUGAGGAAUAACAUACCUGUUGAUAUCCGCUGGUUAAUCGAAGCUAAAGUACGAUUGGCAGGUGAGUUACCUCCAAAAUUUAUUGCAUACAUGCCUGGUUGUGGUAAAGGAAAUUAUGCAAGAAAACGAAGAGCUCGAAGAAUUUCUGUUGCUUGUCAUAAAUGUGCCCGAAUAAGAUGCAAUAAAAACCUAUGUUCUUUAGGAAUAGUGUCUGAUAAUAGGGAAGAUAAGAUUCAAUUCAUUAGGGAUGACUUGAAUAAGGAGCCAUUGGAUGAUAUCCUUUUGUCUCUUGAAACACAUCCCAGUGGAUAUGUGCAAGGAGCGAUUCUCCAGUUAUGGCCAUUAUUCCAGAAAGAGCAUGCACGAUAUAGUCUCGAGAAUCUAACUAUAAAUGACCCUAUUUGCCAGUUUAUAAGAAAACUGGAUGGGAAGCCUAUCCUCGACCCAUAGAGGGAGUUCAAGUCGUUUCUAGACGUAAAACCAGAGGAAGAUGUGAGCCACAGUCGCAACUACCUGUAAAUAUCCUUUUACUUCACUGUUAUUUUAUUUCACUGUUGUUUUAUCAUUUGCAUUAUUGUUUUUAAUAAUUUUAUGUUAUCAUUGUUUCUUUUUCUUUUUACUAUUUCCUUUUUGACUCGCAAACCAUGUGCUUUACACGUUAUUUGACACUAACAUGCUACCUCAUACACAGUUGUGACCCACUGUCACCAAGAUUCUUAAAUAUGAUUUUCUUUGUCAAGCACUCACAAAUUAUUUUUGAGAAGUAUCCCAAUGGCCGCUACUCCCAAUAGACAAUUCAAGAACAUUUGUUUGCUUUUUGGAUUUAACUAUGGCAAACAUAAAGAGUUUGUUGAGGCAGCCAUAGAUCUUGGUCGAAGAAUAGCAGAGAGAAAAUUACACUUGGUGUAUGGAGGGGGUAACUGAGGGUUAUCAAAAUUGGUCUCAAAGGCUACUUUUGUCAGAGGAAGCCAAGUGUUAGGCAUCAUCCCAAGAGCCCUAAAACCUUUGGGCAGUUUGUCUGACUCACCGACUGGAGAAGAGUUAGUCGUCUUAGGUAUGCAAGAAAGAAUAACUGAAAUGCUUAAUCAUGCUGAUGCUUUUAUUUUCCUUCUAGGAGAUCUUGCAACUCUAGAGGCACUUAUCACAUUAGCAUCUUCGGCCCAUCUGCACAUUCACCAGAAACCCAUCGGUUUGUUAAAUGUCAAUAACUUUUAUGAUGGCUUCAUCGCAUUUCUUAACCAUGCAAUAAAAAACUAUUUCAUUCAUUCCAAUGCGAAAAAAUUUUUUCUUUGUGCUCACACUGCUAAUGAGCUACUUGAUUUGUUACAAGCUUAUAGACCGGAGCCAGACCCCUAGACCUUUGUGUUGGAACGUCCAAAUAAUGAUGGUAACAGUAGCUGCAGUAAGAAGUACAAAUUAGAUUUAACUCUCCGCUUGUAAAUAUUUUCUUCUAUGUUGCACCACCCAGGUGAUGUCUUCUAAACUCUACUUCUUUCCUUUAAAACAUUGAGGACAAUGUUUCGUUCUGGUUGGGGGGAGGGAAUAGUCAACAAUUGUGGAAUCUUGGUUAAGUUUUUACUGAUUUUUUGUUGUAGAAACUAACUGUUGCUAACUUUUUGUGUUGAAGAUAGCUGAAUAUGGAGUGUAGUGACUAUAGAAACGCAUCUUCAUCGUUUGAAAAAAAAACAAAAAAAAAUUAAAUUAAAAAAAACAAAAAAAAUUCAGACAUUUUCUUUUUCUUUAUUAAGCUUUGAUAUUCAUUUUUCUUCUUCUUUUUAAUUUCUCCUUUAUAAAUAUACAUUUUCAAAUAUUUGAGUCGAAGAUGGCUGAAUAUGGAGUGUAGUGCCUCUAGAAACGCAUCUUCUUAGUUAAAAAAAAACCCAUUUUCUUUUUCUAUCAUUUUAAGUGUAACUUUUCUAAUUAGUUUUUCUGCAUCAUUUUCACAUUUUUGCAUGCAUAUUUUCCUUUCAUGUUUAGAAUAGGUUGGGGGGUAGAAUGUUGUUUGAAAAAAAAAAUUUGUGAUUUGUUUUAACAUUAGAUGACAUGAUGAAUUUCAAAUUUUAGUAUUUGUAUUAUCUUUGGUCUUAAGUGAUGUUACGCUAUUUUUGCUACUCUACAUGUUGAUGUCGGAGACAAAUAUGAGUUGCUUGAAGGAAUGAACAUGUCAUAAUAAGUACCAAGUGAGUUUUUGAGCCUAUCAUUUUUCUUAGAGAGUAACCCUUUUGCCCAUUCUUUAUACAACUUAGCAGUUUAUUAUUUUAUACAUGAUCUCUAGAUUUCUUUUGAGUUAACCCUUAAAAAAAAUUGUAAAAUUAAAAAAAAAUGUGUGUUGCUACAUUUGGAGGCUCAUCUAACUAGUAGAUAUGGAAGAUUAUUUAGAGCCCUAAAAGACGAUGGAAAGGCUAUCUUUGAUCCGUUUGAGCCUUUCUAGCCAUCCCUUUUAUGAAAUAUCCAUAGUUCACCCUUUUGAGCCUUUAAAAAAAAUAUAUUUUCUUUGUCAAACUUAUCAUCUUGACCCACUCCGAUUUAUAGUAUUACCCAAUAUCUUACAAGUUCUAUCACCUAUUUAUGUUUGAGAAAAAUAUAAAUAAUUAUUUUGUUCAAUGAAGUUAUGCAAAACAAAAGCAAAAAAAAACAAUAAUAGGUGAAAUCCACCUUGCAAGUUCCAAAAAAAAAAAAUUCUCUACAUUUUUCUCAAACAUACACUUUAUUUUCCUUAUUUCCCCUCCUACGUUACGUCCUAAUGAAAGUCCUUCUUGAUUUUAGGGAACUAUAGUCUGAAGUAGAAGCUAGUUAUAUAGGCUAAAAAGAUGUAGUGGUGCAUAAAAAUAAAAAUAAAAAAAUAAAAAAAAUAAAUUGGGUUGACUAGCAUUUUUAUUUGACUUGAGAUCGUAUUAUUUCUAAGCUGAGGGCAUAUUUUUUUCAUCUUGGUGAGAGCAUGUGAUAUCACUUCUUUAUUAUUUUCUCUCAAUUACCAUUCAUUGGAGUGACUAUUUUUAUUGGGUUUAAUUUCUUUGUGAGAGUGUCACUACUUCCAGUGAGAUUUUGGGGUUUGACAUGUCAUUCUUGAAAGUAGCUAUGAAAAAGUCUAUUGGGCUGAUUCAUGUGGAUGGUUGAUGUGGGUGUGAUGUUUCUUUAGAUUGGAGAUAAUGCUUAUGCUUUUAUUUGAUUACUAUCAUUAGUCUGAUUUAAUAAACAUGAUUCUUAAAAAUAAAAAAAUAAAAAAAAUCAAUUUGGAUUUGAAUUUUGUUUUCGCUUUAUUUGCUAGGGACUAGCAAUAAGCUGGUUGGGGGUGUGUUGAGUGUUAGAAAAUGUAUAUUUAUAAAGGAGAAAAUCGUCAUUUUACACUUCAAGUUUUACUAACACCCUUACUUUUAUGUAUUUAAGCUUCUUGUCAUUUAAUUAUGUGUGUUGUAUUAUAAUUAAGUAUUUUAUAUAUUUUAGGGGCAUCAUAGUCAUUUCACAAUAAACGAGAGAUCAGACGGCAAAACAGACAUCACUUUUGAACUCAGGACAGUCGAAAACCUUAAGAGGAGCAUAAAAGGAAAAAUGACAUUGUUCACAUGUACGGUACUGUCUACGUUACUGUUCACGACACUGUUUACAUAGAUGGAUCGAUGACGUGGCAUUGACCGAUGAUGUGGCAUUGACUGAUGAGGUGUCACGAUCCUGUUGGACUAAAAUUCUUAUGCACUGUUGAUUGGUGACGUGGCAGCAUGUUAGUGGACCAAAAAUUGCGCGUACGGUACAUGCAUAUACACAGGAUUAUUUUUAACCAAACCGCGUUACUGUUCUAGCCAGGUCAAAUCGUGUCACUAUUCAAAUCGCGUACUGUUGACGGAUGACGUGGCGCAAUCCUGAGCGUCCAAAUUGUUUUUAAUCCGAUGGCCAUGAUUUACUCAAUGUAUCUAUAAAAAGGGGGCCUCCCCCCCUAAUUUGAUAUCCCUGAAUCCAUUUUUGGACUCCAUUUUCUAUAAUUCCUUCUCUAUCUUGUACUUUCUACGUAUUUUAAUAAAUUUUCAUUUUACCCCUAGUUCAAUUAUGAGUAGCUAAUUUUCUUUCAAGCUUGGGUUGAAGGUGAAGUUUCAACAUGUGUCAUGGGCUUUAUUUGGUAAAUUUAUUUUCUCUUCCCCUCUAGUUUUUGUGGAUGUUUUGACUUCUCGUCGACAAAUAAUAAUAAUCUUGUCUAGAUACCGCCUUGGUUUCACCGGCUCCCUAGUACAAGGUUAUUAUUAUUUGGCACGAUAAGCCCUUAGCACCAUAUUGAUUAGAGUGUGGUUCAUGAGGUGUGGAUUCCCCCCUCAUGAUUUAAUUGGCAUUAAUAAGGAAUAUUUAGCCCAUGGUGCAUGUUGAUACGGAUCCAGAUACCCAAGUGUUUCAUUUCAAUAGAUUUCUCUUCAAUUUAUUCUUGCUAUUUCAAUUCCAAUUUUAAGAUAAUCUAAGUCACUUUUACCACAAAUUCAAAUAUCCAUUUAGAAAAAUUAAUUCUACACACAAUUAGAAUCAACCUUCUCGUGAGAUCGACACUCGUCACCAUUAAUCUAUUCUACAAUAGAUUCGUGCACUUGCGAGUUCAAUAAAAUUUUCACCAAGGUUUGUGUUUUCAAUAAGCAUUGAGUUGCGGUUACAUUCAAUUUCGGGUUUAGAUUCGAUCUCGGGGAUUAUAUUGAUUAGGGUCGCGUAAGUUCUUGUCAGGGUUCAUAUAAUUUGGUAUCAGAGACUAGGCACCAAGGUCAGAUUCAUCUAUUUUUAUUGUUUUUCAUUCUUGUUUGAAUUUUUCAUUCUUUGUCUAACAAUGAAAAAAAAAGUCAUGAAUAAUGUUGUGUGAACAGUGUUGCGUGAACUGUGCUGCAUGAACAGUAUUGCAUGAACAAUAUUUUUAGGGAUUUUUUUUUUAUCAAUUUUACAUCCUUGUGGUUUAAUUCUCCUUAAAUUCACAAAUUUUACAUAUUCCUUUUCCUAAAAAAAAAGUCCCCAACCUCCGCUUAAAAUCUUUUGUUCAUUUUUCCAUUAUUAGUGUUUUGGAAGUUCAAAACUGGUUUUACCCCAUAGGUGAAAUUAUUUUGCCCAAAAAUAGAAACCCGACCUAACGUACGCAUUGCCUUCUUGCUCUUGAAAUUAGAGUCUCCUUAGUGUAAUAAGAACCGAGUGUGAAGUACUAUGAGUGGAAAAAGGCAAGAGAGUGUGAGCGUAUUAGAGGGUAAAAGCCAAUAAAUUUGAGUGAAACAUGAGUAGAAUUGAGUGAAUUAUUUUCUUGAGUGAAACAUGUAAGGGAGUGAGGUGAGGUCCUUUCCACAUUUUUUUUAACUUUCUUUUGCAGAUGUUAGCCAUGUCUCAUAACCUAGAACGAAACACAAAUGAAGAGGAUUAGUCCGCAACUACUUAGAAUUUGCAAAAUUCAAGCAUUGAUGGGAGAGAUGAGAAGGAUGGUGAGGGCUGAAUUAGAGCAUAUACAUGAGCGUUUGGAUCAAGUAGAGAACACACGUGCGGGCAACCACAAUCUGUUCCCCAAGCAUGUAGGAGGGAGAGAGCUCUAGCUAGAGGAGAGAUUGAUGACUAUUAUAGGGAUGAGUAUGAUGAAGAGGAGGACUCAGUAGGUAACUAUAGGAGAGAUGAACGAGUUGGAGAGAUAGGAAUAGGGAUGAUGGAUUAAGUGGCAUAAAGAUGAAGAUUCCAUCUUUUCAAGGAAAAUCUGACUCGGAAGCAUACCUUGAAUGGGAGAAGAAAAUGGAGUUCAUAUUUGAUUGCCACAAUUAUUCACAGGUAAAAAAAGGUAAAAUUGGCUAUGAUUGAGUUUUCUGACUAUGCUAUUACUAGGACGUACUUGGCGCCCCGGCCUUCGGGUGGUUAUUUUUAGGUCAGUUGAGACAUGGGAUGAAAUAAAAUCAUUGAUGAGAAGAUGUUUUGUACCUACCCACUACUGUCGAGACUUGUACCAAAAAUUACAAAAUCUUACACAAGGUAGUCGAACCAUGGAGGAUUAUUAUAAAGAAAUGGAAAUUUCCAUGAUUAAAGAAAAUGUAGAGGAAGAUAGAGAAGCUUCCAUGACAUGAUUCUUGAAUGGUCUUAAUCGAAAGAUUGCAGAUAAGGUUGAGUUGCAACAUUAUGUGGAGAUUGAGGAGAUGGUCCAUAAAGCCAUCCAGAUUAAGCAGCAACUUAAGAGGAGGGGCAACACCCAUGCAACCCCAAGCUCGAGUUCCAUUCCCUAGAAGCCGAGCUAUGUAAAAUGAGACGAGAGGCCACAAGCAUCUACUGCACCUAAGCCGAGAUCCGAGCCCUCCAAGCACAAUUCACAAGGUAACACCGUGACUCCCACUAUUAGGGAUCGUGACAUUAAGUGUUUUAGUUUCUUGUCUUCCAUGAGAUCUUUGAAGAACUCUUUUUGUUCACAGAUUUUAUCAAGAGAUAGCAUGGCCAUCUGGAAAAUCUUUCCCAGAGAGAUAUCAGUUAUGCUCAGAUUUGUGGCUGUGAGUUUUCUUUGAAGGUCAGGUUGUAACUCAGCAGGAAGAGAGGCGAUAAAGACAUGUUUAAGAGAUGGCUCAUUGAACCCAUUUAGCUUGUAGAAUAGAAUACUCAUUCUUUUGUAAUGAGCAUCCAAAAGAUGUCUUUUAAGUGAGAGUCCAUAGAAGGUCUGGUGAGAACUCGGGACUGGCUUGAUGGGAAAAACUAGCUUUGUAGCAUACAAGGUGGUGAGACACCACAUAUACCAAAGCUCAUCUUUGGAGAUGGACAGAGAGGACAGAGUGAGGCCUGUGAGAAACAGGUGUUCCAUGCAAAGAUUAGGAAAUUGGUCAGGUUUUUUGGUCUGGGCAUUAAAGAAAAACCGGUAAAGAAACUUCUUUGCAAAAUCUUGCAAUUGAUAAGCCGAUUGGAGAUGUUCAUGGGGAAAUUUCUUUGGUUGAGACCUUUGAAAGGAAGUUGGCGAUUCAUGGCUAUAACUGGAAUGGUUUGAAUCGAGGAGAUGAGUGCAGGUUUAUUUAUAGCUGGACAGGUGAGGAAAUCUGGAAUGAGGUUUUGGUUGCCUUUUAUGUGUUGAACAGUGAAAUCAUAUUUAGCAAACCAGGUUUUGAGACUGAGUAACUACUUGUCAGGUAGCAAUUUGUUCUUGUUGAUAAGGAAUUUGUGGUUGAUAAGAUGGAACUCAAAUUUUUUAAUAUAGCAAGUGAAUGUGUGAAUAAAAGAGUUAUGGUAUUGCGGACAAUGGUGAGAUUGUAACUCAAGAUGAAACGGAAGAAAAUGAGAUGCCACCAUUAGAGGAUGUCGAAGAUGAAAAGUAUGCAGCCUUUAGGGAAUUGACUUUAAUAGCUAGGAGAGCUUUAAGUGUGCAAGUAAAAGAAGAUGAAGAAGUAGUACAACGGGGAAAACAUUUUCUAUACUAAGUGCUAUGUUCAAGACAAAGUAUGUAGUUUGAUUAUUGAUGGAGGAAGUUGUAAUAAUGUUGCUAGUACUAUCAUGGUAGAGGAAGUUAGGGCUUUCGACACUUAAACACCUACGACCAUACAAACUACAGUGGUUAAAUGUCAGUCGAGGCCACUACUUCACCCAAAGACACCGAAUACCAAAGGGUGGAAGGGGUGACACACAGGGCGAACUGUAGUGGUUUUUAACUGAUUAGUGGUGAUAACACUGUUUUAUGAUGCACAGGAUCCUCGAAGAGGCAAGUGUAGAGCAUACUUAGUGUAUGGGUGGAAAUGAACGAUGAUGAUAGUAUUUCCUUUUCUUAUCAGGAUUUCAAAAAAGCAAGGAAGGAAAUUAGAAAACCAUAAAUUUGUACAAGCUGAUUUUUUAAACUUCAAACUUUCUUAUUCUUUAACAAAAGACUUCUCCCUUUAUAUAUAGGAAGAAGCUAGGAAAACGACAAGCUUUUCUGACAAGAGCCCGGCAAACACACAUGGGCUAAAGUAAAAGUUGGUACAAUUAUUACAAAAGCAAAAGUCAAAAAGCAACCACUAUCUUGACAAGAGCCCGACAAACACACAAUUAUUACAACAUUUUUUAAAGUGUGAGCUUAAAGAAAAAGCUAGGAGAUGCCAUCUCAAAAGCUAUGAGAUGGAGACAAGUUGUCUACAUCACUGUCUACUUCAUCAAACAGGGACAUAGGUUGUCAUGUUGGAGAAUUGUUAGAAGAGCUGUCACAAGAGUUGACAAGUGUCUUGUCUGGUGGGGCCGAAGAGCUUGAUGCAAGGUGAGUGCUUGGAGUCUUGCGAAAUUUCUAGAAAGGAGAGGAGAGACAUGAAUUCUUCUCAAGGAUCUUGAGAGUCUUGAAAUAGAAUGUAUGUGUAGUCCGGUCUUUCUUCCUUUAUAAUGAUUCUGCUGGUGGGUGGAGUACUGCUUACACUAGGUGGAGGUAACAUGAGGACUUCAUGUUGAGGGCCUUAAGAAGUGUACUGGAUGGGAGUUGAAGGUGGUUGGUAAUGGUUGAUCUCAAAGAGGAAAUUCCUUUAGGCUGAGAGCAUAUGGGAACAUAUUUUAGGAGAGAAAUGAGCAAGGUUUUCCAUUCAUAGAGCUGAUCCUGAGUCCAAAAGAGGUUGGUGACAAGAUGCUGAAAAUAAGAACGGUGGAUGAUAAAGACUGAUGUAAACUUAUUGGCUUCAUUUUUCAGAAUUAAGUGAAGGUGAUGCUAGUGGUGAAUGCGGGUGAGUUCUUUUCUCCACCAAGGGAUGGGGGAAAACCACUCAAGAAGAGUCCAUAACAGGGAACUAGCAUUCUCAGGAGUGUCGAGAUGUUGGCGCAUUUCUUGGACUGGAAAUACUAGUGUUGUAGCAUAGAGAACCGUUAGACACCAUAUGUACCACAACUCAUCUUCAGAGAUAUCCUUAAAUGGACUAAUUGAAAGACCUGUCAAGAACAAACAGUCAGGAUGAAAUUGCAUGAAACUAUCAGGACUGGUUUGGUGGACCUUAAACAUAUAGUGAUAGACAAAUUUCUGGGCAAAGUCUUUGAUCUGGUUAAGAGUGGUGAAGGUAAGAUUUAAAGGAAAGGAUUUCUAGAUAAGAGCUCGGCUAGGGAGAGAGGUUGUCAUGGCUAUGACAGUAAAGUAUGUCUGAGAGGUGAUGAGUGAGAUUUUGUGCGGUCUGGACAAGAGGUCAGGGAUGAGAUUCUGAUUUCCCUUUAUGUGUUUUACUAAGAAGUCAUAUUGGGAAAACCAUUUUUUCAAUCUCAGCAGUUGUUUAUCAGGAAGGGUUUGGUUUUUAAAUUCAAGGACUUGGGGAACGAAGAGUUGUCAAGACGGACGUGAAAAUGAUGACCAAUCAGGUGGAACUCAAAUUUUUUAAUUCCAUACUUGACAACCAAGAUCUCAGAGUCCUUGAAUUGCCCGUUGGCAUGGGCACAAAAAAGUUCUUUGCCAUCUAUCAAUUCGAGCAGAAUAGCACCUCAGUAUUCGUCGCUUGCAUCGGUCUGGAGAAUUCUUUGACCAGUGGAUGGAAUCUUUAAAGCUGGUGGAUUUUGAGCGAUCAGCUUUAGGCGUUGGACAUCCGAGGUCUAAUUUGGGCCCCAAAGGGGGGGGGCUUCUUCUUCAACAUCUUAGACAGCUGGCUUGUAUGAAUAGAUGCAUGUGGCAGGAAAUCCCAGAGAUAAUUGAUUAUCUCAAGGAAUUGUUGGAUCUGUUUUUUGGUCAGGUGCUCAUCUGGAAAGUGUAACAAUUCUUGUGCUAUGUGGGGACCGAGACAGUAGUAUCCAUCUUCGAGGAUCAUGCCAAGAAACUCAAUUGUGGAUUGACCUAAGGUACUUUUCUUUUCAAAAAGCAUAAUACCGUGGGAUUCCACUAGAGUGAGGAAGUGGUCCAACAAUUUUUGGUGAGUCACGUGGUCUUUGGAAAGAGGAGGAUGUCGUCAAUAUAGAACAGUGUGUGAUGGAGGAUUGGCUCAAAGAUUUUGGUCAUAGCCUUUUGAAAAAGAGAAGGGGCUACCUUUAGGCCAAAUGGCAUGAUAGUCCACUGAAAAUGUCCAUUGGGUAUGCAAAAAGUAGUUUUGUAUCUAUCACUGGGAUCAAUGCGUAGUUGCCAAAAACCUGCUUUAAGGUCAAAUUUUGAGAAUACCUUUGCAUCAUGGAGGUGGACGAACAAAGAUUGGAUUUUGGGUAAAGGGAAUUUGUCAUCUUGAAGAAAACAAUUUAAGGGUUGGUAAUCAAUGACAAGUCUCUUUUUUUUUCGAAUGAUUUCAGAUCUUUUUUCCACAUAGAAUGCUUGACAUGCCCAGUCUGAUUUGGUGGGUUCAAUGAGACCUUGUUCGAGGAGGUCCGAACAUUCUUGUUGAGCCAAUUUAAGAUCUGUAGGAGACAUACCUGGAUAUGUGGCUUUGGUGGGAUUUACAUCUUCGUUAAGCUUGAAGGGAAGCUUAAUGAAGAUUGGGUAUUUUUCCAGAGAGGGUUUGAAUGGUUGAAUUCAAUAUGGGAUUCUGGACAAAAUGGGAGAAAUUUUUGGAUGUAAGGCUGGUAUGGUGGUGUAGUCUCUGAAAGUUUAUACAGACGUAAAACUUCUAUAUAUGGCUUGAAUUAUCUUUUGUAGGAGACUCAUGCAGCUGUGAUCUGCAGUUUUUUGGAUAAUGCUAAGAGAUCAAAGCCAAUUAGUAAAUCCUUAUCUAGAAGCUCUAAGCCAAUAAUCUUUGACCAUAUGACAUAAUUUGGAAAAAUUUGUACUCCAAUGGGAGCCUUAGUGAUAAGGCUGGUUUGAAAGAUCUAGCCAUCUGCAGCUUUGAAAUUUUCAAUAUGUUUUACCCAACAGUUUGGAGGGAGGAUUGAAGGAUGUAACAUACUUUUCUGGGCACCAGUGUCUAUAAAUCCAAUGACAGAGAUGGGUUUAUGGAAUUUGGAAGGGAGAAUAUGGACUGAAAUGGAGGGUAUAGAUAUGAGAGACUAAGCAACAGAUGCUCGGAGAAUUUGGACCAUGUCGAUUAUCUGGACCUUUUCUAAGUCAGAGGCAGAAUCUGUAUCUGUCUCUUCGAGAGCAAAGACUAUUUCUUUAGUAGCACUCUCUUGUUAUGAAAAUAAGGACUCAAUAUCAUCAUGGGCAGAUAUGACAGAGGAGGUUUGUAAAUGAUGGAGAAGAAGACUGGACUUUGCCAGCUUAUUUGGGCAAUUUUUUGCAAAAUGCCCUUUCUUUUUGGGUUUUUGGAAGAGAAGGGAUCUUUCCUUUUGAAGAAUCGGUAGGGUUUCUUUGGUCUAGAAUAAGACUUCUUUUUAGAGAAGACUUUUAUGAAAUGGGAUUUCUUCUUUGAGGAGCAAGUGUAAUCUUUUUCAUCUUUGCACUUCUCUUCUACUGCACCUUGAAUUUGCACUUGGACUUUCAAGGCAGUGGAGAGAUUAGUGUCUUGAAGAGAAAGGUUGAAAUUGGGAUAGAAAGUGAGUAAGGUUAGGAUUAGUCGAACUCCCCCGAUAUGGAGAUGAGUAUAACCUUCUCUUUGCCAAUUGAAAAUCAAUUCUGGGGGAAUUUCCAGAGUGACAUAUUGUUCAACUAUGGUAGCCUGAAGGGAACACUGAUCCAAUCUGGAUGACUGGAUAUAUUCUUUUGGAUGUGGUCUUUUAGUGGAAAUAAGGGUUCGGAUACUGCGAGUAAAGGAAUGUGGACGUUUAUAGAGGUGAUAAGGACUAAGAAGAGGAAAAGAAGAUUCAUUGAUCUGAACAGAUUCAGGAUAUAGGAAUAUUCAACUAAAUUUUCUAUCUUACUAGCAGUGUGUUUGGAGCAAGAUUUGGGUAAGCAAGAUUUGGAAGAAAGGGAAACUGGAGUAAUGACAGAAGAAAUAGAAGCGUCGUUGAAGGAAGUUGAUGCCAUUAGUAUGAAAUUCUCUUUGUCGUUGAAGGCUAAAAAAAAAACAAAACAAAAAGCAAACUUGGAUCAUACCAUUUUGAGAAGUGAAAACAACAGGCUUUGAUACCAUUUUGACGGUUUCUUUUUGUUCACAUAGACGUUCAAGGCAGCUCACUGCUAGUUGAUAAAUUUUUCCAAAAGACAGGUUGGAAAUGUCUAAUUGGUGGAGGUUCACACGCCGUUGUAAUUCAGACUGAAGUUCUUUAGGCAAAGAGGCUACAAACACAUGUUUGAGUGUUGGAUCAUUAAACCCAUUUAGUUUAUAGAAUAUGGUUGACAUGCCCUUGUAAUGAUAAUCCAAAUCUCUUUGUUGGAGCAAACAACAUUUCAUUUGAAAAUAUUCUUUUUGCGCCAAUUCAUUUGCUGGGACUGCUUCUCCGAUGAAUUGUUCAUAUAGGAGACCUAGUGCUGUGGCCACGUCAGGAAUUUGUAUGAACUGCAAUUGCCUAUAUUGACCAAGACUGUCGAACCAGUCUCUUAGUGAACUAAGAAAUCUGGAACUAAAUUCUCUCAGGACUGAUUGGACUGAUGAACCAGGCUUGAGCAUUUGGAUAUCGAUCCAGGCCGUAAAUUCCUGUAACCGUGAGGGCCAUUUCGCCUUAGGGAUGUCAUCAAGAGUGAACCAAGGACCAUUUGAGGGUUUAGGAGCCGUGGCAAGUCGAUUAGGAGGAAUUGUGCUUAUUUCAUCUUAUUCUUCCACUAUAGGUGUAUCAGGUGGGAAUUUUGAUAGAGAAGGAUCAUUGAAACUAGUGGAUGGUAUGACCAUGAGUAAUUUGGUAAUAUCAGCAAAUUCAGCUUCCGAAUCUGAAGCAGAAUCAGAUUCACUUACUGAUUUUGAUCCAGAAUCAGAAGAUUCAGAAGGAGAAGUUAAGUGUAGUAAAGGGACUGAAUGUGCAGCAUAUUGUUGACUGGGUUGGCUAGGAUGUUUAUCCUUAGCUUGUGGAGGAGGAUUUGAAGCUGGAGGAAUGUCUACUCUGGUUGGUUAUUUAGGAGGUGUUGUAGAAGAAGAUGGUACAGAGGGUGAGGCUUGUGUUUUUGAAGAGGACUGGAAUAACUUAUAGGUAAGGCUGAAUGUUUUGGAAUAAUCAUGGGGUUUCCCAUAUAAGGACGGAGUGUAGAACGAUGGAUACGUAUUUAGGGAUGUAUGUCGGGGCAAAGGUUGUGUAGGAGCAAACAAUGAAGGUUGCUGUUUUUCAGAGUCAAUUCUAACUAAUUCUGCUUUGAGUUUACGGAUCUCAGCUUCUUUUUUAUCAAAUUUAGGACCCCAGUAUCGUUGUUGUAUCAUAUGUCUAAGUUUAGAGUCAAGUUGACUGACUCUGUCCUUGAGAUCAAUAUACAUCUGUUCAAGCUGGGCUGUAAUGCUCUCAAUUUUUUUAUCUGUGCUCUGAGCCUGAGUUGCAACCGAUUGAACCCGAUGAUCAAGGUUUUUCAAAACAACAUUUUGUGCUGUUGCAUUUUAAGUCUGCUAGUUGAGGACAACUUCAAAAGGACGAGGUUCUUCCAACUGUCCAUUAGGGGUGACUGGGGAUUGUACAUAAGGUUGUGAGGAAACCUUUGUACUUGGAUCAAUGUGUUUUCCAAGUGUUGGAAACUAUGUUUGGUAUGAAGAUGACGAACUUGAAAACAUCAUACAAGGAGAAACCAUAGGUGGACUAGGGGGUACCCUUGUUUGAGGUUUGCAAGGAAAAUUCUACGUCUUUUGCAAGUAUUUGAGCCCUUUAUUAUAAAUUGGUAAAGGACGUUGACAAUAAGGUUUAUCUGGCAGAUGAGGAGGGUAGGUAUAACAUGGGGUGUUUGCAAAAACGAGAUUCUUCUUUUUCUUUCGUCUCUGUCGGACAAGAUAAUCGUCAUCUGAAUCAUAAUCAUCUAGACAGGGAUAGCCAAGAUAACACAUAUGGGCCUCAGAAGUGUCCCAUAAGAAAUGGCCAGUGGUUAGUUGUACAUGGCGUUGUUACACCAGAUUUAUAACAGAACGAAGUCUGUUCUUAAGGCCAGUAGCCCGCAAGUUCUGGUUUCCAGCUGAUAUACACUUAUCCAUUUAAUACCAAAUCCGAAAUCAUAGUUGAAAACAGUUUUUCACGAUACCACCCGAAAACUCGGCACUCAGGGCCUUUAAAGAGGGUGAACGUUGUGAGAAAAUACCGUCAUUUUAUAAAAUCGGUUUUGGAGGAUAAAAACAAGACCUUUCUGAUGCACAGGAUCCUUAGGCUUAAGGCAAGUGCAGAGCAUACUCAGUUUAGAAAUUUUGAGGUGAGCGUAUCAUUUUGAAUUCAAAUAAUUUCUUUGAUUCCUAGAAGAGAGAGAGAGGUUUAGGGAAACAUAAUGUAUAAGACUUAAUUUUUUAUUUCAGAUUGGCUCCCCCCAUACAACUGAGACCAAAGGUGCCUUAUAUAGAGCAUCAUUGAGAACAGGACCUCUCGAAUGAUCAUAUCACAUAGCACACCUUUUUUGAAAGCAAAGCACGUCGAUCAGGACUUUUACAAAAAGUAAAGCAUACCUACAAGGACUUUAACAAAAGUAAAGCAUACCGACAAGGACUUUAACUAAAGUAAAGCAUACCGACAAGGACUUUAACAAAAGACAAACGGGAGACACAUGGGUUGUGAUAUCAAAAGCUCGUGCGAUGGAGAGAAGGAGUUAUCAUGGAGUGGAGGGAUAACAAGAUGGUGACACAUCUCCUGUGUCUUUUUCAUAUUGUCGCUUGUGCCAAUGCCUCUAUCUCUAGUUGAGAUACGCCUUAGCUUGCUGAUACUUUUCUUCAUUAACUUCAGACAUGUGUUGUGAGGUAGAUGCAGCAGGAGAGUCUGGGUUGGUGACAGUAUAAUGGGGAGUGUCAGUGUGGAGAAGGGACUGAAAGUCUUCCCAUGGGUCCUGAGCGUCUUGGAAUAAGACAUUGGUGUAGUUAGGACGUUGCUCCAUGACAAGGAUUCCUUGAGGACUUGAACUUGAACCUGAAGUACAGCCUUGUGUUUUUGGAAUUAUUUCAAGGGUGUGUGAUGGUCCAAUGGAGGUGUGGUGAAUGUUUAUGGUAGGUGGAGGAAUAUUGUUAAGUUCCAUGAGAUAGACUUUGAGAACAGAGGUGACCGAUGUAUCAUGGAUGAAGGUAUAAGGAUGAGGAUAAGUUCUCCAUUCAUAUGCCAUGUCCUGUGUCCAGUAGUCCCGUGUUUCUGGAUGUUGGAAGUAAGGCCUGUGGACGAUAGAGACCGUAGUCCACAUGUUAGCUUCUUGUUCGGGAAUUUUGUCUAAUCCAUGAAAGGUACACAAAUGUUAGAGUUGCUUGCGCCACCAAGGGAGUGGGGAAUACCAUUCAAAGAGAGUCCAUAGUAGGUCUGGUGAGAACUCUGGAGUGGUCAGGUGAGUCAGGACUAGUUUGAUGGGAAAAACUAGCUUGGUAGCAUACAAGGUGGUGAGACACCACAUAUACCAAAGCUCAUCUUCAGAGAUGGACAGAGAGGACAGAGUGAGGCCUGUGAGAAACAGGUGCUCCAUGCAAAGAUUAGGAAAUCGGUCAGGUUUUUUGGGCCUGAAUAUUAAAGAAAAACCGGUAAAGAAACUUCUUUGCAAAAUCUUGCAAUUGGUAAGCCGAUUGGAAAGAGAUGUUCAUGGGGAAAUUUCUUUGGUUGAGAGCUUUGAAAGGAAGUUGGCGAUUCAUGGCUAUAACUAGAAUGGUUUGAAUCGAGGAAAUGAGUGUGAGUUUAUUUAUGGCUGGACGGGUGAGGAAGUUUGGAAUGAGGUUUUGGUUGCCUUUUAUGUGUUGAACAGUCAAAUCAUAUUUAGCAAACCAGGUUUUGAGGCUGAGUAAUUGCCUGUCAGAUAGCAAUUUGUUCUUGAAGUCAAAGAUGCGGGGAAAAGAAGAAAUAUCCAUGUUGAUAAGGAAUUUGUGGCUGAUAAAAUGGAAUUCAAAUUUUUUAAUUCCAUACUUGACUGCCAAAAUCUCUUUGUACAUCACAUGGUAGUUCUUUUCAGAGUCUUUGAACUGUCCGCUUGCAUGUGCACAGAAAUGACGCACGCCAUUGAUGUCUUCGAGGAGAAUGGCAUUCCAAUAUUCAUCGCUGGCAUCAGUCUAGAGGAUGCGUCGUCCACUUGUGGGAAAUCGGAGUGGAGGAGGUGAUUGUGCUAUCACCUUUAGUUGCUUGAUAGCUUCUAUCUGAGCAGGGCCCCAUGGAGGGCACUAUUGUUUGAGCAUGUGUGACAGCUGGCUGGUGUGGAUUGCAAUUUUUGGGAUAAAAUCACGGACAUAAUUAACAAUCCCGAGGAAUUGUUGUAUCUCCUUUUUGUUGAGAUGGGUGUCCGGAAACUUUAAUAAUUCGAUUGCAAUAUGGGGACCAAACUAAUACUGGCCAUCUUUAAUCACCAUGCCAAGAAAGUCAAUUGAUUCAUUUCCUAAGCUACUUUUCUUUUCGGAAAGCAUGAUGCCAUGUGCCUGCACAAUGUGAAAGAAAUCCAAAAGGAGCUUCUGGUGGCUCUCAUGGUCAGAGGAAAAUAACAAGAUGUCGUCAAUGUAGACCAAUGCAUGAUGGAGAAUAGGACUAAAGAUUUUUGUCAUGGCUUUUUGAAAUAAGGAGGGGGUGACUUUAAGACCAAAAGGCAUAACAGUCCAUUGGUAAUGGGCAUCGGGGAUGCAGAAUGCAGUUUUGUGACGGUCAACUGGUGAAAUACCAAGUUGCCAAAAACCAGCUUUUAAAUCAAACUUAGAGAAGAUACGAGCCCCUUGAAAAUGGACAAACAGGGUCUGGAUUUUUAGAAGGGGAAACUUAUCAUCUUUAAGAAAAGAAUUGAGUGGCUGGUAAUCAAUAACUAAUCUCUUUUUUCCACGAACUAAUUCAGAUCGUUUUUCAACAUAAAAGGCUUGACAAGCCCAAUCUGAAUCAGUAGACUCAAUAAGACUUUUUGAAGUAACUGAGAACAUUCUUGCUUAGUAAGCAGGAGAUCUGAAGGAGACAUACCCGAGUGUGAAGCUUUUGUGGGGUUUAUGUCUUCGUUGAGUUUAAAAGGAAGGUGAAUGAAAAAUUGUUCAUUUUUCCAAAGAGGUGAAGGAUGAUGGAACUGUGAAUGGUUUUCUGGACAGAACUCUAAGAACUUUUGUGAGAUCUGACUGUAUGGAGAUGAUGUUUCAGAAAGUGCAUAUAGACGUAGGGUAUCUGUAUAAGGUAAGAACAUCUAUUUGUAGCGAACUCCAGAACUAGUGAGGAAUAGGUUUUUAACUAGAUGAAGAAUGUCAAAACCUAAAAUCUUUUUCCAAAUUAUGCAAUUCGGAAAGAAUUGAAUACCAAUGGGUUUUUUAGUAAUCAAAGUUGUUUCAAAUGUUUCACCAUUAACUGCUCUAAAAAGUUUGGAAUGACGUUCCCAACAGUCUGAGGGAAGAACAGAAGGAUCAAUCAUACUGGUAUCUACACCAGUGUCAAUAAACCCGAUGACAGAAAUAGGUUUAUGAAACUUGGAAGGAAGAAUUGACAUUUUGAGUGAAGGUCUGGGAAUGGUGGAAACAUGGUUGACAUUUUGAACUGUAAAGAUGACUGAAAUAUCUUCAGAAUUAGAAGAUUCUGCGAUAAGAAAGACAGUUUGAUCAUCUUGUGCUGACUGUUCUGAAAAAUUUGAUUCGACAUCCUCAUUCUCAGAUAACAGAGAAGAAUGUUGAAGAUGUUGGAUAAGUCGAACAACUUUGGCUGAUUUGUGAGUACAAUUUCAGGCAAAGUGACCGCGUUUCUUGCAAAUGAAACAAUGGUUGGAUUUUUUCUUUCGGUACUGAGAAACAUCUUUCUUUUUGAAAUACCGAAAAGGUUUUUUAGAGGAUGACUUUCUGUGGAAGUGUUUCCAGAAAUGUCGUUUCUUUGUGGUUGGACAAACACAUUUCUUUUCAUCCUUACACUCAAUUUUGAGAUAAGAUUUUUUACAAGCUUCAGAGAAGGGUUUCUUGUCUUCCAUAAGAUCUUUGAAGAAUUCUUUUUGUUUACAGAUCUUAUCAAGAGAUGGCAUGGCCAUUUGAAAAAUCUUUCCCAGAGAGAUAUCAGCUAUGCUCAGAUUUGUGGCUGUGAGUUUUCUUUGAAGGUCAGGUUGUAACUCAGCAGGAAGAGAGGCGAUGAAGACAUGUUUAAGAGAUGGCUCAUUGAACUCAUUUAGCUUGUAGAAUAGAAUACUCAUUCUUUUGUAAUGAGCAUCCAGAAGAUGUCUUUUAAGAGAACAACAUUUUAUCUGAUGGUAUUCUUUUCUGUCUGCUUCAGUGGAAGCAGUUUUUUCACCGAUGAAUUGCUCAUGAAUAAUAUUGAGUGUUGUACCAAUCGGAAAUUCCAUGAAUUAGAGCUGUCUGUAUUCUCCUAAACUUUCUAGCCAGUCUCGUAAAGAACCCGUGGAGCGGGCCAUGAAUUCAUGAAGAACGGUUUGAGGUUGAUCAUUAGGCUUGGUACCUUGGAGAUCAAUCAAAGCAGCAAAUUCUUGAAGUCUAGCCGCCCAUUUGUGACGGGGAAUGUCAUCAAAUGUAAACCAAGAUGCUGAAGAUGGUUUUGUUGAGUGUUCAUGAACUGGUGGCGGUACUGGGUCUGUUUGAGAAGCUUGGUCAGAAGGAUUGUCAUCAACAAUAGGUGUUGAAGUAGAGGCACUUGGAUCUGCAGCUUCAGUGGCCAUUAAUAUGCCUGUAAUGUCAGCAUAUUCAGACUCAAAGUCAGUAGAGGCUUUUGAUGAGUCAUAAGAGGAGGACGAAGAUGAAUUAUUUGUUUCAGGCUCAGAAGAGUCGAAGGAAUCUGAAGAUUGGAUCUGGACAGUAUGAUAAUGAUACUGGUCCAUUGAGCCUUUAUCUUUUUGAAGGGGCUCGGGAUGGUCUUGUGGUGAUUCUUCUGGAGGGAUUGUAGAUGUAGAGGAAGAGGAAGUGACCUUUGGACGUGGUUCAGAGAUUUUGACUUUAGAUCUUGAUUUUUUGGGUGAAGAUGGUUGAGGAGUUGGUUGAAGGUGGGAGAAACCAAAGAACUGAUUAUAAACAGGUUGUUGAGGUCGGGAUGGUGUGUAGAAAGGUGCAUAGGUUUCAAAGAUUGGAGGAGAUACUGGUGUAGGUUGUGGUUGAGUAAAAAGGGAAGGUCGAGUCUUUUCAGCAUCAAUCCUGGACAAUUCAGCUUUGAGUUUUUUUAUCUCAGCUUCUUUUUUAUUAAAUUCUGGACCCCAGAUAUGGUUGUUGAUCAUCCGUCUAAGAUCGAUAUCUAGUUCAAAAAUCUGAUCUUAAAGAUGUAUAUACAUCUGAUCAAGACGACUGCUGAUUGAAUCAACUUUAGUUUCUGUCUGAGAGACAUGAUUGGCAACACGGUCAAUUUUCUUACCGAGUUGUUGAAGAGUAUGAUUUUGAGCGCUGGCAUUUUUGGUUUGCCAGUUUAAAACAGGUUCAUACUGUCUUGGCUCUUCAGGUUGCCCAGUGGCUGUAACCAGAGAUUGGACAAAAGGUUUUGAGGUAACACGAGUUUGUGGGUCUGUCUAUUUUUCAAGUGGAGGAAAUGAUUCCUCAUAGGAAUGACUUGAAAACAUAAGGCAUGACCUGAUUGGGUGAACAGGAGGUUUUGGAUCCGGUGGAGGUUGUGGAAGAAAGGAUUUGCAAGAUGGUGGUGGAUAAGAAGAUUUUUUCUUCUUUUUUUUCUUUCUCCGCAUAACUUCUAAUUCUUCAUCAAUAUCCGUAUCAUCCAAGCAAGGAGAAUCCAGAUUGCACCAUUGAGUUUAUCAAGAUAUACUGGAUACCCUUCUGAUGAAAAACCAUGAAUAGGAAGUUUCUUUUCUUGACUAGUUUGAACUGCUGUGAUCAUAGCAGUAUAAGAAAGCUGUGGACUGUCUGAAACGGGCUUGGUGUCAGGAGUUUGAAAAGAUAGUUUGACUUGACCAUUUGGUCGUUUGUCAAAUGCAGCUUCUGUGGUUUGUAAUGGUUCAGAAUUUUGAUGAAAAUGCUCAUAGUUGGUUAGCCAUUCAAGAGGCAUGAGUUUGAGCAGAUCUUGUUUCUGGAUUUGUUUGGGGAUUUGGAUGAUGGUUGGAAUUGUGUCUGUGUCAGCCAAUAUCAUCAAAGCAUCAAAAGUUGUGUAUGGUGUGGGAAGAUCUAGUGCAUGAUUCUGUAAUCGAUACACUAUUUGGUGAUAGAGGGUUGUAAUUUUCGAGGUGGGUGUUUGUUCUGCUCCUUGGAGCUGGAUCUGGACUUUAAGGGUUGUUGGAAGAUUGGGAUAAAGGUUAAUAAGACACUACCAGCAAGAAGGGUUGUCAGAACAGUUCCUACAACAGUGUGUUGGUACUCCUUGAACCUGGUGUCUAGGAGAGCAAUUCUACCUGUAACAGGUAAGCCUUUUCGACCAUGAAGAGUGAGAAUUAAUCUUACACCACCAAGAUGGAGGUGUGUGUACCCUUCUCGUUUCCAGUUGGCGACGAGAUCUGUGGGUAUUUCCAUAGUGACAUAUACUCUUUUGGGAGUGGUCUUUUGGUGGCUUGUAGAGCACACUGAUCCAGUCUAGAAGACUGGAUAUACUCUUUUGGGAGUGGUCUUUUAGUGGAGAUGAGGGUUCAGAUACUUUUAGUGAGAGAAUUUUUCUGUUUAUAGAGAUUGUAAGGACUCAUGAUGGGAAAUUGGGACUCAUUAAUUUGAGCAGGUUCUGGAAUAUAAGAAUAUUCGACAAGAUUCUCAAUUUUGGAGGUUAAGUGUUUAGAGCAUGAUUUGGGAAGAGAGAGAGUAGAAGAAAGAGAAAUAUGAGAUGAAGAUAAUGAAGGAGAUAUAAUUGAAGAUGUAUUUGUUUCCAUGGUUGGUGAAUCUUCUUCUAGGAGAUCAAAUAGGAUUAUUCAAAUUACUAAUGAUACCACCUCAACAUGAAGUGUGGCUCUGAUACCGACAAGGACUUUAACACAAGUAAAGCAUACUGACAAGGACUUUAACAAAAGACAAACGGGUGACACAUGGGUUGUGAUAUUAAAAGUUUGUGCGAUGGAGAGAAGGCGUUAUCAUGGAGUGGAGGGAUAACGAGAUGGUGACACAUCUCCUGUGUCUUUUUCAUAUUGUCGCUUGUGCCGACGCCUCUGUCUCUGGUCGAGAUACGCCUCAGCUUGUUGAUACUUUUCUUCAUCAGCUUCAGACAUGUGCUGUGAGGUAGAUGCAGCAGGAGAGUCUGGGUUGGUGACAGUAUAAUAGGGAGUGUCAGUGUGGAGAAGGGACUGAAAGUCUUCCUAUGGGUUCUGAGCGUCUUGGAAUAAGACAUUGGUAUAGUCAGGACGUUGCUCCAUGACAAGGAUUCCUUGAGGACUUGAACUUGAACUUGGAGUACAGCCUUGUGUUUUUGGAAUUAUUUCAAGGUUGUGUGAUAGUCCAAUGGAGGUGUGGUGAAUGUUUGUGGCAGGUGGAGGAACAUUGUUAAGUUCCAUGAGAUAGGCUUUGAGAACAGAGGUGACCGAUGUAUCAUGGAUGAAGGUAUAAGGAUGAGGAUAAGUUCUUCAUUCAUAUGCCAUGUCCUGUGUCUAGUAGUCCCGUGUUUCUAGAUGUUGAAAAUAAGGCCUGUGCACGAUGAAGACCGUAGUCCACAUGUUAGCUUCUUGUUCUGACAAUUUGUCUAAUCCAUGAAAGGUACACAAAUGUUGGAGUUGCUUGCGCCACCAAGGGAGUGGGGAAUACCAUUCAAAGAGAGUCCAUAGUAGGUCUGGUGAGAACUCCAGAGUGGUCAGGUGAGUCAGGACUGGUUUGAUGGGAAAAACUAGCUUGGUAGCAUACAAGGUGGUGAGACACCACAUAUACCAAAGAUCAUCUUCAGAGAUGGACAGAGAGGACAGAGAGGACAGAGUGAGCCCUGUGAGAAACAGGUGCUCCAUGCAAAGAUUAGGAAAUCGAUCAGGUUUUUUGCCCUGAAUAUUAAAGAAAAAUCGGUAAAGAAACUUCUUUGCAAAAUCUUGCAAUUGGUAAGCCGAUUGGAAAGAGAUGUUCAUGGGGAAAUUUCUUUGGUUGAGAGCUUUGAAAGGAAGUUGGCGAUUCAUGGCUAUAACUGGAAUGGUUUGAAUCGAGGAAAUGAGUGCGGGUUUAUUUAUAGCUGGACAGGUGAGGAAGUCUGGAAUGAGGUUUUGGUUGCCUUUUAUGUGUUGAACAGUGAAAUCAUAUUUAGCAAACCAGGUUUUGAGGCCGAGUAAUUGCUUGUCAGGUAGCAAUUUGUUCUUGAAGUCAAAGAUGCGGGGAAAAGAAGAAAUAUCCAUGUUGAUAAGGAAUUUGUGGCUGAUGAGAUGGAAUUCAAAUUUUUUAAUUCCAUACUUGACUGCCAAAAUCUCUUUGUAGAUCACAUGGUAGUUCUUUUCAGAGUCUUUGAACUGUCCGCUUGCAUGUGCACAGAAAUGAUGCACGCCAUUGAUGUCUUCGAGGAGAAUGGCACUCCAAUAAUGAUCGCUGGCAUCAGUCUGGAGGAUGCGUUAUCCACUUGUGGGAAUUCGGAGUGGAGGAGGUGAUUGUGCUAUCACCUUUAGCUGCUUGACAGUGUCUGUCUGAGCAGGGCCCCAUGGAGGGCACUGUUUUUUGAGCAUCCGUGACAGCUGGCUGGUGUGGAUUGCAACUUUUAGGAUAAAAUCACGGACAUAAUUAACAAUCCCGAGGAAUUACUGUAUCUGCUUUAUGUUGAGAUGGGUGUCCGAAAACUUUAAUAAUUUGAUUGCAAUAUAGGGACCAGGCUUAUACUGGCCAUCUUUAAUCACCAUGCCAAGAAAGUCAAUUGAUUCAUUUCCUAAGUUGCUUUUCUUUUCGGAAAACAUGAUGCCAUGUGCCUGCACAAUGUGAAAAAAAUCCAAAAGGAGCAUCUGGUGGCUCUCAUGGUCAGAGGAAAAUAACAAGAUGUCGUCAAUGUAGACUAAUGCAUGAUGGAGAAUAGGACUAAAGAUUUUUGUCAUGGCUUUUUGAAAUAAGGAGGGGGCGACUUUAAGACCAAAAGGCAUAACAGUCCAUUGGUAAUGGGCAUAUACCAAGUUGCCAAAAACCAACUUUUAAAUCAAACUUAGAGAAGAUACGAGCCCCUUGAAGAUGGACAAACAGGGUUUGGAUUUUUGGAGGGGGAAACUUAUCAAAAGAAUUGAGUGGCUAGUAAUCAAUAACUAAUCUCUUUUUUCCACGAACUAAUUCAGAUCGUUUUUCAACAUAAAAGGCUUGACAAGCCCAAUCUGAAUCAGUAGACUCAAUAAGACCUUGUUGAAGUAACUUAGAACAUUCUUGCUUAGCAAGCAAGAGAUCUGAAGGAGACAUACUGGGUGUGAAGCUUUUGUGGGGUUUAUGUCUUCGUUGAGUUUAAAAGGAAUGUGAAUGAAAAAUUCUGAAGUUUGGGUNNNNNNNNNNNNNNNNNNNNNNNNNNNNNNNNNNNNNNNNNNNNNNNNNNNNNNNNNNNNNNNNNNNNNNNNNNNNNNNNNNNNNNNNNNNNNNNNNNNNAGUGGCAUGAGCUUGAGCAGAUCUUGUUUUGGGAUCUGUCUGGGGAUCUGUAUGAUGGUUGGUAUAGACUUUAUAUCAGUUGAUGUAUGUGGAGUUGGCAUAUCAAGAGCAUGGUUAUGAAGUCGGUAUACCAACUGAUGGUGCAGCAUUGCCAUCUUGGAUGAUACAAUCUAUUCAGCUCCUUGAAGCUGGAUCUAAACUUUUAAGGCUUUGGGUAAAUUGGGAUCUUGAAAAGAGAGGUUGAAAUUUGGGUAGAAAGUAAGUAGUGCGCUUCCAGCAUGAAGGGUUGUAAGGAUAGUGCCAAUAACAACAUGUUGGUAUUCUUUAAAACGGGUAUCAAGAAGGGCUAACUGAGCAGUUACUGGUAAGCCUUUUCGGCCAUGAAGAGUGAGGAUUAGUCUAAUACCCCCAAGGUGAAGGUGAGUAUAACCUUCCUGUUUCCAGCUAUAAGCUCAGAAGGUAUUUCAAGGGUGACAUACUGUUCUACUUGGGUGGCCUGAAUUGAACAUUGAUCCAAUCGGGAAGACUGGAUGUAUUCUUUUGGAAGAGGUCGUUUGGUAGAGAUGAGAGUUUUGAUACUACGGGUAAAAGAGUUUGGUCAUUUGUAAAGAUGGUAUGGGCUAAUUAAGGGCAUGGAUGAUUCACUUAUCUAGGCUGACUCAGGGAUAUAGGAGUAUUCUACCAGGUUUUCUAUUUUUGAGGCUGUAUGUUUAAGAACAUGAGGAUGGGAGGGAAAGAGUAGAUGAAAGAGUAACACGAUUGGAGGCAAUAGAGGAUUCCGAAGAAGAUGAUGCCAUGAUAUGGAAAAGUGCUUUCUUGUUAUCACUGAAGGAAUAGAAAAACCUAUCACAUUUACCACUUCUGUGAAGGACACGGGCUCUGAUACCAAUCGAGGGCACUACUUCACCCAAAGACACCAAAUACUAAAGGGUGGAAGGGGUGACACACAGGGCGAAUUGUAGUGGUUUUUAACUGAUUAGUGGUGAUAACACUGUUUUCUGGUGAAAGUGAACAAGCAAGUACUAGUGACUUUUUAGAUUGGCAAGUAAGAAGAUAAGGUGUAAUGUGAUGUAGUACCAAUGCAGGCUGGACCCUUGUUACUUAGGCGGCCUUGGCAAUUCAACAAACGUGUGAAGGAUGAUGGCUUCACUAACAAAUAUUCAUUUGUAUUUAAUGAAUGCAACAUCACUCUUGUUCCAUUGACACGAAAGCAGGUUUAUGGAGCCAAGUGAGCCUACAGAGAGAGAGUGAGUAAAAGAAAAAGAGAGAAAAAGAGAGUGAAAAUCAAAAAGAGGCCGAGGACAAUGAAAGAGAAAAAGCCAAGAAAAAUGCAGCCAUUAAGAGAAAAUUAGAGGGAAAACAAAAGAAUUUCUACGCAAGAGCGAGUGAGAUAAAAAGAGCGUUGUUUUCACAUCAGCUAAUGAUUGUAUUUUUGUAUAAAAAGGCAUUCUUAAACACUAACGAAAUUGACCCUACUUUGCCUCAUUCUAUUAUUUCUCUCUUGCAAGAAUAUGAGGAUGUCUUUCCCGAGGAAACACCACAUGGGUUACCUCCAAUCCAAGGCAUUGAGUAUCAGAUUGAUUUUGUGUCUAGUGCAACCACUCCAAAUCGACUAGCCUAUAGGAGUAACCCGUAGGAGACCAAGGAACUUCAAAGGCAGGUUAAUGAAUUGACAAAAAAAGGGUACGUGAGAGAAAGCAUGAGUCCACGCAUAGUUCCAGUUUUAUUAGUUCCUAAGAAGGAUGGGACAUGGAGGAUGUGUGUUGAUUGUCGAGCCAUCAACAAUAUAACAGUGAAGUAUCGACAUCCCAUAGUUGGGCUAGAUGAUAUGCUUGAUGAAUUAUAUGGGUCUUGUGUGUUUUCUAAAAUUGAUCUAAAAAGUGGAUAUCAUUAGAUUAGAAUGAAAGAAGGAGAUGAAUGGAAAACUGCCUUUAAAACAAAAUAUGGUUUGUAUGAAUGGUUAGUCAUGUCUUGUGGUCUAACUAAUGCCCUGAGCACUUUUUUGAGACUUAUGAAUCAUGUUUCAGGAGCUUUUAUUGGGAAGUUUGUUGUUGCUUAUUUUGAUGAUAUCUUUAUUUAUAACAAAAAUAUAGACGAUCAUGUAGUAGAUUUUAAAUUUGUUUUAGAUGUUCUUAGAAAAGAAUAGUUGUUUGCUAAUAUGAAGAAGUGUACCUUUUGCACCGAUAAACUUGUGUUUCUAGGAUUUGUUGUGAGUGCAUAGGGUAUACAGGUUGAUGAGGAGAAGGUAUGUGCAAUCCAAGAGUAGCUGAGUCCCACAAGUGUAAGUAAUGUGAAAAGCUUUCAUGAGCUCACUAGUUUCUACCGACGAUUUGUGAAAAACUUUAGCACAUUAGCUGCACCGCUUACUAAAGUAAUAAAAAAAGAUGUUGGAUUCAAGUGGGGAGAAGAGCAAGAGAAGGCAUUUCAAAUGAUCAAGCAAAAGCUAACCAAUGCUCCCUUAUUGUCCUUGCCUAACUUUAAUAAAACAUUUGAAAUUGAAUGCAAUGCCUCAAGUACUGGUAUUGGCGCAGUCUUAAUGCAGGAGGGAUGACCAAUUACUUUAGUGAGAAAUUGAGUGGGGGCAGCCUUAAACUACCCUACUUACGAUAAGGAGUUAUAUGCAUUGGUUUGAGCAUUAGAAACAUGGCAGCACUACCUAUGGCCUAAGGAAUUCGAGAUUCACACCGAUCAUGAGUCCUUGAAAGACCUUGAAGGUGAACACAAGCUAAACAAGAGGCAUGCUCGAUGAUUAGAAUUCAUAGAGACGUUUCCAUCUAUCAUUUGUUACAAGCAAGGUAAGGAAAACGUUGUUGUAGAUGCACUUCCUAGCAUGUAUGUCUUAAUCUCGACACUUAAUGUUAAAUUGGUUGGUUUUGAACAUAUUAAGGAAUUGUAUGCUGAUGACCAUGAUUUUAGUAUGAACACCAAGCUUGUGAAAAGACCGCAGUUGGUAAGUACUUUAGGCAUGAUGGCUACUUAUUUCAAGAAAAUAAACUAUGUGUGCCUAAUUGUUCUACGAGAGAUUUGUUAUUGAGAGAAUCCCAAGAAGGAGGGUUGAUGGGGAAUUUUGGACUUGUAAAGACUUUAGCAGUUUUGCAGGAGCACUUUUAUUGGCCACAUAUGAAAUGAGAUGUCGAGACACUUUGUGGUAGAAGUGUCACGUGUAAACAAGCUAUAACAGUCCACUUAAAUAUUCAUUUUAAAGAUGUUUAAAACACUGUGCUUUUAUAAAUACGGAUUAAAAAUAAAUUCACACAACAAACAAAAACUUUCUUAUAUAAAGUAAAAGUCAUACAGAGAUUUCAUAGUUUAUUUCAAAACUUGAUUAUUACAUAAGCGAAGAUAUUUAUUUUUCGUUAAAACAAAGCUGAGCCCAUCAUAAAAUCCCAAGGUCUGUUAUGUUCAUAUGCACUUCAUCUUGGCUAGGACUUAGCACCAACUUGCCCUACUUAUCGUUACCUGCAAUGUAAGGACUUUAUGAGCUAAUGCCCAGUAACAUAACACUUGGAUGCAUGUAUAACUUAUUAUGCAUGUGGAUAAUCUUAUUAAGUUUUUAAAAGAAACUUACAAAACAACUUUAUUAGGGCCCUAGGUAUGUUGCACUAUAAGGCUGGCACUUUUACUCUUUAAACAUUAUGCCCAUGGGCCUCAUUAGUUGAUCUUUUGGGCAUUACGUAUCACCGUCCCCAAAAGAUUUCUUUUUACUUAGCUUUGAGGGCUUGCCCUCCUUAGAAACUUUGCCACCUGGUAGUACAACCACCUAUUUUUCAUAAAUUCAUUUUCUAAAACAUAUUCUUCAUAAUGUAAUCCAUGAUAUGCAUGUAUCCAAAGCAACUUAUGUCACAACAUUUGAAGUUCCUAGAUGCAUAACAGAAUCAACACACAACAUUAUUUGAGAACAAGAUUCUUUAAUACAGGCGGUAAAGCCGACCAUAGCAUAAUUAAGUAGAAGUAUCACAGAUUAGGCGGCAGAGCCGACCAUAACAUAACUAAGUAUCAUAGAUUAGGCGGCAAAGCCGACCAUAACAUAAUUAAGUAUCACAGCUUAGGCGGCAGAGUUUACCAUAACGUAAUUAAGUAUCAUAGUUUAGGCGGCAUAUAAGAAUUUAGAAAUAGGUACACCAUGUAGUCUUGCUAUCUCCUUUACAUACAUUUCUGCAAGCUGGUCGAUGGUGUACGUCAUUCGAAUAGGCAAGAAGUGAGCAGACUUUGUGAGUCGAUUGACGAUCACCGAAAUAGCAUCAUGCAUUUUUGCAAUCCUUGGAAGACCAAUGACGAAGUCUAUCGUGAUUUCUUCUCACUUCCAUUGCGGAACUUGAUUGGAUUCCAAAAGUCCUGCUGGUCUUUGGUGCUCUGCUUUGAUUUGUUGACGAACGCAACUAUAUCCUUCUUCAUUCCAGGCCACUACUAAUGCUUCUUUAAGUCUUUGUACAUCUUUGUUGUGGCAGGAUGAAGUGAAUAUGGGGUUAUGUGAGCUUCAAGUAGAAUAUCUUUCUUUGUAACUACAUUAUCUGGUCUUUGAACAAGAUGAUUCCCUUCUCUGACUUCUUAAAUGAUGUCUCCUUUGAGUUGGCCUCUACCUUCAAGUUCUUCAAGUAGGAAUCGCUUUCCUGCCCCUAAUCUUUUUUAACAAGGUUGAGCGAAGCAUCAUGUUGGCUAAUUUUUCUGCUACUAGCUCGAUCUCUGCCUUGCAUAUAUCAUUUUGUAAUGGCUUAAGUAGAAUCUUUAAAGCUGACAGGCUUGACUUUCGACUUAGUGCAUUUGCUACCACAUUUGCUUUUCCGGGGUGAUAGUUUAUUUCGCAGUCAUAGUCUUUGACAAGCUCUAACCAACGCCGCUGUCACAUAUUUAACUCCUUCUAUGUAAAGAAGUAUUUGAGGCUCUUGUGAUCAGUGUAAAUCUUACAAUGCGCCCCCAUUAAAUAAUGAUGUCAUAUUUUUAAUGUGUGUACCACCGCUGCCAACUCCAAAUCAUGCGUUGGAUAAUAUUUCUCAUAAUAUUUCUCUGGAAGCGUAAGUAAUGACUUUUCCAUUUUGCAUGAGGAUGCAUCCUAUGACAUCGCUAUGGAUGACAAAAUCCUUAGAGCUGUUAGGAAUGGCAAGGAUUGGAGCAGUGACCAGCCGCUGUUUUAGUUCUUCAAAGCUUUUCUUGCAUUUUGGCGUCCAUACAAACUUGGAAUUUUUCUUUGUCAACUGGGUUAAUGGCAUCACGAUCUUUGAGAAUUCUUCCACAAAUCUUCGGUAGUAUCCAGCCAAACCUAAGAAGCUUCUGACUUCUUUGGCAUUAGUCGGUCUGGACCAUUGGCUUACAACUUCCACCUUCGAGGGGUCUACUAAAAUUCCAUCCCUAGACACAAUGUAUCCCAGGAAUGUAACUUUCUCAAGCCAAAAUUCACAUUUCUUGAGUUUUGCAUAAAGUUGCUUCUCCUUCAAAGUCUGAAGAGUGAUUCGUAAAUGCUCAAUAUGCUCUUUCUUUUAUCAUGAGUAGACCAAAAGAUCAUUGAUGAACACCACUAUGAAUUUGUCUAGGUAGUCUUUAAAUACCCUGUAGGCUGUUGGGGCAUUAGUUAGACCAAAUGGCAGAGGACAAACUCAUAGUGUCCAUAACGUGUUCUGAAUGCUAUUUUAGGAAUAUCUUCUUAUCUAAUUCUCAACUGGUGAUAUCCUGAUCAUAGAUCAAUCUUUGAAAAUACUAAUGCUCCUUGUAGCUAAUCAAAUAAGUCAUCGAUGCCCGGAAGUGAGUAUUUGUUCGUAGUCACCUUAUUUAGCUCUUGGUAAUCAAUGCACAUUCGCAUUGAUCCAUCCUUCUUUUUUACAAAUAGUACUGGUGCUCCCCAUGGUGAAUGACUUGGGCGUAUGUAGCCUUUGUCCAGUAACUCCUACAAUUGACUCUUUAACUCCUUUAAUUCUGAUGGGGCCAUCCUAUAGGGCACCUUUGAAAUUGGAGCAGUUCCUGGUAACAAAUCAUAGAAAAUGACCAUUGAUUUUAUCAGGAUAUACAGGAUACCCUUCGGAUGAGAAACCAUGAAUUGGAAGAACCCGUAGAUUGGGCCAUGAAUUCACGAAGGACAGCUUGAGAUUGAGCAUUUGGUUUUGUUCCUUGGAGAUCAAUCAAAAACACUUCCACAAAAAAUCAUCCUCCAAAAACCCUUUCCGAUAUUUUAGAUUUAUGAAAUGUGAAACUUAUAAAUGAAAGUAAGCUUGUAAUCGUAUCAUUUCAUGCACAUGCUGAUGGGAACCAAUUGCUAAAGCUUCACAAGAUUGAUUGAGCAUCCAUGGAGGUCUAAUGACAAUGGUAAAAACCAAAAAAAUGAAGCAUUAAAUGGAUUAACUUAGCACAUCUCAAAUUCAUGCCCCAUUCAAGACAAUAAUCUGCCCGAAUUGAGUAUUCAAGAUAGUCAAUGAUCUGUCAAUGUUAUUCAAGCUUCUAAAUCUGAUUUGGAGUGACUUGCAUGAAGAGCAAACAAGGCCUUAUCAAAUUAGGAAGAAAAUCAAGCACAAUCUUUAUUUUCUAAUCUAUUUUGGAAACAAGAUUUUUAUUUCCUUUUUACUUUAGGAUCAAACAAGUUUUUUUUAUGUACUUUUACUUUAGGAUCUCUUAUUUCCUUUUUUAUUUUAGGUUAUAUUUAGUAAAAAAGAAAACCUUAUUUCAUUAGUAAAAUUCAACUAUAUAAACUCAUGUAACCCUAUUCAAGAAUUUCAGAUCUGAGUUUAUAAUAGUGAGAGUUUUUCUCUUUGGUUCUUGAAAGAACUUUUAGCACUUACCAAGAUUUUAUCUUGUUCCAUUCUACUUGACUUAUUACUCACAAUCUUUGUCUUUUUUCUUGAGUGUGGCGUCAACCCUGAAUUUCUUAUUCCAUUAGUUCUUAUCUUUAUAGAAAAAGGCUCAAGAUCAUUAUUUUACGGUUAUUUGAAUAUCAUUUGAAACUAUCCUUAGCAAAGAAACCUUAUUGAGUGCAAGGUCUCACUUGUCCUUGUGAGGUUCACAUCACUUGCAUGGUAUGUAUUAUGUAUUUAGUUUGCUAUAUGAAAACCUAAUUUGCUUACAGAAUUUUUAUACUAAUUAUAGUUUACUGUGAUUCCUAGAUGGCUGACAGAGCUAGCGUGUGAUGGAUUUGACAAAUCUGCUCAUAUUCCUUGGUAAUUAGAUUAUGUGACUUUAUUAAGUGUAAUAUGUCUUUUCCUUUUGGGAGUUACUUUGAUAAAUUCUAAUUUUUAAUAACUAUGCAAAUGUUUAAGUUGUCUCAUUAUUGCUAUGUUUUCUGCACGUUUAAGAUAUUGAUUGAUAGAAAAAUCACCCUUAGAACUUUUUUUUGUUUGGGGCGUGACAACAUAUACUGUGGGCAGAUUGAGUAGGUAUACUUAAAAUCUAAACAAGGAUCACUGGACUACAAUAGACAGACUUGCAAGAUAUUUAAGAGGUACUAUUGAUUAUAACUUAUAUAUGGUAGAUCUUCACUAGUACUGGAAGGUAUAGUGAUACAAAUUGGAUCUCAAAUAAAAUGACAAGAAGUCCACUAAUGGUUAUACUUUUCCCUGGUAGAGGUGCAGUAUCUUGUAAAUCCUCCAAGUGGAUGUGUAUAGCUUGUUCCACCAUAGAGUCCGACCUAAUUGCUUUAGAGAAAACAUGUUCUGAGGUUGAGUGGUUGUGGAACCCCUUAACAGAUCUUCCCAUUUUGUUCCCACUCCUACUUCUGUGUUGAUCUAUUAUGAUUGUAAGAAGUAAGAUAUGUAAUGGGAAAAAACAUAUGCAUACAUAUGAGACAUAAUAUUAUAGGAGGUUAAAUUUAGCCAAUUCUCUGACAAAACUACUAAAUAGGAGGUUAGUAGAGAACAUGUCAAGGGGAAGGGACUGUUGUAUAUAUCAAAAGACAACAGUGAUGGUAACUCUACCUAGCUAUGUGAUUGGAGAUCUCAUGAAGUAGGUUCAUAAGGAUAAAAAUAAGUUACUUGUUGUCUUGUAGCACUAUCAACUUUAUGUAAUUUUGUUAUCAUUUAAUAAAGAUUUUAUUUAUUCAUGACUCCUUAUGAUGAGAUAAUGACUUACUAUAAUAAAGAUUUUAUUUAUUUAUGACUCUUUCUUAUGAUGGUAACUCUACCUAGCUAUGUGAUUGGAGAUCUCAUAAAGUAGGUUCAUAGCACUAUCAAUUUUAUGUAAUUUUUUUAUCAUUUAAUAAAUAUUUUAUUUAUUUAUGACUCCUUCUUAUGAUGAGAUAAUGACUUACUAUAGUGAUUAAGGUUAAUGAACUUCAUAGCCCACAUUUUGUAUAUGGGUGAAAUGACCCCCCAAACUCGAAGGUUGAGUCUAGCUAGUUCUGUGUCCACGAGGCACAGAUACUGCGGNNNNNNNNNNNNNNNNNNNNNNNNNNNNNNNNNNNNNNNNNNNNNNNNNNNNNNNNNNNNNNNNNNNNNNNNNNNNNNNNNNNNNNNNNNNNNNNNNNNNNNNNNNNNNNNNNNNNNNNNNNNNNNNNNNNNNNNNNNNNNNNNNNNNNNNNNNNNNNNNNNNNNNNNNNNNNNNNNNNNNNNNNNNNNNNNNNNNNNNNNNNNNNNNNNNNNNNNNNNNNNNNNNNNNNNNNNNNNNNNNNNNNNNNNNNNNNNNNNNNNNNNNNNNNNNNNNNNNNNNNNNNNNNNNNNNNNNNNNNNNNNNNNNNNNNNNNNNNNNNNNNNNNNNNNNNNNNNNNNNNNNNNNNNNNNNNNNNNNNNNNNNNNNNNNNNNNNNNNNNNNNNNNNNNNNNNNNNNNNNNNNNNNNNNNNNNNNNNNNNNNNNNNNNNNNNNNNNNNNNNNNNNNNNNNNNNNNNNNNNNNNNNNNNNNNNNNNNNNNNNNNNNNNNNNNNNNNNNNNNNNNNNNNNNNNNNNNNNNNNNNNNNNNNNNNNNNNNNNNNNNNNNNNNNNNNNNNNNNNNNNNNNNNNNNNNNNNNNNNNNNNNNNNNNNNNNNNNNNNNNNNNNNNNNNNNNNNNNNNNNNNNNNNNNNNNNNNNNNNNNNNNNNNNNNNNNNNNNNNNNNNNNNNNNNNNNNNNNNNNNNNNNNNNNNNNNNNNNNNNNNNNNNNNNNNNNNNNNNNNNNNNNNNNNNNNNNNNNNNNNNNNNNNNNNNNNNNNNNNNNNNNNNNNNNNNNNNNNNNNNNNNNNNNNNNNNNNNNNNNNNNNNNNNNNNNNNNNNNNNNNNNNNNNNNNNNNNNNNNNNNNNNNNNNNNNNNNNNNNNNNNNNNNNNNNNNNNNNNNNNNNNNNNNNNNNNNNNNNNNNNNNNNNNNNNNNNNNNNNNNNNNNNNNNNNNNNNNNNNNNNNNNNNNNNNNNNNNNNNNNNNNNNNNNNNNNNNNNNNNNNNNNNNNNNNNNNNNNNNNNNNNNNNNNNNNNNNNNNNNNNNNNNNNNNNNNNNNNNNNNNNNNNNNNNNNNNNNNNNNNNNNNNNNNNNNNNNNNNNNNNNNNNNNNNNNNNNNNNNNNNNNNNNNNNNNNNNNNNNNNNNNNNNNNNNNNNNNNNNNNNNNNNNNNNNNNNNNNNNNNNNNNNNNNNNNNNNNNNNNNNNNNNNNNNNNNNNNNNNNNNNNNNNNNNNNNNNNNNNNNNNNNNNNNNNNNNNNNNNNNNNNNNNNNNNNNNNNNNNNNNNNNNNNNNNNNNNNNNNNNNNNNNNNNNNNNNNNNNNNNNNNNNNNNNNNNNNNNNNNNNNNNNNNNNNNNNNNNNNNNNNNNNNNNNNNNNNNNNNNNNNNNNNNNNNNNNNNNNNNNNNNNNNNNNNNNNNNNNNNNNNNNNNNNNNNNNNNNNNNNNNNNNNNNNNNNNNNNNNNNNNNNNNNNNNNNNNNNNNNNNNNNNNNNNNNNNNNNNNNNNNNNNNNNNNNNNNNNNNNNNNNNNNNNNNNNNNNNNNNNNNNNNNNNNNNNNNNNNNNNNNNNNNNNNNNNNNNNNNNNNNNNNNNNNNNNNNNNNNNNNNNNNNNNNNNNNNNNNNNNNNNNNNNNNNNNNNNNNNNNNNNNNNNNNNNNNNNNNNNNNNNNNNNNNNNNNNNNNNNNNNNNNNNNNNNNNNNNNNNNNNNNNNNNNNNNNNNNNNNNNNNNNNNNNNNNNNNNNNNNNNNNNNNNNNNNNNNNNNNNNNNNNNNNNNNNNNNNNNNNNNNNNNNNNNNNNNNNNNNNNNNNNNNNNNNNNNNNNNNNNNNNNNNNNNNNNNNNNNNNNNNNNNNNNNNNNNNNNNNNNNNNNNNNNNNNNNNNNNNNNNNNNNNNNNNNNNNNNNNNNNNNNNNNNNNNNNNNNNNNNNNNNNNNNNNNNNNNNNNNNNNNNNNNNNNNNNNNNNNNNNNNNNNNNNNNNNNNNNNNNNNNNNNNNNNNNNNNNNNNNNNNNNNNNNNNNNNNNNNNNNNNNNNNNNNNNNNNNNNNNNNNNNNNNNNNNNNNNNNNNNNNNNNNNNNNNNNNNNNNNNNNNNNNNNNNNNNNNNNNNNNNNNNNNNNNNNNNNNNNNNNNNNNNNNNNNNNNNNNNNNNNNNNNNNNNNNNNNNNNNNNNNNNNNNNNNNNNNNNNNNNNNNNNNNNNNNNNNNNNNNNNNNNNNNNNNNNNNNNNNNNNNNNNNNNNNNNNNNNNNNNNNNNNNNNNNNNNNNNNNNNNNNNNNNNNNNNNNNNNNNNNNNNNNNNNNNNNNNNNNNNNNNNNNNNNNNNNNNNNNNNNNNNNNNNNNNNNNNNNNNNNNNNNNNNNNNNNNNNNNNNNNNNNNNNNNNNNNNNNNNNNNNNNNNNNNNNNNNNNNNNNNNNNNNNNNNNNNNNNNNNNNNNNNNNNNNNNNNNNNNNNNNNNNNNNNNNNNNNNNNNNNNNNNNNNNNNNNNNNNNNNNNNNNNNNNNNNNNNNNNNNNNNNNNNNNNNNNNNNNNNNNNNNNNNNNNNNNNNNNNNNNNNNNNNNNNNNNNNNNNNNNNNNNNNNNNNNNNNNNNNNNNNNNNNNNNNNNNNNNNNNNNNNNNNNNNNNNNNNNNNNNNNNNNNNNNNNNNNNNNNNNAUCCCAAAAUGAGAUAAUCAAAAUGCCCCUAAUAAAUGUCAUCUACAUCCCUUAGCACCAUCCACAUGGCCAAAACUCAAAAUAUCUACAGUUGCUAGGUUGAUUAGUGUACCUAAAACCUCCUGUUGGGGGGAGGGGGGCGGAGAGGGGGGAGAAUAUAGUAAAAUAGGGUGAGUAUAAAAAUUAGUGAAUGGAUAAUAGGAUUUGAAAAAUAAACUUAUUUUAAAAUAAUUAUAUCAUUACAAUAUACAUUUUCAUCAAGCUAUAUGUAAGAACAUAAGUAAAUUGUUUAAACUUAAAAUUGAGUAACUACAUUAAAAAGGAAUACAUGACGUAAAACUCAUGGAAAUUAUAUCAAUGAUAAUAUAAAUAAAUGAUUCUAAAAUUUUCAUUAAACAAAUACUCAAGGGAGUAAUCUUGUCAUACAGGCAUUGCAAUGAUGUAUUGAAAGUAUACUAUCUUGCCUGGAGCUACAACGGGUAGACUAAUAAUGUGCCCUCUCAUAUAUUUCAUCAUAUUUAAUCCUACUGCAUGCAUAAAAUAGCCCCCAAAGGACAAAAGUGCCCAAGCACACAGGCCAAAGCCUUGUAUGAGCUCAACCAACUCCAAAAGGCCUUUAUGUCAAUUGCAUCUCUGUAACUAAAUCUCUACACUCAUCUCUAUAUCCGGAGGGGAAGGGUACUGCCUAAUGAUUUGAAAACAAACUUUAAUAAAAAUAUAUACAUAAAUAUUUCAAACACACUUUAAAUCUUCAUUCCUUUUCAUUAAAAUACUCUCAUGCAUUUAACUCAAAAUAUAUAAGGAAAACCAAUCAUCAUACACCUUUAAUAAACAUAUCAAUAUCUAGAUAAAAUUUAUUUCUAGAAAAACUUAAAUUGGAGCAUCAAACCCUUACUUUGUAAACAUACUUUACUAAAAUUAAAAUCCAAAUAAAAUUACAAAAGAUAAGUUUAGUACAUUCUCCUCACUACGACGAUGCUAAAGCUCGGCUAUCAUUGACGUUUGUGGUUGAUUCACGUUCGUGGCUCCUCCUCAAUCAAGGAAAUGACAUAAUUACUUUCUGAACAUGUGAAAUAGAAUAUUUAUACCACAACAAACAACUCUCAAAUCCAUACUUGUAAGUUAAAAAUUACCAUCAUACCCUCAAAACCAUAAAUUACACUGUAUACUCAAAAUCCCAUACUCCACCUCAAUAAUCUUAGAAUUAACCAUACCUAUCUAAACAUAAUAUAUAACUAGAAGCUAUUUACAUACUGUAUUGAGGAAACAAUAAGGAGUACGAGUUUUCGGGUCUAUAAUGCCUUGUUGGUGCCCUUGUGCACCUAAAAUAAUCCACCAAUUACAGAUAUGAGCUUGGGACCAACUUUAACCAUUUGUUGGAAACUCAAACUAUAAUUAAAGUAUACAAAUCUUUAAAUUAACUCCAUUUCUCAUGCAAAUCCAACUUCAAAUAAAGAUAAAAUUAUAGAAAUCAUACUCCCUUUGGUGAGAAAACCAAGUUGAAAGCUUGAAUCACUUCCCUCUCACUCAAAUCCUCUCUUCACACUUUCUACACUUAAAUUCCUCUCAAAUGGAUGUUUUCAAAUGAAUUUAGAGAUAGAAACACUCUAGAAUAGCUCCCCAAAUCAAGAUUUCGAAGUCCCAAACUCAAUUUUUGAUGAACUCAAGUCCUAAGCUUUUCCCUUCAAUUCUUUCUUCCUUUACUCGUGAGCUUCCAAGUGAAAAAUGCCUCUUUUUCCUUUUUUUGUUAUAAGCUUAAUAUAUAUAAAGCUAACAGUGAGCUUGGUUUUUUUUUUUUUUGUAAAUUAGUCUUCAUGUUCCCAAGUAGCAUCUUCCUUUAUGUGAUUCCUCCACAACACUGUGUUUUCAUAAGUCAAAUCUUCCUUCAACUGAAUUGGUCGCUUUGUACGUACAUGUACUUUUAGAGCAUUGAGACAUGAAACACAUUGUGGAUUCUUGAUAACUCUAGUGGUAGAGCUAAUUGAUAAGCCAACGAACCAAUGAACUUUAUAAUCUCAUAUAGGCCAAUGUAGCGUGGGCUAUGCUUCUCGCGCUUCCCAAAAUGAAGUACCCCUUUCCAAGGAUAUAUCUGUAUGAAACUCUAUCACCAACUUUGAAUUCAAAUUCUUUCCUACGUUUGGUUGUAUAGCACUUCUAUCUAUUUUGGGCCACUUUUUAUCUAUUUCAACAUGUCCCUAGAAGAUCCCAAUCAUCCCACAACACUGAAAGUCCAAAUCCAGCUCCAAGGAGCAGAACAAAUAUCCACUUCCAAAAUAGACACUCUCUAUCACCAGAUAGUGUAUCGAUUGCAAAAUCAUGCGCUAGAUCUCCCAACUGCACAAACAACCAGUGAUGCACUGAUGAUUCUUACAGACACAGAUACAAUUCCAACCAUCAUCCAGAUCCCUAAACAAAUUCAAAAACAAGAAUUGCUCCAACUCAUGGGUUUAGAAUGGCUUACCAACUAUGAACAAUUCCAUCAUAAUUCAAAACCUGUCCAGACUUCUCAAGCUGUCUUCGAAAGAAGAACAGAUGGACAAGUCAAGUUGUCUUUCAGACUCCAGACAAGCCAAAUCCAGAUCCUCCAUGGCUCUCAUAUACUGCUAUGAUUACAGCAGUUUCUACUGGACAAGAGCCCAAUCUUCCGAUCUAUGGAUUUUCCUCAGAAGGGUAUCCAGUAUACCUUGACAAAGUCAACAGUCAUUUCCUAUGGGAUGUUCCAGAAGCCCAUAUGUGGAUUUUUCCACAAAGGAUUUUUGAAAUCGUGAGACGAAGGCGAAGGAGAAAGAAAAAGCCUUCUACUCCUAAAACCCCGUGUAGACCCUAUUUUUCAGGACCACCAGAUGAUCCAGAAUCAGAUCAACCAUUACCCAUCUACAAGAAAGCACUCAGGCAACUCCAACGAGAAUCCUCACUUAAGCAUGUUCCUCCUCAACCAAAAAUCAAGUCAUGCUUGAUGUUCUCAUCUUCUAGCCAAUCAUACCAAGAAUCCUUUCCUCCACUCGAAAGACACACAGACCCUCAAACCAAAGUUGUUUCUCAACCCUAUGUCCAAUCACCAAUCACAACCUCUGGAGCACCAGAAGCACCAAAGCAGUAUGAGGCAGUACUCAACUGGCAAACCCAAAAUGCCAGUGCUUAGAAUCAAGCUCUCCACCAUCUUGGUAAGAAGAUUGUCAAAGUGGCAUCACAGGUGUCACAAACAGAAACAAAGGUGGACACAAUCACUUCCCGGCUUGAACAUAUUUAUUCAAAUCUGCAGAACAUAAUCUCUGAAUUGGAUAUUGAUCUUGGAUAUUGAUCUUAGAACGAUGAUCAACAAUUGUAUUUGGGGUCCCGAAUUCAAUAAGAAAGAAGCAGAGAUCAGACAGUUGAAGGUAGAAUUGGCCAGAAUUGAUGCUGACAAAGCACAACCUUCCCUUUUCACCAAAACACAGUCUAUACAUAUCCCAGCACCACUAUUCACAUCAUACCAGCCGUUUUAUAGUCCUCCUAAACAGUCAACUUAUGAUCAGUUCUUUGGUCUCUCCCAUCUCCAUAAUAUUCCCUCCGUUCCACCACCAAAAACUACUUCACCAAAAAUAUCCAAAUCAAAAGUCAAGAUCUCAAAACCUCCACCCAAGGAAGAUCUUCAAGUUCCAGAAGACUCUCCUAAAGCAACCCCUGAACCUCCGAAGAAAGACAAAGUUCCAGCUUACCAAUACCAUUAUCAACAGAUUGACUCUCAAAAUAAUGACUCCGAUUCAACCUCAGAAGAAAGUUUACCCUCCACAGCGAUACGCAGUUCCUCUGAACAAACUUCUUCAAACUCAGAGUCUCAAUAUGCGAAUAUUUCUGGUCUUCUCAUGGCCACAAAAAAAGAAGAUCCUAGUACCUCUACUCUUGUUGUAGACACUCAUAUUGCCGAAGAAUCUUCUGAUGAUAAUGAUAAUGUCCAAGACUCACAAACAGAACCGGCUCCCUCCGGUUUAUGAGAAGGUUUUCCAAACCAUCUUCUUCUCAUGGGUUUACAUUUGGAUGACAUCCUUUAACACUUCUUAAUGGGAUGUUCCAGAAGCCCAUAUGUGUACCCCUGAUUGACCUUGCUUAGAAGAUCCAUAGGAUGAUGAUGAAGACUUUGAAAUCAUGAGGAGAAGACGAAGGAGAAAAAAGAAACCUUCUAAUCCAAAAACUCCUUGCAGAUCAUACUCUCCAGAAACACCAGAUGAUCGAAAUUCAAGUCAGCCUUUACCGAUCUAUAAAAAGACUAUCUCACCGAAAAUUGUUCCUUCACCACCAAAGCUUAGGUCAUGCCUGAUGUUUUCCUCCUCUAGUCAGUCCUACCAAGAAUCAUUUCCCCCACUUGAAAAACAAAUAGAUUCACAGACUAAAGUUGUUUCUCAGCCUUUUGUGCAGUCACCCAUCACAUUUUCUAGUCAACCAGAAGCCCCAAAGCAAUAUGAAGCAGUCUUAAAUUGGCAAAAUUAGAAUGCCAAUGCUCAAAACCAAGCACUUCAUAAUCUUGGGAGAAAAAUCGACAAAGUUGCAACCCAUGUGACCAAGACUGAAACCAAGGUGGAUUCACUCAAUGCUCAGUUAGAAUAAAUCUAUCUGAAUUUGCAGAACAAAAUCUUUGAAUUAGAUAUUAAUCUCAUAACAAUGAUCAACGAUCGUAUAUGGGGUCCAGAAUUUAACCAAAAAGAAGCAGAGAUUAGAAAGAUAAAAGCUGAGCUAGCCAGAAUUGACGCAGACAAAGAACAACCAUCCAUUUUCACCAAAACUCAAUCUUUACCAAUUCCUGCCCCUUUAUUUGAUACAUAUCAGCCCUUCUAUAAUCCUUCCAAACCACCAAUGGACUACAACAAGUUCUUUGGUCUUUCUCAUCUUCUUUAUAAAAAUUUAGAACUUCCCACAACACCUUCAACAUCCAAAAAACCAGCCACAAAAGUCAAAAUUUCAGAACCAAAACCAAAAGAAACCUCUCCAAUACCUGAAGACUCUCUAAAGGCAACUCUUGAACCAAGGAAAGACAAAGCUCCUGUACACCAAUACUUUUACCAAAGUGUUGGGUUACAAGGCAGUGAUCCAGAUUCAGACUCAUCCUCUGAUUAUAGUACUAGUUCUCAGGAGCAAUCUUCCUCAGACCCAGAGUCUCAAUAUGCAGAUAUCUCUGGCUUACUCAUGGUUCAACCAUCCGCAGUUGUGGAUGAAUCUGAUGAUGAAAAUGCAGACCAAGGCAGUUCACAAACUGAACCAACUCCUCCAAACCCACCAGCACCUGAAACUUCCUCUAAACCAUCUUCGACACAAUGGUUCACUUUUGAUGACAUUCCUCACCACAAAUGGCCAGCCAAACACCAAGAAUUUGCUGCUUAGGUCAAUGUACAAAUGACACGACCAAAUGCACAAUCUCAAAUAGUUCUCUGAGAAUUCUGUUCGAGAUUCACUGGUUCAUUGCGAGAUUGGUUCGAAAGUCUGGGAGAAUAUAGACAACUUCAAUUGAUUCAAACCACAGUCGCAACAACCCUUACAGUCAUUUAUGGACAGUUCAUUGGAGAACCAGUUGCAGCAAAUGAAGCCUCCAGAAAAGAAUUUCAUCAAAUGAAAUGUUGUUCUCUCAACCAUUUGGAGAUGCAUUACAAAAGAAUGAGCAUGCUUUACCACAAGUUAAAUGGCUUUAAUGAUCCAACUUUAAAGCAUGUUUUCAUUGCUUCACUUCCUUCAGAACUUCAGCCAGAACUCCAGAGAUAGCUUACAGCCUUUAAUCUGGACAUAGCCAACAUUGCUCUUGGAAAAUUUUUCCAGUUGACUAUGUUUUGUCUUGACAGAUUGUGUGAAAAAAAACAACCUUUGCCUCAGCCUGCAAAAAGCCAUACCUCAAAAUCCAGUGCAAAGAUGAUAAAAAAUGCACUUGUCCAACCAAAAAGAAAGGUCAUUUCCAAAAGCACCCUCACAGAUCUUCCAAGAAAGGCAAAAAAACCUUACAAGUACCUCAAGAAGAAAGAUCCAUCCCAGUUCAGGAAGAAAAAACAUAACCGUUGUUUCAUUUGCAGGAAACGCGGUCAUUUUGCCAGAAAUUGUCCAACCAAGUCAGCCAAAGUUGUUCGCCUCAUCCAACAUUUGCAAAAAUCUUCAUUGCUUUCUAAUCAUGAAGAUGUUGAGUCCAAUUUCUCUGAACAGACAGAAUAUGAUGAUCAUAUAGCAUUCAUCCUUACAGAGUCAACAGAUGAUUCUGAGAUAGAUGAAAUUUCUGUUAUUGUUACUAUUCAAGGAUUCAACCAUGUCCAUUCUAAACCCACUGCACCUUCAGUAAAAAUUUUAGUCCUUCCAUCCAAGUUUUAUAAACCUAUUCCUGUAAUUGGUUUUCUUGAUACUGGUGCACAACGCAGUAUGCUCAAUCCCACAGUUCUUCCUUCCUCUUGUUAGGAAAAACAUACUGAGCUCUUCAAAGCAGCCAAUAGUGAAAUUUUUAAAACCUCACUGAUUACUAAAAAACCCAUUGGGAUUCAAUUUUUUCCAAACUGCAUCAUAUGGUAAAAAAUCAUUAGUUUAGAUUUACCAGACAAAGAUCUUCUCAUAGGAUGUCUUCUCAUAGGAUUUGAUAUCCUGCAUCUAGUAAGAAAUCUCCACAUCACACCAACUGGCAUCAAGUUCAAACAAAUGUUUUUGCCUUAUACAGAUAUUCUUCGUUUGUAUACUCUCUCAGAUACAGCCCCUCUUUAUACAUCCAUCACUCAAAAACUUCUUCAAUUCUGUCUUGAGAACUACUCUAAGUUCAGUCAUCCUCUUCCUCUUUGGAAAAAUGAUAAGUUAUUCAUUCAACUUCCCUUCAAGUUAAAUGAAGAUAUCAAUCCAACAAAGGCAACUCAUCCAGGAAUGCCACCAUCUGACCUUCUUUUAGCCAAACAAGAAUGUGACCAAUUGCUUCAGCAAGGUCUCAUUGAGCCCACAAAUUCAGAUUGGGCUUGUCAAGCCUUUUAUGUUGAAAAAAUGUUUGAGUUAGUUCGAGGAAAAAAGAGAUUGGUAAUUAAUUAUCAGCCUCUAACUGCUUUUCUUAGAGAUAAAAAAUUUCCUCUACCAAAAAUCCAGUCCUUAUUUGUCCAUCUUCAAGAUGCAAAAAUCUUUUCCAAAUUUGAUCCUAAAACAACCUUCUGUAUUCCUAAUGCCCAUUAUCAAUGACAGUAAUGCCCUUUGGUCUCAAAGUUGCUCCUUCCCUGUUCCAAAAAGCAAUGGUCAAAAUAUUUUCUCCUAUACUUCAUCAUGCUCUGGUGUAUAUCGAUGACAUCUUGUUGUUUUCCACCAAUCACCAGACCCACCAAAAAUUGCUUUCAGAUUUCUUUGACAUCAUGCAAUCACAUGGAAUAAUGCUUUCAGAAAAGAAAAGCAGUAUUGGAAAGGAAUCUAUUGACUUUUUAGGCAUGGUGUUAAAAGAUGGCCACUACCAUCCAGGACCACAUAUUACACAAGAAUUGACAAAGUUUCCAGACACAUAUCUCAAUAAAAAGCAAAUUCAACAGUUCCUUGGAAUUGUGAAUUAUUUGAGAGACUUUAUUCCCAAAGUUGCAGUCCACACUAGCAAAUUGUCAUGCAUGCUAAAGAAACAACCCCCACCAUGGGGCCCUGAGCAGACAAUAGCUGUCCGAAAACUCAAAAAGAUUUCUCAGUCACCACCACCACUCAAGAUUCCCAUAGCUGGACAAAGAAUUCUCCAGACAUAUGCCAGUGAUGAAUACUGGAGUGCCAUUCUUCUAGAAAACUUGGAGAAACAGAGUCUUAUUGCGCUCAUGCAAGUGGACAGUUCAAGGAUGCAGAGAAGAAUUAUCAUGUCAUUUACAAGGAGAUUUUAACAGUCAAGUAUGGAAUCAAGAAAUUUGAAUUCCAUCUGAUUAGCCACAACUCUGAUACCAGGAUGAGUAUCAAAACUUAACAACGUUUCUUUUAAGGUCAUAUAACCCAAACCAGACUUUCCUUAGUCUUUAAAACAGGGUACCAAACUGUUUAAGAAACCAUCAUAAGUUUUCUGAUGCACAGGAUCCUUACUGGAAGGCAAGUGCAGAGCAUACUUCCUUAAGGUUCCAAAAUGAACAAAUUUAAUUCUUUAUUCCUUUUCUUUCUCUAGAUCUUCAUUUGCAGAGAGAGAGGAGAGGUUUAGAAAUUCAUAGUUUUAUGGAAGCACACGAGAGUUUAUUUCUUUUUUAAAAACUUCUUCUUCUUCUUAUGUUACAAACAAAGGGAGAAUUCUUUAUAUAGGAGAAUUCUCGGAGAAGAUAGGACAUGAUCCCUAUCUUUUACAAAAGCAAAAGUAAAAGACACAUCAUGACAACUUUAAUGAUUACAAAGGACAAAGUGUGCUUUAAUAAUUAAAGCAUGACUUUGACAAAAGCAAAAGCUUAAAGUAAAAGCAGGCCUUCAUAAUUAUACAGGAUAAAACCAUAAAGUAGAACAUAAUUAUUACAACAAGACAAACUACUUUAUAGAGAGCGGAGAUUCAUGUAGUCGUCUUCAGAUGAGCUUUCUGUUUCAUAUGGGUCAUUGUCACGGUGGUAUUUUGGGAAAAAGGUUUUGGAGAGCUUUGGAUGCUUACAGUGGGGACCACGGCAAGGUGGAUAAGGGCAAUCUCUUCGGUAUCCUGGCUUGGGGGGUGAUGACUGGGACUUGGGGCUUGGCAUCUGAGUGGCCUUGUCAACUUUGGAGGGUUGGGGUGAUGAUCCUAGUUCAUACAUGGUUGGUUGUGGAAACUGUUGGAGAUGUUAGCUUAGAGGAAGGAAUUCUUCCCAUGGGUCUUGGGAGUCUUGGUAAAGGAAGUCAGUGUAGUCUGGUUUUUCUUCUUGGAUGAUGAUUCCUGUGGACUUUGGUUUGGAUAUGGCGGAUGGAGUGGGGAUUAUGAUGAGGUCAUGUUGUGGUCCUAAGGAGGUGUAAAAGAUAUCCUAGUGUGGUGGAGUUUGGUGGUUCAAUUGACAAAGGUAGUUGUGUAGGUUGGAUUGGAGUUCAUUGUCAAUGACAGCUGGGUGAGGUGCAGUAAACCAUUCAUAUACCUGGUCUUGAGUCCAAAAGAGAUUUGUGUCUAGAUGUUGGAAGUAUGGCCUGUGAAUGAUAAAUACUGAUAUAAACAAUUGUGCUUCAGAGGCAGGCAUACGUUCAAGAUUGUAAAUCUCUGACAGUUGUUGUAGCUUCUUUCUCCACCAUGGUAUUGGGGAGAACCAUUCAAGUAAUGUCUAGGUAAGAGAGGUGGCUUUGUCUGGAUUAAGGAGAUUGUUCAAAGUGGGAGUGAUUGGUAGGACUAGCUUGGUUACAUAAAGAACAGUUAGGCACCAGGUGUACCAUAACUCAUCUUCAGUGAUUUCGCUGGACGGAGCGAUGGUUAAACCUGUAAGGAACAGAUUUUUUGGGUGGAAGGUGGAAAAGGGAAAUGAGUCUGCCAAAAGGUAGGCUUUCAUGAAGAAGCGGAAAACAUCUUUUCUUGCAAACUCUUGGAUAGCAGAGACAGAAGAUAAAGUUUUGUCAAGGGGAAAAGUUUUCUUGGUGAGAGCUUCUGGUGGAAGUGAUGUGGCCAUGGAGAUGAUCGGAAAUUGGUAUGUUGUGGAAAUCAAGGUUAGAGAGUGUUCUGGUUUUGAGAGUUUGGAUAGCAUAUCAGGGAUGAGGUUCUGGGACCCCUUUAUAUUCUUAACCGAAAAAUCAUAUUUGGAAAACCAAUCUUUUAAUCGGAGUAACAUCUUUUCUAGGACAGUUUUACCUUUGAAAUUGAGAAUAUUGGGGAAGGCUGAACUGUCCAAUCGGAUGAGAAAAUGAUGUCCAAUAAGAUGAUACUCAAAUUUUUUUAUGCCAUUCUUUACCGCUAAGAUUUCUUUGAAUACGCUAUGGUAAUGCUUCUGUGUGUCAGAAAAUUGUCCACUAGCGUAGGCGAUAAAGUAUUCUUUGCUGUUGAGUUCUUCGAGGAGGAUAGCACCCCAUGAUUCAUCACUUGCAUCUGUCUGCAAUAUGCGCUUUCCAUCAAUAAUUAACUUUAAGGGAAGCAGAUUUUGCGCAAUUUGCUUGAGGGUAGUGACAGCAGUUGUGUGGUUAGCAUUCCAUUAUGGGGGCUUCUUUUUUAAAAAAGCCGAGAGGUGGUGAGUAUAGCGGUCCAUAUGCGGGAUGAAGUCUCUGAUGUAAUUGAUAAUGCCUAGAAACUGUUGGACUUGCUCUUUGGAAAGUUGCUGAUCUGGAAAGUCAAGCAACUCUUGGGCAAUGUGCUUUCCUGACUAAUAAUGGUCGUCCUUUAUGAUCAUACCAAGGAAUUCAAUGGUAUCCGUGGCAAUGGUGCUUUUCUUAGCAGACAGCAUGAUUCCAUGACUUUGAACAAUAUCAUAGAAUUGAGUUAACAGCUGGUGAUGUUCAUCAUGUGAUCCUGAAAAAAGCAAGAUAUCAUCAAUGUAAAUUAAUGCAUGAUGCAGGAUAGGGUGAAAAAUUUUGACCAUGGAUUUUUGAAAAAUGGAUGGGGCAGUUUUGAGGCUGAAGGGAAGGACUGUCCAUUGAUAAUGGGCAUUUGGGAUACAAAAGGCAGUUUUGUAACGCUCCGAGGGUUCAAUGCCUAAUUGCCAAAAACCUGAUUUUAAAUCAAAUUUGGAAAAGAUCUGGGCAUUUUUUAGAAAAGUAAACAUGCUUUGUCGUCGGGGUAAAGGAAAUUUGUCAACUUGCAAAAACAUAUUUAGUGGCUGAUAGUCAAUGACUAAGCGUUUCUUUCCUCGGACAAGUUCAGAAUAAUUUUCAACAUAAAAGGCUUGGCAAGCCCAUUGAGAACUUGUGGGCUCGAUUAGACCUUGGGCUAACAGUUGUGAACAUUCUUUUUGGGCUAGGAGUAAGUCAGAAGGACUCAUUCCUGGAUGAGUAGCUUUGGUCGGGUUAAUGUCUUCAUUGAGUUUGAAAGGUAACUUAAUGAAGAAAGACGGAUUUUUCCAUAAUGGAGUUGGAUGGGUGAACUCAUAAUGGGACUCUGGACAGAAACGUAAAAGAUGGGAUGAAAUAUCCUGGUAGGACUGGGGAGUGUCAGACAAAUUGUAGAGUUUGAGAAUGUCUGUGAAUGGUUUGAACAUGGACUUGACUCAUAUUCCAGUGGGAAUGAUUUAGAGGUGUGUGAUUUGGCGAAGUAUGUCAAAUCCUAACAAGAUAUCCUUAUUAGGAAGGGUUGAACUGAUAACCUUGGUCCAAAUGACACAAUUUAGGAAGAUUUGAAUACCAAUGGGUUUGGUGGUAAUCAAAGAGGUAGUGAAAAAUUUGCCAUUAACGGCCCUGAAAUUUUCUUCGUACUUUGUCCAGUAUUUAGGUGGAAGGAUAUUGGGAUUUAACAUGCUGCGUUGGGCGCCAGUAUCUUUGAGACCAAUUGCUGGAAUGGGCCUUUGGAAUUUUGAGGGCAAGAUAUGGAGUUUGAUGGAGGGUAUAGGAACAGUAGUGUCAAGGGACAGUAAUUGUUGGUGGAAGAUGGCUUGAGACACAUCACUAUCGGAGUCUUCAGAGGAAUUUUGUAAUGCGAACACGGUUUCAUCAUUGGGUUCAUCUUGCUCAGAAAAAUAGAAUUCCAGUUUGUCUGUCGCGGGAGAGUAAUCUGUAGUGGCUUGAAGGUGUUCGACUAACUGGAUGGAUUUCUCUCGUUUGUUGGGACAAUCUUUAGCAUAAUGACCUUUCUUCUUGCAGAUGAAACAUCGACUUAAUGAUUUUUUUUUGAAUGCUCUGGAGGAAGAUGAUUUUUUUCUGAAGAAUCGAUAGGGCUUUCUGGACCUACAGGGUUUGGAUGAAAUUUUUGGAUUUUUGAAUUUCCAAAAAUGCCUUUUCUUCUUAGAACCGCAAUCACAAUCCUUUUUCUUUUUGCAUUUGAUCUGCAAAUAGGGCUUUUUGCAGGCACUCCUGAAUGGUUCAUUAUCUCUCAACAGGUCUUUGAAAAAUUAUUUCUGCUCGCAGAGUUUGUCAAGGCAUGUUUUGGCAAUUUGGAAGAUUUUGCCAAGAGAGAUGUUGUCAAGGAUGAGAUUGGAGGCGGUGAGUUGCCGUUGUAUAUCGGGUUGGAGUUCUUCGGGAAGGGAAGCCAGAGAGACAUGCUUUAAUGUUGGCUCAUUGAAGCCAUUAAGCUUAUAGAACAACAAGGACAUUCGUUUGUAAUGAAAGUCAAGAUCCUUAGCAUUGAGUGAACAGCAUUUCAGGUUGAGAUAGUCUCGUCGUGCAGCUUCAAAAACUGCAGAGGGGUCUCCAAGGAAUUGAUCAUGAAUAACCGCAAGGGCACUUGAGACUUCUGGUAAUUGAACAAACUGUAAUUGUCUGUAUUGGCCUAAAGAAUCAAACCAAUCUCUUAGAGCACCCGUAAAACGAGUAGCAAAUUCUCUAAGAACUGAUUGAGUUGUUGCUCCUGGCCUUAGCAUUUGGAGGUCAAUCCAAGCAGACAUUGCAAUAAGUCGCUCGUGCCAUUUAUGAGAUGGAAGAUCAUCAAAUGUGAACCAUGGACCACAACUUUCUUGGUGAGAGUUUCUGGUGGAAGUGAUGUGGCCAUGGAGAUGAUCGGAAAUUGGUAUGUUGUGGAAAUCAAGGUUAGAGAGUGUUCUGGUUUUGAGAGUUUGGAUAGCAUAUCAGGGAUGAGGUUCUGGGACCCCUUUAUAUUCUUAAUCGAAAAAUCAUAUUUGGAAAACCAAUCUUUUAAUCGGAGUAACAUCUUUUCUGGGACAAUUUUACCUUUGAAAUUGAGAAUAUUGGGGAAGGCUGAACUGUCCAAUCAACAAAUUACUUCCACAAUUGCUCAGUUUAAAAGCUUGGUUCGCCAAGUAUGACUUCACAGUCCAGCACAUAAAAGGUGAUAAAAAUCUAAUCCCUAACUUCCUCACCCGUCCAUCUAUAAAUAAGUCUACCCUUAUCACUUCCAUCCAGGCCAUACCCAUCAUAGCCAUGAACCGUUCUAUAGCAGUCGGUAAUUGUACGUGGCGUUGUUACACCAGAUCUAUAACAGAACAAAGUCUGUCCUUAGGGCCAAUAGCCCGCAAGUUCUGGUUUCCAUCCGAUAUACACUUAUCCAUCAAAUACCAAAUCCGAAAAUCAUAUUUGAAAAUAGUUUGUCAUGAUACCACCCGAAAACACGGCACUCUUGGCCUUUAAAGAGGGUGAACGUUGCGAAAAAACAAUUUCAUUUUAAAAAUCAAUUUUGGAGGAUAGAGCAGGACCUUUCAGAUGUACAGGAUCCUUAGGCUUAAGGCAAGUGCAGAGCAUACUCAGUUUAGAAAAUUAGAGGUGAGCGUAUCAUUAUUAACCCAAAUAAUUUCUUUGAUUCCUAGAAGAGAGAAAAGGUUUAGUGAAACAUGAUGUGAAGAAAACCUGAAUUUUAUUUCAAAUUAACUCCUGCUUGACAAAGAGAUAGAGAGAUCCUUAUAUAGAGAUCUCGAGGAAUGAGAGAUAAGGUGGGUCCCUUAUCUUUUACAAAAGCAUAAUGAUUAAAACACACCACGCCAAACUUAAAAAGGAAAAGCAUAAAACACACUUUAGACAAGACAGGACCCUUGUCUAAUUAUUAAAGAAAAGUUUUUAAAAAAGCAAAAACAAAAGAUUCCCAUGCGUGUCUGCAAUCAUGGAGUGGAUGGAUAGUGUGAUAGAGACACAUCGCCAAUUUCUUUCUCAUAUUGGCAUUUGGCACGACGGAUCUGUCAUUGGUCAAGAUAAACUUCAGCUUGCAGAUAGGCUUCUUCGCAGGAGGAUCUGGGUCUGUGACAGUGUAAUGGGAAUGUUCAGUAUGGAGAAGAGGCUGAAAAUCUUCCCAUGGAUCCUGAGUGUCUUGGAAUAAGACGUUAGUGUAAUCAGGACGUUGUUCCAUGACAAGGAUUCCUUGAGGACUUGAACUGGAACCUGGAGUACAAGUUUGUGUCUUUGGGACAAUUUCCAAGGUGUGGGAUGGUCCAACAGAGGUGUGGUGGAUGUUUGUGGCAGGUGGCUGAACAUUGUUGAGUUCCAUUAGGUAUGACUUGAGAACAUAGGUAAUAGAUGUAUCAUGGAUGAGGGUAUAAGGAUGGAGAUAAGUUUUCCAUUCAUAGGCCAUAUCUUGUGUCCAGAAGUCUCUUGUUUUUGGGUGCUGGAAGUAAGGCCUAUGAACGAUGAAGACUGUAGUGAACAUGUUGGCUUAUUGUUCUAGCAUUUUGUCUAAUCCGUGAAAAGUACACAGAUUUUUGAGUUGUUUUCGCCACCACGUGAGUGGUGAAUACCAUUCAAGGAGAGUCCAGAGAGGAUCUUACGAGAACUCAGGAGUGGUGAUGUGAGUGAGGACUGGUUUAACAGGAAAAACCAGCUUUGUGGCAUACAGAGGGUUGUGAGACACCACAUGUACCAUAACUCAUCAUCGCAGAUGGUUAAGGAAGACAGGGUAAGACCUGUGAGAAACAGGAUUUCUAUACAGAGGGAAGGAAAACGAUCAGGCUUUUUGCUCGGAACAUCGAUUUAAAAUCAGGUUUCUAGCAAUUAGGCAUUGAACCCUCUGAGCGUUACAAAACUGCUUUUUCUAUCCCAAAUGCCCAUUUCCAAUGGACAGUCCUACCCUUUGGCCUCAAAACUGCCCCAUCCAUUUUCCAAAACUCCAUGGUCAACAUCUUUCAACCCAUUCUGCAUCAUGCAUUAAUUUACAUUGAUGAUAUUUUGCUUUUUUCAAGAUCACAUGAUGAACAUCGUCAGCUGUUAACUCAAUUCUAUGAUAUUGUCCAAAGUCAUGGAAUUAUGUUAUUGGCCAAGAAAAGUACCAUUGCUACCAACAAUAUUGAAUUCCUUGGUAUGAUCAUAAAAGAUGGCCAUUAUCAACCAGGAAAGCAUAUUGCCCAAGAACUGCUUCACUUUCCAGAUCAGCAACUUUCCAAAAAGCAAGUUCAAUAGUUUCUCGGCAUCAUCAAUUACAUCAGAGACUUUAUCCCACAUGUGGAUCACUACACUCAUCACCUUUCGGCUUUAUUGAAAAAGAAACCCCCAGAAUGAAAUGCUGACUACACAAAUGCUGUCACUACUCUCAAGCAGAUUGCGCAAAAUCCGCCUCCUUUAAAGUUGAUUACUGAUGGAAAGCGCAUAUUGCAAACAGACGCAAGUGAUGACUCAUGGGGUGCCAUCCUCCUUGAAGAAAUCAAUGAAAAAGAACACUUUAUCGCUUACGCUAGUGGACAAUUUUCUGACACACAGAAGCAUUACCAUAGCAUGUUCAAAGAAAUCUUAGCGGUAAAGAAUGGCAUCAAAAAGUUUGAGUAUCAUCUGAUUGGACACCAUUUUCUCAUCCGUAUAGACAGUUUAGCCUUCCCCAAUAUUCUCAAUUUCAAAGGUAAAACUGUUCCCGAAAAAAUGUUACUCAGAUUAAAAGAUUGGUUUUCCAAAUAUGACUUUUCGGUCAAGCAUAUAAAGGGAUCCCAAAACCUCAUCCCUGAUAUGCUAUCCAGACUCUCAAAACCAGAAAAACCUCUCUUACUUGGACAUUACUUGAAUGGUUCUCCCCAAUACCAUGGUGGAGAAAGAAACUACAGCAAUUGUCAGAGAUUUACAAUCUUGAACGUAUGCCUGCCUCUGAAGCACAACUGUUUACAUCAGUAUUUAUUAUCCACAUGCCAUACUUCCAACAUCCCAAUACAAAUCUCUUUUGGACUCAAGACCAGGUAUAUGAAUGGUUUACUGCACCUCACCCAGCUGUCAUUGACAAUGAAAUCCAAGAUGUCCUUCACAACUACCUUUGCCAAUUAAACCACCAACCUCCGCCGCUUAAAGACAUCUUCCACACCUCCUUAGGUCCACAACAUGACCUCCUCAUGAUCCCCACUCCAUCCGCCAUAUUUAAACCUAAGUCCACAGGUAUCAUCAUUAAAGAAGAACGACCCGACUACACUGACUUUCUAUACCAAGACUCCCAAGACCCAUGGGAAGAUUUCCUUCCCCUCAGCCAACAUCUCCAACAGUUUCCACAACCAUCCAUGAAUGAACCAGGAUCCUCAUCCCAACCUCCCAAAGCUGACACGGCCACUAAACCCUCCAAAGUUGACAAAGCCACUCAAACAUCACCUAGGCCAGGAUGCCGAAGAGAUUGUCCUUAUCCCCCUUGCCGUGGUCCCCACUGUAAGCAUCCAAAGCUCUCCAAAACCUUUUUCCCAAAAUCCUACCGUGACACUGACCCCGAUGAAACCGAAAGCUCAUCCGAAGACGAUUACAUGAAUCUCCGCUCUCCAUAAAGUUGUUUGUCUUGUUGCUUUCAAUAAAGUAGUUUGUCUUGUUGUAAUAAUUAUGUUUUACUUUAUGGUUUUGUCUUGGCUUGCCUUACCCUUUGGCUUUUGCCGAUUGUAAAAGUCUUUGUAAGCAUGCUUUAUCUUUUGUCCAUUUGUCCAAGUCUUGAUCGGUGGGCUUGGCUUUCUAAAAAGGUGUGCUACAGGUCAUAAUCACUUGAGAAGUCAUGAUCUCAAGGAUCUAUGUUGUCAUAUCUUUACUUUUGCUUUUGUAAAAGAUAGGGGUCCUGUCCUAUCUUCUCUGAGAAUUCUCCUAUAUAAAGGAUUCUCCCCUUGCUUGUAAGAUAUAGAAGUUAUAUAGAAGUUUGAAACAAUAAACUCUCGUGUGUUUUUAUCACUAUGAAUCCCUAAACCUCUCUCCUCUCUCUGCAAAUGAAGCUCUCUAGAGAAAGAAAAAGAAUAAAGAAUUAAAUUUGUUCAUUUUGAAACUUAAGGAAGUAUGCUCUGCACUUGCCUCUAGCAAGGAUCCUGUGCAUCAGAAAACUUAUGAUGAUUUCUUAUCUGGUUUGGUACCCUGUUUUAGACUAAAAGAAAGUCUGUUUUGGGUUAUAUAACCCGCGAAAAAAAAUUAUUUAAAAGUUUUUCUGGUUCCCAUUUGAGUAUAUCGACGGGAAACCGACGACGUAAAUUCCAGAGGUGAUCCUGAAUAGGCACUAGUCUGGUCUGCACUGUCGGAGAACAAGUCACGUACUUUCAAUGGUACUUUGUAAAGUCUUGGAUCUGGUAGGCUGAAUGAAAAUGAAUGUUCAUGGGGAAAGUUCUCUGGUUGAGAGGUUUGAAAGGAAGUUGACGGUUCAUGGCUAUAACUGGGAUGGUGUGAAUGGAGGAAAUAAGUGAGGGUUUAUUUAUAGCCAGACGUGUAAGGAAGUCUAGGAUGAGGUUCUGUUUGCCUUUUAUGUGUUGGACAGUAAAAUCAUAUUUAGCAGACCAGUUUUUAAGGCUGAGCAGUUGUUUGUCAAGGAGCAACUAUUUUUGAAGUUAUGGGAAAAGAAGAGUUGUCCAUGUUGAUAAGGAAUUUAUGGCUGAUUAGAUGAAAUUUAAACUUUUUGAUUCCAUACUUGACCGCCAAGAUCUCUUUGUAGAUCACAUGGUAAUUCUUUUCAGAUUCUUUGAACUGUCCGCUUGCAUGUGCACAGAAGUGACGUACACCUUUUAUCUCUUCAAGAAGGAUGGCACUCCAGUAAUCAUCACUGGCAUCUGUCUGUAGAAUGCGUUGUCCAGUUGUGGGAAUUCGGAGAGGAGGAGGUGAUUGGGCUAUCACCUUUAGUUGUUGGACAACGUCUGUUUGUGCUAGUCCCCAUGGAGGGCACUGUUGUCUGAGCAUGCGGGACAGCUAGCUUGUGUGGAUUGCAACUUUAGGGAUGAAAUCACGGACAUAAUUAACAAUCCCGAGGGAUUGUUGGAUCUGCUUUUUGUUGAGAUGUGUGUCCGGAAACUUUAAUAAUUCAGUUGUAAUGUGUGAACCAGGUUGAUAAUGGCCAUAUGUAAUUACCAUGCCAAGAAAGUCAAUUGAUUCUUUUGCUAUGCUGCUUUUCUUUUCAGAAAGCAUGAUUCCGUGUUCCUACACAAUAUGAAAUAAUUCCAAAAGGAGAUUCUGGUGGCUCUCAUGGUCAGAGGAAAAUAAUAAGAUAUCAUCAAUGUAUACCAAAGCAUGAUGAAGGAUAGGACUAAAGAUUUUUGUCAUGGCUUUUUGAAAUAAUGAAGGAGCAACCUUAAGACCAAAGGGCAUAACAGUCCACUGAUAAUGGGCAUCAGGGAUGGAGAAGGCAGUUUUGUGACGGUCAACUGGUGAAAUACCAAGUUGCCAAAAACCAGCUUUUAAAUCAAACUUAGAGAAGAUACGAGCCCCUUGGAGAUGGACAAACAGGGUCUGGAUUUUUGGAUGGGGGAACUUAUCAUCUUUAAGGAAAGAAUUAAGUGGCUAGUAAUCAAUAACUAGCCUCUUUUUACCACGAACUAAUUCAGAUCUUUUUUUCAACAUAGAAGGCUUGACAAGCCCAAUCUAAAUCAGUAGGUUCAAUAAAACCUUGCUGAAGCAACUGAGAACAUUCUUGCGUAGCAAGUAGGAGGUCGGAAGGAGACAUACCCGGGUGUGAUGCUUUUGUGGGGUUUAUGUCUUCGUUGAGUUUGAAAGGAAGGUGAAUGAAGAAUUGGUCAUUCUUCCAAAGAGGUGAAAGAUGGUGGAACUGUGAAUGGUUUUCUAGACAAAACUCUAGGAUCUUCUGUGAAAUAUGACUGGAUGGAGAUGGUGUUUCUGAAAGUGCAUACAGAUGUAGUGUAUCUGUAUAAGGCAAGAACAUUUGUUUGUAGCAAACUCCAGAACUGGUGAGGAAUAGGUUUUUAACCAAAUGAAGAAUUUCAAAACCUAUAAGUAAAUCUUUAUCUAGGAGUUUGGAUGCUACAAUCUUUUUCCAAACUAUGCAAUUCGGAAAGAAUUGAAUACCAAUGAGUUUUUUGGUAAUCAAAGUGGUUUCAAAAGUUUCUCCAUUAACUACUCGGAAAAGUUUUGAGUGGUUUUCCCAACAAUCAGAGGGAAGGAUAGAAGGAUCAAUCAUACUGGUAUCUAUACCAGUGUCAAUAAACCCGAUAACAAGAAUAGGUUUAUGGAACUUUGAAGGAAGAAUGGACAUUUUGAGAGAAGGACAGUUUGAAUUGUAGAAAUGACUGAAAUAUCGUCAGAAUUAGAGGAUUAUGCGAUGAUAAAAGUAGUAUAGUCAUCUUGUUCUGACUGUUCAGAGAAGUUUGAUUCAACAUCUUCAUUCUCAGAUAAUAGUGAAGAAUGUUGAAGAUGUUGUAUGAGACGAACAGCUUUGGCAGACUUGUGAGGACAGUUUCGAGCAAAGUGACCGCGCUUCUUACAAAUGAAACAACAGUUGUGCUUUUUCUUUCUGUACUGAGAAACAUCCUUUUUCCUGAAAUAUCAGAGGUUUUUUAGAGGAUGAUUUUUUGUGGAAGUGUUUCUGGAAAUGUUUCUUCUUUCUGGUUGGACAGAGACACUUCUUUUCAUCUUUGCGCUCUAUCCUGAGAUAGGGUUUUUUGCAAGCUUCAGAAAAGGACUUUUUGUCUUCCAUGAGAUCUUUGAAAAAUUAUUUUUGCUCACAGAUCUUGUCGAGACAUAGCAUUGCCAUUUGGAAAAUCUUUCCAAUGAGAUAUCAACUAUGCUGAGAUUAAUGGAUGUGAGUUUCCUUUGAAGAUCAGGUUGUAACUCAGAAGGAAGUGAGGCUUUGAAGACGUGUUUGAGAGAUGGCUCAUUGAACCCAUUUAGCUUGUAGAAAAGAAUACUCAUCCUUUUGUAAUGAGAUUCCAAUAGAUGUCUUUUGAGCGAACAACACUUCAUCUGAUGAUACUCUUUUCUGUCUGUAUCAGUGGAAGCAGUUUUUUCACCGAUGAAUUGUUCAUGGAUGAUAUUGAGUGUUGUACCAAUUGGGGAUUGCAUGAAUUGGAGCUGUCUGUAUUCUUCCAAGCUUUCUAACCAAUCUUGCAAAGAACCCGUUGAUCGGGCCAUGAAUUCACGGAGAACAGCUUGAGGUUGAGCAUUAGGAACAUCCCAUAAGAAGUGACCAUUGGUUUUAUCUGGAUAUACCAGAUAUCCUUCUGAUGAGAAACCAUGAAUGGGAAGUUUCUUUUCUUGGCCAGUUUGGACUGCUGUAAUCAUAGCAGUGUAGGAAAGCCUAGGGGUUUCGGAGACAAGCUUAAGCUUAGGUGUUUGAAAAGAUAAUUUGACUUGACCAUUAUUUCGUCAUUCAAACGUGGCUUCUGUGGUCUGGACUGGUUCAGAGUUUUGAUGGAAAUGCUCAUAAUUGGUCAGCCAUUCAAGAGUCAUGAGUUUAAGCAAUUCUUGUUUCUGGAUUUGUUUGGGAAUUUGGAUGAUGGUUGGAAUUGUGUCUAUGUCUGCAAGGAUCAUUAAGGCGUCUGAUGUGGUGUGAGGUGUAAGAAGAUCUAGUGCAUGAUUCUGUAAUCGAUACACUAUUUGGUGAUGGAGGGUUGCAAUCUUUGAUGUGGGUGUUUGUCAGGCAGGAGUUAAUUUGAAAUAAAAUUCAGGUUUUCUUCACAUCAUGUUUCACUAAACCUUUUCUCUCUUCUAGGAAUCAAAGAAAUUAUUUGGGUUAAUAAUGAUACGCUCACCUCUAAUUUUCUAAACUGAGUAUGCUUUGCACUUGCCUUAAGCCUAAGGAUCCUGUGCAUCAGAAAGGUCUUUUCAGGUAUUUCAUGAAUGUUUAUAGAACCCAACCACUCCGUUUUCCGUCCCUUCACCUAGAACACAUAUUUCUUACAGGAUUCACUCUCAAUCCAACCCUAAGCAUUUCAGAAGAUGAAUUAUGGUAUGUUUGGUGUCUCACAGUCCUGUAUGUCACUAAACUUGUCAUCCCUGUUCAAUCUUCCCUCAGGCACAUUUCAAGGAACCCAGAGUCUUCCUGCUGAAACAUCUUUUCAAUCAGACUCUCAACCAGCUACCACUGCUGCAGACAAAUAUGAGCUUGAUGAUGAUUAUCUAAUCUACCAACAGAUACGAAGAGCUUGAAAGCAAUAUGAAAAAGAGACAGGAGACAUCUCUCCAUCCAGCUAUCCCUCCACUCUAUAAAGCUUCAAGAAAAUUCUUCUCCUAAACCUUCCAAUGGCCCAUGGUUUACUUUUGGUGACAUUCUAAGAGUAAAAUGGCUAGCCAUUAUUUCAAGAAUUUUCUGCCUGGAUUGAUGUCCAAAUGCUCAGAAUUGGAGCAACACCCCAAACAGUCCUUAAAGAGUUCACUUCUUGUUUUACUAGAUCUUUAAGAGAUUGGUUUGAAAGUCUAGGUCCAUACAGACAACUUCAGAGGUCCUUGGAAUAAUUUAUGAGCAGUUCCUUGGAGAAGCUACAACUGCUAAUGAACAGACAAGAAGAGAGUUCCAUCUAAUGAAGUGUUGUUCUCUUUAGAUAAAAGAUCCAGAUUUUCACUACAGGAGAAUGUCUACAAUGUAUUACAAGCUCAACGGCUUUAAUGAUCCUUCAUUAAAACAUGUCUUUGUAGCAUCUCUUCCAAAGGAGAUCCAACCAGAACUUCAGAGGCAGUUCACAAUCCACCAGCUGGACAUAGUCAACCUCUCCUUGGGGAAAAUCUAUCAGUUAGCAAUUAACUGUCUAGAAAGACUUUGUGAACAGAAGGAAUUCUUCAAUGACCUCAUAGAAAACAAACAGCCUUUCAAAAGUGCUUGUAAAUAACCCCAUCUUUCCAUUAAGUGCAAAAGUGAGAAGGAUUGCAUUUGCCCAACCAAAAAGAAAUCCCACUUCCAGAAAUUCUGAAAUUCAGAAAAGAAAAACCAAAUACCUUCCAAAUCCAAAAAACCUUAUCGAUUUUUCAGAAAAAAGAACUCUGAUUAGUCUUCUAAAUCCAAAAGCAGUUGUUGUUUUAUUUGUAAAAAGAAAGGCCAUUUCGCGAGGAAUUGUCCAAACAGACCUGCGAAUCAGUCAGACUUAUUGAGCAUCUCUAGGAUUCCAUGUUACUUUUAGAAAGUGAUGAUGUUGAAUCCUUCUUCUCUGAACAAGAGGACUAUAAUAAACAAACAGCUUUUGUUCUUGCUGAAACAGAAGAUCAUUCUGAGUCAGAGAAUGUUUCUGUAAUUCAAACUGUUCAACAGAUUCAGAAAAUCCAACCAGCCAUUCCUAUCCCUUCAAUCAAAAUCCACAUUCUCUCCGGAAGAUUUGAAAAACCAGUUCCCAUCAUCGGUUUUGUUGAUACUGGAGCUCAGAAGAGUAUGCUUAAUCCUUCAAUCCUUCCAUCCCAUUUUUGGGAAAAGCAUACAGAAUAUUUCAAGGCUUCUAAUGGAGAACUGUUUCAUACAAAUUUGAUAACCAAAAAACCCAUUGGUAUUCAAUUCUUCCAGGAUGUAUCCUUUGGACCAAGCUUGUUGGAUCCAAUCUUCCUGACAAAGAUCUUUUAAUCAGGUUUGAUGUCCUUCACCUGGUUAAGAAACUCCAUAGAACAGCUUCUGGAAUCCGUUAUAAACAGAUGUUUCAGCCUUAUACAUAUUCCCUAAAAUUGUUCUCUAUCUCAAGCUCUCCUCCUUCAUAUGAUCCUCUCAAAUCCCGUUUUCUUCUUCAUUGUCUAGAAAGUCAUAGUCAAUUUCUUCAUCCUGCCUCUUUAUGGAAUAAUGAGAACUUCUUCAUUAAGCUCCCUUUUAAGCUUAACGAAGACAUUAACCCAACCAAAGCUACCCAUCCAGGAAUGACUCCGUCCAACCUGAAACUAGCCCAAGAAGAAUGCUCUCGGUUGUUAAAAUAAGGCCUUAUUGAGCCCACAGAUUCAAAAUGGGCUUGUCAAGCUUUUUAUGUGGAAAAAGGUCUUGUUAUUGAUUACCAGCCUCUCAAUUGUUUUCUCAAAGAUGAAAAGUUCCCCUUGCCAAAAAUCCAAUCCUUAUUUGUUCAUAUCCAAAAUGCUAAGGUCUUCUCAAAAUUUGACCUUAAGGCAGGUUUCUGGGAAUUAGGAAUUCACCCUGAUGACAGACCUAAAACAACUUUUUGCAUACCAAAUGCCCACUACUAAUGGAAAGUAAUGCCAUUUGGCCUUACGGUAGCCCCCUCGCUUUUCCAAAAGGCCAUGAUCAAGAUCUUUGAACCAAUCAUUCAUCAUGCACUUAUCUAUGUCGAUGACGUGCUAUUAUUCUCCAAAGAUCAUGAUUCCCAUCAACAAUUACUUUCCCACUUUCUUGAGAUAGUAGAAACAUAUGGCAUAAUGUUGUCUGACAAAAAGAGUAUCCUAGACCAAAAUACUGUUACCUUUCUUGGCAUGACUCUAAAAGAUGGAUACUAUAGUCCUGGACCACACAUAGCCCAGGAACUCAUUCAUUUCCCAGAUAAACAUUUGUCAAAAAAGCAGAUUCAACAAUUCCUUGGUAUUAUCAAUUACAUUUCCAAGACAGAUCCCUCGACAUGAACUCAUAAAACUCAUGCCCUUGGAAUGGAUUUCGAAUUAUGAGAAGUUCCACGCCAAUACUUCUCCUAUCCAGACCACAGAAAGUAUGUUUGAAAGAAGAUCUGAUGGAACUGUCCGAAUGACUUUUCGACCUCCACCAACAGCACCAGAGGAGCCUCCACGGCUCUCAUUCACUUAUUCAACCAUGGUCACGGCUGUCCAGACCGCUUAAGAAAAGCUGCCAAUUACAGGAUUCACUUCAAAAGGAUAUCCUGUCUAUCCUGCCAAACUUAAUGGCCACUUUCUUUGGGAUUCACCAGGAUCAGGAAAUUGUGACCGAGAUUGUCCCUGUUGGGAUGAUUAGGAAGAAGAUGAUGUUGGCUUGCAGCGGAAAAGGAAACCAAAAAAGAAAAUACCUAAAACUCCGUGCUCACACAACCAACCUGAACUAACUCAUAAUCGUCCACCACCACCAGCUUCAUUACCCAUCUACCAAAAAGAACUGAGAUGGAUUGCCAAAAAAUGCAAAACUGAAAUCCUUCCCCAUACUCAGCUGUCCACAUCACCCAUGCAGCCUGUGGCUUGUAUGAUGUUCUCAUCCACCUCACAAGAUUAUUCCUCCAAUUUCCCUGCCCUCGAAACCCAUACCGAUCUGCAACGAAAGGUCAUCACUAAACCCUUUAUUCCUUCCACCAUAACUCCUACAGGUCAUUUAGAAGACCCCAAACCUUUCGAAGCCGUUCUCAACUGGCAGACACAAAAUGCCAGAGCUCAAAAUGAAGCCUUGGUUGAUAUCCAUAAGAAGGUUAAUCAUAUCAGUUUACGAACUGAUCAUAUUGAAUCUAAGAUGGAUUCGAUUACUUCUCAGAUCCAGCAGAUUUACCAGAAUCUUCAGUCCAGAAUCUCCCAACUAAAUUCAAAAUUAAGAACCAUGUUGAGUCAUAGCUACAAUGGCCUAGAAUUUGAUCAAAAGGAAAAGGAAAUCCGAAAGCUGAGAGCGGAACUCGAACAGAUUGAGUUGGACAGGCAAAGGCCAACAUUAUUUACUACUUCUCCACCGUUACCCACUAUUAGCCCCACCUUCCAUCCUUUUGCACCUAUGCUUCCUCCAAUCAAGGCCCAAGACCCAUCCAAAUUAUUCGGCAUGACCCAUACUUUGUUCAGAAAACAUCCUAUGCCGAACACAUCUAGAUCUACAUCUUAUCCUCGUCCACGACUCGAUAAAUAGCCCUUCCAUCCACCUUUGUCUAUCACAGAACCACAACCACCUAUAUAUACCCAACUCCCUCCUCAACCAACACCAACUCAGGCCAAAGAUAAAUCACCAAUGCACUAAUAUAGUGCACAGAUAAUCCCAUACCCAUCCGAUACAGACUAAACUUGUUAUUCAAAUCUCACCGUUUUAGUCAAUCAAUCUGAAUCCGACACAGACUCUUCCCUUGAAUCUUCCAUCUCAUCUAGUGAUUCUGAAAAAUCCUAUGCUGAUAUCACUAGGAUUCUUAUGGCCCAACUUGAAGAAACUGAGCCUGCUCAAUCCUCAAGAACUGACCCAUUUUUUGAAAUACCCUCAGAUAUUGAGGAAGAUCCACCCGAAGCAUCCUUAGCUCCAAACCGGCCUGCUCAAUCCCACCAUGAUCAUAAACCUUCCAAUGGUCCAUGGUUCACUUUUGAUGAUAUCCCUACAGCUAAAUGGAGAGAUAGAUUAUCCAAAAUGACUGCUUGGAUAGAUCUCCAAAUGUUAAGAGCGAAUGCUACUGCAGCAUCCGUCCUUAGAGAACUUGCUACCCAUUUUACAGGCUCUUUAAGAGAUUGGUUUGAUACUUUAGGAGAGUACAGACAAUUACAGUUUGUGCAACUACCUAAUGUCUCAUCUACUCUUUCUGUUAUUCACGAGCAAUUCAUUAGAGAAUCAGCCGCAGUCUUUGAAGCUGCAAGACGAGACUACCUCAAUAUGAAGUGCUGCUCCCUCAACUCUAAAGAUCUUGAUUUCCAUUACAAACGAAUGUCAAUCCUGUUUUAUAAGCUCAAUGGGUUCAAUGAUCCGACUCUCAAACAUGUCUUUUUGGCAUCAUUACCUGAAGAAUUGCAACCAGACAUACAGCGGCAGCUCACGAGUCUCAAUCUCACCAUUGAUACCAUUUCCUUAGGAAAGAUCUUUCAGAUUGCCAAAAGAUGUUUGGAAAAACUAUGUGAACAAAAAUAGUUCUUCAAGAAUUGUUAAAAGACAAAGAGCCUUUCUGAAGUGCUUGCAAAAAGACUUAUUUGCAGAUCAAAUGCUAGAAAAAGAAAGAUUGUAAUUGCAGCACCAAAAAGAAAAAGCAUUUCCAAAAAUUCAAAAAUCCAGCAUUGUUUCCUAGAUCAAAAUCCAGGUGAAAAUCAUACCGAUUUUUCAGAAAAAGAUCUAGCUCUUUCAGAGAACAACAAAGGAAGAAGUCAAACCGAUAUUUCAUUUGCAAAAAGAAAGGCCAUUAUGCCAAAGAUUGCCCCAACAAAAAAGACAAAGCAAUCAGACUUUUUGAGCAUUUACAGGCCACUAUUGAUUAUUCUCCUCACAAUGAUGAAAUUGAGUCUUACUUCUCAGAACAAGAGGAGCCUACUAAUGAAACAGUGUUUGCACUACAAAACUCAUCUGAUGAUUCUAAAAAUGAUGAGUUUCAGACUAUUUUCCACCAACAACUAUUGUCCCUUGACACUACCAUCCCUAUCCCUUCCAUUAAACUCCACAUUUUACCCUCCAAAUUCCAGAGACUGAUACAAGGGCCCAACGAAGUAUGUUAAACCCCGACAUACUUCCAUCUCAGUCUUGGCAACAUUAUGAAGAAAAUUUCAAAGCAGUCAAUGGAAAACUCUUCACCACCACCUUGAUUACCAGAAAACCCAUUGGUAUUCAAAUCUUUCCAAAUUGUGUUAUCUGGACGAAAGUCAUUGGUUCCCAUCUGCCUAAUAAGGAUAUCUUGUUAGGAUUUGAUAUCAUUCACUAGAUAAAACACCUUCAAAUCAUUCCUACUGGAAUCCGAGUUAAGUCCAUGUUUAAACCAUUCACCAAUGUCCUAAAGCUUUAUGGUUUGUCUGAAACCUCCCAGCCUUUCCAAGACAUUUCCACAAGGUUUUUAAGUUUUGUCCCGAGUCUCAUGCUGACUUUCACCAUUCCAAUCCCCUAUGGAAAAAUCCACAAUUCUUUGUUCAAUUGCCUUUCAAGUUGAAUGAAGAUGUCAAUCCCACCAAAGCCACUCAUCUAGGAAUGAGUCCUUCUGACUUAGUCCUAGCCCAAAAGGAAUGUUCUCAGCUGCCAAGGUUUUUAUGUUGAAAAACAUUCUGAGAUUGUUCGAGGAAAAAAAUGAUUAGUCAUAGACUAUCAGCCUCUAAACAUGUUUUUACAAGAUGAUAAAUUCCCUUUGCCAAAAAGACAGAGCAUGUUCACUUAUCUAAAAAAUGCCCAAAUCUUUUCCAAAUUUGAUCUUAAAUCCGGAUUCUAGCAACUUGGCAUUAAACCUUCCGAACGUUAUAAAACUGCCUUCUGCAUCCCCAAUGCCCAUUACCAAUGGACAGUUUUACACUUUGGUCUUAAAAUAGCCCCAUCUAUUUUCCAAAAAUCCAUGGUCCAAAUCUUCCAACCCAUUUUGCAUAGUGCAUUGAUUUACAUUGACGAUAUUCUGUUAUUUUCAGGUACCCCAGAUGACCAUCGCCAUUUGUUAAAUCAAUUCUUUGAUAUCAUUCAAUUUCAUGGAAUCAUGUUAUCCGCUAAGAAAAGCACAAUAAUCAAAGAUGGCCACUACCAGCCAGGAAAGCACAUUGCCCAACAGCUCCUUCACUUUCCAGAUCAGAAUCUUUCCAAAAGGCAACUACAGCAAUUCCUUGGUAUUAUCAAUUAUAUCAGGGAUUUUAUUCCUCACGUUGAUCACCAAACCUGCUAGCUGUCAGCCCUGCUGAAAAAGAAUCCACCUUCGUGGAACAACAACCACACAAUUGUUGUCACAACUUUAAAGCAAAUUGCGCAAAAUCCGCCACCAUUAAAGCUCAUCAUCGAUGGCAGGCGAAUAUUGCAGAUUGAUGCAAGUGACGAAUCAUGGGGGGCCAUCCUCCUUGAAGAAACAGAUGGCAAGGAACACUUUAUUGCCCAUGCUAGUGGACACUUCUCUGACACACAAAUCCAUUACCACAGUGUGUUCAAAGAAAUUUUAGCUGUCAAGCAUGGUAUUCAAAAGUUCGAGUAUCAUUUUAUCGGCUAUCACUUUCUUGUCAGAAUGGACAACUCAGCUUUUCCCAACAUCAUGAACUUUAAAGGGAAAAAUGUCCUCGAAAAGAUGUUGCUUAGAUUAAAAGACUGGUUUUCAAAAUAUGAUUUCUCCGUGAAGCAUAUAAAAUGAGACCACAACCUUAUUCCUGAUAUGCUCUCAAGACUUACUAAACCAGAAAAAUCCUUGUUUUUCAUAUCCUCAGCUUCCCAUUUUCCUGUUAUUUUCAUGGCCACUUCACUUCCCUCACAAGCCCUUACCAAAAAAACCUUUCCCCUUGGAAAAACUUUCACCACAGUCUUUGCCAUCCAAGAGUUUGCCAAAAAAGCUGUUUUUGAUUUUUUAUGAAAGCCUAUCUCUUAUCCGACUCAUUUCCAUUUUCAACCUUUCAUCCCGAAAACUUGUUUGUUACCGGUCUAACCCUGGUUCCUUCUCGAGAAAUUUCAGAAGAUGAAUUAUGGUACAUUUGGUGCCUUACCGUCCUCUAUGCCACUAAACUGAUUGUUCCUAUCACAACCACCUUAGAUCAUCUGCUUGAUCCCAAUAGUUCAACCUCCCUCCUCUGGACACUCCUUGAAUGGUUUUCUGAUAAUUCCAUGGUGGCGACAGAAACUCCAACAAUUGUAUCAAGUUCAUAAUCUGGAACGUAUGCCAUCAUCUGAAGCAAAAAUGUGGACAUCUGUGUUCAUUAUCCAUUGACCAUACUUCCAACACCCUGACACCAACUUCUUCUGGACUCAAGACCAAGUUUUUGAAUAGUUCACCACACCUCAUCCAUCCAUCCUUGAACAAGACGAUAGAGUCCAAAAGGAACUCUAUAACUUCCUUUGUGAACUGAACCAUCAACCUGCUCCACACAGAGACAUUUCUCACACCUCCCUAGGUCCACAACAUGAUAUCAUCAUGAUUCCCACUCCUUCAGCAAUUUCAAAGCCUAAAUCUAUGGGAAUUAUCAUCAAGGAAGAAAAACCAAACUUCACUAAUUUUCUCUACCAAGAUGCACAAGACCCUUGGGAAGCAUUUUUACCCCUAAGUCAACAUCUUCAAAACCUCCAACCUACACCACCGGCACCUGCACCAGACAAUCCAACAAAUAAAGCCAAUUCUAGCACACCAACUAGAUCCACGGAACACCCGUCUUCCUCUUGGCACAAAAUAUUUUGCCCUUGGCCACCUUGUCGACCAGAUCAUCAACAUCCACCAGAAACUCCACGUCCAUCACUCAACUUUUUCUUUUCACAAGAUAAAGAUGCGACUGACAGCUCAUCAGAUGAAGAUUACAUGAAUCUCUCAUGUCCGUGAUCCAUGCAGUUUGUCUUUAUUCGCUUUUUCAAAGUUGGCUUAUAAUAAUUAAAAGCAUGAGUCAUGUUUGUCAUGCUUUAGUUUGUCUUUAUUGCUUUUGAAACUUGUCGUUUGUCAAUGUGUCUUGUAUAAGCUCAUCUUCUCCUCGUUGGAAGAGGAGCGCAACAUUAAUAAAAUCUAUAGCCUUCUAUAAUCAUGAGUUUCUAAAUUUUCUUUUCCCUCUGUUAAUGAAGCUCUAACCGAUUUAAAAAUAAGACGAAAACUUACAUCUGUUCAUUUUGAAACUAAAGGAAGUAUGCUCUGCACUUGCCUCUAGCAAGGAUCCUGUGCAUUAGAAAACUUUUGAUAAUUUCUUAUCUUGUUUGGUACCCUAUUUUAGACUAAAGAAAAGCCUGUUUUAAAGUUUUCUAUUCUCCACUUGAGUAUAUCGACUGGAAACCCAAGCAUGCGGACUACUGGUCCAAAGGACGAUCUUUUCGUCAUUGUUUUGGUAUAACAACGCCACGUACUUAUCUGGUAUCAUACCAGCCAGCUGUAAAAAAUGCUCAGAAAAUCAGCCCCACCAUGGGGCCCCUCUCAGACUACUGCUAUCCAACAUCUCAAAAACAUCGCCUGGCAUCCACCUCCUUUGAGAAUCCCCACUGAUGGUCAACGUAUUCUGCAGACUGAUGCCAGUGAUGAAUACUGGGGGGCCGUCCUUUUAGAAAAGCACCUCCUCAUGCUAGCGGACAAUUCAAGGAAUCAGAAAAGCACUACCAUAAUUUUCUUGUCAGAUUAGACAACUCCUCCUUUCCAAAAAUCCUUGAAUUUAAAAAUAAGGUCCUCCCAAAAAAGCACCUCCUUCGACUCAAAACUUGGUUCUCAAAAUAUGACUUCACAAUCCAGCAUAUAAAAGGAGACUUGAACCUCAUCCCUGAUCUCUUGUCCCGACCUUCAUCUUCAUCCCUAAGAGUCUCUUUUGCCUCAGUUCCAGUCAUCUCCAUGGCUCCUACUCGUCCCAACACAGCCUUGACAAAAAAAUCUUUUUCUUGCAAUCUCACUUUAUCUAGUCCCUAUCAGAUCCAAGAUUUUGCAAAGAAAUUUAUUUUUUGAUAUUUCAUGAAUAUAUAUCGCACCCAGACAUCCGGAUUUCCAAGCUUUCAUCCAGAUCACCUCUUCCUUACAGGCCUAAAGAUUAAUCCCACUAGGAACGUCACAGAAGACGAAAUGUGGUAUAUAUGGUGUCUCACCGUCUUAUAUGCCACCAAACUACUCUUUCAUGUACAUCCAAUGUUUUGGUGUCUCACAGAUCCAAACCAGGCUCACUCUCUCACAUGGACUCUUUUUGAAUGGUUUUCUCCUCUCUCCUGGUGGAGAAAACAACUUGAUUUCAUCAUCAAGCAUCAUCAUAUUAAUCUCCUCCCUGACCAAGAAGGAGAACAGUUCACCUCAGUCUUUAUUGUCCAUCGUCUUUAUUUCCAACACCCUGUUACCAAACUCUUUUGGACUCAGGACCAAGCUUAUGAAUGGAAGACAGUUCCUCAUAAUUUUCCUCUGGAUCAUGACCCAAACCUUGUCUCUGCCCUGAAACAAUACCUCUUUGAACUAAACAAUGUCCAGUCCUCUCCUAUUGACAUCUAGCACACCUCCCUUGGACCACAACAUGAACUCAUGAUUAUCCCAACCACUAGGUCACCAUCAUCCAGUAAUCCUCCUCCCUCUGGAUUUUAAUCAAAGAAGAAAAGCCUGAUUUCACUGAUAUUCUCUUCCAAGAUUCACAAGAUCCGUGGGAAGAAUUCACCUCAAUUUUACAUCCUACUGAAGCAUCACAUGCUCCCUCCUCAAGUAUAGCUCCACCAACAGACUUACCACUGACAGACUCACCUACCCGACAAUAUUAUGAGAACUUGCUUUGGUGGCACGAGCCAUUUGCUGAAGCUGAUAGUGAUGUUGAAAACUUAUCUCCCACGUACAACUUUUAAGAAUACUUUGUAAUAAUUGCUUUAGCUUUCGUAAAACCAAAGCAUUUUGCUUGACUUUAUCUUUUCUUUAAGGCACCUUCCUUUUGCUUUACCUUUUGAAUAAAAAUCCAAAGCAGGGGUCAUGUCCUGUCUGGAAUCUUUUGCCUUUUGCUUUUUCUUUUGUAAAGAGGAUAUGGCCUGUUUCAUCCUCUUUCCUUGAAUUUUCCUAUAUAAGGAAAAUUCAUUCUCAGUUGUAAGCAGCUCAGAUUUUGGGAAAUAAGAAUCCGAGUUUCCAAUAUCAUGACUUUCCAAAAAAUUCUCUCUUUUCUUUUAUUUCCCUAGGAAAGACAACAUGUUCUUAUAAUAGUUCACUUAUAUCUCUUUUAACGAGUAUGCUCUGCACUCACCUCUUUGUAGGAUCUUGUGCAUCAAAAAGUUCUUAGUUUUGAGAUCGAUCGUACCAACCACAGUUCAUCCUACUUAAUAGCCAAGGAGUGGCUUCCCAUUGGGUGGUAGUGGUUGUCCAACUGGUAUCAGAGCCAUUUGCCAUAAUUUCCUUGUCAGAUUAGACAACUCCUCAUUUCCAAAAAUCCUUAAAUUUAAAAAUAAGGCCCUCCCAAACAAGCACCUCCUCCGACUCAAAACUUGGUUCUCAAAAUAUGACUUUACAGUCCAGCAUAUAAAAGGAGACCUGAACCUCAUCCCUGAUCUAUUGUCCUGACCUUCAUCUUCAUCCUUAAGAAUCUCUUCAUGGCUUCUACUCUUCGCAACACAGCCUUGACAAAAAAAUCUUUUCCUCGCAAUCUCACUUUCUCCAAUCCCGAUCAGAUCCAGGAUUUUGCAAAGAAAUUUGUUUUUCGAUAUUUCUUGAAUAUAUAUCACACCCAGACAUCCAGAUUUCCAAGCUUUCAUCCAGAUCACCUCUUCCUUAUAGGCCUAAAGAUUAAUCCCACUAAGAACGUCACAGAAGACGAACUGUGGUAUAUAUGGUGUCUCACCGUCUUAUAUGCCACCAAACUACUCUUUCAUGUACAUCCAAUGUUUUGGUGUCUCCCAGAUCCAAACUAGGCUCACUCUCUCACAUGGACUCUUUUUGAAUGGUUUUCUCCUCUCUCCUGGUGGAGAAAACAACUUGAUUUCAUCAUCAAGCAUCAUCAUAUUAAUCUCCUCCCUGACCAAGAAGGAGAACAGUUUACCUCAGUCUUCAUUGUCCAUCGUCUUUAUUUCCAACACCCUGUUACCAAACUCUUUUGGACUUAGGACCAAGCUUAUGAAUGGAAGACAAUUCCUCAUAAUUUUCCUCUGGAUCAUGACCCAAACCUUGUCUCUACCCUGAAACAAUACCUCUUUGAACUAAACAAUGUCCAAUCCUCUCCUAUUGACAUCUAGCACACCUCCCUUGGACCACAACAUGAACUCAUGAUUAUCCCAACCACUAGGUCACCAUCAUCCAGUAAUCCUCCUCCCUCUGGAUUUUAAUCAAAGAAGAAAAGCCUGAUUUCACUGAUAUUGGGAAGAAUUCACCUCAAUUUUACAUCCUACUGAAGCAUCACAUGCUCCCUCCUCAAGUACAGCUCCACCAACAGACUCACCUACACGACAGUAUUAUGAGAACUUGCCUUGGUGGCAAGAGCCAUUUGCUGAAGUUGAUAGUGUUGUUGACAACUUAUCUCCCUCGCACAUCUUUUAAGAAUACUUUGUAAUAAUUACUUUAGCUUUCGUAAAAGCAAAGCAUUUGCUUUACUUUAUCCUUACUUUAAGGCACCUUCCUUUUGCUUUACCUUUUGAAUAAAAAUCCAAAGUCAGGGGUCCUAUCCUGUCUGGAAUCUUUUGCCUUUUGCUUUUCCUUUUGUAAAGAGGAUAUGGCUUGUUUCGUCCUCUAUCCUUGAAUUUUCCUAUAUAAGGAGAAUUCAUUCUCAGAUGUAAGCAGGUCAGAUUUUGGGAAAUAAAAAUCUGAGUUUCCAAUAUGACAUGAUAAACCAAAUCAUAAUCAUAAUCUAAGUAAAUAGGAAAGAAUCUAAAUCAAAUUAGGAUCCUAAUUGACUUAAAUGCCUUACAUCAAUUAAAUGGAAACUAGGUGAUUAAAAUAGAAAUAACUUAUUUGUUUCCCUAAUAGCCUCCUCAAGAAACGGGAAAGUAUCUGAAAAAGGAAAAUAAUAUAUUUUCCCGCCAUAAUGUGCAAGACAACUCCCUAUUUCAUAGAGGUGACUAUUUGGAAACUUAAAGAGCAUGAAUCAUGCAUUUAUCAUGUGCGAUUCCUUCAACGGGCCCCCAUGAAUUUGAUUGAGCCAAAGUUGCUUGAAUCAAUCCAUUAAGCACUUCUUUGAAUUUCUUUGCUCGAGCUCUUGUAACGUGAUGAGAACCAUCAAGGGAAUCCCAUUAAAACUUCAAGUGAUCCUUUGCAUAUUCAUGGAGGCCCAAUUACAAGAGCUAGAGCCAAAAAGAUGCAAGCUGCUUUAAAUGGAUUAAUUGAGAAAAUAUGGAUUGAAAAUGCAAUUGAAGAUGCAAGACAUCAUGAAUUGGGCUUGAAGAGAAGACAAGGCAUUAUGGGCAUUAUUCAAGUUAUUGGGCAGCCAAAUACACAAUUUGUAUCAAAUGCAGAAAGGUCAAAUUCGGAAUAAAAAAUGUAUUGAUUGAACUAGAAGUAAUAUGCAAGCUAUAUACCGUUGGAAAUAUAAUUAAGUUAGCUUUCCAAUAAAUUUUACAGAACUGGAUUUGGAAUUCUCUAGAAGGAGUUAUGACCAAUUCAUUACAGCUUGUUCAGACUUGGGAUUUUCAACGACUCCUUUGUUUUUCAACUUCAUUUGUUUGUUUUGUUUCAAGUUUGUCAAUGUGUAAGGUAAGUCUACCAUCAAUGAUGGUGGACUAACAUUAAGUUUGUCAAUGAUAGCAUUAAUUAUAGUAGGCUAGCAUUAAGUUUGUCAAAGAUAGCAUUAAUUAUGGUGGGUUGGGGAAGACUUUUGAAGCAUCCUUUGACAAACCUACUUGGAGGGUUGUUCCAAUGUUUCCAUUUGUAUUUUUAGGAUCUUGGGUUUCUUUUAGCCUAUUUAAAUUCAGCAACCUUGCUAUGUAAUGAGGGUAGAGAUUAAUGUUAUUUGAAUUUGAAAGAUUAUUCUUUCUUUGGUUCCUUUGAGAACUAGUGAACUUAUCAAGAAUUUGCAUUCUUGUGGCGUUCUAAAUUUAGACUUAUCACUCACCUUCUCAUCUAUUUCUUGAGUGUGACGUCAAUAUCAUUCUCUAUACCUUUGGUUCAUAUUUUCUUAAGCAUUGGGUCAAGGUUUUGUUUGUCAUAAAUCUGUUUAGAACUUUCUUGGGAAUUUGAAACUACAAAUUAAGUGUGGGUUUCAAAGUUUCAUUGUGGGAUUCGCAUCAUUUGGUAUCAAAGCUAGUUUCUAAUCAGGUUUGAAUGUCUUAUUUAUUUUUAUUAUAAAAAAAAGAUUACAAAAGGAUUCAAGUAUUUCUACUUUCAUCAAAUUGAAUUUUAUUCACCCGAAGUAUCCGAACGUCACAAAUGGCAAGCUCGACAUCAAGAAUUUGCUGCAUGGAUUGAUGUGCAGAUGACAAGUCCUAAUCGGAAAGUGAGGUUCAGAGGAAAAGCUUUUUGGGUUAAGGCUUUGAAGGGAAGUGAGCGAUACAUGGCUAUAUUUGGGAUGGUUAUUCAAAUCUGCAGAACAGAAUCUUUGAAUUGGAUAUUGAUUGCAGAACGAUGAUCAACAAUCAUAUUUGGGGUCCUAAAAAUCACUCUCAAUUUAUUCAUCCCUCACCACUUUGGAAAAAUGAAUAGUUUUUCAUCCAUCUUCCUUUCAAACUCAAUGAAGAUGUCAAUCCUACCAAAGCCACACAUUGAGUCCUAUUGCGCUCAUGCAAGUGGACAAUUCAAAGACUCAGAAAAGAAUUACCACGUGAUUUACAAGGAAACUUGAAUAGGAUCUGAAUGUGCCUCAUCCCAUGUGCUUGUGAUAGUUUUAUCCUUAAUCUCAUCAUUCCCCUCCUCUUGAAGAGGAUUUGUCCUCAAAUCAUCACCUACAUCAAAAGGACUCAAAUCAAAAAUAUUAAAAGUAGCACUUACAUUGUACUCACCAGGCAAAUCUAGUUUGUAUGCAUUGUCAUUAAUCUGUUCCAAAACUUGGAAUGGGCCAUCCCCUCGAGGUAAUAACUUAGAUUUCCUUCGUUCCGGAAAUUGUUCCCUUGCGCAUGUGUAACCACACCCAAUCACCGGGUUCAAAGACUAGCUUAUGUUGCCCUUUGNNNNNNNNNNNNNNNNNNNNNNNNNNNNNNNNNNNNNNNNNNNNNNNNNNNNNNNNNNNNNNNNNNNNNNNNNNNNNNNNNNNNNNNNNNNNNNNNNNNNAUUAUUUGGUGGGAUCAACUUGUUUUCAGUAGGAGAUGAAAUCGUGAAAGGCCUAUAAACACUUGGGAGGAGAUGAAGGCCAUCAUGAGGAGGAGAUUUGUUCCUAGUCAUUAUUAUAGGGAGCUGCACCAAAGGCUUCAAAGUCUUACACAAGGUUCUAGAAGUGUGGAAGAUUACCACAAGGAGAUGGAAAUAAUCAUGAUUCGAGCCAACAUUGAAGAAAAACCAAAGGCCACUAUGGCAAGAUUUUUACAUGGUUUAAAUCAAGACAUGGUUCACAUGGCCAUGAAAGUGGAACGAUAGCUAAAAAAGAAAGGUUCUACUAGAACCAAUUUGGGUUCAUCUUCCUCAUGGAAGUCAAAAUGGAGCAAAGAUGAAAAGGUUGUUUCAAAGCCUAAGAUUGAGCCAAUCAAGGAUCAUAAAGAGGGAGGCAACCAAAGCAAAGGUAAAUAUGGUUCCCAACACUCUAGAAAUAGAGAUAUUAAGUGUUUUAAAUGUUUGGGGACAAGACAUAUUGCAUCUCAAUGCCCAAAUAAGAGAGUAAUGAUCUUGAGGGAUGAUGGUGAUGUUGAAACCGAGAGUGAAUCAGAUGAUGAUCCUAUGCCACCUUUAGAGGAUGCUAAUGAUGGUGUAGAAUAUCUUGUUGAUGGUAAAUUGAUGGUUGCUAGGCGUGCUCUCAACAUGCAAGUAAAAGAGGAUGCGGAGGUACAACGUGAUAACAUCUUUCAUACUAGAUGCCACAUCAAAGAUAAGGUAUGUAGUAUGAUAAUUGAUGGUGGAAGUUGUACUAAUGUAGCUAGCACUAGUUUAGUUGAAAAAUUGAAUUUGAAAACUUCGAAACAUCCGAGGCCAUAUAAGCUACAAUGGCUGAAUGAUUGUGGGGAAGUUAACGUAAAUAAACAAGUGCUGGUGUCAUUCUCUAUUGGGAGAUACAAGGAUGAGGUUCUAUGUGAUGUAGUACCCAUGCAUGCUGGACACAUUCUUUUGGGUCGACCUUGGCAAUAUGAUAGGCGUGUGACACAUGAUGGUACUUAAAUAGAUAUUCUUUUGUAAUGAAUAAAAGGCAAAUCACUCUUGUACCAUUAACACCUAGGCAAGUGUAUGAGGAUCAAAUGUCAAUACAAAAAGAGAGUGAUACAAAAAAUGAAUAUGAGAGUACAAAAGAAAGAGAGAUUGAGAGAAAAGCAAGUGAAAAGAUAGAAAAAAAUAUUGUUGAGAGAAAAGAGAGGCAGCAAGUGAACUUGUUUGUAAAAGAGAGCGAGGUUAAGAGGGCUUUCUUUUCAAAACAGCCUAUCGUUGUACUUUUGUGCAAAGAGGAUUGUUUACACACUAAUGAGCUUAACUUUUCUUUGCCUAGUGCUAUUGUGACUCUUUUGCAGGACUUUGAUGAUGUGUUUCCAAAUGAAGUCCCUAAUGGUUUGCCACCUAUUAGGGGAAUUGAGCAUCAAAUAGACUUCGUCCCUGGAGCUACCAUUCCUAAUAGACCUGCAUAUAGAAGUAACCCCGAGGAGACAAAGUAGCUUCAAGGGCAAGUUGAAGAACUCUUGGCAAAAGGAUAUGUGAGGGAGAGCAUGAGUCCAUGUGCGGUACCAGUUUUACUAGUGCCCAAAAAGGAUGGAACAUGGAGGAUGUGCGUUGACUGUCGUGCAAUUAAUAAAAUCAUUGUAAAGUAUCGACAUCCUAUUCCUAGACUUGAUGACAUGCUUGAUGAAUUGCAUGGUUCUUGUGUGUUUAGUAAAAUUGAUCUUAAAAGUGGAUAUCAUCAAAUUAGGAUUAGAGAGGGAGAUGAGUGGAAAACUACCUUUAAAACAAAAUAUGGUUUAUAUGAGUGGCUAGUGAUGCCAUUUGGGUUAUCUAAUGCACCUAGCACUUUUAUGAGGUUAAUGAACCAUGUUUUGCGUGCUUUUAUUGGUAAAUUCGUAGUUGUCUAUUUUGAUGAUAUUUUGAUCUAUAACAAAGGCUUAGAUGAACACAUUGAACAUUUGCAAAGUGUAUUGACUGUUUUAAGGAAGGAAAAGUUGUAUGCUAAUUUGAAGAAGUGUUCCUUUUGUACAAAUCAGAUUGUUUUUCUUGGUCAUGUUGUAAGUGCUAAAGGAAUUGAGGUUGAUGAAGAGAAGGUAAAGGCUAUUAAAGAGUGGCCUACACCUAAAAGUGUGAGUGAGGUAAGAAGUUUUCAUGGUUUGGCUAGUUUUUAUAGAAGAUUUGUGAAAGAUUUUAGCACCCUUGCUGCACCAUUAACUGAAAUUGUGAAGAAACAUGUGGGAUUUAAGUGGGGUAGUGAACAAGAAAGGGCAUUUAAUCUAAUUAAGGAGAAAUUGGUUUCUGCACCAUUACUUGCUUUACUUGAUUUUACUAAAACUUUUGAAAUUGAGUGUGAUGCUUCAGGUAUAGGUAUUGGAGCUGUUUUGAUGCAAGAAGGGUGUCCAAUUGCUUACUUUAGUGAGAAAUUGAUUGGAGCAGCCCUAAACUAUCCUACCUAUGACAAGGAGAUGUAUGCAUUGGUGAGAGCAUUGGAAACUUGGCAACAUUAUCUUCUACCUAAAGAGUUUGUUAUACACACUGAUCAUGAGUCCUUGAAGCAUUUGAAAGGGCAAUGUAAGUUGCAUAAGAGACAUGCCAAAUGGGUUGAAUUUAUUGAGCCAUUUCCUUAUGUGAUCAAAUAUAAACAAGGUAAGGGGAAUGUGGUGGCUGAUGCAUUAUCUAGAAGGUAUGCACUUAUCUCUACAUUAAAUGCAAAGUUGUUAGGAUUUGAGUACAUUAAAGAAUUAUAUGUUAACGAUCCUGCUUUUGCUAAUGUGUUUAAUGCUUGUGAGAAAGUUGCAUUUGGUAAGUUCUAUAGGCAUGAUGGGCUUUUAUUUAGAGAAAAUAAAUUGUGUGUGCCUCAUAGUUCUUUGCGUGAAUUGCUUGUGCCUGAAGCUCAUGGGGGCAGUUUAAUGGGACAUUUUGGCAUUGCAAAGACUUUAGAUAUUUUAAAAGAACACUUCUUUUGGCCAUAUAUGAAACGUGAUGUUAAAAGAAUAUGUGAGAAGUGUAUCACUUGUAAACAUGCUAAGUCUAGAGUUUUACCCCAUGGAUUGUAUAACCCUCUGGCCAUACCUAGUGAACCUUGGGUUAUUUCUAUGGACUUUCUUUUGGGCUUACCUAGGUCAAAAAGGGGAAAUGAUUCUAUUUUUGUUGUUGUUGAUAGGUUUUCAAAGAUGGCACAUUUCAUUCCAUGUCACAAAACUGAUGAUGCAACAAACAUAGCUAAUUUGUUUUUCAAGGAAAUAGCCAGGUUGCAUGGAGUACCAAGGAGCAUAGUUUCAGCUCGAGAUGCUAAGUUCUUGAGCCACUUUUGGAAAAAUUUGUGGGGUAAGUUGGGUACUAAACUUUUGUUUUCAACUACUUGUCAUCCACAAACUGAUGGACAAACUGAGGUUGUAAAUAGAACUCUGUCUACUUUGUUGCGUUCCAUUAUUCAAAAGAACUUGAAAACUUGGGAAGAAUGUUUGCCACAUAUUGAAUUUGCUUACAAUAGAACUGUCCAUUCAGCUACUAAAUUUUCACCAUUUGAGAUUGUAUAUGGUUUUAAUCCAUUAACUCCUUUGGAUUUAUUACCUUUACCUAUUGAUGAGCAUGCUAGUAUGGAUGGUAAAAAGAAAGCUGAAUUUGUCAAGCAAUUGCAUGAGAGAACACGACAACACAUAGAAAAGAGAAUUGAACAAUAUGCUACUCAAGCUAACAAAGGACGUAAGUAAGUGGUUUUUCAGCCUGGAGAUUGGGUUUGGCUGCAUAUGAGAAAGGAGAGGUUCCCAGCACAAAUGCGUUCCAAGUUGCUUCCAAGGGGAGAUGGUCCAUUUCAAGUGGUUUCACGGAUCAAUGACAAUGCCUACAAAUUGGAUCUUCCUGGCGAGUAUAAUGUGAGUACUACUUUUAAUGUUUCUGAUCUUUCUCCUUUCGAUGUAGGUGAAGAUUUGAGGGCGAAUCCUUUUGAGGAGAGGGGGAAUGAUGAGAACCAUCAAGGGGAUUCCAUUAAAACUUCAAGUGAUCCUUUGCAUAUUCAUGGAGGCCCAAUUACAAGAGCUAGAGCCAAAAAGAUGCAAGUUGCUUUAAAUGGAUUAAUUGAGAAANNNNNNNNNNNNNNNNNNNNNNNNNNNNNNNNNNNNNNNNNNNNNNNNNNNNNNNNNNNNNNNNNNNNNNNNNNNNNNNNNNNNNNNNNNNNNNNNNNNNNNNNNNNNNNNNNNNNNNNNNNNNNNNNNNNNNNNNNNNNNNNNNNNNNNNNNNNNNNNNNNNNNNNNNNNNNNNNNNNNNNNNNNNNNNNNNNNNNNNNNNNNNNNNNNNNNNNNNNNNNNNNNNNNNNNNNNNNNNNNNNNNNNNNNNNNNNNNNNNNNNNNNNNNNNNNNNNNNNNNNNNNNNNNNNNNNNNNNNNNNNNNNNNNNNNNNNNNNNNNNNNNNNNNNNNNNNNNNNNNNNNNNNNNNNNNNNNNNNNNNNNNNNNNNNNNNNNNNNNNNNNNNNNNNNNNNNNNNNNNNNNNNNNNNNNNNNNNNNNNNNNNNNNNNNNNNNNNNNNNNNNNNNNNNNNNNNNNNNNNNNNNNNNNNNNNNNNNNNNNNNNNNNNNNNNNNNNNNNNNNNNNNNNNNNNNNNNNNNNNNNNNNNNNNNNNNNNNNNNNNNNNNNNNNNNNNNNNNNNNNNNNNNNNNNNNNNNNNNNNNNNNNNNNNNNNNNNNNNNNNNNNNNNNNNNNNNNNNNNNNNNNNNNNNNNNNNNNNNNNNNNNNNNNNNNNNNNNNNNNNNNNNNNNNNNNNNNNNNNNNNNNNNNNNNNNNNNNNNNNNNNNNNNNNNNNNNNNNNNNNNNNNNNNNNNNNNNNNNNNNNNNNNNNNNNNNNNNNNNNNNNNNNNNNNNNNNNNNNNNNNNNNNNNNNNNNNNNNNNNNNNNNNNNNNNNNNNNNNNNNNNNNNNNNNNNNNNNNNNNNNNNNNNNNNNNNNNNNNNNNNNNNNNNNNNNNNNNNNNNNNNNNNNNNNNNNNNNNNNNNNNNNNNNNNNNNNNNNNNNNNNNNNNNNNNNNNNNNNNNNNNNNNNNNNNNNNNNNNNNNNNNNNNNNNNNNNNNNNNNNNNNNNNNNNNNNNNNNNNNNNNNNNNNNNNNNNNNNNNNNNNNNNNNNNNNNNNNNNNNNNNNNNNNNNNNNNNNNNNNNNNNNNNNNNNNNNNNNNNNNNNNNNNNNNNNNNNNNNNNNNNNNNNNNNNNNNNNNNNNNNNNNNNNNNNNNNNNNNNNNNNNNNNNNNNNNNNNNNNNNNNNNNNNNNNNNNNNNNNNNNNNNNNNNNNNNNNNNNNNNNNNNNNNNNNNNNNNNNNNNNNNNNNNNNNNNNNNNNNNNNNNNNNNNNNNNNNNNNNNNNNNNNNNNNNNNNNNNNNNNNNNNNNNNNNNNNNNNNNNNNNNNNNNNNNNNNNNNNNNNNNNNNNNNNNNNNNNNNNNNNNNNNNNNNNNNNNNNNNNNNNNNNNNNNNNNNNNNNNNNNNNNNNNNNNNNNNNNNNNNNNNNNNNNNNNNNNNNNNNNNNNNNNNNNNNNNNNNNNNNNNNNNNNNNNNNNNNNNNNNNNNNNNNNNNNNNNNNNNNNNNNNNNNNNNNNNNNNNNNNNNNNNNNNNNNNNNNNNNNNNNNNNNNNNNNNNNNNNNNNNNNNNNNNNNNNNNNNNNNNNNNNNNNNNNNNNNNNNNNNNNNNNNNNNNNNNNNNNNNNNNNNNNNNNNNNNNNNNNNNNNNNNNNNNNNNNNNNNNNNNNNNNNNNNNNNNNNNNNNNNNNNNNNNNNNNNNNNNNNNNNNNNNNNNNNNNNNNNNNNNNNNNNNNNNNNNNNNNNNNNNNNNNNNNNNNNNNNNNNNNNNNNNNNNNNNNNNNNNNNNNNNNNNNNNNNNNNNNNNNNNNNNNNNNNNNNNNNNNNNNNNNNNNNNNNNNNNNNNNNNNNNNNNNNNNNNNNNNNNNNNNNNNNNNNNNNNNNNNNNNNNNNNNNNNNNNNNNNNNNNNNNNNNNNNNNNNNNNNNNNNNNNNNNNNNNNNNNNNNNNNNNNNNNNNNNNNNNNNNNNNNNNNNNNNNNNNNNNNNNNNNNNNNNNNNNNNNNNNNNNNNNNNNNNNNNNNNNNNNNNNNNNNNNNNNNNNNNNNNNNNNNNNNNNNNNNNNNNNNNNNNNNNNNNNNNNNNNNNNNNNNNNNNNNNNNNNNNNNNNNNNNNNNNNNNNNNNNNNNNNNNNNNNNNNNNNNNNNNNNNNNNNNNNNNNNNNNNNNNNNNNNNNNNNNNNNNNNNNNNNNNNNNNNNNNNNNNNNNNNNNNNNNNNNNNNNNNNNNNNNNNNNNNNNNNNNNNNNNNNNNNNNNNNNNNNNNNNNNNNNNNNNNNNNNNNNNNNNNNNNNNNNNNNNNNNNNNNNNNNNNNNNNNNNNNNNNNNNNNNNNNNNNNNNNNNNNNNNNNNNNNNNNNNNNNNNNNNNNNNNNNNNNNNNNNNNNNNNNNNNNNNNNNNNNNNNNNNNNNNNNNNNNNNNNNNNNNNNNNNNNNNNNNNNNNNNNNNNNNNNNNNNNNNNNNNNNNCACUAGUGACUUAUCAAGAAUUUGCAUUCUUGUGGCGUUCUAAAUUUAGACUUAUCACUCACUUUCUCAUCUAUUUCUUGAGUGUGGCGUCAAUAUCAUUCUCUAUACCUUUGGUUCAUGUUUUCUUAAGCAUUGGGUCAAGGUUUUGUUUGUCAUAAAUCUAUUUAGAACUUUCUUGGGAAUUUGAAACUACAAAUUAAGUGUGGGUUUCAAAGUUUCAUCGUUCUUGUCAAAAGCAUGUUGCCUCAAAAAUAGAAAAUCUUGUUGAAUACUCGUAUAUUCCUGAAUCUGCUCAGAUUAAUGAAUCCCAGUUCCCUGUUAUGAGUCCAUACCAUCUUUACAAACAAAAAACUUCCUUCACCCGAAGUAUCCGAACGUCACAAAUGGCAAGCUCGACAUCAAGAAUUUGCUGCAUGGAUUGAUGUGCAGAUGACAAGUCCUAAUCGGAAAGUGAGGUUCAGAGGAAAAGCUUUUUGGGUUAAGGCUUUGAAGGGAAGUGAGCGAUACAUGGCUAUAUUUGGGAUGGUUAUUCAAAUCUGCAGAACAGAAUCUUUGAAUUGGAUAUUGAUUGCAGAACGAUGAUCAACAAUCAUAUUUGGGGUCCUAAAAAUCACUCUCAAUUUAUUCAUCCCUCACCACUUUGGAAAAAUGAAUAGUUUUUCAUCCAUCUUCCUUUCAAACUCAAUGAAGAUGUCAAUCCUACCAAAGCCACACAUUGAGUCCUAUUGCGCUCAUGCAAGUGGACAAUUCAAAGACUCAGAAAAGAAUUACCACGUGAUUUACAAGGAAACUUGAAUAGGAUCUGAAUGUGCCUCAUCCCAUGUGCUUGUGAUAGUUUUAUCCUUAAUCUCAUCAUUCCCCUCCUCUUGAAGAGGAUUUGUCCUCAAAUCAUCACCUACAUCAAAAGGACUCAAAUCAAAAAUAUUAAAAGUAGCACUUACAUUGUACUCACCAGGCAAAUCUAGUUUGUAUGCAUUGUCAUUAAUCUGUUCCAAAACUUGGAAUGGGCCAUCCCCUCGAGGUAAUAACUUAGAUUUCCUUCGUUCCGGAAAUUGUUCCUUGCGCAUGUGUAACCACACCCAAUCACCGGGUUCAAAGACUAGCUUAUGUUGCCCUUUGUUGGCUUUGUUUAGCAUAUUGCUCAGUCAAUGUUAAACUUCACCUUCUCAUGUAUAUGUUUAACAAUUUCAGCCUUUUUCUUGCCAUCUAAGUUAACACGCUUAGAAACAGGUAAUGGAGUUAAAUCCAAUGGGGUUAAAGGAUUAAAACCAUAAACAAUUUAAAACGGUGAAUACUUAGUAGUAGAAUGAACGGAACGAUUAUAAGCAAACUCAACAAAAGGUAAACAAUCUUCCCAAGUUUUGAUGUUCUUUUUAAUGAUAGCUUGCAACAUAGUAGAUAAAGUUCUAUUCGCAACUUCUGUUUAACCAUCAAUUUGAGGGUGACAAGUAGUUGAAAACAACAACUUAGUUCCUAUCAGAAACAAUUGUCCUGGGCUUACCAUGCAACCUCACAAUCUCCUUAAAGAAUAGGUCAGCAACAUUAGAAGUAUCAUUUGUUUUGUGACAUCGAAUAAAAUGUGCCAUCUUUGAAAAUCUAUCGACAACCACAAAAAUUGAGUCUUUCCCUUAUCUAGACCUCGGUAAACCUAGUACAAAAUUCAUCGAAAUAUCAGUCCAAGGUGCACUAGGUCUUGGCAAAGGGGUGUAUAAGCCAUAAGGUUGCACAUCUACCACAAAGUCUUUCAACAUCUCAUUUCAUAUGUGGCCAAUAGAAUUGUUCCUGUAAAACUGCUAGUCUUUACAACUCCCAAAUGCCCCAUUAACCCUCCUCCAUGGGAUUCUCUCAUUAACAAAUCUCUCAAGAACAGUUAGGCGCACACAGUUUAUUCUCCCGAAAUAAAUAGCCAUCAUGCCUAAAGUAUUUACCGACUACGUCUUUUUCACAAGCUUGGUAUUCAACACUAAAAUCAUGGUCAUCAGCAUACAUUCCUAUAUUGUUCAAACCAAGCAGUUAAGCAUUAAGUGUUGAGAUUAAGACAUACCUGUGGGCAAGUGCAUCUGCAACAAUGUUUUCCUUACCUUGCUUGUAACGAAUGACAUAUGGAAAUGUCUCAAUGCAAUUCUACCCAUCGAGCAUGUCUCUUGUUCAGCUUGUGUUCGCCUUUAAGGUGUUUCAAGCACUCAUGAUCGGUGUGAAUCACGAACUCCUUAGGCCAUAGGUAGUGCUGGCACGUUUCUAAUGCUCGAAUCAAUGCAUACAACUCCUUAUUGUAAAUAGGGUAGUUUAAGGCUGCCCCACUCAACUUUUCACUAAAGUAAGCAAUUGGUCAUCCUUCAUGCAUUAGGACUGUGCCAGUACCAAUACUUGAGGCAUCACAUUCAAUUUUAAAUGUUUUAUUAAAGUUAGGCAAAGACAAUAAAGGAGCAUUGGUCAGCUUUUGCUUGAUUAUUUGAAAUGCCUUCUCUUGCGCUUCUCCCCACUUGAAUCCAACAUCUUUUUUUAUUACUUCAGUAAGCGAUGCUGCUAAUGUGCUAAAGUCUUUCGCAAAUUGUCGAUAGAAACUAGCAAGCCCAUGAAAGCUUCUCACAUUACUUACACUUGUGGGACUCGGCCACUCAUGGAUUGCACGUACCUUUUCCUCAUCAACCUGUAUACCCUGUGCACUCACAAUAAAUCCUAGAAACACAAGUUUGUCAGUGCAAAAAGUACACUUCUUCAGGUUAGCAAACAACUUUUCUUUUCUAAGCACAUCUAAAACAUAUUUCAAAUGUACUACAUGAUCGUUUAUGUUUUUGCUAUAAAUGAGGAUAUCAUCAAAAUAAACAACAACAAACUUGCCAAUAAAAGCUCGCAAGACAUGAUUCAUAAUUCUCCAUUCAUACAAACAAUAUUUUGUUUUAAAAGCAAUUUUCCAUUCAUCUCAUUUUUUAAUUCUAAUCUGAUGAUAUCCACUUUUCAAAUCAAUUUUAGAAAAUACACAAGACCCAUGUAAUUCAUCAAGCAUGUCAUCUAGCCUAGGAAUGGGAUGUCGAUACUUUACCGUUAUGUUGUUAAUGGCUCGACAGUCAACACACAUCCUCCAUGUCCCAUCCUUCUUAGGAACUAAUAAAAUGGGAACUGCACAUGGACUCAUGCUUUCUCUCACGUACCCUUUUUCCAUUAAUUCAUUAACCUGCCUUCGAAGUUCCUUGGUCUCCUCUGGAUUGCUCCUAUAGGCUGGUCUGAAUGGCUGUACAGGGCACAAAAUCAAUCUGAUGCUCAAUCCCUCGGAUUGGAGGUACACCACAUCCUCAUACUCCUGCAAAAGAGAAGUAAUAGAACUAGGCAAAGUAGGGUCAAAUUUGUUAGUGUUUAAACAUGCCUCUUUGUGUAAAAGUACAAUCAUCGACUGAUGUAAAAACAAUGCUUUUUUUAUCUCACUUGCUCUCGUGUAGAAAUUCUUUUGUUUUCCAUCUAAUUUUCGCUCAAUGACCAUAUUUUUCUUUGGUUUUUCUCUCACAUUUUCCUCGUCCUCUUUUUGAAUUUCACUAUUUUUUCUCUCCUUUUGUUUUCCUCACUCUCUCUCUAUAGGCUCACUUAGUCUCCAUAAACCUGCUUUGGUGUCAAUGGAACAAGAGUGAUGUUGCGUUGAUUAAAUACAAAUGAAUAUUUGUUGGUGAAGCCAUCAUGUUUCACACGUCUGUCGAAUUGCCAAGGCUGCCCAAGUAACAAGUGUCCAGCCUGCAUUGGCACUACAUCACAAUGCACCUUAUCUUCAUAAUUGCCAAUCCGAAAAAUCACUAAUACUUGCUUGUUCACUUUCACCUCUCCACUGUCAUUUAACCACCGUAGUUUGUAUGAUUGUGGGUGUUUAAGUGUCGGAAGCCCUAACUUCUCUACCAUGAUAGUACUAGCAACAUUAGUACAACUUCUUCCAUCAAUAAUCAUACUACAUACUUUGUAUUAAACAUAGCACCUAGUAUGGAAAAUGUUUUCCUGUUGCACCGCUUCGUCUUCCUUUACUUGCACACUCAAAGGUCUCUCGCUACUAAAGUCAAUUCCAUAUACUCUUCAUCUUCGACAUCCUAUAACGGUGGUAUCUCAUUCUCUUCCGUCUCAUCUUCAGUUACAAUUCUUCUUUCUUCUAGGAAUCCAAGAAAUUAUUUGGGUUAAUACUGAUACGCCCACCUCUAAUUUUCUAAACUGAGUAUGAUGUGCACUUACCUUAAGCCUAAGGAUCCUGUACAUCAGAAAGGUCCUGUUUUAUCCUCCAAAAUUGAUUUUUGUAAAAUAAAAUUGUUUUCUCACAAUGUUCACCCUCUUUGAAGGCCACUAGUGCCGUGUUUUGGGGUGGUAUCGUGAAAAACUGUUUUCAAAUAUGAUUUUUGGAUUUGGUAUUUGACGGAUAAGUGUAUAUUGGUUGGAAACCAGAACUUGCAGGCUACUGGCCCAAAGGAUAGACUUUGUUCUGUUAUAGAUCUGGUGUAACAACGCCACAUACAAUCAUCGAAUAGUAUCAGAGCCACCUCUGCAUCCAAAGACUUUGAAAUAACCAAUGUUGGGUUUUCUAUCUUUCCAAAGCUCACAGGGAGUUUAUUAAGAUAAGAUCUAAUUAACACACAAUUUAAAAUAUAACAAGCGGUAUUGACAACUUCGACUCAAAAAUACUUAGGGAAAGCAUUUUCAUUCAAUAUGGUCCUAAUCAUUUCUUGAAUAGACCUAUUCUUUCUCUCAACAACUCCAUUUUGUUGUGGAGUCCUUGAUGAAGAAAAUUGAUGCACAAUGCCAAAAUUAUUGUAAAAGUUUUCAAAUGUAUGAUUUUCAAGUUCUCCUCCAUGAUCACUCCUAAUGCAUGUAAUACCAUAACCUUUCUCAUUUUGUACCUUUUUACAAAAGAUUUUAAAAGCAUCAUCUUUAUUGGCUAAGAACAAUACUCAUGUGUAUCUAGAGUAAUCAUCUGCAAUCACAAAUGCAUAAUAUUUACCACUUAAAUUAGCAUAUUUAGAAGGUCCAAAUAAGUUUAUAUGAAGUAGUUGAAGUGGUUUUGAAGUAGAAACAUGAUUUUUGCUUUCCAAAGAGGUUUUGAUUUGUUUACCAAAUCCUUUUUUGUUGCAUGUCCUAGUCUUCUAUAUCAUAGCCAACCAUCAUCAUGCAAUGCGGAAAAACAUUUAUCAUGGGUAGAUGCACAUUUUAUAUCAAUGGUAUAAAACAUUACCACAUCUAUUUCCAAAAACCAAAACUUUACUGUCACAUGCAUUCUCAAAACACAUCUAUUUUUAUAAAAAAUAACUUUAUAACCCUUAUCACAUAAUUGACUAAUACUAGUCAAGUUGUGUUUCAAAUUUUCAACCAAACAUACAUUUUCAAUGAUAGUUGAGGAAACUUUACCGACAUUACCAAUUCUGAGGAUCUUUCUCUUUGAAUUGUCUCCAAAGGAAACAUCUUCACCAUUUUUUGUCUUGGUAAAACUUGAGAAACAUGUAUAAUUUGCAGUCAUAUGCCUUGAGUAGCCACUGUCCAGGUACCAUUUAUUAUUCUUCUUUUUCAAACCCUGCAGAGAAAAUCUCAAGUCUUAGGUACCCAAAUAUUUUUUUGUCCUUGAAUGUUAGCAAUGAUUUCUUUUGGAACCCAAACAUAUUUUACUCCAUAAUGUGCAUUUCUUUUAAUUGGACAUCUAUACUUCAUGUGACCACCUUAAUUGCAAUAGUGGCAUAUAAUUUGAUUCAGAAAGUAAUUCUUAUAAUAUUUUUGUACCUCCCUUGUCAAAUACACAUUUUUGUGAAUUAAGCAAGUUAUCCAACAUCUUUUGCCCAUUCGUAAAUUUUAAGACAACAUCACUAAAUUCAAUAUUCUUUUUCUUGAGCAUCUCAUUUUCCUUUUUCAAAUCAUCUACAUGUGAUUCUAUAUGCUCAUGUGAGUGCUAGAUUUCUCAUUUGAUAAAGCAACUUUAUCAUGCAAUGUUUUAUUUUCUAAUUUUAGGCAUGUAAUCUUUGUACUUAGAGAUUCAUUUUCAUUUGUGAUCUCUUCUAUUUUCUUUUUAAGACAUGCAUUCUUUUUAUCAAUUUUUGUCCAGUUAUCAUGCAUUUCCUUAAAAGCAUCAUAUAAUUCAUCAUACGUAGGAUCACUUACUUCAUCAAGAUCGUCAAACAAUUCAUCCCCAAUUGCCAUGAUAGCUAGAUUUGACAUCUCUUGUUGCUCUUAAUCAUCACUUGUUUCCUCAUUGCUAUCAUCCCACGUGGCUACCAUUGCCUUAUUCUUGAGUUUGUUGAGAAGAGGACACUUCAAUUGUAUGUAUCCAGGCUUCUUGCACUCAUAACAAGUGAUUGACUCAUUCUUCUCCUUUUGGUUCUUGUGAUUUCUAAAUCUUUUCCACUCACUAGUUUUCUUAAAGAAUUUUCUAAAUCUCCUGGCCAUCAUAGCCAUGUCUUCAUCAUCAAGCUCGCUUUCCUCAUCACUCUCAUGUUUUAAUGCCUUCAACGCAAUAUUUUUCUUCUUCUUUUCAUCAUUGUCUUUUUCUGCGGCAAAAUCUUCCUCAUAAGAAAUAAGGGAACCAAUCAAAUCAUCAACGGAUAAGUUCGUUUAGGUCUCUAUUUAGUUGGUAAAGGCCUAAUGAUUUUCUUAACUUUUUCGCUGUUUGAAAAAGGUUAUUCCUAGGGCUCUUAAUGUGUUUACAAUAUUCGUAAACUUAGUAUACAUGGAACAAACACUUUCCUUUUGUUCCAUUUGGAACAAUCAUAUCGUCCAGUGUAUAUACUAAUCUUAGACUCUUUGACCUAGUUUGUGCCCUCACAAGAGCACCUUACUCUGAUACCAAAUGAAAUACUAACUAGGCAACCCAAGAGGGAGGUGAAUUGGGUUUCUAAAAAUUUAAGCACUUAAAACUUAAUGCAAUUUAAACAAAGGAACCAAAUUCGAAAUAAACAAAUUAAUGUGCAAUGAAAAAUAAAGAGAUAGGGUAAGUGAGAGCAAACACUAGAUUUUUACAUGGUUCGACCAACCGUGCCUAUCUCCACGGCUCCAUGCUCACCGGGCUUGAGGAUUUCACUAAGCGAGCCUCCAAUGUGUCAAUAGGCCUUUACAAUAAGAGAUUAUCCACAAUCCCUUAACUCAAGUAUACCCAAACACUUACAAUCACUCAAAAAUAAAGAUUACAAAUGAAUUUCCUUGCACACAAUGUAUAUGGUUACAAAUGAAAGCUCAAAGUGUGAAUCAAUGAAACAAAAACAAGUUUAAAGUUCAAUGAUAGCUGUUGGAUAUCCCUUUGUUUGAAUUUUAUUGAGCCAUUUUAUAGUUGGAUCUGAAAACUAGCUGUUGUUGACUUUCUGAGAAUAAGUGAAAUGCCAUUACUGCUGUCGAUUGACCGUUUUGACUUGUCCUAAUGACCGUUAUGAUAAGAUUUUUAAAUAGCCGGUUAAGCAUUUGGAGUUAUCGGUUAGCCAUUUAUUUUUAGAAACCCGCAAAACAAAUUUGGCUAACCGUUCGUACUAAACGGUUCAUGGUUACAAUCCAAUUACUCUUUGGAAAUUAUCGGCUAACCAUUUUCGGUAAACGAUUCACCGUUAUUUUUCAUAAUGAACAUUUAAAUAACCGUUUGUAGAAAAUGAUUUUUCGAUUAAAAUUAACGAUAAUCCAGAUUCUUAAACAUGCCUAAAAUAUUAUACGACUUUAAGAGUUUGUUUAAUAUUAAUAGCUACAAGGUUUGUUAUCAUCAAAAUCAAUACUAUAAGAUCAUUUAUGUCAACAGGAGGGAUAGAGCUCUGGCUAGAGGAUAGAACAAUGACUAUUAUAUAAAUGAGUAUGGGUAGCUAUAGGAGAGAUGGACGGGGUCGGAGAACUAGGAAUAUGGAUGAAGCAUUAUGUGGCAUAAAGAACAUACAAGGUUUGUUAUCAUCAAAAUCAAUACUAUAAGAUCAUUUAUGUCAACAGGAGGGAUAGAACUUUGGCUAGAGGAUAGAUCAAUGACUAUUAUAUAGAUGAGUAUGGGUAGCUAUAGGAGAGAUGGACGGGGUAGGAAUAUGGAUGAAGGAUUAUGUGGCAUAAAGAUGAAGAUUUCAUCUUUUCAAGGUAAAUCUGAUCCGGAAACAUACUUUGAAUGGGAGAAGAAAAUGGAGUUCAUAUUUGACUGCCACAGUUAUUCAGGGGCAAAAAAGAUAAAAUUGGCUGUGAUUGAGUUUUCUGACUAUGCUAUUACUUGGUGGGAUCAACUUGUAUAAGUAGGAGGUGAAAUAAAAAAUGUCCUGUUGAGAUAUGGGAUGAAAUGAAAUCAUUGAUGAGAAGACACUUUGUACCUAGCCACUGAGUCUUAUUCAAGAAAUCACAAAUAUGGUUGAUUUGCAACAUUAUGUGGAUAUUGAAAAGAUGGACCACAACGCUAUCAAGAUUGAGCAACAACUUAAGAGGAAAGGUAACACCUGUGUAGCACCAAGCUCGAGUUCCACUCCCUGAAAUUGAGUUAUGUGAAAUGAGAUGAGAGGCCACAAGCAUCUACUACACCUAAGCUGAGAUCUGAGCCCUCCAAGCACAAUUCACACUGUAACACUGUGACUCCCACUAUUAGGAAUCGUGACAUUAAGUGUUCUAAAUGUCAAUGCAGGGGGCAUAUAGUAAGUGAAUGUGUGAAUAAAAGAGUUAUGGUGUUGCUGAAGAUGAAACGAAAGAAAAUGAAAUGCCACUAUUAAAGGACGUCAAAGAUGAAGAGUAUACAACCCCUGGUGAAUUCACUUUAGUAGCUAGGAGAGCUUUGAAUAUACAGCUGCUAUUUUUGCACUUUUGAACAGCAAAAAUAGCAGCUAUUUUUGCACUUUUGAACAACAAAAACAACAGUUGUUCCAGCAUUUUAGAAUAAUAGAUAUAGCAGUUAUUUAUGCACUUUUGAACAGCAAAAAGAGCAACACAAAUGUGCUUGUUGUUUUUACAGUUUUUGGCAAAACGAUUAACUUUUCUGUAGUUUUAUAACAGCAGAAACAACAACCAAAUUUAUGCUAUUGUUUUUGCAAUUUAGUGCACCAAAAUCAAUUACUUAAAUCAAAAUGAGAUUGGCUCUAUUCAAUUCCAAUUUCAUUGCCUAAAUUAAUUCACACCAAAGUGAAGACGUCAAUCUAAACUCUAGCUAUGUAUCAACAAAACCCAAUUCAAAAUAAAUUAAAUCAAGAUAUAUAAACAAUUAACUCAUCUCAUCAACUAGGGCUUCAAACUAAUAAAUCAUAAAAAAAACCAUGUAUUUUUAAGAAAAGAAACAAGAUUGAGUUCAAAUUUAGGGUUAAUAAAUUUUUAUUGAAAAAAAUUAAAUGAAUGAAGAAGAAGAGAUUUGUAAAUUACCACAGCCAAGCUUUCUCCUCUCCUUGAUGUCCAUGUCAGUUGAGGACUUUGACAGCGUGCUAGAGAGAGUCGAUUUCGAAAAAGGUGUGAAAUUAAGUAGGGGCUUUAACGACCAAGCUAUGAUGGCUCCUUUUGUGGAUCUUUGUCUUCAUCUUCAUCUGCGGCUACAAGGAUUGUGAGGGCAGCGAGCGUUUGGGUUUUCAAGGCUGGGAGAGCAAAAACAGAGAGAUGAUUUAAAAAUUUCAACACUUUAAGCAAAUUUUUAUAUGAUGUUGAUAAUUUAUUAGAUGUUGUAAUUAUGAUACAUGAAACGACACAGUUUCAUGUAAUAUUAGCAAUUAAUUUUUUUAUAUGAUGCAAUAGAAUUAAAAAUAAUAUAUAGAUUUGAAUGUACUUAUUUUAUAUGUUAUUUACAAAAUAAAUUACUUGUGGUAGAUAAUAUAUUAUUUAAAUUUAAAUAAAAAUAAAUAAAUGCACUACUUUGAUAAAUUCAAUUAUCAUAUAAAAAUCACUUUUAUUUGAAAUCAUUUGCUUUGUUAGUACUACUUUUUUUUAAUGGACUUUGCAAAUUACAUAGACAAAAAAAGGGUAAAUACAAGCAUUUAUCAGUUAUGGUAAAAUAUAUCACAAUCGGAUACAAAUGACAACGAGCAAGAGAAUGUUGCAUUACAAUCUUAUUCACAACAAGCAUUUCAGUAUGUUGCUAAUGAUGAGAUUUUUAGCAACGUGCUUAAAUCUCAUUUGGCCUAUGAGAUUUUUAGCACGUUGUCAUUUGGCCUAUGAAAUCCACCACAAUCAACAAACUGUUGCAAUAGUGUGUUUUGCAACACACUUUAAAGCAUGAUGUUGAAGGUAAAUUUUUUGCAACUUUUAACAACAUGCGGUGUUCAAACGUUGCUAAAUGUCAGAUUUUACAACAUGCAUUACACGCACAUUGCUAAAAUUUUGUUGUCAUAUCUCUUGUUUCUUGUAGUGAACUUUCUGUAAGCUAGACUAGAUAAGAUAAUUACCAAUGUUGGAGGGAUGCCUAUUGAGUUCGAUGUGCGGGAUUUGAACUCGAUUUUAGGAUAUGAGAAUGAGGGUUUAGAGACAUACAUUUCUAGGAAAGAACUUAUGUUUCAACCAUUUUCUCCAUAUUAAUACAGUUAGGAAUAUUUAUCGGCGUAGCGACCUUUCCGAUGAUAUUUGCUACCUUUCCUUUUGUUCCUAACCCUUACCUCUGUAGGUUCGAGUACUUCAUAGUAUUCUACAGUGGUCGAUAGGUGAGGUUCGAUCACUUUUCGAGCAGCAGCAGUAGUUUCAGUCUCAAUUUGCUGCUUUCUAGCUUUAGCAUCAAUGCAUUCUCGAUCAGCAGCAGCAGCUUUUGGAUGGCCACAGAGCAUCUUCAUUACUCUUGGCAUUCUUCCUCCAUUCUCCUCAUCACGUCCUCCGCAAUAGUCCAUUAUUAGUUUCUGUCUUUAGAUUUUACACAGACAUCUUUUAUGUGUCAUUAUGUUUAUUUUAUUAUGACAACUUAUUUUUGUUAUAUAUACAUAUAUGAGCUAUUUAUUCUAGUGACUCAUGCUUUGAUGGUUGAUAUGUGUAAUGGUUUCAUAAUGAUUUUGAUAUGUUGUUCUAUAUGAUUUGAUGAUUUGGAUGUAAUAUUGUUAACAUGUUUCUUGAGGUAAUGCUUGUUGUUAGGAGGAGCUUCUGUCGAAAUUUCAACUUAGACAACAUGGGUAAAAAACUUUUUUUAUUUUUCAUUGCAUUUCUUUCCUUGAUCACUAAAUUUUCUUUGUGGUGAUGAAGGGUGAGAAGGAUACAUGUAUUUGAAGUUUGCACUUGUUAAAUUUAGCUUAUUAUUUAGGGGGAGUUGCUUUUUUAAAAUUGAUGUGUAUAUACACGCACAAAUGAAAGGGGAUGUUUUUGUUUUGGUUAAAAUUGGUAUAACUUAUUAUAUUGGCACUUUUUAAAUUUGUAAAAUACUAAGUGGAGCUUUUAUUUGGGGGAGCUAAUAUUUUUUAAUCAUUUACACCAUGAAUAUAUGUAAACUUUGUCGUCAUAAAAAAGAGGAAGAUUAUUGACAUAAAUAGUAUUCAUAAACAUUGAUUUUGAUUAUAACAAACAAGAUUAAGAAAGUUGGAGUCUUUAAUUUUGAAUAAUUUCAUAGGUCGUAUGAUGUUUUGGACAAAUUCAAGUUUUUGGAAAUGGCAAAUUGAUAACAUAUUUGAGUUAUUAGCAAUUUCUGAAAAUUAACGGUUAGCCGUUAAUGAGAAGACGACUAACUAAUAAAUUCUGGAAAUGAGUUUGUCUGAAAAUGGCAAACUGUUAUUUGCAAACAACAAGCCAACUUCAAACAGGGGAGCUUCUAGAAUUAGAUGGUAAACCGACAAUGCCAAAUAGUGAUCCGACUUCGAUCAGUGAACUCUCUGGAAUUAGACAGUAAACCAACUAUUCUAAAUGGUGAUCCAACAAUUCAAAUUUUUACAUGAUAGUAUUUUGCACAAAGUAAAAAUGGCAAUCCAACAACAGUUAACGGUGAUUCGAUUAUGCCCAAAAAAUUAACAAUGGCUAGUUUUCUUCUCCAACUAUAAAAAGUCUCAAUCAAAUUCAAAUCAGGAUGGAUUAUACAAUUAUCAUUGAGCUUAUUAUUGAGUAUUCAACCUCUCUUGUGCUUAUAACUUGUUGUUCCUUUAUUAAAUUACACUUUGGCCUUUCAUUUGUAAAUGCAUACAUUGUGUGAGGAAAAUUUUUGUGUAAUCUUCAUUUCAAUAUCAAAAUUAAGUGAUUGUAAAUGUGAGAAACACUUUGGGAAAGGGAUGAGAGAUUAUCUCAUAUUGAAAAGGUUUUAUUGACACCUUGGAAGUCAAUUAUAAUCAUUUUGAAGCUUGGGUUGUAAGGCUUGGAUAGUGGAAUCCUCAAGCUCGGUUAGCUUGGAGGCGUGGACGUAGGCAGAGUUUGUCGAACCACAUGUAAAAAUAUCUUGUUUGCUCUCUUCUCCCUUAUUGAAUCUUCUAAGUAUUAAUUUGAAUUGUUUUGUGAUUUUAUUUGCUUAAGUUGCUAGAAACCUAAUUCAACGCCCUCCUAGAUAGCUUAGUUAGACUUUCAGUGGCGAACUAUUGUUGGCUAUUCUCUACCUCAGAUAAGGGCUACGGAGUAAUUUAAUUGUUCACCCUAAGUCUUUUAGGCUCUUUAAGAUUGGACAUGUCCUUUGUGAGAUUGUUUGUGCUAAUAGCAUGUCUCUUAACUCUGAUUGGAUUCUUUUAAAUGAGACAAUUAAGUUGACAGAGCUACUGACUUCAUAAAUGAUGGUUCAGAUGGCUGCUCAACUGGUCCCAUCUUUUAUUUUUAGUGCAUGUGACUAUUAGAGAGAUAUUUUGGGGUGACUCUAGUGGGGGUCGUGCAGUGACAUAUAAUGAGUUUAGUGGUGGAUCUAUCACUAUUAUAGCGGUCCCAUGCUAACAUGUGGCAAUUUUUAAGUAUUUUUAGGACUUUUUCUACAGUUUUUAGAUUGUUAAGGUGGUUCAUGCUUUUCCUUCGAGAAUCUUGCAUUUUAUCUUUGCCUUUUCAAUUUCCUCUUUCUUCUUUGCAAGGAUAUAUUGGGCAAAAAGAAUGGCAUAGACAUGUCACGCUCUAACCGUGUGAUUCAAAUUUUACUACCAAUAAGAAUAUCUAUUGUCAUUUUCCUUAUUUUUAGCUUGAAUAAUACUAGAGUUCCCAAUACUUAGAUCUUACUUUAUGCUUUGGUGUAAUUUUGGUUUAGGCUAAUGAUGAGGACUGAGUCCUCCAAGGUGGUUUUAUAGGAAUAGAUGGAUUUGAGACAGUCCUAAAAAAUUAGAGAAAAUGAUCGUUAGAGGCAACCCAAUGGUGGCCAGUGAUGAAGAAACCCCUGAAUAAUAGAAAAUUUAAGCAUUUAUGAAAGCGAGAAAACUUACCUCUUUCAUAAGACUAGCCUGACCUUAUAAAAGAAGUGCCUUUAAGGGCGUGUUUGUCAUUAACUAUUUUCCUCCUUAGGUAAUGGAUAAAAAAUAAUUUGGACGUUCUUAUAGAGGUUCUUAUGCUUCCUAGGGUUGGACAUUAUCCUUUGCGAAAAUAUGUUUGCUGACAGCAUGUUCUCAGUCUUGAUUAGCUUAUUCUAAGUGAGCCAAUUAGGUUAUAAGACUAUUGAACUCAUUUACGAUAGAGGAGACAACUACCCAAGUCUUACUCAUUCAUAUUUGAUUUAUAUGACUUUAGGAGACAUACUUUGGAGGCAAUCUAAGUGGGCACCAAGCUGUGAUAAUGUGUUAUGACUUAAAUUGGAGGAUCUGUCAAUACUUCCUUGGUCCCAUACUAAUAUGUGACAGUUAUGGAGUACUUUAAGAGACAUUCUCUGCAGUUUUUAGGUUUUUAAGAUGGCUUAAGCUUAUUAUUUGAGAACCUCCCAUUAUAUCCAUGCCCUUUCAAUGUUGAUGAGAUUGAGGAUAAAAUUGUCAUAAGCACAUGGGAUGAGGCAUAUUCAGAUCUAUUCAAGUUCCCAUCAGACCUGUCACAAGAGCUCAUGCAAAGAAAUUCAAAGAAGUGCUUAAUGGGUUGAUUCAAGCAACUUGGGCACAAUUUAAUUUGCAGAGGCCCGUUAAAGGAAUCGCACCUGAUAUUCAAACCACUAAAUGCGUGAUUCAGCUCUUAAAGUUUCCAAAUAAUCACUUCCAUGAAAUCAGCAAGUUGGCGUGCACAUUAUGGCUGAAAAAUAUAUUAUUUUCCUUUUCGAAUACUUUUCCGUUCGAAAAUUAUAUUAUAUUCCUUUUUGGAUACUUCCCCGUUUGGAAAGUGUACUACUUUCCUUCUUGGAUACUUUGUCAUUUCUUAAGCAGGCAAGUGACGAAACAAAUCAAUUAUUUCUCUUUUAAUUUCCUAGUUUCCAUUUUAAUUGAUGUAAGGCGUUUAACUCGAUUAGGAUUCUGAUUUGGUUUAGAUUCUUUUCUUAUUUGCUUUAGAUUGGGAUUCUGAUUUGAUUUUGGUUUUGGAUUUAUUUCCGAAAUACGAAGGCCAAUUAUGGGGUGGAAUUUCUUGUAACCAGCUCUAUACAAUGUACUCGUAUCCAAUAAGAAAGACAGAUCAAUUUUGAUGCAAUUAGUGAGAGAGUUAAUUCUCUUUGGUUCUUAAACUAACUCUUUGAACUUAUCAAAUUUUCAUGACGUUCAAACUCUUAACUUAUCAAUCAAAUCAUCCAUAACUGAUUGCAGCGUUCUCACAUACCAAGGUUCGUGCUUUUAUUGAGCAUCAGGUCGCGGUUCCAUUCAAUUGCAGGUGUAGAUUCGAUCUUAGAGACUAAAUUAAUUGGUGUUGCAUGAGUUCUUGCCGUGGUUUGUAUCCAAUUCCCUCUUCAUUCUUUGCAAGGGCUUGUGAGUCAUGAGAGAUGUUGCAUACACAUCACACCAACCAUUUUUAUCCAAAUUUUAAUGUCAACAAUUUGUAUUUUAACUAAUGCAACAUCCAUCUAUGGAAUGUGUUUUUAUUAAAUUUUAUAUUAAACCUAACUUGAUGCAGUUAGGAGAAGAGUCGAAAUUAUGAAAGAAAAAGGCUACUGGAAAUAAUCAAUUUUUGGGAGAUCGUUUGGGGAUUUUCAAAAUAAAUGAGAGAAGAUUGACACACGUCAGGAGUUUUUAAUUCAGCCUGACAGAACACGCUGCCCAAGAAAGGAGUUCAGGGAUAUUUGCGUGAGAUUGAUAUUUUCAAAAUUCAAACUGCAUGUCAGACGGCUGCCACUUCCCAAGAAAAAGGAGAGAGACAUAUGAAGACAAUUGUUCGUUCUCAUCGUAAAAAAAAAAGCGGGAAAAGGAAAAGACAAAGAGAAGAUUUUUUAGUUCAAAGUACACAAAGUUUAGUCAAGGGAAGAAACUAAGCAAGGUACCCCCGGUCCAGCCACGUCGCCAUGUGUCACUCAUAUAAUGAGUUUCUUUUGCCUCCAAUACUUCUCGCCAAAAAGAAACUAGGGGGAUGUUGUUUGAGGGAAAAAUAGGAAAGGCAGUAAAGCGCCACAUGUCGACCAAUAGAAUGAUUCCAGCACAAUCUGAGGUACCCCGUACAAUCCGAGGUGCCUGGCAUGAUUUGAGGUACCCCGUACAAAUAGAGGUACCCUGCACAAUUAGAGGUACCCCAUACAAAUAGAGGUACCCCACGUAACUCGAGGUACUCGGCAGAACGGAUGCAAGAGAAUCCUCCAAAAAUAUCCGCUAUGAGAAACGUCUCCGCCUCCUAAAAGAUAUUAUUCGAUUUUGUCAGAAUUAGGAAUAAAAAACGAUGUGCUAAAAGGAGGGACAGCCGCCUGCCACCUCUGCCAAAAUGAAGGACACUGUCCCAAGGACAGUGGUCCCCAGCCGCCUACCCGACAGCUACUGCAAAGGUACCCUGGACCACUCUCCACACGCGCCAUGUUUCCAAAGGAUGAGAUAUGGCCCAAAAAUCAUAAAAAUGGUAAAAGGACGUUAGCCAAAAAGGGUACGUCACGUGGCAGCUAAGGUACUCCAUAUAUAAAGGCGCCUAGGUUUCAUUCUCCAGGGGGCUCUGAUUCACCCAUAAACACUCACUCCAAAAAAGAGGUUUUCUUCAACCUUAAACCCUAAUUUACAGAGGGCUAGCCAGCUCUCUUUGCCAUAAAAGCUUGAGUUUGCUAACUUGAGCGUCGGAGUGUGAACGCCGGGGUACCCCGGCUUCACCUCUAACCUCUAUUUCACUGUUUUGCAGGCGUGAAGCUCAUUUGUAAGGACACCUCUCUUAGUUCUGAACUCUCUCCAUUGUUACAACUCCCUCUACCCCUUUUUGCCUCUCCCAAAUUUCAGAUACACCGCACCGCACACAAUAAACUAGUGAGGUACCCCCUCUCCCCUAAAAAUAUAAAUUCAUUGUUUAAGAUAGAUUUUGGAUUUUCCUACCCCAAAAUCUGUUGAAAACAGUUACUAAUAAAAUUUUUUAAUAUAUUAAUUUAUUGAGUUUAUAUAUAUUACACAUAAACAUUCAUAAUUAACUUUUAUUAAAAAAUUGACGAGAUAUAAAGAGACAUCCUGACUCAUCAGCAUUAUGAAUGUACAUCCAGACUCAUCGGCAUUAUAAAUAAAAACAUAAAAUAAAUUCAUGUGUGCUUAUACAUCAAUUUUGUAAUCUUUAAAACCAUUGUGACAAAACUUGAAAAUCAUCUUUGAUUUUCAUAUAAUUUGUUCGAUAAUUGAGGAUCUAAGUUCCUCUCAAAUCACCGUGUUAGUAUUGGAAACAUCAAAAGAUAAGAACAUAGAUUAGUACAUUACACAUAAUCAAAAGGUAAUUAAAAAAUAACACAAAAAAUACCUCGAUCUUACUCAAGCUUACUCUAUCAAACCCCAACUGUUUUAAAUUAAAAUUACCGCAGCCUUAUUGCUAAGCACACACGGAUAAUCUCCAUGGUAGACAAAAUAAAAAAUUAAAAGAAAAGAUUGUUGUGCCAGAAACUGCGCAUACGUGCACGUUGGCAGUGGCGCAAUACCAAUAAAUUGAUUAAACAAAAGUAAAACAAAUGUGUCAACCACUAGUUAGCUUAAUGGUGGCAUGGCGGCCACCUACUCUCUUCAACUUAUAGAAAGUUUGAGUUUUUUAUGUGUAUUUCGGGAGUGAUUUUUGCUCCUUUUUUUUUAAUGGUGUUUUCAAGGCAUUUCAAAUAUCCUACUUUAUAUCAAUCUAUUUCUAGAUUUACGUAUGAAUUUUUAAAAAAUAAAAAAUAAAACAACUUUACCAUAUAAUAAAAUUUUUCUAUUGUGAUAUUUUAUAUAGAAAUAAUCUUCAUAAAAUCAAAAACAUUUUGAUUCCAAUUUUAGUUAGAUAUUUUAAAGAUUCUUACCUUCAUAUAAUAAUAAUUAUAUGUAUAUUAUAAAAAAAAUAUAUGCUAUGUUUCAUUAAAUAUUUAAGAUAAAAUAAAAUAUUUUUCUAAAGUUAUUUGGGACAAUAGUUUAUUUCGUGAACUUUUAAAAUUACUUUGUAUAUUUCUAACACUGUAUAGAUAUUAGUUUUUUGAAAUUAUGUCGGUCGAUUUUAUCAAUGUUUACAUGUUAGAUUUGACAUAUUCUAAUAAUUAAUUAUUAAUGUAUAGCACAUAUAUAUUAUUUGAACUAAUAAUAACUAAGUUAAAAUAAAUAUUUUUAUGACCAUAGUUCUAUUAAGGUAUAAUUUUUUUAUAGUAAUAAAAUCAAUUUAGUCCAACACUGUCACUUUUGAGAGAUUCUAUUGUAUCUAAUUUUUCUAAUAAAUUAGAGAGGAUGCAAACCCAAGGAGCAAGUUGUGGUGGUACCGAGCUUGCUUCCGAUUAAACAAAAAUAUCCAAACAUUUAACUUUGAACAUCAUUUUGGCGUAAGGCCCCCGUUUUUCUUGUGAUUCAUCAUAUCUCUGUCUACUCUCUAGACAGAAGCGAACCAUAUUUGCAGUAGGAUUCUUUAAUUUAUUAGCUUGCUUGUUUAUAAUCAAAUUUUUGGAAAGUAUUUAAAAAUCAGUUGAGAAUCUUGGUGAGCAGAGCAAAGCAGAGGAGAUCGAUCAUGGGAGAUUUUGAUAAUAUAUUAAUAUUUAUUAUAUUUAAAAAGUAGAAGAGGAAAACUUCAAGUCCGAAUAGGGAUGACAAUGAGUACCACACGCAGUGGGUUUGUCAUUACCAAAGUCAUAUUCGCACAAAUUUUAAAUUACCAAAUCUACCCGCAAUCCACUGCGGGUUUUAAUUUAUUUAAGAAAACCCACCAACUGCGGUUUUUUAAAAUUAGUAAACCCGUAAUGGUAUUCGGCGGAUUUUUUUGCAGGUUUCCACAUUUAAAAUCACAAAUGUUCAAUAUAUAAAUUUACAAUAAUAACUUAAAAAUUCCACAUAACAUACUCAAUUCUAAUUUAAGCGAUGUAAAUGAAAAAUUAAAAUUUUAACAUCAACCCAACACAAAAUCUCAAAUUUAAGUGCAAAAUAAACAAAUCCAUAAAAAAAAGCCACAAACUAGUAUGUAAACAUAACAAUUAUCGUUUCAUAUUAUCAUUCAACACAAGCUUCAAGAGAAGAUCUUCAUUGCAUUUACCACCAUUAGCAUCCAUUCAACACGAUUCCUACAAUAAUGAUUAAAAUUAAUGUUUUCUAAAGAAUAAUACAUUUUAGAUACUAAUCUGAAGAACAAAAUUAUAAUAAAGAAAUAAUCCAUGCAUGAAGUUAAAGAAUAUUCAAUUUGAAUUACAAUAAGUAUAUUUUUAGAUUUAAAUAAUUUUCUAUUAAAAUUAAAUUAAAAAAUAAUUAAAAAAAGUUGCGGGUUGGCGGAUAUCCAUGCAGGUAUCCGUUGGAUAUUUGGUUAAUACCAAACCCACUCGCAACCUAGUAUGGAUUUCAAUUUAUAAUACCAAACCCGCUCGCAACCCAUAAAAUUACCUGCAGCGGGUGGGUUCAGGCGAAUUUGUGGGUUUGCGGGUACUAUUGCCAUCCUCAGUCUUGAACUUCUUUUACAUCAAUAGAGUGCAAAGGUUGUGUAUCACCAAUAUGAAGUCGCCAUCUUUCCAUGCAGCUGCCCGACCAAUCUCAAAGAUGGAGAAGGCGAUUGUCAUAUGCAAAUACUAGGUUAUGAAAGGAUUAUCUCUCCAUUUCAAAUAUUAGUAUUACAGUAAAAUCUCAAAAAAAUUAUACUUUUAUUGCAUAAAAUAUUUUUCAAAUCUCGAAUUGGUCAACGCACUAAAUUAUAAGUCAGUUAAUUAAUAAAUUUUUCUUAGUAUAUUAAUUUCAUGAGUUUAUAAAAAUGGUACUAUGCAUAAAUUUUCAUAAUUAAUUUUUAUUACAAAAUUGACGGGAUAUGAAGAGAGAUACAGACUCAUCUGCAUUAUAGUUGAAAAAGGCAGAUUAAAAAAACCAUAAAAUAAAUUCAUAUGUGCUUACACAUCAAUUUUGCAAUCUUUAAAACCAUUGUGACUUAACUUUCAAAUCUCACCUAAAUUCUAGGAAUAUUCAUGUUGUAUUAUCAAAAAUCAAUAAUUGAAUAUGAAAAAACAUACCUAAAUCCAUAAUACUUAAUCGUUCUCUAAAAUCGUGUGAUUUACCUUCCAAAUCAACAUGUUAUCCUAGAUAAUCCUUUAACUUUCUCUUUGCAAUCUCUUUGAUGAUGAGUUGUCAAAAAAGAAUGGAAUAUUAUGUGUGACCUGAAGACUAUAAUCACUUAUAUAGAUAACUUCCUAUUAUCAUAAGUUAUUCCUCAACUCAUCAUUGAAAUAAAAAUUAUUCUUAAGUCUCUACAUAUUAAAGGCCUAUAUCCUAUUAGAAAUAGUGAAGAACAAAUUACCCAAAACUUAAUAGAUCAAUUUUAAUUGGCCUUAACCAUAUAUGAUAGUUUGCAAUACAUAAUUAUUCACAUAUAAUCCCAAAGCUGGAUUAAGGAUCUAACAUCUCUCACUUGGGCUAUAUGUAUAACCAUAUAAUCAUGUUUUGUACAAAUAACCAUAUAAGUUUAAACUUGCUAUCAUUACUAAAAUGUAUCGAUAACCAAUCUAGUCUAUCAACCAUAACAACAUAGGAUCAAAGCGGCCUUUGUUACAAUUUUGCAAAUACGACUAAAUUACAUGGAUCAUGAUGUGGAUAUGUAGCACGUAAAUUUCAUGCAUUGUGAUCUUAACAUCUCUAUUUCAAACUAGUACACCUUAAACUUUAGUGAGAUCAAACCGUUCCAAAAUUAGAGGGUGGAUAAACCAAAAUUUUAUUUCUGUAGAAAACAACCUUAAAUAUCUAUAAACUAAAAUAACUGAAAAAUGCCUAUAGCAUAAAAGCAUCUAUAAUCACAAACUCUCACUAAAACUAAAUAUCGUUUAUUGAUAAAACACCCAUACAAGCACUGUGCUCAUGAAACAAUUUGGGUAGUAAUCCCUUACAAACCAGAUCAACAAUCAUGGAGUUUGUGCUAAUGUACUCUAUAAACAACUGUUCACUAUGAACUCUUUUUUUAACAAUUAGGAACUUGAUGUCUAUAUGCUCUGACAUUGUUGAACUCCUAUUGUUAUGGAAAUACAACAUUGCUAAUUUAUUGUCACAAAAUAAUUUGAGUAGUCUAUCAAUACCGCCUAUUAUGUGUAGCCCCGUUACAAAAUUUUGUAGCCAUAUAUUGUGAUUGGAUGCCUCAUGAUAUGCCAUGAGCUCUGGUACCAUCAUAAACGAAGCUAUAGGAGAUUUUUUAGUACUCUUUUGGGAGACAGCACCUCAGCUAGUGGAUAGAUGUAGCCCAAUACAGACUUCGUAUUAUCUUAGCAUCUAGCAAAAUCAGAGUCAGUAUACCUAAUGAUCUUAGGCUGAUCUAACCUCCAAUAUGUCAGCAUAUAGUCUUUCAUUCUCUAUAAGUAUCGUAAGACUCAUUUGGCUACUUUCUAAUGGUCUACUUUUGGAUUACUUAAAUAUAUAUCCAACAUCCUAGCAAUAUAUGCAAUAUUCCAUAUCUCUUGAGAACCUUUUCGACAUAGCUUACCAAGAAUAUUAGAAGAGCAAUCCUAGUGUAUUUAUUUGUCUAAAACAAAAGAGGCGUCAUCAAGAUCUUUCAUCUUAAAAUUUUUAGUUAGAAAUCUCUUGGUUUUGUGGAAUAAGCUUAUGUUAUUGCUGGCAAGCAAAAUGUCAUCAAUAUCUAAAAUUAGAAAAAUAUACUUCCUCUUGCAAAACUUAUAGUAUAUGUAAUCAUCUUAAAACCAAAUGAAAAUGAUCACUUGAGGAAACUUGAAUUAACAUUGUCGAGAUGCUUGCUUGAGCCUAGAAAUAGAUUUCUUAUGUUUGCAAACCAUACUCUUUGGGUCUCCUAACAUAAAGUUUUCUGACUACAUAAUAUAGAUCGUCUCAUCAAUGUUACCGUUGACAAAUACUAUCUUCACUUUUAUUUGAUGUAAUUUAAGUUUGAAAUGCGCCACCAAUAACAUUGUCACUACUAAAAAAAGGCCAAAUAAUGACAGAAAUCUUAUGACUUUUUUUGUUGUCAUGAAUGUAUCAUGAAAGCUAAUAGAUAUCAAUCAUGCUUGAUUUAUGUUGUAAUAAUGAGAUUUUAAAAUGUUGCCAUUUAAAUUAUCUAUAAUUUUUUAUUAAAUAUUUAAAUUAUUUUUUAAAUAAAAAUUUUUUAAAAGGACGUCGUUUAAACUGAGCAUCACCGGUUUGUAAAACCUGUCAACACCUAGCCAAAAUUUGCUAAGUGCUAUAUAAUGUGCGAUUUUAUGAGUUUGUUGAACACUUAAAAAAGUAGAAAUAUAUAAAAUUGGGAUUGGCGCAAAAGCUUGCUCGGAAAGUUUGUAUAAUAAUAUAAAUCAGAAAAUGUUUUUGUAAGUGCAAUUAGGUUUUUUUAUUUCAUUAAUAUUAAAAUUCAUAUUCUUUAGCAUUAAUUAUUCCAUUAUUGAAUUAUGCGAAACAAGAAAAUAAUUAUUUCAAAUCUCCCCAAUUUAUAUCAAUCCCGCUGAGUUUAUUUGAAUUCACAUCAAAUUCAAAAUAUUUAUUAUUUUAAAUAAUUUAGUAUUUAUUUUGAUAUGAUUUUUAAUUAAAUAUUUAAUUAUAUAUGUAGAUAUCAGUCAUGUAUAGACAAUAUUAUGACAGACAUUUGUCAUAUGUGCAUGACAAUUUCAUGAUGGAUAAUAAAUCCCAAAACACAUGAUUUAUAUAAAACUAUCAUGUAAAAUUUCUUGACACAUGCUUCGAUGACAGUUGGGCAAUUGUCAUCUAAUAGGGUGUAUGAUGGUGAAAAACCGUCAAUAUUUAUUUUUUAUUUAGUAGUUAUGAUCCUAAAAGAUUUUUUUUCAAAGAAAUUAGAGAGAAAAUUUCUUUAUAGUUGAUGCAUUCUUUCUACAUAAAAUCUUUUUAUGACAAGACGCGUAUUGUAAACUUAAGAAAUCCAUAAAGUAAAUAAUUAUGUGUUGUGGACUAUCUUAUAAGGUUAAGUCCAAUUAAAAGUGAUUUAUUAAGUUUUUCAAUAAUUUAUCCUUUAAUGUAUCUGAUAGGAUGCAGACUUUUAAUUUAUAGAGAUUUAAGAGUGAUUUCUAUUUUUAUGAUGAGUUCAAAUAGGAAUACUUAAAGAUAAUAAUAAAAUUAUUUAUAUAAGUGAUUAUGAUCUUUAGGUUACAUAUAAUAUUUUAUUAUUUUCUAAUAUUUUUAUGGUCAUAAUGCAAAGAAAAGCUUAAAAGAUUCUCAAUUUACAUGUUUGAUUUUUAUAUAAUUUGUACGAAAUUAAGGAUCUACGUUCUUCUCAAUUCUCAAGUCACGGUGCCAGUAUUAGAAAUAUUAGAAGAUAACUAGAUAAGCAUAUAGAUUAGUAGAUUACACGUAUUCAAAUGGUUGAAUAUCGCAAGUCUAUUAAUUUAAAAAUAACACAUUGCAUGCAUCAAUCUUAAUCUUAAUCUUAAUCAAACUCCAGCUGUUUUAAAUUAAAAUCACCGCAGCCUUCUUGCUCAGCACCCGUAAUCUCCAGACAAAAAUAAAAAAUUAAAAGGAAAAAUUGUUGUGCCAGAACCUGUGCAUACGUGUAUGUUGGCAGUGGCGCAAUACAAAUAAAUUGAUUAAACAAAAGCAAAACAACCGUGUAAACCACUAGGCAGCCUAGUGGUGUCCACUGCUGUCUUCUACAUGAAGUUGGAAGUUUGAGUCUUUUAUGUGUAUUUUAAAGAGUAAUCUUUUCAAAAAAAAAAAGAGUAAUCUUUCUCUCUCUGUCCCCUUUUUUUUUUUUUUUCAAUAACUGGGCUUUGCCUUCAGCUAUGCUACUUUAUAUAAGUCUAUUUGCAGAUGUACAUGUACAUUUCAUAUAAAUAAAUGAAAAAAAUAUAACAACUUUGCUACAUGAUAUAAUUUUAUUAUAGUGAUACUUUAUAUAAAAUAACUUUUGGUUAUAAAAAUUUUAGUUUUAAUUUGAAUUAAUUAUUGAUGAGAACAAAUCCUAUAUUGUAAUAAAUUAUAAAUUUAUAGAUUUAUUUUAAGAAAUUUACUUACUUCCACAUAAUAACUAUGUGUAUAGUACAAAAAAAAAGUAUGCUAUGUUUCAGUUAAGAUAAAUUAAAAUAUUUUUCUAAAGUUGUUUGAGAAAAUGAUUUAUUUUAUAGACUUUUAAAAUGAUUUUGUAUAUUCUAGCAAAUAUAAGUGUUGCUUUUCUUAAUAUUAUGUUAAUCUAUUUUAUAAUUAAUUAUCAAUGUAGCAUAUAUAUAAACACACACACUUUACCACUAUAUCAUUUGAACAAAUAAUAACCAAGUCAAAACAAUGACUUCUAUAAUUAUUCUUAUAUUUAGUUAUAAUUUUUUCCAUAAUAAUAAAAUUAAUUUAAUCUCAAUAUUUUGACAUUAAAAAGAUUUUAUUGUAUUUAAUUUUUUCUGGCUAUAAAUUAGAAUGGACGCAAAACGCAAGGGGCAAGUUGUUGUGGUAUCUAGCUUCCAUCCGAUCACACUAAAUCAUCCAAUCAUUUAUACUUUGAAGUUUGAACGUCAUUUGGGUAUAAGGCCCCCGGUUUUCUCGUGAUUCAUCACAUCUCUGUCUAGUCUCUAGAAAGAGGUAGUCCAUAUUUGUGGUUGGACUCUUUUAUUAGAUUGCUUUUUUUUUCAAAAAAAUUUUUGGAAAGACCUUAAAAAUCAGUUGAGUUGAGCUGAGGGUUCUUGGUGAGCAGAGCAAAGCAGAGGAGAUCGAUUAUGGGAGAUUCAGAUAAAGAAGGAGAGUAUGAGGUGGAUGAUUUGAGAGAAGGAUUCAAAUCAUCGAGAGGGAGCAGAUUCAAUUUGAUUGCAAAUCAGUUUGGAUUUGGAUUUGGAUUUCGAAGAAACUUCAGCAGUCAAUCUUUAAUCACUGGUAUCAGACAUUUCUCUAAAGGCUCAGUCAUUCAUCCUGAUAACAGGUCUGUCUGGUUUCUCUCUCUCUCUGUGGAAUUCAAACUCUUUUUUCUAGAAUAAAUAAUUUGGUCUCCGUGAUUAUUGGGAAAAUUUGGGAUUAACAAGAGGAAUGAUAAUUUAUGAUCACGGAAUACUGUUUGAUUAAUAUACAACUCUAAAAUUAUUUACAAUAAGAUAAAGAUUAGUGUGGUGUAACCUCCCCAAUCGCUAGAAGAGGAGACUUUGGAAUGGUAGCCACCAGUGUUUUUGUAUACCAUCCUCCUGGCAUCAAGUUUUUCAUCUGCCCAAAAUAGACAUUUUCAAGUUUGAGGUGAAAGAGUAAUACUUCCCGACACAAUUCUACAGGUGUUUGCUUUUUAUUGACUAACGCCACUGCCGUCAUAAAACUGCGUUACUACUGACUAAUGUCAGUAUCUUUAAUGUUGUGUUUACUUGCUGGAGUGGGAGUGAGGAGUGUGGAUUCCUUCUACUCCAGCGUUUACUUGCUUAAAAUGGCCACGGAUUGGGAAUCCCAUUCCGUGGGCCCCAUUCAUUUUUGGAGUGGGGAGUGGGAGUGGGACUCCCAUUGGGGGAGGUGGGAGUGGGAAUCCACUCCCACCUCUCUCCUUUUUACCCUUUCAUUUUUAAUUUAAUUUAAUAUUUUAUAAUUAAUAAAAUAAAAUAAAUAAUAUUUAUUUGAAUAAUAAUAUUAUAUUUAACUAAAUAAUAAUUUACAUUGAUUCUAAGUUAAAAUUAUUUGAAAAUAAUAUUAUUAUAUUAAUAGAGAAUUAAUAAAUAUAAUAUUAUUAUAUUUAUUUUAAAAAUAGUAGUACUAUAUUUAUUUAAUAAUAAUAAUAAUAAUAAUAAUAAUAAAUAGUUUAUUCUAAGAAAAUAUUAAUUUUGUACUAAAUAAUAUUAUAUUAUUAUUUUAUAUAAUAAUAAAUUUAAUAUAAUUAUAUUAAAUAAAAUAAAAUAAGGUUUCAUUUUAUAUUAAAAUUAAAAUUAAUAAUUUAUUGUUCAUAAUUAAGAAUAUUAAUAAUUAUAAUAAAUUUACAAAUAUAAUAAAAUAAAUAUUAUUCAUUAAAUAUAUUUUUUAUUAGUUUUGUAAUUAAAAACUAUAAUUAUUUAAAUAAGGAUAAAAUUGUAAUUUGAAACUAUUUACUCCCAAUCCAAGACAAACUAAACACAUAAAUUGGAUUCUGAUCUCUAUUCCAUGCUUCCAUUCCAGUGUAAGUAAACAACCUACUCCCACUCCCACUCCACACUCCCAAUCCUAGGAUUCCCACUCCUCAGAAUUCCCAAUCCAAUCCAAAAAGUAAACGCUACCUAAAUUGACUGUAAUGUCAGCGAGUGUCCCUACUUUCUAAUGCUUUUCUAAGUUUUUUUUUUUUUUUGAUAGGGAAUGCUUUUCCAAGUUGUAUCCAAAAUAAAAUCCUCAAUCGACAGUUAUAAAUAAUUAAAAAAUUGAUUUUCUUAAGAACUUAUAUUUAUUUGUUCUAUUGAAUUCCAAAUUGUGCAAUGAAAUAUUGAUGAUGAGUUUUGCAUGUGCUUAGUGAGAUACAAUUGAGUGCAUGUCAGUAAAGUUUAACAAAUCAACUUUUCGUUUUGGCACUUGCAUAGAGAAUUCAAAUGUAUUGGUGCAAUUAAUUGUAAAAUACCAAAUAUCUGAUUCGGUUGUUUGGUAACCUACUAUGAUAUGAGGAUAAUGUUGCUAUUUUCACGAGCUGAAAAGCUGAGUUCUUUGUUGAAAGAUUUUUCAAAGAAAAUUUGUGAUACUUUAUAAUUCAUGAAUUGUGAUUCCAAAAAAAGAAUAUUAAUAAUCGUUUUUCUAAAAAAAAUUGGGGGCAAUUAUAUGGGGAAAAAAACUGUCUAUCAAAAGAAAAGGUAAAGAAUAAUUGAAAAAUUGUGUCCAAUUUUUUAACAAUUGUUAUUUGUACGUCAAUCUUACGCAAUUCAACAAUUACCCUUUGGGUCUUGGGAUUAAGUGAUAUUUAAUUUUCAUUUUUCAAAAUAUUUUUAUAAUUAACUUUUUGUUUUUGGGGCAAAUCAGACAAAAGUUUUAUGGUAAAAUCACAACUCUUUUUGACUGGGAAAAAGAAUCCUUUCCUUACCCCAGGAGAUAGGAGUAAAUUUAUUUAUUUAUUUUUAAAAUUUUUUUAAAGUGUAUUUGACUCUUCCAACUAGAGUUAGCAAAAUGAGUCAAUGAGUCGUGUUCGUGUCGUGUUAAUUUCGUGUCGUAUUAAAUUUAAAUCGUCCCAAACACGUCUCAUUUAAUAAUCGUGUCAAAAUUAUUGAGAUCUUAACCCGACCCAAAAAAUAAACAGGUUACCCAACUAACUUGCUUUAUAUCUAUAUACUUAACAAAAUUUCAUCAAACAUUUAGAGAUUGCUAUAUAUAUAAUUUGUCGAUAUUAUAAAAUAUACAUAUCUACUAAAAUAUUAUACAUUUAUACUAUUAAAAUUUUAGUUAUAUUUAUGUAAAUAAUAUUAUAUAUCAAUAUUAUAAAAUAUAUAUGUAUACCAAUAUUUUACACAUUUACACUAUUGAAAUUCUAAAUCUAUAUAAAAUCUUAUAAAUAAAAGACUGUGAAGUUGUUUAUCCUUCCGAAACAAAAUAAAAAGAGAGAAUCAUAUCUAAUAUUUGAGUUUUUAUGAUAAGAACCUACAUACUAAUUUAGAGUAGAAAAUAUAAUCGUGUCAUUGGUCGGGUAUAUGGGUCAAGAAUUUUAACCCUAACCUGACACGAAAAAAAUUGUAUCGACUCGGAUCUAACUCAUUUAAUAAGCGUGUCAAAUUUGACGACCCGUACUUAUUUAUUCGUGUCCUAUAUGUGUUGGGUAAUCAGAUCAUGUCAAAUUUUGCCAGUUUUACUUUCAAGUAUGCCUAGAUUUAAUUUGUUAGUGGAUAGAUAUCUAUAAUAAGAGAAAAAUUUGAUGGAAUGGUCGUACUGUGUUAGUGGGCACAAGUUGGCAGAUCCAUCGAUGAUUCUACAUAAGGAUAGAAUACUUUGCUACAUUGCAGAGUUUUAAUUGUUGUACUAAGGUAGUGACACAAUUUUACACAAAUUUUUCUCCCACAAUAGAUAAAAUGUAAGCUACUAAAUAGAAAAAAAUCAUACAAUAAUAUAUUUUUUUAAUAUUAUAUACAAUAGAACCAAAAUCUAACAUAGUUUAACUAUUCAAUUAAAGCUCAACAGACAACUGAAGCCCACUAAGCUUAGGAUAAAAAAAUCAAAGGAAAUACUCCUACAACUAUAGGAAGAUUGAAGCCCUCUUUACCUAAGAAUCAAGGAAAGAGGAAUGUCAACCAAUAAUAUAUUUUUAAAGAUAAAAAAUUGACAAAAUUUAAAUUAAUUUUUUAAUCCCACGUCCUCUAACAUACAUUUUAUUUUUCAGUACCAUAUAGUAUAAUAUUAAUGUAACACGUUCAAAUAUAACUUAAAUAAUAAUAAGUAUUCUAUAUUAUUAGUCUGAGUAAUGGUUCAAAAUUUGGGUCAUUUUAGGUAAAGGAUCUAAAUUAAAAUAUAUUCAAAAUAUAAAAGCAAAAGAAUAGAGUUAAAGAUUAAAAUGAUGACUGCAGGUGGUAUCGGACAUGGACAAAAUUCAUACUGAUAUGGGCAUUAUAUUCAUCAUUCUUCACACCAAUGGAGUUUGCAUUCUUCAGGGGACUACCAGAGAACCUCUUUAUAUUGGACAUUGCAGGACAGAUUGCUUUCCUUAUUGACAUCAUCUUGCAAUUUUUUCUUGCUUAUAGAGACAGCCAGACCUACCGUAUGGUCUACAAGCGCACCCCUAUUGCUCUUAGGUAAUUCAAAUUCAAUUUAAUUUAUUUGCUUCCUCUCUCAUUCUCUUACUUCUAACUAAGUAAUUAAUUUUAAUUUCUCUUUGCAUUGCAGGUACCUGAAAUCCAGUUUUAUCAUUGAUUUACUCAGUUGUUUGCCUUGGGAUGUUAUCUACAAGGUAUUAUUAUUUCUUGAUUGUACUACCUUCAUAUUGUAUAAAUAUUUGGCUAUAACUCAUCCUUAAAAAUUGAGCUUAUAACAUGGAGAGUGUACUGCCUUAUAAACCAACCUGUGAGAAGAAGCAGCCCAAACGCUUAUAAGUACAUAUGCCAAGAUUCAACCUUGCAAUGUGGGAACUCAAGUAGAGUCUGUCACAGUCCAUCCCUCUUUCAAGAACUGACAAUCAGUUGACACACCAAGGUCAUGAGACUAGGACCAACCGCUGCGAGGGCUGUCUCUAAGAAAAGAACUUGUUCUGGUACUAAUUGUUAUGGACACAUUAGGUAAAACUCAUCUUUAAAACUGAGCUUGUAAAGAGAGGGAGCCCAAGUACUUAUAAGCUCACAUGCCAAACCUUAACUUACCAAUGUGUGGACUCGAUCAGAGUUGUUACAAACAUAGUCAUCUUUUGGAGUUGUAAAUGUGCAGAUGUUGCUAUUUUGACCAAGUGGUUUUCAAGCACCUUUCAAAUUCUCGGGAGACAGUGAGCUAAACAUCUGAGACUUUUUUGUUUUUUCCUUUCCAGGCUUGUGGAAGAAAAGAAGAAGUCAGGUACCUUUUAUGGAUUAGGUUAUAUCGAGUACGAAAGGUGAUUGAAUUUUUCCAAAAGCUGGAGAAGGAUAUACGAAUCAAUUAUCUGUUUACCAGGAUUAUUAAGCUUAUUGCUGUUGAAAUCUACUGCACACAUACUGCUGCCUGCAUAUUUUACUAUUUGGCUACCACUCUGCCUCAUGAAAAAGAGGGGUACACAUGGAUUGGAAGUCUGAAGUUGGGUGAUUACAGCUAUUCAAAUUUCAGAGACAUCGACAUCUGGACACGAUACACAACAUCUAUGUAUUUUGCCAUUGUAACCAUGGCCACUGUUGGUAAGUUACCUUUCUAAUUCAUAUUAUUAUCCUUCGUCGUUUGUGUCUUGUAUAGUUCAAAUCUAGAAAACUUUACAGAGGGAUUGAAGUGCUCUGGAAUUGUAAUGUUUAAUAACUCAAUGGGGAAAGUAAUGGACACUCAAAGUACCACUUUAAUGGAAACAAAAGCUCUAGAUUAUCUGAAAUGCAAACUUAUUCUUUUUAAAUUACAACGAAAUGGUUGACAAUCAACCAUAUCUUGAAACAUUAAUGGGAGCCAUUGAUGUCAAUACAAAUGCAAGAUUUCAAUAGUACAAUUAAUCAUAUGUAUGUGAAAAGGCUGGAACAAGAUUCUAUCAUCUGAAAAAUUUGUGCUUGUGUAUACAUACAAAGGCUUGAAAAUGAGAUGUGGUAAUCUAUUUCAAUCUAUGGAAGGCUUAUUUAUUCAAACAUGAUGUUAGUUGUGACAGGCUGACAGCAUAGCAAAUAGUUGAUCUCCACUUGUAAUGAAAGCAAUUGCCCUGUUAUCUAACAUAUACAUUUUGAACUGGAUGUUUUGCGCAACAGGUUAUGGAGAUAUACAUGCCGUUAAUCUAAGGGAGAUGAUAUUCAUAAUGAUUUAUGUCUCCUUUGACAUGGUUCUUGGAGCUUACUUGAUUGGUAACAUGACUGCAUUGAUUGUGAAAGGUUCAAAGACCGAAAAAUUUAGGGACAAAAUGACAGAUCUCAUUAAAUAUAUGAACCGAAAUAGACUUGGGAGGGACAUUCGUGAUCAGAUCAAAGGCCAUGUGCGGUUACAGUAUGAGAGUAGCUACACUGAGGCUUCUGUUCUCCAUGAUAUCCCUGUCUCCAUUCGUGCUAAGGUAAUACCUCAAUAGGAACAAUCAUUUUAUGUUUUUCUUCAUUCCCUCUUUCAUAAUUGGGUACUUUUAAGAAGAAAAACGAUUAAAGCAAAGAACCUUAUACGGGAGAAAUUCUUUUUUCAAAAUAUACUCAUUUGAUGUGCAGCAACACAUAUGCACCUCAAUAAGUCUAGAUCCUUUUGUCUCAUCAUUUGCCUUCCUUCUCACCUACUUGAAGUCCAUAAUUAUAGAAGAAAGCCUAUGUAUCAUAUAUGUGGUGUGGAGAUAAUGUGAAAAUAUGCUCCUAAAUAAGUCUAGAUCCUUUAUUCUCAUCAUUUGCUUUCCUUCUUGCCUACUUGAAGUUCAUAAUUAUAGGAGAAAGUCUAUGAACUUACUUGAAGUCCAUAAUUAUAGAAGAAAGUCUAUGAUCAUAUAUGUGGCAUGGACAUUGAAAAAAUUAGCCAAAACCGCUUCUUUGAAUGUCAUAUAUAUUUUGAAAGCCAAUCUUAUCUAAUGAUUGGACUUACAUAUAGUAGUUUCCUCCAGCAGACUUUUUGAGACGGGUAGAAAUCUAAUAUCUAUGCGUAUGAAAUUUUUAAACUUUUGCUAGCCUAGAUAAUAAGAAAGUAUAUCUGACCAUAAUCUGGAAAGAUUCUUCCCUAUUGGCCAGGGUUUUCAGGACAGGAAUAAUCAAAUUUAACUUUACUCUAACCUGAUUCCCAAGAAGGGGAAUUCCAGGAGGAAGGUUAAUGAAAAGAAAGGCUUCCUUCUGUCUCUGAGUUACAGAAAAUGGUCUCUAAAUCAAAGGGGAAUUAUAUUUUUCAUUUUCUUUUCAUUUUUCUCAAAGAUAGUACCUAUCUCCACAGGAUCACAAGCCAAAAACGUUUGUAGCCUUAUCUUCUUAGGGAAUGCAUUUGAAUUGACUUCCAUCAUAGAAGGAAUCUGAAAAUGGGGCGCAUAAGUCAAUGUUUACUUGGUGAACAACCUUUGUCAUAUGUGUCAGUAAUGGCAUUUUGGAAUUUUGUUGCAUUUCUGGGGAAUCAGUAUAGAACAUUUACCUUUUUUAAUCAUUUUAAUCAUGGUAUCAUUCACCAGUUUUUGUAAAUUUGUUUAAAACAUACGUUAUGUUAUACAAUAUCUAUUCAUGAAUGUUGUCUGUUAUAUAUUACUUAUCAAACUUAAUUUGUACUGUAUUUAACAGUAUAGAGAUUAUCACAUUGACAUAGUUUCCCUUUUUCUUAUCGUUCUUUUUUUUCUUUUACAGAUUUCCCAAACUUUGUACAUGCCGUAUAUUGAGAAAGUUUCUCUUUUUAAGGGAUGCUCUUCAGAGUUUAUUAAUCAGAUUGUAAGUUUUAGCCAUCCAUUUACCUAGUGCAUCAUGUAAGAAAAUGCCAUAAAUUGAAUGUUGAAAUAAGUGAAACUAACAUUGAUGCUACUUAAUUACCUAUGACUUGGCACUUCUUUAUUGUAAUGAGCAGAACAUGGCAAUGGGUGCACCUUGAAACAUGUGUUAUGUACUACAUGUAAUGAUUUCACAACUCUUAGCAUACAUCUUGAAUUUUGUAUGGCAAGGAUGGAUGUUUGGUUGUAAAAUGAGUCGUUGAAAAGGCUGUUUUGAACAGUAUGACUUGUGAAUUUACUUUUAGUGCAUUGGUGUAAUGCAGUCACAGAGCUGGUAUGCAAUGGCUAGGCACUCUUAUAGAACUCUUCUUAUCUUCUAUAAAUAUCCUCACUUAACUACUACCCAGAAAUGAAAACAAUCCAUAUAAAUUAAAACAAUCCAUAUAAAUUAUCUUUUGUAUUUUUCUUGGUUUUGUAGGUUACUAGACUCCAUGAGGAAUUUUUUCUCCCAGGAGAAGUGAUAAUGGAACAGGGAAACGUGGUAGAUCAACUUUACUUUGUCUGUCAUGGUGUGCUGGUAUGAUCUAAUAUCCUUUUGUCACCAAUGUCAGUCAUUCAGUUUGUUGUCCUCAUUUGCUUUCUUUUCUCUAUCUUCUCAAUGAUUUUUCAAGCUCAUUAUUAUUUUGCAUAUAUUUCUCAGGAAUGAAAGACAUUUUUCAGCAUGUUGCAGUGAUUGUUCUUACCACCCAUUUAUAUAUGUUAUUUUGUCCUUUUUUCUCCUUGCUUGGCUUGAAAUGCAUUUAAGUUUUUAAAAAAGAAUAGAAACACAGCUUCACACAUUUAUAAAUGCUAAAUUGGCUUUUCACAUUGGGCUGCAUCAACACGUUGAUAGUGGCUAUAUUUCAUGCUGACCAGUUUACAAACUUGUGUAAGUACAAUCUAUGUUAAUAUACCAAAUUUUUUAAAUUGGCUCUUCAACGUAUAAGGCACUUUUGAUGAUUCAACAGUCCCCCAAAAAUAAAACAGAAAGAAAACCGUUACUGGUUAUUUGAGGGAAAACAAUUGGUCUUAUAACAUGUUAUUUUCCUUGCUGAAAAUAAUGACACCGCAGAGAUCAAGUGAACAAUCUCUACUUCAAACAAAAAACAAAAACAAUGACAAAGGGGAAAUUUCUAGCAUUGAGUAUAUUUCAUAUCUCUUAUGUGCAGGUCUAUUAUCAUUAUAUUUCUUCAGGUGUCAAAUUACAAUAAAAUUAAAAAAGAAAAAUUGAAAGACAAUAUCUCUGCUGCAUAUUUGCACAAUGGUUUCAAAGUGCCAAAUAUGUGGUAUGGCCACUUUUACAAAAUUUAUAACCAGGAGAUUCUUUUUUAACUCCUAAUAUAUGUUGGUUAUCUUACUUGAUAUUCUAAGCCACUCUUACAAACUACAAAUCCAUAGAAUUAUUUAAAAUUAGCAAAAUUUACCUUUGUGCAGGAGGAGGUUGGUGUGGGGGAAGAUGGAUCAGAAGAAACUGUUUCACAACUACAACCUAACAACUCAUUUGGAGAAGUAUCUAUUCUUUGCAACAUUCCUCAGCCUUAUACAGUUCGUGUUUGUGAACUAUCUAGGCUUCUGCGGAUUGAUAAACAGUCUUUUACAAAUAUUCUUGAGAUAUAUUUCUCUGAUGGUAGGAAAGUUUUGACCAACCUCUUAGAGGUAAUAUGACUAUGCUAAUGAAUUAAUUGCUGCUGUUGAAGUUCUACUUUUCUGUUUGUGGCUAUAAUAGGUAGAAAAGCAUGACUAGAUUUCAUUGGAUUCUUUCGUUUAAACAAUAAAUAAUUAAGUAGUCAAUUUUUGCAAUGAAAAUUGUUAUACACUCAUCAGAGGACUACAAUUACAUAAUUUACAGGGCAAAGAAUCCAAUCUUCGAAUUAAGCAGCUGGAGUCAGACAUCACAUUUCACAUUGGUAAGCAUGAAGCAGAGCUUGCAUUGAGGGUUAAUAGUGCAGCUUACCAUGGAGAUUUGUAUCAGCUGAAAGGUUUAAUCCGUGCUGGAGCUGAUCCGAACAAGACAGAUUAUGAUGGAAGAUCACCCUUGGUAUUGGUUUAUUUUUUUGAUUGUCAAUUAUUUAGUUCUGAACUUAUCUUUACUAACCCUUUUGAUGGGACAUCUAGAAAAUGGUAGGUGCAGGUCAUCCUAGCCUGUUUGGUUUGAACUGCAAUUGCUAACAUUGCUUCUUAUUUGAAUAUUUAAUUCUAUUCUGGAAGUUCUUAGUAGUGAUAUAACCUGCACCAUCAAGAAGUUGUGACAGGAUAGGUUCUUGCCUUUGCCUAUGAAAUUAGUACUGUUGAAGAUUAAAUUAAUGCCAUUGAACAAUGGGUUUUUUACUGCAUUUAAAUGAUUAGAUAAAUACUAAAACUCUACAAUUUCUACUUCUGGAAUAUGCAGGAUGAAGACAAAUUAAAUAUAAGCAUGAAGAACAACCUCCACUUCUUUUUAUGUUACCUAUGUAUAUGUUUAAAUUGAAGAAAAAAGUUUACUUUCAGUUGUACUUUACCAGUUCUUUGUAGGCCCAAGCCUUAUUGCUAUUCUCGUUGUGGAUGAGAGUUCCAAGGAACAUGCAUUCCAAUUUAAUUGAUAUGAGCAUAAUGGGUUUUUUGAAUUUCUAUGCUGAUGCAAGUUUUCAUGGAACCAAUAUUGCUGGGAGAUUUUCAACUAAAUAUUGCCAUCUGAAAUGAUCUUUUGCUUUCAACAGCAUCUGGCAGCAUCAAGAGGGUAUGAAGAUAUUACACUUUUCCUUAUUCAAAAAGGAGUAGACGUUAACAUUAAAGGUAAUUGUAUAAUGCAAUAAUUUCCAUAUUAGUUUGUCUAUGAAAGUUUAGUCUGUCAGUCAAGCCAUGGUAACAUGUGUGUUUAAUUUGUUUUACACAGAUAAAUUUGGGGAACACACCCAUGCUAGAAGCCAUUAAAGGUGGUCAUGACGGAGUUGCUUCUUUACUUGUUAAAGAAAGGGGCCUCCUUGAAUGUAGAUGAUGCUGGUAGUUUUCUAUGUACUGUUGUUGCCAGGGGGGAUUCAGAUUUCCUUAAAAGAGUUUUGUCCAAUGGCGUUGAUCCAAAUUCCAGAGAUUAUGACCACCGGACCCCACUUCACAUAGCUGCUUCAGAGGGAUUAUAUUUGAUGGCAAAGUUGCUGUUAGAGGCUGGUGCUAGUGUCUUUACAAAGGACAGGUAUCGUUGAAAAAUUUAUUUUGCCUUAUAGAUAUGGAUAAAGUCAUGUUAUAUAUUACUCUUAAGGCUAUGUGCAUUUAAUUCAAUCUUUUUGAUGCCUUACUACAAUGCACUGAUAUGUUUGGUUUCACUCUCUGUGAACCACCUUUGAUGAUUGAGAAAGAAACCAAAAAAUAAAUAAAUAAAUAAAAUAAAAGAGGAAAAAUGUAUUCAUCGAAAGUCAUAAAAGAUAGCUUUUUGAAUACUUACUGUGCAGAUGGGGAAACACCCCUCUUGAUGAGGGCAGAAUGUGUGGAAACAAAAAUUUGAUCAAGCUACUUGAAGACGCAAAAUGCACUCAGCUGUCAGAAUUCCAUUAUGGCUCUCAAGGCAUGAUAGGUAUUGCAGAAAAAUCUGUUAGUACUUCCAUUAUGCGAACUCUGAUCUGUUUGAUAUGUCUUAUCUUAAAAGCUACCCAAACUAGCUGCUGAACAACAUAGUUUUUCUGGAGAAAGUUAAAUUAUGAAUAAAAAUGAUGAAAAAAAGAAAAUCUGAAUUAUAGGUAUAUUUAUAGUAUAGUUCAAUGUACGAUUCUGUGUUACUAGUUAGAUAUGGACACUUAAAUUAGAGGAUCUUGUUAGUUGGCAAACUUGUUAGAUAUGGACACUUAAAUUAGAGGAUCUUGUUAGUUGGCAAAAAGUUGUCACCAUUGGCAUAGCCGCAUAGGUUGGUCUUAUGCUGAGACAAUUCCAAAUACUGUAUCUUUUAGGAAAAGGACAAUGAUAGUAUUUAUACACUGAUAUAUCUACAUGCAGAUGCUCAAAUGUAAUUAACAGACUUGUUAGAUGAUCCAAUAACUUGGGGAUCCAAAUGCAAACAACUUGCUCUGUUUUCUAUUUUUAACUAAUAGAAUGGGGAUCCUAACAGAAUCAAUUGUUUAAUCGAAAUCUGAUGCAUGUUGAAAUACAAAACACAAGUAAUAAAAUAUGUUUGUUAGUAAUGGAAUCUUUUGUUGAUAAUUACAGAUAAAAAGCACCCAAGGAAAUGCAUUGUGUUCCCUUUCCACCCUUGGGAGAAAGUGCAUAGAAGAUAUGGAAUUGUGUUGUGGGUCCCACAUAACAUCGAAGAGCUUAUCAAAUUUGCAGUAGAUCAGUUAGGUGUUCCAGGUGGUCAUUUGAUGUUAUCGGAAGAUGGAGGUAAAAUUCUUGAUGUAGACAUGAUUAAUGAUGGUCAAAAACUGUACUUAAUCAGUGAAACACAAUAGGUUAUUGGCAAUUGGGUGGCUUUGAAAUGAAAAAUUGCAGCUUAAUUCCUGUCUUGUAUUUGCUCACAUAUCAGUACAUCUGCUGCAUUUCUGCAUUCUUUACUAUAUAUGCAUAUAUAAUAUGUAUGUCUUAUGCAUAUACAUGUUAGCCAUGGGCUUUGAUUAAGCAUGUAUUUUGGUUUGGAUUUGUAAAAUAACGUUUUGAGAGUUGAGGAUUGACUUGUUAGGGAUGUAAUUGGUUAGUGACAUGGAGGAUGGAAGCAGGGUCUGCAAAAUGAAAGGAAAGCUAUGAUUGUGAGGAUUGUUACGAGAUAACGAAAGAACAAAAAGCACUUUUCUUGAAUUCAUAAAUUUUAUUAAAGCAAAGAAAUAAAUAUUAAGUCAUAUGGUAACUUUUUUUUUUAGCUUAUUCUAUUAAAGAAAUAAGUUGGAAUCAACUGAAUAAGAAGACACAUGACUUUCUUAUUUUGAAUUACAUUACCAUCUAGUAAUAUUUAUUAUUACAAUAAAACAAAGAUGUGCCUGACCAUAACUUUGUUCUUAAUAAUCAUGAGGCGCGUAUGUGUUGAAGUUGCUUGAAUUGUUUCUGUGCUGCUACGUUGGCGUUGCUAGAAGUUUCGGCAUCAUCUUCCCCUAAACAAGGGAGAAGGUGAAUAAGAGUAGUUAUUACAUAACCAAAAAGUGGAAGAGAUGAACAAAUAUUCAAGGCUUCCCUGAGAUUCAUAUCUGAACUUAUGGGUUAUGAUGCUCUCAGCAAUAAUAAUAAUAAUAAUAAUAAGCUUUAAUUAAUUGAAGAUAGCACAAGUUGUAUAAUUUUUUACGGGUCCUUCAUUAUGUCGAUAUCAAGUCAGAAGAAUUUUUUAUCUUUUUUUUUUUGGAAAAUUAUGCCCGAAUCAAUUUCUAGAACAGUAAAAAAUGCAACAGAUAAGAUUUGAAGAUGUAGUGAAGAGAAAACGGCGUUUACACUUUGUUAGAAGAAAGAUUAGGUAAUUUAAAAUUUUCCGUAGAUUACACAUCUUCUUUACCACCUGAAAUAAAAAGAAAAAUAAAUAUUAAACAUUACGCUUUUACAAAUUUACCAGUAUUUAAUUUUAGAAGACAUAAUUUGCAAUAUUAUAAUAUUAAUAAACAAAAUAGAUUAUUAGACAAAUGCGAGAAUUUAGCAUUAAAAAUGAGGAAUAAAUUAGAAGAUCUAGAAAAUUAGUUUAUGAAUUUAGAAAUUAAUCAUCAUAAAAAAGCAAAAAUUAAAUUUGACAGAAAGAAUAAAAAUUAGUUGUAAUAUCAAACACUUAGAAAACCAAUAUAAACAUAUUCCACACACUAGCAAUAGGACAACAUCUAGAAGUCAACAUAGAAAGGAUAAAAGAGUUAAUAAGGCAAAUUCUUCGAAACAAGUAAUAUAAAUACAUUAAGAAGAAAUUUAGACUACAUUAAAGAUUUACAAAAGGAUUUUAAUAGUCAAGUUAAAAGAUUCCCUAGCAAGAAAGAAAUAGUAAAUUUAAUUCAAUUAUUAGACAUAAAAACACCUAAUCCAGUAAAAUUAGAAAUUAAACAUAUCGUAGAAAGUUUAAAAUUAGAAAUAGAAAAUAUAAAAUUUACACAACAAGACUUACAAAUUCAAUUAGACGCUAUAAAAAUAAUAGUUACUGAAUGAGUUCAGAAAAAAUAUUAAUAGAAUCGUUAGCAUAAUUAAAAAGAGAAAUUCCACAUUUAAAUCCAGUAGGUUGUAGCUAUAGAGAAUUUAGCCAGGAGAGUAACAAUAUUCAACAAGCACAAGCUAACACAAUAGUCAAAUUAUUAGUCAAAAUCAANNNNNNNNNNNNNNNNNNNNNNNNNNNNNNNNNNNNNNNNNNNNNNNNNNNNNNNNNNNNNNNNNNNNNNNNNNNNNNNNNNNNNNNNNNNNNNNNNNNNNNNNNNNNNNNNNNNNNNNNNNNNNNNNNNNNNNNNNNNNNNNNNNNNNNNAAAAAAAAGAAUAUAUAAGUGGACCAGUCUUAACAUGUAGGAUAAUAGACAUUAAAGAUAUUUUAGGAACAAAAGUAAUAUUAAAAAGUAAUGGAUCUAGUAAGAAACAGUAGAGUAUACAUAAACAUGGCAGAGAGAAUUAGAAGGUCGCUUUCAUUUUCUAGUAAAGGUAAAUAAAUAAUAGAAAGGACAGAAGAUAUAACAGAUGAACAGGAUCUCGAUAAAUUAUUAGAAAAAGGUUUUGAACAAAUUAAAAGGAAAAAAUUAUAUAAUGGAUGAUUAAAGUUAAAAUUAAAUAAUAGUUUAUAUAUUUACACAUAUGAAACUAAAUUAUCAAUAGUAAAUAGACGAGAAGAGUUAACUUUAAUUAGUCCAAUAGGAAGAGAUUACCUUAGAAAACAAAAUUAUACAGACAUACACAUGGGAAUAAUAAUCAUAGGAAUACUUAGUCAAGCUAGAGAGGGACUAGACACAAAAGCACAUUUAUAUUUAUAUGAUAGUAGAUUUUACGACCACGAGCAAGCCCAAAUAGCCAGUGCAGAAGUAGAUUUAAAAAAUAAGGUAGCAGUAGUAAGAUGCAUACCCAAUAGAGAUAUAGACAUAAAUGAAUUUUGUAAACAUAUUAAAUUAAGUGUACAAACUAAAGGAUAUAAAAUGAAUGCAGAAUAUAAAAACCUUAGAAUUAAAACAUUUUUCUAGGAAAAUUAUAUAAUAAAUAUAAUAAGAAAUUUAGAUUUGAAAGUAAAAAUAUUGUAGAUUGUUUUAAAAGCCAGUACUUAGAAAUGAUAGUACCUAAAAAAUUAACUAGAAGUGAAUUAAACGGUUUAGAAUGGAUAUUACCUAAAUUAGAACAAGAUAGAAUGUUAGAAGUGCCAGAGACUAGUUAUACAUAUAUGAAUAGACAAAAUCAAGUUACACAAAGAUUUAGUAAUUAUAGACAAAGAAGUAAUCCAGAAUUAGAAGAAAAUGAAGAAGAGAUAGAAAUUAAUAUGGCAAUAGUAGACAAUUUAGACAUUGAUAAACAUAAAACAUUAAUCAGUAAUAGAGAUAAAAUUAUAGACUUAAUAUUUAGUGAACCUAAAAAAUAUUUAGAUGAAGAAUUAUUUGAAGAAUUAUGUAAUAAUGAUGAAUUAACAGAUGACAAUAUAGAUAGAGAAUUAAUAAAAAAUUUAAAUUUUAAAAAUUUAGAAAUAAUGAAAUUUAUUAUUGAGAACAUAUAGAUGAAAUAUUAGUAGGAGAAGAAGACGAAAAACCAGAAAUAGGAGAAAGUAGCCAUAAACUAAUACUAGAACCUGUAGUAGAACCAUCUAAUGUAGAAACUUACUUAGACAAACGAGGAAUCCUAGAAACUAAUGAAAAAUACACAGAAGCAGAAAGAAUAUUUAAAGCUAAAACAAAACUAAAAAAUUGGAAAACUAUGCCACAAGCUAGAGAUUUAUUAGUACUAGAAUUAGAAGACCAUAAACCUAGUCAAUGGAAACAAGUAUUUAACCAGUGGGAAUGUAAUUUACUUAGACAUUCUAUGGAACCAUUAGCAAUAAUAGUUGACCCAAAUUAUAAAUUAAUAUAUUUAGAAAGCACUUUAGGAAGUAUGGAAAGACAAAUAAAUUUAGGAUGGAGAGAAUGGAUGAAGAAAAAUAAAUUAGAAGAAUUAGAUAAUUUUGAUACAAAUAUUACAGUAAUUAGUUUUAUUGAUUUAAUGAAAAAAUUAGUAUUAGGAGUAGAUGAAAAAGACGAUGUAAUUAAACAGAUUAAAGCUACUAGAAAUUUACAACAAUUAAAAAUUUAUGAUUUAAGAUUAUUUGAUGAAUAUGCUAACUAUUUUUAUAAAUAUUGGAGUGAAAUAGGUAGACCAUUUGAUGCAGACUUAUUAUUAAAAUUCGUAGACAAAUUACCAUGCAAGAUACGAGAAAAAUUACACAAUGAAUUAAUUAAUUGGUUUAAAACCAAGCGAACACAAGGAAUAAACUAUUAUGCUACGUUAUUACCAGUAAUAGAAUACGUUAGAGGUAGAAUUAGAGAAUAUUGUGAAGAAGAAAAAUAUAGACAUCAGUUAAAAUUAUAAUUUAGAAAAAUGUGUAUUGACAUGACAGAAGUACCAACGUGAUACGAAUCCCACAAUGAAACUUUCAAUCCUACAAUUAAUUUGUAGUUUCAACUUCCCAAGAAAGUUCUAAACAGAUUUAUGGCAAACAAAAACCUUGACCCAAUGCUUAAGAAAACAUGAACCAAAGGUAUAGAGAAGGGUAUUGACGCCACACUCAAGAAAGAGAUGAGAAGGUGAGUGAUAAGUCUAAAUUUGGAACACCACAAGAAUGUAAAUUCUUGAUAAGUUCACUAGUUCUCAAAAGAACCAAAGAAAGAAUAAUCUUUCAAAUUCAAAAUAACAUUCAUCUCCUUACAUACCAAGGUUGCUGAAUUUAAAUAGGCUAAAAGGAACCCAAGAUCCUAAAAAUACAAAUGGAAACAUUGGAACAACCCUCCAAGUAAGUUUGUCAAAAGAUGUUUCAAAAGUCUUCACCAACCCACCAUGAUCAAUGCUAUCUUUGACAAACUUAAUGCUAGCCUACUAUAAUUAAUGCUAUCAUUGACAAACUUAAUGUUAGCCCACCAUCAUUGAUGGUAGACUUACCUUACACAUUGACAAGCUUGAAACAAAACAAACAAAUAAGUUGAAAAACAAAGGAUUCGUUGAAAAUCCCAAGUCUGAACAAGAUGUAAAGAAUUGGUCAUAACUCCUUCUAGAGAGCUCCAAAUCCAGCUCUGUAAAAUUUAUUGGAAAGCUAACUUAAUUAUCUUUCCAAAGGUAUAUAGCUUGAAUUUUAAUUCUGGCUCAAUCCAUACAGUUUUUAUUCCGAAUUUGACCUUUCUGCAUUUGAUACAACUUGUGUAUUUGGCUGCCCAAUGACUUGAAUAAUGCCCACAAUGCCUUGUCUUCUCUUCAAGCCCAAUUCAUGAUGUCUUGCAUCUUGAAUUGCAUUUUCAUUCCAUAUUUUCUCAAUUAAUCCAUUAAAAGAAGCUUGCAUCUUUUUGGCUCUUGCUCUUGUAAUUGGGCCUCCAUGAAUGUGCAAAGGAUCACUUGAAGUUUUAAUGGUCCCUUGAUGGUUCUCAUCAUUCCCCCUCUCUUCAAAAGGAUUCGUCCUCGAAUCUUCACCUACAUCGAAAGGAGAAAGAUCAGAAACAUUGAAAGUAGCACUCACAUUAUACUCACCAGGAAGAUCCAAUUUGUAGGCAUUGUCAUUGAUCCGUGCAACCACUUGAAAUGGACCAUCUCCCCUUGGAAGUAACUUGGAACGCCUUUGUGCUGGGAACCUCUCCUUUCUCAUAUGCACCUAAACCCAAUCUCCAGGCUGAAAAACCACUUGCUUACGUCCUUUGUUGGCUUGAGUAGCAUAUUGUUCAGUUCGCUUUUCUAUGUGUUGACGUGUUCUCUCAUGCAAUUGCUUGACAAGUUCAGCUUUCUUUUUACCAUCCAUACUAGCACGUUCAUCAAUAGGUAAAGGUAAUAAAUCCAAAGGAGUUAAUGGAUUAAAACCAUAUACAAUCUCAAAUGGUGAGAAUUUAGUAGCUGAAUGGACAGUUCUAUUGUAAGCAAAUUCAACAUGUGGCAAACAUUCUUCCCAAGUUUUCAAGUUCUUUUGAAUAAUGGCACGCAACAAAGUAGACAGAGUUCUAUUUACAACCUCAGUUUGUCCAUCAGUUUGUGGAUGACAAGUAGUAGAAAACAAAAGUUUAGUACCCAACUUACCCCACAAAGUUUUCCAAAAGUGGCUCAAGAACUUAGCAUCUCGAUCUGAAACUAUGCUCCUUGGUACUCCAUGCAACCUGACUAUUUCCUUGAAAAACAAAUUAGCUAUGCUUGUCGCAUCAUCAGUUUUAUGACAUGGAAUGAAAUGCGCCAUCUUUGAAAACCUAUCAACAACAACAAAAACAGAAUCAUUUCCCCUUUUUGACCUAGGUAAACCCAAAACAAAGUCCAUAGAAAUAUCAACCCAAGGUUCACUAGGUAUGGGCAGAGGGUUAUACAAUCCAUGGGGUAAAACUCUUGACUUAGCAUGUUUACAAGUGAUACACUUCUCACAUAUUCUUUCAACAUCACGUUUCAUAUGUGGCCAAAAGAAGUGUUCUUUUAAAACAUCUAAAGUCUUUGCAAUGCCAAAAUGUCCCAUUAAACCACCCCCAUGAGCUUCACGCACAAGCAAUUCACGCAAAGAACUAUGAGGCACACACAAUUUAUUUUCUCUAAAUAAAAGCCCAUCAUGCUUAUAGAAUUUACCAAAUGCAACUUUCUCACAAGCAUUAAACACAUUAGCAAAAUCAGGAUCGUUAGCAUAUAAUUCUUUAAUGUACUCAAAUCCUAACAACUUUGCAUUUAAUGUAGAGAUAAGUGCAUACCUUCUAGAUAAUGCAUCAGCCACCACAUUCUCCUUACCUUGUUUAUAUUUGAUCACAUAAGGAAAUGGCUCAAUAAAUUCAACCCAUUUGGCAUGUCUCUUAUGUAACUUACCUUGCCCUUUCAAAUGCUUCAAGGACUCAUGAUCAGUGUGUAUAACAAACUCUUUAGGUAGAAGAUAAUGUUGCCAAGUUUCCAAAGCUCUCACCAAUGCAUACAUCUCCUUGUCAUAGGUAGGAUAGUUUAGGGCUGCUCCACCCAAUUUCUCACUAAAAUAAGCAAUUGGACGCCCUUCUUGCAUCAAAACAGCUCCAAUACCUAUACCUGAAGCAUCACACUCAAUUUCAAAAGUUUUAGUAAAAUCAGGUAAAGCAAGUAAUGGUGCAGAAACUAAUUUCUCCUUAAUUAGAUUAAAUGCCUUUUCUUGUUCACUACCCCACUUAAAUCCCACAUGUUUCUUCACAAUUUCAGUUAAUGGUGCAGCAAGGGUGCUAAAAUCUUUCACAAAUCUUCUAUAAAAACUAGCCAAACCAUGAAAACUUCUUACCUCACUUACACUUUUAGGUGUAGGCCACUCUUUAAUAGCCUUUACCUUCUCUUCAUCAACCUCAAUUCCUUUAGCACUUACAACAUAACCAAGAAAAACAAUCUGAUUUGUACAAAAGGAACACUUCUUCAAAUUAGCAUACAACUUUUCCUUCCUUAAAACAGUCAAUACACUUUGCAAAUGUUCAAUGUGUUCAUCUAAGCCUUUGCUAUAGAUCAAAAUAUCAUCAAAAUAGACAACUACGAAUUUGCCAAUAAAAGCACGCAAAACAUGGUUCAUUAACCUCAUAAAAGUGCUAGGUGCAUUAGAUAACCCAAAUGGCAUCACUAACCACUCAUAUAAACCAUAUUUUGUUUUAAAGGCAGUUUUCCACUUUUUUAAAACAAAAAUAAUAAAGGAUGAUACCCACUUUUAAGAUCAAUUUUACUAAACACACAAGAACCAUGCAAUUCAUCAAGCAUGUCAUCAAGUCUAGGAAUAGGAUGUCGAUACUUUACAGUGAUUUUAUUAAUUGCACGACAGUCAACACACAUCCUCCAUGUUCCAUCCUUUUUGGGCACUAGUAAAACUGGUACUGCACAUGGACUCAUGCUCUCCUUCACAUAUCCUUUUGCCAAGAGUUCUUCAACUUGCCUUUGAAGCUCCUUUGUCUCCUCGGGGUUACUUCUAUAUGCAGGUCUAUUAGGAAUGGUAGCUCUAGGGACGAAGUCUAUUUGAUGCUCAAUUCCCCUAAUAGGUGGCAAACCGUUAGGGACUUCAUUUGGAAACACAUCAUCAAAGUCCUGCAAAAGAGUCACAAUAGCACUAGGCAAAGAAAAGUUAAGCUCAUUAGUGUGUAAACAAGCCUCUUUGCACAAAAGUACAACGAUAGGCUGUUUUGAAAAAAAAGCCCUCUUAACCUCACUCUCUUUUGCAAACAAGUUCACUUGCUGCCUCUCUUUUCUCUCAACAAUAUUUUUUUGUAUCUUUUCACUUGCUUUUCUCUCAAUCUCUCUUUCUUUUGUACUCUCAUUUUCAUUUUUUGUAUCACUCUCUUUUUUUAUUGACAUUUGAUCCUCAUACACUUGCCUAGGUGUUAAUGGUACAAGAGUGAUUUGCCUUUUAUUCAUUACAAAAGAAUAUCUAUUUAAGUAUCCAUCAUGUGUCACACGCCUAUCAUAUUGCCAAGGUCGACCCAAAAGAAUGUGUCCAGCAUGCAUGGGUACUACAUCACAUAGAACCUCAUCCUUGUAUCUCCCAAUAGAGAAUGAAACCAGCACUUGUUUAUUUACUUUAACUUCCCCACAAUCAUUCAGCCAUUGUAGCUUAUAUGGCCUUGGAUGUUUCAAAGUUUUCAAAUUUAAUUUUUCAACUAAACUAGUGCUAGCUACAUUAGUACAACUUCCUCCAUCAAUUAUCAUACUACAUACCUUAUCUUUGAUGUGGCAUCUAGUAUGAAAGAUGUUAUCACGUUGUACCUCCGCAUCCUCUUUAACUUGCAUGUUGAGAGCACGCCUAGCAACCAUCAACUUACCAUCAACAGGAUAUUCUACACCAUCAUUAGCAUCCUCCAAAGGUGGCAUAGGAUCAUCAUCUGAUUCACUCUCGGUUUCAACAUCACCAUUAUCCCUCAAGAUCAUUACUCUUUUAUUUGGGCAUUGAGAUGCAAUAUGACCUGUCCCCAAACAUUUAAAACACUUAAUAUCUCUAUUUCUAGAGUGUUGGGAAUCAGAUUUACCUUUACUUUGGUUGCCUCCCUCUUUAUGAUCCUUGAUUGGCUCAAUCUUAGGCUUUGAAACAACCUUUUCAUCUUUGCUCCAUUUUGACUUCCAUGAGGAAGAUGAACCCAAAUUGGUUCUAGUGGAACCUUUCUUUUUCAAUUGUCGUUCCACUUUCAUGGCCAUGUGAACCAUGUCUUCCAACUCAACAUAGUGCUGCAAGUCAACCACAUUAGCAAUAUCUUGAUUUAACCCAUGUAAAAAUCUUGCCAUAGUGGCCUCUCGUUCUUCUUCAAUGUUGGCUCGAAUCAUGAUUAUUUCCAUCUCCUUGUGGUAAUCUUCCACACUUCUAGAACCUUGUGUAAGACUUUGAAGCCUUUGGUGCAGCUCCCUAUAAUAAUGACUAGGAACAAAUCUCCUCCUCAUAAUGGCCUUCAUCUCCUCCCAAGUGUUUAUAGGCCUUUCACGAUUUCGUCUCCUACUCAAAACAAGUUGAUCCCACCAAAUAAUAGCAUAAUCAGUAAAUUCAACAGCAGCUAGUUUUACCUUUUUCUCCUCAGAGUAGUUGUGGCAAUCAAAUACUAGCUCCACCUUUUUUUCCCACUCUAAAUAAGCUUCCGGAUCAUGUUUACCUUGAAAAGAAGGAAUUUUCAGUUUUAUACUCCCCAAAUCACGAUCUAUACGUCUUGCCCUUCUAUUAUCUCUUCCACGCAUGUCAACAGUGGCCUGGUCAUCAAAAUCAUCUACGUCAUCGCCAUCUUCUUCUCCCAUGACAGCACGCCCUUGAUUACCUCUUACAUUAGGAGCUAUUGGUUGUUGCCCCCUUUGUAGAUUGGCUAUGGCAGUGUCUUGCCUCUCCAAUUUGUCACGAAUCUCUCCAAACAUCAGAUUCAUGUGCUCAAAUUGUUGUUGCAUGGCUUUGAGCAUGAUUGAUUGGUCUAUAGCUUCUUGAUCUUUUGACAUAUUUGUGAUCUGAAAAAAAAAUUGUUAGCAAAAAGACCUCACAACACUCCCUCACGUAUUUCACUCAAUUUUGAUGUCACUUAACUCUCGUGUUUAACACACAAAUUGCCUUUUACCACACUUAAUUCUCUCUUUCAGUUCUUUAUUGAACUAAAUAAACAAAAUCAAGAAAAAAAAAAAAAACCCAAGUGGCACACCAAAUAUGACAAUCCAGCACACUAACAAAUAAAAGAAAUUAAGAGGACACAAAGAAUGAAAAGGAAAUUGAAGAAAGGAAAGCAAGCAAGCAAAGCAACACAAUUGAUAUGUGUAAACUAUGAAAGUAGAAAUACUUGACUCUUUUUUUGUAAUCUUUUUUUUUUGUACGUUUUUUUUUCUUUUUUUUUUUUUGAUAAUCAAAAUAAAUAAGACAUUCAAACCUGAUUAGAAACUAGCUCUGAUACCAAAUGAUACGAAUCCCACAAUGAAACUUUCAAUCCUACAAUUAAUUUGUAGUUUCAACUUCCCAAGAAAGUUCUAAACAGAUUUAUGGCAAACAAAAACCUUGACCCAAUGCUUAAGAAAACAUGAACCAAAGGUAUAGAGAAGGGUAUUGACGCCACACUCAAGAAAGAGAUGAGAAGGUGAGUGAUAAGUCUAAAUUUGGAACACCACAAGAAUGUAAAUUCUUGAUAAGUUCACUAGUUCUCAAAAGAACCAAAGAAAGAAUAAUCUUUCAAAUUCAAAAUAACAUUCAUCUCCUUACAUACCAAGGUUGCUGAAUUUAAAUAGGCUAAAAGGAACCCAAGAUCCUAAAAAUACAAAUGGAAACAUUGGAACAAUCCUCCAAGUAAGUUUGUCAAAAGAUGUUUCAAAAGUCUUCACCAACCCACCAUGAUCAAUGCUGACCUUUCUGCAUUUGAUACAACUUGUGUAUUUGGCUGCCCAAUGACUUGAAUAAUGCCCACAAUGCCUUGUCUUCUCUUCAAGCCCAAUUCAUGAUGUCUUGCAUCUUGAAUUGCAUUUUCAAUCCAUAUUUUCUCAAUUAAUCCAUUUAAAGCAGCUUGCAUCUUUUUGGCUCUUGCUCUUGUAAUUGGGCCUCCAUGAAUGUGCAAAGGAUCACUUGAAGUUUUAAUGGUCCCUUGAUGGUUCUCAUCACAACGUUAGGAUGUAAUUAUCCUAGUUACUCUAAACAUAAGAAAUAUAGAAAGCAUAGGAAGAAAUAUAGUCAAAAUAAGUCACCUUAUAGACAAAAUAGUAGAAAAUUUUAUAAAAAGAAAUUCUUUAAAUAUAAUAAUAAUAAACAAAAAGUCAAGAAGAAAAUUUUAUAAAAAAGAAAUUCUUUAAAUAUAAUAAUAAUAAAAAAAAAGUCAAGAAGGCAUUCAAAAAAGGUAAAUGUGUAUAUAAAAGGAAUAAAACUUGUUAAUGUUUUUUAUGCAGAAAGGAAGGACACAUUAAGCCAAAUUGCCCAGAAAAUAAAAGAGUUAAUCAAUUAGAAUUAGACAAUUAUAAUAUAGAAGAAGAAAUUCUAGAUAUAGAAGAAAUUCUUAAUAUAGAUCAAUUAUUAGAUAGCGAUAGUAUAUGUAUAGUCAGUAAUAGUAAUCAAACACUAGCAGUAAUUCAAGCUUAGAAUUAGAAUCAAACAUAGAACCAAAAAUAGACAUUAAUGUUCUAGAAACUUAUACUUCAUUUUUUGGUAAAAAUUAUAAUAAAAAAUUUAAAUUAGGACAUAGAGACACCGACAUAGGAAAAUUCUUUUGUAACAGUUGUAAAGAUAAACAACCAAUAGAAGAUGAAACAAUAGAAAUAAAUAGAGCAGGUAGUGAAUUAAUAAACAUAGUUGUAGAAUUAUUAUUUAAAAAAGAAAUUGUUUAUACUAAAGCAAUGAUAGACACAUGAGUGAAUAAAUGUAUAAUACAUGAUAGCUUAGUACCCAAAGAAAAUAGAAAUAAACUUAGAAACCCUGUAAACAUUAGACAAUUUAAUGGAGAAUUAAUACAAAUCAUAGAAUGUGUAAACAACAUACCAAUAAGAAUAAAUGGUGAAACUCAUGUUUUACCACAAACAUUUAUUUCAAAUAAAAAAGUAGGAUAUAAAUUUAUUUUAGGAUUAAAUUUUAUAUUAGGAAAUAAUGUUAGUAUGUUAAUAACUCGAAAUGGAGUAAAUUUCUUUAAAAAGUCAACAUUCAUUCAACCUAAAUACGAAACACAUAUCUUACCAUAUGAAAAGAAAACACUAGUAGUAGAAAAAGACUUAGAUCUAGAAUUUUUUGAUUCUUUGUUAGCAGAAGAAAAAGACAUAGCCAGUCGUAGUGGACUAGAAUUAGACAAUGAUGAAGUAGAAAUCUUAGAUGAUGAAGAAAUAGAUAACUGUUUAGAAGACAUAUUAAAUGUAGAAAAAGAAGUAGUGUUUAGAAUGUCAAAAAUGGUCGGAAGAAAUCAGAGAAAAGGUAGAAGAGUUAGAAAAGUUAGAAAUAAUAGGAAAUAACCCAAUUAGAAAAGAUAAUAAGUAUAUAAAUUAGAAAUCAUUAAUCCAGACACAACAAUAAAAACACAAGAUUUAGCUUAUAGUUUAGAAGACAGAAAAGAGUUUAAAAUGCAUAUAGAUGAAUUAUUAGAAUUAAAAGUUAUUAGAAGUAAUACCAGUAGACAUAGGAGCCCUACAUUUAUUGUAAAUAACCAUAGUGAACAAAAACGAGGAAAAAGUAGAAUGUCAAUAAACUAUAAAAGAUUAAAUGAUAAUACUUUAGACAAUAGUUAUAAAAUACCCAAUAAAGAUGAACUAGUAAAUUGUAUACAAAAUGCGAAAUAUUUUUCUAAAUUUGACUGUAAAAGUGAAUUUUGACAAAUACGACUCCACGAAGAAUCUGUUCAAUGGACAGCUUUUAGUUGUUCAGAAGGACAUUUCGAGUGGUUAGUUAUGCCGUUUGGACUUAAAAACGCCCCACAAGUAUUUCAAGCUAGAAUGGAUAGAAUAUUAAAACCUUAUUCAAAAUUUUAUAUAGUUUACAUAGAUGAUAUUUUAGUUUUUAGCCAGAAUAAAUUCAUGCAUGUUACUCAUUUGCAUAAAAUUUUAGAUUGUUUUAAAAAUAACAAUAUAGUUAUUUCUAAAAAGAAAAUAGAAUUAUUAAAAUAAAAAAAUGGAUUUUUUAGGAUUAACAAUAGACAGAGGAGCAAUAGAACUACAACCACACAUAGUCAGCAAAAUAUUAGAAUUUCUAGAUAAAAUAGAAGACAGAAAAGAAUUACAAAAAUUUUUAGGACUAUUAAAUUAUAGUAGAAAAUUUAUACCAAAUCUCAGUACAUUAAUAAGGACCCUUAUAUAAUAAAUUGGAGUAACUACGCCCGUGGUGGCUAUUACCUUGGAAACUUAAAGAAAUAGUUAAAAAUCUCAAACCCUUAACAUUACCAAUAGACAAUUAUUAUAAAAUUAUAUAAACAGAUGCCAAUAGUUUAGGAUGGGCAGGAAUAUUAAUCCAAAAGCCUAAUAAAGAUAGCUCUAAAGAUAAGGAAGAAAUACAAUGUAUACUAGUGGAAAUUUUACAAAAACAGAGGGUAGAAAAUCUAGCACAGAAUUAGAAAUUUUAGGAAUAAUAAAUUCUUUAAAUUCAUUUCAUUUGUAUAUACAAAACGAUACAUUUACAAUUAGAACUGAUUGUAAUAAUAUUAUAGAAUUCUAUAAAAGAAGUACAAAAGAAAAACUUUGAAAAGAAAAAAUCUUUUAUUAGCAAGAUAUGGAUAUAUUUUUUAGAAGUAAUAACUAGUAGAGGAUACAAAGCAAAAUUUGAACAUAUAGUAGGUAAAGAUAAUACAUUAGCAGACAUUCUUUCACGACUAAUAAAUCAAUGAUUAUUUUGCAGGAAUGGAGCGAUAUAUGAAUUUCGUUCCAAUUAAGCUUAGACAGUUCCCAUCAGAAACAAAUUUAAGUUUUAAAAGUAAGUUUCAGUUAUUAGACAGCCAACUAUGCAUAUUAGACAAUUUGUGGUGUGUUAAUAACCCACAUGAUAAAUUAAAAGUAGCCAAUGCACUCAUGCAUUAUUUUAGACAAAUUAAUGAACACGUAGACAGUAAUCAUUUUGCAUUUUUUAUAUUAGUUAGAGAUAGACAACCAUGAAUUUAUAGUCAGUGGAGAGAGGUAGUUGAUUUGAUGAUCAAUUAUCCUGAUCCAUAUGUUAAAGGUUUUUACACAUUUCAUGAAGCUAUAGAAUAUGCUAGACAUGAAAUAGGACCAAAUUACCAUGUUAGUCAAUUAAUAAAUCCUUUAAACAAUGCAUCAACAUCUUCAUCUAGACAGUCAAAUAAUCCCUUAGACAGUGCAUCAAUAGCCUCAUCAUCAUCAUCAUCCAUACAAUUUUGUAAUCAUUACGAAGUCAUGGCACGAAAAAUUAAAAAGCUUAAUAAGACUAUAUAUCAUUUAGACAGUAUAUUAGAAGCAUGUAGAUAAAAAAUUCUUGCAUUAGAAAAUGCUAAAGAAGAAUUAAUUAGACAGAAUAUUAUAUUACAAAAUAAUAUCAAAUUCUGUUAGUAGAGCAUCAAAAAACCCAAAGCACCCAUAAAACCCAAAAAAAAUCCUUAUAUAAGAGCAGCCAUUAAAUAAAUUAUUUAACCAUACCUCAGCCGGAGAAUUAAACAAAAUACAACAACUUUCAUCUUUCCUUGGUAAUGCAGUAGACACAGUAAAAUAAAAAGUUAUAGAAAACAUGUACACAGAUUUUAUUUCUUUUGCCAACCAAUUGUUUGAUAGCCAAUUAAAUUUCUUACUUGAAUUUGGACCCAGCUGGUCAGAAUUAAACAACAUCAUUGCACUUAGACAUAAUUUUCCUACAAUUUCUUUUGAUUACUCCCUAGCCAAAACUAUAGACAACGAAGACAUUUUGUACAAAGCCCUUAGCUUUGGAAUGAUAAGAACCAUUUAUAUUUUUAGCCAAGACAGGCUUAAAUUCUUUCCACCAACCUUAAACAGAGCCUUAUCCAUUAUAAGCAAAGCACAACUAGUAAUCAAUUUUAACUCUAUACCACCUAGACCUCAAAUAAUUAAUAAAACCAAAACCGGUGUCAUAUUACCAGCCUACCAUGUCAUUUUUAUUUGCGAAGGAGCCAAGAAGUACAUAAGAAGAUUUUACGAAUUCAAACAAAGGAAGAACCAAGAAACAAAUUAUGAUUCAGAAUAGAUCAAAUCUAAUUUAGAACCUAAGCUCUGAUACUAAUUCAAGUGAACCUCACAAAGAUAAGUGAAACCCUACACUAAAUGAGGUUCUUUUUGGACAAAUAUUACUCUAACUCAGAUUCAGACAACUAUAAAAAUAAUGAUAAGAAACAAGGUAUAAGAAAUAUAGGAUUGAUGUUAUACUCAAGAAAGAAGAGAAUGAUUGUGAGUGAUAAGUUACAGAUGAAAUCUUGAAAAGUUUCGAAAGUUCUUCGAAAAACCAAAGAGAAAAGCUCUCACUAUUAUUGUGAAACAUAUAUGGGUUUCCAAUAGGGUUACAUGGGUUUGUGUAGUUAAAUUUUAUUAAUGGAAUAAGAUUUUCGUUAUUGCUAAAUAUAACCCUAAGUAAAAUGUAAAUAAAAGAUCAUAUGUCCAAAACAAAUUAGGAAACAAAGAAUGUGCUUGAUUUUCUUCUUAAUUUUAAAAGGCCUUGUUUGUUCUUCAUGCAAAUCACUCUAAACCAGAUUCAGUAGCUUGAAUAAUAUUAACAAAGCAUUGAAUAUCUUGAAUACAUUAUUAGAACCAAUUAGUGUCUUCAACAGGGCAUGAAUUUGAGAUUUACGCAAUUAAUCCACUUAAUGCUUCCUUCAAUUUCUUUGUUCUUGCCCUUGUCAUUGGACCUCCAUGGAUGUUUGACAUAUUUUGUGAAUUUUAGCAACCUGGUUCUCAUCACUUAUGUUUUUACACAAUUUUUAUGAAAAUUUUAUAUUGCAAUAGCAUAAUUAUUUGAAAGCAAAUUUUAUCUUCAAAACUACAAUUCACUCAUUGAAUUUUAUACUCACCCCAUGAUGAGAACCAUCAAGGGAAUACCAUUAAAGCUUCAAGGGAUCCUUUGCACAUUCAGGGAGGCCCAAUUACAAGAGCUAGGGCCAAAAAGAUGCAUACUGCUUUAAAUGGAUUAAUUGAGAAAAUGUGGACUGGAAAUGCUAUUCAACAUGCAAGACAUCAUGAAUUGGGCUUGGAGAGAAGACAAGGCAUUGUGGGCAUUAUUUAAGUUGUUGGGCAGCCAAAUGCACAAUUUGGGUGAAAUGUAGAAAGGCUAAAUUUGGAAUAAAACUGGUAUUGAUUGAGCUGGAACUAAUGUGCAAGCUAUAUACCAUUGGAAAGAUAAUUAAGUUAACUUUCCAAUUCUAUUUACAGAGGUAGAUUUGGAGUUCACUAAAAGGUGUUAUGACAAAUUUAUUAUAGCUUAUUCAGGCUUAGGAAUUCCAACCACUCCUUUGUUUAUUCAAUUUCAUUUAUUUGUUUUGUUUCAAGUUUGUCAAUGUGUUAGAUAAGCCUACCAUAAAUGAUGGUGGGCUAGCAUUAAGUUUGUCAAUGACUAGCAUUAAUAAUGAUGGGUUGGUGAAGACUUUUGAAGCAUCCUUUGACAAACCUAUGCAUGGAGGGUUGUUUUAAUGUUUCCAUUUGUAUUUUUAGGAUCUUAUUAGCCUAUUUAAACUCAGCAACCUUGCUAUGUAAGACAAUUAGAGAUGAGUGUUGUUCUUAAUUUGAAAGACCAUUCUUUCUUUGGUUCUUUUGAGAACUAGUGAACUUAUCCAAAAUUUGCAUUCUUGUGGCGUUCCAAAAUAGACUUAUCACUCACCUUCUCAUCUAAAUCUUGAGCGUGGUGCUAAUAUCCUUCUCUAUACCUCUGGUUCAUGUUUUCUUAAACAUUGGUUCAAGGUUUUUUGUUCAGAUUGAAGGCUGUAAGCUGUCUCUGAAGUUCUAACUGAAGUUCUGACUUCAAAUUAAGUGUGGAUUUCAAAGUUUCAUUGUAGGGUUCGCGUCAUUUGGUAUCAGAGCUAGUUUCUAAUCAGGUUUGAAUGUCAUAUUUAUUUUUAUUAUAAAAAAAAAGAAAAAAUAAAGAAAAACAUACAACAACAAAAAUUGCAAAAGGAUUCAAGUCUUCCUACUUUCAUCAAAUUGAAUUUUAGUUAUUGAUUUUCCUUGACAUUGUUCACACAUAAUAUCAAUUGUGUUCCUUUGCUUGCCUCUUUUCCUUUCUUCAAUUUCCUUUGUCAUUCUUUGUGUCCUCUUGAUUCAUUUUCUUUGUUUAUUGUGCUGGUUUAUCAUAUUUGGUGUGCCACAUGGGUUUUUCUUGAUUUUGUUUAUUUAGUUUAAUAAAGAACUGAAAGAAGGAAUUAAGUGUGGUAAAAGGCAAAAGCUUGUGAGAUCAUUAGAGGAUAAAAGCUAAUUUGUGUGAUAAACACGAGAGUUAAGUGACAUCAAAUUUAGUAAAACACGUGAAGGAGUGUUGUGAUGUCUUUUUGCUAACAUUCUUUUCAUAUCACAAAUAUGUCAAAAGAUCAAGAAGCUAUAGACUAAUCAAUCAUGCUCAAAGCCAUGCAACAACAAUUUGAGCACAUGAAUAUGAUGUUUGGAGAGAUCCGUGACAAAUUGGAGAGGCAAGACACUGCCAUUUCUAAUCUACAAAGGGGGCAAUAACCAAUAGCUCUUAUUGUAAGAGGUAAUCAAGGGCGUGCUACCAUGGGAGAAGAAGAUGGCAAUGACCUAGAUAAUUUUGAUAACUAGGUCACCGUUGACAUGCGUGGAAGAGAUGAUAGAAGGGCAAUAAUUAUAGAUCAUGACUUGGGGAGUAUUAAACUGAAAAUUCCUUAUUUUCAAGGUAAAAAUGAUUCGGAAGCUUUUUUGGAGUGAGAAAAAAAGGUGGAGCUAGUAUUUGUUUUGAGUAAGGAUACGAAAUCAUGAAAGAGCUAUAUAUACUUGGGAGAAGAUGAAGGCCAUCAUGAGGAGAUUUGUUCCUAGCCAUUAUUAUAGGGAGCUGCACCAAAGACUUCAAAGUCUUACACAAGGUUCUAAAAGUGUGGAAGAUUACCACCAGGAGAUGAAAAUAAUCAUGAUUUAAGCCAACAUUAAAGAAGAAUGAAAGGCCACUAUGGCAAGAUUUUUACAUGGUUUAAAUCAAGAUGUUGCUAAUGUGGUUGACUUGCAGCACUAUGUUGAGUUGGAAGACAUGGUUCACAUGGCCAUGAAAGUGGAAUGACAACUUGGAAAAGAAAGGUUCCACUAGAACCAAUUUGGGUUCAUCUUUCUCAUGGAAGUCAAAAUGGAGCAAAGAUGAAAAGGUUUUUUCAAAGCCUAAAAUUGAGCCAUUCAAGGAUCAUAAAGAGGGAGGUAACCAAAGCAAAGGUAAAUCUAAUUCCCAACACUCUAGAAAUAGACAUAUUAAGUGUUUUAAAAGUUUGGGGAUAGGUCAUAUUGCAUCUCAAUGCCCAAUUAAAAGAGCAAUGAUCUUGAGGGAUGAUGGUGAUGUUGAAACUGAGAGUGAAUCAGAUGAUGAUCCUAUGCCACCUUUGGAGGAUGCUAAUGAUGGUGUUGAGUAUCUUGUUGAUGGUAAAUUGAUAGUUUCUAGGCGUGCUCUCAACAUGCAAGUAAAAGAAGAUGCAAAGGUACAACAUGAUAACAUCUUUCAUACUAGAUGCCACAUCAAAGAUAAGGUAUGUAGUAUGAUAAUUGAUGGUGGAAUUUGUACUAAGUUUAGUUGAAAAAUUGAAUUUGAAAACUUUUUAAAAUCCUAGGCCAUAUAAGCUACAAUGGCUGAAUGAUUGUGGGGAAGUUAAAGCAAAUAAACAAGUGCUGGUUUCAUUCUCUAUUGGGAGAUACAAGGAUGAAGUUGUAUGAGAUGUAGUACCCAUGCAUGCUGGACACAUUCUUUUGGGGAGACCUUGGCAAUAUGAGGCGUGUGACACAUGAUGGUUACUUAAAUAGAUAUUCUUUUGUAAUGAAUAAAAAGAAAAUCACUCUUGUACCUUUAACAUCUAGACAAGUGUAUGAAGAUCAAAUGUCAAUACAAAAAGAGAGUGAUACAAAAAAAAAAAAGAGAGUACAAAAUAAAGAGAGAUUGAGAGAAAAACAAUAGGAAAGAUAGAAAAAAAUGAGAAUAUUGUUGAGAGAAAAGAGAGGCAGCAAGUGAAUUUAUUUGCAAAAGAGAGCGAGGUUAAGAGGGCUUUCUUUUCAAAACAGUCUAUCAUUGUACUUUUGUGCAAAGAGGUUUGUUUACAUAUUAAUGAACUUAAGUCUUCUUUGGCUAGUGCUAUUGUGACUCUUUUGCAGGAUUUUGAUGAUGUGUUUUGAAAUGAAAUUCCUAAUGGUUUGCCACCUAUUAGGGGAAUUAAGCAUCAAAUAGACUUUAUCCCUGGAGCUACCAUUCCUAAUAGACCCCCAUAUAGAAGCAACCCUGAAGAGACAAAAGAGCUUCAAAGGCAGGUUGAAGAACUCUUGGCAAAAGGAUAUGCGAGGGAGAGCAUGAGUCCAUGUGCAGUACCAGUUCUGCUAGUGCCCAAAAAGGAUGGAACAUGGAGGAUGUGCGUUUACUGUUGUGAAAUCAAUAAAAUCAUUGUAAAUUAUAGACAUCCUAUUCCUAGACUUGAUGAUAUGCUUGAUGAAUUGUAUGGUUCUUGUGUGUUUAGUAAAACUGAUCUUAAAAGUGGAUAUCAUCAUAUUAGAAUUAGAGAGGGAGAUGAGUGGAAAACUACCUUUAAAACAAAAUAUGGUUUAUAUGAGUGGUUAGUGAUGCCAUUUGGGUUAUCUAAUGCACCUAGCACUUUUAUGAGGUUAAUGAACCAUGUUUUCCAUGUUUUUAUUUGUAAGUUUGUAGUAAAAGUCUAGAUGAACACAUUGAACAUUUGCAAAGUGAUUGUUUUAAAGAAGGAAAAGUUGUAUGCUAAUUUGAAGUGUUCCUUUUGUACAAAUCAGAUUUUUUUUCUUGGUUAUGUUGUAAGUGCUAAAGGAAUUGAGGUUGAUGAAGAGAAGGUAAAGGCUAUUAAGGAGUGGCCUACACCUAAAAGUGUAAGUGAGGUAAGAAGUUUUAAUGGUUUGGCUAGUUUUUAUAGAAUAUUUGUGAAAGAUUUUAGCAUCCUUUCUGCACCAUUAACUGAAAUUGUGAAGAAACGUGUAAGAUUUAAGUGGGGUAGUGAACAAGAAGGGGCAUUUAAUCUAAUCAAGGAGAAAUUGGUUUUUGUACCAUUACUUACUUUACCUGAUUUUGCUAAAACUUUUGAAAUUGAGUGUGAUGCUUUAGGUAUAGGUAUUGGGGUUGUUUUGAUGCAAGAAAGGUGUCGAAUUGCUUAUUUUAGUGAGAAAUUGAGUGAAGUAGCUCCAAACUAUCCUACCUUUGGGAAGGAGAUGCAUGCAUUGGUGAGAGCAUGGGAAACUUGGCAACACUGAUCAUGAGUCCUUGAAGCAUUUAUUGAGUCAUUUAAAUGCCUUGAAGCAUUAUCUUGAGUCAUUUAAAUGCAACUUACCUUGAAGCAUCCCAAGGUAAGUUGCAUAAGAGACAUGCCAGAUGGGUUGAAUUUAUUGAGUCAUUUCUUUAUGUGAUCAAAUACAAAUAAGGUAAGGAGAAUGUGGUGGCUGAUGCAUUAUCUAGAGGGUAUGCACUUAUGAUGAGAUUAAGGAUAAAACUAUCACAAGCACGUGGGAUGAGGCAUAUUCAGAUCCUAUUCAAGCACCCGUCAUAAGAGCUCGAAAGCAAAGAAAUUCAAAGAAGCGCUUAAUGGAUUGAUUUAGUGGAGGCCUGUUGAAGGAAUUGCACAUGAUAAAUACAUGAUUUAGGCUCUUGAAGUUUCCAAAUAAUCACUUCCAUGAAAUAGGGAGUUGGCUUGCACAUUAUGGCGGGAAAAUAUAUUAUUUUUCUUUUUUAGAUACUUUCCCAUUUCCUAAGGAGGCUAUUAGGGAAACAAAUUAGUUAUUUCUAUUUUAAUCGUCUAGUUUCCAUUUUAAUUGAUGUAAGGCAUUUAAGCCAAUUAAGAUCUUGAUUUGAUUUAAAUUCUUUCUUAUUUACUUAGAUUAGGAUUCUGAUUUGAUUUAGAUUCUUUUCUAUUUGUUUAGAUUCAGAUUCAGAUUUGAUUUUUGGUUUAGGAUUUAUUUCCAAAAAUUCUUAUAACCAACCCUAUAUAAUGUACUCGUAUCCAAUAAACAGAGAUAAGUUUUUUAUGCAAAUGGUGAGGGAGUUAAUUCUCUUUGGUUCUUUACAAAUUCUUUGAACUUAUUUGAUUUCCAUGGCGUUCAAACUCUUGACUUAUCAAUCAGACCAUCCAUAGAUGAUUGUGGGGUCUUCAUAUACCAAGGUUUGUGCUUUCAUUAAGCAUUGGGUCAAGGUUCCAUUCAAUUCCUGGUUUAGAUUAGAUCUUGGGGACUAAAUUGAUUAGGGUCACGUCAGUUCUUAACGGGGUUCGUAUCAACUUAUCUCUACAUUAAAUGCAAAGUUGUUAUGAUUUGAGUAUAUUAAAGAAUUAUAUGUUAAUGAUCCGAAUUUUGCUAAUGUGUUUAAUGCUUGUGAGAAAUUCUUGUUUGCUUUAGAUUAGGCAUUUUCUUUAGGUAAUUAAUUCUUAUUUGAUUUUGGCUUAGGAUUUAUUUUUGAAAAUUCCAAGGGCAAUUAUGGGAUGGAAAUUCUUGCAACCAGCCCAAUAUAAUGUACUCGCAUGCAUUCAGCUUGAGAGCUUAAUUCUCUUUGGUUUUCAAAUUAACUCUUUGAACUUAUUGAAUUUUCGUGGCAUUCAAACUUGAGUUAUCGGUCAAUCCAUCCAUAGCUGAUUGUGACAUCCUCAUAGAUACCAUGGUUCGUGCCUUCAUUGAGCAUCGGGUCGCGGUUCCAUACAAAUCCAAUUCUAGAAUUUGAUCUUAGAGGCUAAAUCGGUUAGGGUUACAUCAUUUCUUGGCCAGGUUCAUAUUAUUUGGUAUCAGAGUGAGGUUUUGACAAGGUUUUACUUGUGAGUCUUAAUUCCCACUAUCCCAAAUUCAAUUCCAAAAAUCCCUAAAACCUUUUUGGCCGAACGUUGCACCCUUUCUAGAAUUUUCAUGUCUCUUUGUUUUAAUUCAUUGAGUUGUGAGUCUUGCUCUAAUUUAUGAGUUUUGUUAGACUUCUAUACCAAUUUGGGCUAAAAAAAAGGAGGAUCCGAAAAGAAAAAAAGAAACAAAGAAACAAGAGGAUAGUAGUUAAAAAAAAAAAAGAGUCCACAAACUCCAGUUAAAUUUUUGUUCAUUUUCCAUUAUUAGUGUCUUAGAGAGCCUUAAAUUGCUUUAACCUAUAGUUUGAAAAAAAAAAUUCUAAAAAUUUCGAUAAUUUGUGCUUCCGAAACCUGAUUAUACAUGUUCAUUACAUUCUUGCUUUUGAAAUCUGAAUCUCCUCGGUAUAAUCUUUGCGAAUUAAUGCUGGAUUCUUGAAAUUAGUUUGAUUAUUUUGAUAAGAACUGAGUGAGAAUUACUACGAGUGGAAAAAGGCAAGUGAGUGUGAGUAUUAGAGGAUAAAAGCCAUCUAAUUUGAGUGAAAUACGAGUGGAAUUGAGUGAAUCAUUUUUUGGAGUAAAACACGUAAAGGAGUGUGGUGAGGUCCUUUCCACAUUAUUGCUAACAUCUUUUUGUAGAUUUCAACCAUGUCUCAUAACUAGGAAUGAAACACAGAGGAAGAGGCCCAACAACCAGCCGUCCAAAAUUUACUAAUUAAAGCACUGAUAGGAGCAAUAAGACGGAUGAUGAGGGCUUAAUUAGAGCACAUACAUGAGCGUUUAGAUCAAGUCAAGAAUGCACAUGUGAGGCAAACAAUUUGCUCCUCAAGGACGUAAGAGAGAGAGAGAGAGAGAGAGUUUCGGCUAGAGAAGAGAUUGAUGACUAUUAUAGGGAUGAGUAUGAUGAAGGGUAGAAUCUAUGGAUAGUUAUAGGAGAGACGAACGGGGAAGGAGAGUUAGGAACUGGGAUGAUGGUUUGAGUGGCAUAAAGAUGAAGAUCCCAUCUUUCCAAGGGCAUAACUUAAGUAGGAGAAGAGAAUGGAGUUUAUGUUUGAUUGUCAUAGCUAUGUCGAGGUGAAAAAGGUAAAAUUUGUUAUGAUUGAAUUUUCUGACUAUGCUAUUACUUGGUGGGAUUAGCUUGUUAUAAAGAGGAGGCAAAAUAGGGAAUGUCCAGUUGAGAGGUACAAUGAAAUGAAAACGUUGAACCACUACUACCGAGACUUGUACCAAAAGCUACAAAGUCUUACACAGGGUAGUCGAAGCAUGGAGGAGAGUUUUCCAUGAUUAGAGUGUAUGUGGAGAAGGAUAGAGUAGCUACCACGACACGAUUCUUGAAUGGCUUUAAUCGGAAGAGUCCAAAUAUGGUUGAGUUGUAACAUUAUUUGGAGAUUCAGGAGAUAGUCCACAAAGCCAUCAAGAUUGAACAACAACUCAAGAGGAGGGGUAAUACUUAUACAACCCCAAGCUCGAGUUCUGUUCCGUGGAAUCUGAGCUAUGUGAAGCGAGACGAGAGGCCACAAGCAUCUACCACACCUAAGCCAAGAUCUGAGUCUUCCAAUCAUGACAUUAAGUGUUUUAAAUGUCAAGGUAGGAGACAGAUUGUAAGUGAAUGUCUAAAUAAGAAAGUUAUGGUGUUGCAGACAAUGAAGAGAUUGUAACUAAAGAUGAAAUGGAGGAUAAUGAGAUGCCAGCAUUGGAGGAAAUUGAAGAUGAAUAGUAUAUAGUCCUUGAGGAAUUGACUUUAAUAGCUAGGAGAGCUUUGUGUAUGGAAGUAAAAGAAGAUGAAGCAAUGCAAUAGGAAAACAUUUUCCAUAUCAGGAGGUUGAAUGAUCAAGAUAAAGUGUGUAGUAUGAUUAUUGAUGGUACUAUCAUAGUGGAGAAGUUAGGGCUUCCAACACUUAAGAUAGUCAUUCCAAGGAAUUCAAUGCUAUUUGUGGAAAUUGUGCUUUUCUUAGCGGAUAACAUGAUUCCAUGAGAUUGAAUAAUAUCAAAGAAUUGAUUUAACAAAUGGUGAUGGUUAUCUUGUGUACCUAAAAACAACACCUUUCCCCUUGGCAAAACUUUCACCACAGUCUUUGCCAUCCAAGAGUUUGCAAAGAAACUAUGAGAAGUUCCACACCAAUACUUCUCCUAUCCAAACAACAGAAAGUAUGUUUGAACGAAACUGUGUGGAAAUGUCUUGGAAAGGCUGGGAGGUUUCAGACAAACCAUAAAGCUUAGGCCCACAUUAUUUACCACCUCUCCACCAUUACCUCCCAUCAGCCCAACCUUCCAUCCUUUUGCACCUAUGCUUUCUCCCAUAAAACCACAAGACCCGUCAUGAGAUGAAAGUGAACAAGUAGGUAUUACUGACUUUUCAGAUUGGCAAGUAUAAAGAUAAGGUGCUCUAUGAUGUAGUGCCAACACAAGCUGGACACUUGUUGCUUGGACAGCCUUGACAAUUCAACAGACAUGUAAUGCAUGAUGGCUUUACCAACAUAUUCAUUUGUGUUUAAUCAACGCAAUAUCACCCUUGUUCCAUUGACACCCAAGUAGGUUUAUGGGAACCAAGUAAGCCUACAGAGAGAAAGAGUGAUCAAAAGAAAGAGAAUGAACUAUAAAAAAAAAACAAUAGUGAACAUCAGAGAGAGGCCGAGAAAAAUGAGAGAGAAGAAGAAAAGAAAAAUGCGGCCAUUGAGAGAAAAUUAAAGGGAAAACACAAGAAUUUCUAUGCAAGAGCAAGUGAGAUAAAAAAAAAGCGACGUUUUUAUAUCAGCCAAUAAUUGUACUUUUGUACGAAGAGACAUUUUUAAACACUAACGAAUUUGACCAUACUUUGCCUAGUUCUAUUACUUCUCUUUUCCAGCAUUAUGAGGAUGUUUUUUUCCCGAAGAAAUACCAUAUGGUUUACUUUUAAUCUGAGGGAUUGAGCAUCAGAUUGAUUUCAUACUCGGAGCAACCAUUCUAAACCAACCAGCCUGUAGGAAUAACCCGAAUGAGACAAAGGAACUUCAAAGGCCAAUUGAUGGGAAAAUGGUAAGUGAGAGAAAGCAAUAGCCCAUGACCAGUUUCCAUUUUGCUAGUUCUUAAGAAGGACAAAGGCCAACAUUAUUUACUACCUCUCCACUGUUACCCACUAUUAGCCCCACUUUCCAUCCUUUUGCACCUCUGCUUUCUCCAAUCAAGCCCCAAGAGCCAUCCAAAAUAUUUUNNNNNNNNNNNNNNNNNNNNNNNNNNNNNNNNNNNNNNNNNNNNNNNNNNNNNNNNNNNNNNNNNNNNNNNNNNNNNNNNNNNNNNNNNNNNNNNNNNNNNNNNNNNNNNNNNNNNNNNNNNNNNNNNNNNNNNNNNNNNNNNNNNNNNNNNNNNNNNNNNNNNNNNNNNNNNNNNNNNNNNNNNNNNNNNNNNNNNNNNNNNNNNNNNNNNNNNNNNNNNNNNNNNNNNNNNNNNNNNNNNNNNNNNNNNNNNNNNNNNNNNNNNNNNNNNNNNNNNNNNNNNNNNNNNNNNNNNNNNNNNNNNNNNNNNNNNNNNNNNNNNNNNNNUAAAUCACCAAUGCACCAAUAUAGUGCACAGAUAAUCCCAGACCCAUCCGAUACAGACCAAACUUCUGAUUCAAAUCUCGCCGUUUCAGUCAAUCAAUCUGAAUUUGACACAGACUCUUCCCUUGAAUCUUCCAUCUCAUCUAGUGAUUUUGAAAAAUCCUAUGCUGAUAUCACUAGGAUUCUUAUGGCCCAACUUGAAGAAACUGAGCCUGCUCAAUCCUCAAGAACUGACCCAUUUUUUGAAAUACCCUCAGAUAUUGAGGAAGAUCCACCCGAAGCAUCCUCAGCUCCAAACUGACCUGCUCAAUCCCACCAUGAUCAUAAACCUUCAAAUGGUCCAUGGUUCACUUUUGAUGAUAUCCCUACAGCUAAAUGGAGAGAUAGAUUAUCUGAAAUGGCUGCUUGGACAAAUCUCCAAAUGUUAAGAGCAAAUGCUACUACAGCAUCCGUCCUUAGAGAACUUGUUACCCAUUUUACAGGCUCUUUAAGAGAUUGGUUUGAUACUUUAGGAGAGUACAGAUAAUUACAAUUUGUGCAACUACCUAAUGUCUCAUCUACUCUUUCUGUUAUUCACGAGCAAUUCAUAGGAGAAUCAGCCGUAGUCUUUGAACCUGCAAGACGCGACUACCUCAAUAUGAAGUGCUGCUCCCUCAACUCUAAAGAUCUUGAUUUCCAUUACAAACGGAUGUCAAUCCUGUUUUAUAAGCUCAAUGGGUUCAAUGAUCUGACUCUCAAACAUGUCUUUCUAGCAUCAUUACAUAAAGAAUUGCAACCAGACAUACAGCGGCAGCUCACGAGUCUCAAUCUCACCAUUGAUACCAUAUCCUUAGGAAAGAUCUUUCAGAUCGCCAAAGGAUGUUUGGAAAAACUAUGUGAACAAAAACAAUUCUUCAAAGAAUUGUUAAAAGACAAAGAGCCUUUCCGAAGUGCAUGCAAAAAGCCUUAUUUGCAGAUUAAAUGCCAGAAAAAGAAAGAUUGUGAUUGCAGCACCAAAAAGAAGAAGCAUGUCCGAAAAUUCAAAAAUCCAGCAUUGUUUCCUAGAUCAAAAUCUAGGCGAAAAUCAUACCGAUUUUUUAGGAAAAGAUCUAGCUCUUUCAGAGAACAACAAAGGAAGAAGUCCAGCCGAUGCUUCAUUUGCAAAUAGAAAGGCCAUUAUGCCAAAGAUUGCCCCAACAAAAAAGACAAAGCAAUCAGACUUCUUAAGCAUUUACAGGCCACUACUGAUUAUCCUCCUCACAAUGAUGAAAUUGAGUCUUACUUCUCAGAACAAAAGGAGCCUACUAAUGAAACAGUGUUUGCACUACAAAAGCAUGAGUCAUGUUUGUCAUGUUUUAGUUUGUCUUUAUUCGGUUUUUCAAAGUUGCCUUGUAAUAAUUAAAAGCACGAGUCAUGCUUGUCAUGCUUUAGUUUACCUUUAUUCGCUUUGAAACUUGUCGUUUGUCCAUGUGUCUUGUAAAGUGAUAGUGGCCCUGUCCUAUCCUUUUCUAUAUAAGCUCAUCUUCUCCUCGUUGGAAAAAGAGCGCAACAUUAAUGAAAUUGAGUCUUAUUACAAGCCAGCUUUGAAAAAGCGAAUAACGCCAAAUUGCAAAUACCUAAAACAAAAAGCAAACUUCAAGGAGGAUGCCCCCCCAUGAUUCGUCACUUGCAUCAGUCUACAAUAUUCACCUGCCAUCGGUGAUGAGCUUUAAUGGUGGUGGAUUUUGUGCAAUUUGCUUUAAAGUUGUGACAGCAAGUGUGUGGGUGUUGUUCCAUGAAGGUGGAUUCUUUUUUAGCAGGGCUGACAGCUGGCGGGUUUGGUGAUCAACAUGAGGAAUAAAAUCCCUGAUAUAAUUGAUAAUACCAAGGAAUUGCUGUAGUUGCCUUUUGGAAAGAUGCUGAUUUGGAAAGCGAAUGAGCUCUUGGGCAAUGUGCUUUCCUGGCUGGUAGUGGCCGUCUUUGAUGGUCAUUCCAAGGGAUUCAAUGGUAUGGGUGGCAAUUCUACUUUUCUUAGCGGAUAACAUGAUUCCAUGAAAUUGAAUGAUAUCAAAGAAUUGAUUUAACAAAUGGCGAUGGUCAUCUGGGGUACCUGAAAAUAACAAAAUAUCGUCAAUGUAAAUCAAUGCACUAUGCAAAAUGGGUUGGAAGAUUUGGACCAUGGAUUUUUGGAAAAUAGAUGGGGCUGUUUUAAGACCAAAGGGUAAAACUGUCCAUUGGUAAUGGGCAUUGGGGAUGCAGAAGGCAGUUUUAUAACGUUCGGAAAGUUUAAUGCCAAGUUGCCAGAAUCCAUAUUUAAGAUCAAAUUUGGAAAAUAUUUGGGCAUUUUUGAGAUAAGUGAACAUGCUCUGUCUUUUUGGCAAAGGGAAUUUGUCAUCUUGUAAAAACAUGUUUAGAGGCUGAUAGUCUAUGACUAAUCGUUUUUUUCCUCGAACAAUCUUAGAAUGUUUUUCAACAUAAAAAGCUUGGCAAGCCCAUUGAGAACUAGUGGGUUCUAUAAGACCUUGGGCGAGCAGCUGAGAACAUUCCUUUUGGGCUAGGACAAAGUCAGAAGGACUUGUUCCUGGAUGAGUGGCUUUGGUGGGAUUGACAUCUUCAUUCAACUUGAAAGGCAAUUGAACAAAGAAUUAUGGAUUUUUCCACAGGGGAUUGGGAUGAUGAAAGUCAGCAUGAGACUCAGGACAAAACUUUAAAAACCUUAUGGAAAUGUCUUGGAAAGGCUGGGAGGUUUCAGACAAACCAUAAAGCUUUAGGACAUUGGUGAAUGGUUUAAACAUGGACUUAACUCGAAUUCCAAUAGGAAUGAUUUGAAGGUGUUUUAUCUGUUGAAUGAUAUCAAAUCCUAACAAGAUAUUCUUAUUAGGUAGAUUGGAACCAAUGACUUUCGUCCAGAUAACACAAUUUGGAAAGAUUUAAAUACCAAUGGGUCUUCUGGUAAUCAAGGUGGUGGUGAAGAGUUUUCCAUUGACUGCUUUGAAAUUUUCUUCAUAAUGUUGCCAAGACUGAGAUGGAAGUAUGUCGGGGUUUAACAUACUUCGUUGGGCCCCUGUAUCAAGAAGACCAAUGGCAGGAAUCGGUCUCUGGAAUUUGGAGGUAAAAUGUGGAGUUUAAUGGAAGGGAUAGGGAUGGUAGUGUCAAGGGACAAUAGUUGUUGGUGGAAAACAUUCUGAAACUCAUCAUUUUCAGAAUCAUCAGAUGAGUUUUGUAGUGCAAACACUGUUUCAUUAGUAGGCUCUUCUUGUUCUGAGAAGUAAGACUCAAUUUCAUCAUUGUGAGGAGGAUAAUCAGUAGCGGCCUGUAAAUGCUCAAGAAGUCUGAUUGCUUUGUCUUUUUUGUUACGGGCAAUCUUUGGCAUAAUGGCCUUUCUAUUUGCAAAUGAAGCAUCGGCUAGACUUUUUCCUUAGUUGUUCUCUGAAAGAGCUAGAUCUUUUCCUGAAAAAUCGGUAUGAUUUUCGCCUGGAUUUUGAUCUAGGAAAUAAUGCUGGAUUUUUGAAUUUUCAGAAAUGCUUCUUCUUUUUGGUGCUGCAAUCACAAUCUUUCUUUUUCUGGCAUUUGAUCUGCAAAUAAGGCUUUUUGCAUGCACUUCGGAAAGGCUCUUUGUCUUUUAACAAUUCUUUGAAGAAUUGUUUUUGUUCACAUAGUUUUUCCAAACAUCCUUUGGCGAUCUGAAAGAUCUUUCCUAAGGAUAUGGUAUCAAUGGUGAGAUUGAGACUCGUGAGCUGCCGCUGUAUGUCUGGUUGCAAUUCUUUAUGUAAUGAUGCUAGAAAGACAUGUUUGAGAGUCGGAUCAUUGAACCCAUUGAACUUAUAAAACAGGAUUGACAUCCGUUUGUAAUGGAAAUCAAGAUCUUUAGAGUUGAGGGAGCAGCACUUCAUAUUGAGGUAGUCGCGUCUUGCAGGUUCAAAGACUACGGCUGAUUCUCCUAUGAAUUGCUCGUGAAUAACAGAAAGAGUAGAUGAGACAUUAGGUAGUUGCACAAAUUGUAAUUGUCUGCACUCUCCUAAAGUAUCAAACCAAUCUCUUAAAGAGCCUGUAAAAUGGGUAACAAGUUCUCUAAGGACGGAUGCUGUAGUAGCAUUUGCUCUUAACAUUUGGAGAUCUGUCCAAGCAGCCAUUUCAGAUAAUCUAUCUCUCCAUUUAGCUGCAGGGAUAUCAUCAAAAGUGAACCAUGGACCAUUUGAAGGUUUAUGAUCAUGGUGGGAUUGAGCAGGCCGAGCUGAGGAUGCUUCGGGUGGAUCUUCCUUAAUAUCUGAGGGUAUUUCAAAAAAUGGGUCAGUUCUUGAGGAUUGAGCAGGCUUAGUUUCUUCAGGUUGGGCCAUAAGAAUCCUAGUGAUAUCAGCAUAGGAUUUUUCAAAAUCACUAGAUGAGAUGGAAGAUUCAAGGGAAGAGUCUGUGUCGGAUUCAAAUUGAUUGACUAAAACGGCGAGAUAUGAAUCAGAAGUUUGGUCUGUAUCGAAUGGGUCUGGGAUUAUCUGUGCACUAUAUUGGUGCAUUGGUGAUUUAUCUUUGGCCUGAGGUAGUGUUGGUUGAGGAGGGAAUUGCGUUGGCCUGCUCAUGUGAACCCUCUUGGAGAGUAGGGCACAUAUCAAUUGCAUGCCCGACCAUGGAACAAACGCCACAUGGUCUCACUUGUUGCCCUAGGGCUAAUUGUUGUACCAAAGAAGUAAGAUUUGAAACUUGUUGUUCGAGAGAAGUAGUACUUACCUCAUUGACUCGCUUAGUUGGCGGCAAUAGAUCGUUCCUGGUGUUGAACUGUUGGGAAUUAGCAGCCAUGUUAGCAAUGAGAUUUCGGGCUGCUUCUGGUGUCUUAUCCACGAGUGCUCCUCCACUAGCGGCGGCAUCAAUCAUACUCCUAUCCAUAGGCAGUAGACCCUCAUAAAAGUAUUGAAUAAGAAGUUGAUCAUUUAUCUGAUGGUGGGGGCAACUAGCACAUUGCUUUUUGAAUCGUUCCCAAUAGUCGUAGAGCGGCUCUCCAUUAUACUGUGGAAUUCCACAAAUUUCUUUUCGAAUGCUGCCAGCUUUUGAUGCCGGGAAAUAUUUCUCCAAAAAUAGCUGACGCAUCUCAUUCCAUGUAGUGACAGUACCUGAGGGAAGGUAGUACAACCAUUCCUUGGCUGAAUCCGCCAAAGAGAAUGGGAAGGCCAUUGUAGCUAUGACUCAGCAUGGUUCUUAAUUCCGAAUCUAGUUGGGAGAUUCGGGACUGAAGAUUCUGGUAAAUUUGCUGCAUCUGAGAAGUAAUCGAAUCCAUCUUAGAUUCAAUAUGAUCAGUUCGUAAACUGAUAUGAUUAACCUUCUUAUGGAUAUCAACCAAGGCUUCAUUUUGAGCUCUGGCAUUUUGUGUCUGCCAGUUGAGAACAGCUUCGAAAGGUUUGGGGUCUUCUAAAUGACCUGUAGGAGUUAUGAUGGAAGGAAUAAAGGGUUUAGUGAUGACCUUUCGUUGUAGAUCGGUAUGGGUUUCGAGGGCAGGGAAAUUGGAGGAAUAAUCUUGUGAGGUGGAUGAGAACAUCAUACAAGCCAUAGGCUGCAUGGGUGAUGUGGACUGGUAGUGUCGUUAAGGUGCACCAAAUUUAAAACCUUACCACUAAUAUAAAUAAUUAGUACAGAGCGAGUAAGGAUCGAUCCCACAGAGACUAUGCUAGUUAUAUUUAUUAUUAACUCUAAAGCAAGAUUUGAAAUAAAAUAAUAGUAGUAAUAAUAAGAGUAAUAAUAAUAUAAAUUAAUCUAACUAAAGAAAAUGCCAAUUAUAAAUAAAAAGGGGGUUUAUGAAUUUUUAACUAAAUAGUAAGAAGUAAAGAAAUUAAAACUACGAACAAGAAUUUAAUAAAAACUCUAAUUAAAGGAGAAAGAAAUAAUAAUGAUGAAAACUUUGGUUAAAGGAUCAUUCGCCGCCACCAAACAUGCACAUAAUAUAUCAAUUCUAUUAUCAAUUUAUAUUAAAACUAUCAACCGUAGACAACAAUAAGCUCUGUUAGUCUCAAUCUUUCCUUAGUGUGUCGUUAGGCAAAAUAAGCUCUUCACCUAAUCUCUAACCAUUAAAUAAUUUAAAACAAGCUCUUUAAAUUUAAGAUAAUGGAAGCAUUAAACAAAGAAAGAUAUUAGGUUGAUCUAGGCAAUAAACACACAAGCUCGGAUUAUUUAACCUAGGUUAUAUUCUCCAAUUGAAAUCACUAAUUCCAACCUGCUACUAAUGAUUAAAAUAUCAAGACAAUUACGGAUCAAGAAUUUUAAUCUAGCAAUAAAAUUUAUUCAAGUCCUAUCUAAUUGGCCACUCAAAUAAAACAAGAAUAAACCAUGUACAUUAAUUAUGGAAGAACAUAAACAAUCUCAAUUAAAUAAAUUGAAUGAUAGAAUUUAAAUUUAAUUGCAUAGGAUGUUUAGGGUUUUGAAUUCACCCUCAACCAAAUAAAAAUUUAGCCUAACAUAAUUGAAUUGGGAAUAAGAGAAUUGACAAAACCAAUCAUGGAGAUUAAUUCAAGCGGCUGCCUUUUCUUCAAUUCCUUUUCGGUUUCUCCCUUGCUUUUUCUUCUUGCGGCUGCUGAAUUUCCUCUUGCUGCCGAAUUGGAUCUGCCCUGCUCUCUUUAUUCAAAAGCAAAACUCCCUUUUAUAUUGCUUGGCCACCUAAUCCUAUUGUGAUUCUAAUAACUAAACUAACUUUUACAAGCUAAAGCCCUAAGCUUGCCACGUAAUUGAAAACAAUAAAAGCCAAAAGCUAUUGAUUUCCUUCCUUUUCUUCUUUCCUUUUAUAUUGCUUGGCCACCUAAUCCUAUUGUGAUUCUAAUAACUAAACUAACUUUUACAAGCUAAAGCCCUAAGCUUGCCACGUAAUUGAAAACAAUAAAAGCCAAAAGCUAUUGAUUUCCUUCCUUUAUUCUACUUUGACUUUCCAUUCAAAGGCUUAAUUAAAAGCUUUGUUUUAUGUGCUGCCCAUUUUAGCUUUAACCGUCUUCUUUGUUUGCACGUACAUGGAGAAUUCAAUUUAUUGGCUUCGGUUUCUUCAAACAGAAUUUCUUGCACAUCUCCUUAAUUACUUCCACAAAUUGAUUUGAUCUUCAAUGUUAUCCAAUUGUUAUUCUUUACAUACUUUUCAUCCAUAAUCUCCAAUUAAUUUCCUAUGCAAUAAAAUAAUUCAAUUAAUUAAAAAUAACAAAUAAAAAUAACUAGCAAUUAUAUAAUUAUGGGUAAAAUAUGUAUAUAUAAAUUAUGCUCAUCAUGGACGGCUGAGUAUGGGGAAGGAUUUCAGUUUUGCAAUUUUUGGCAAUCCAUCUCAGUUUUUUUUGGUAGAUGGGUAAUGGAGCUGGUAGUGGUGGAUGAUUAUGAGGUGGUUUAGGUUGGUUGUGUGAGCACGGAGUUUUAGGUAUUUUCUUUUUUGGUUUCCUUUUCCGCUGCAAGCCAACAUCAUCUUCUUCUUAAUCAUCCCAACAGGGACAAUCUGGGUCACAAUUUUCUGAUCCUGGUGAAUCCCAAAGAAAGUGACCAUUAAGUUUGGCAGGAUAGACAAGAUAUCCUUUUGAAGUGAAUCCUGUAAUUGGUAACUUUUCUUGAGCGGUCUGGACAGCCGUUACCAUGGCUGAAUAAGUGAAUGAGAGCUGUGGAGGCUCCUCUGGUGCUGUUGGUGGAGGUCGAAAAGUCAUUCAGACAGUUCCAUCAGAUGUUCUUUCAAACAUACUUUCUAUGGUCUGGAUAGGAGAAGUAUUGGCGUGGAACUUCUCAUAAUUUGAAAUCCAUUCCAAGGGCAUGAGUUUUAUGAGUUCAUGUCGAGGGAUUUGUCUUGGAAUUUGAAUGAUGGUUGGGAUCUGGUCUGAUUCUGCUAACACUAUGAGGGCGUCAGAGUGGUGCUCAGGCGAAGGAAGAUCUAAGGCAUGGUUCUGGAGCCUAUAGACCAAUUGAUGGUGAAGAGUGGCAAUUUUUGCAGAAGAGACUUGGUCUGCACCUUGAAUUUGCACUUGGACUUGCAAGGUAGUGGAGAGAUUAGUGUCUUGAAGAGAAAGGUUGAAAUUAGGAUAGAAAGUGAGUAAAACACUUCCAGCAUGAAGAGUGGUUAAGACAGUACCAAUAACAGCAUCUUGGUAAUGUGUGAACCUAGUGUCUAGCAUAGCAAUUCUGGCCGUGACUGGUAAUCCUUUUCUUCCAUGUAAGGUUAGGAUUAGUCGGACUCCUCUGAUAUGGAGAUGAGUAUAACCUUCUCUUUGCCAAUUAGAAAUCAAGUCUGGGGGAAUUUUCAAAGUGACAUAUUGGUCAGCUGUGGUAACCUGAAGGGAACACUGAUCCAAUCUAGAUGACUGGAUAUAUUCUUUUAGAUGUGGUCUUUUGGUGGAAAUAAGGGUUCGAAUACUGCGAGUAAAGGAGUGUGAUCGUUUAUAGAGGUGAUAAGGACUAAGAAGAGGAAAAGAAGAUUCAGGGAUAUAGGAAUAUUCAACUAAAUUUUCGAUCUUGCUAGUAGUGUGUUUGGAGCAAGAUUUGGGUAAGGAGAGGGUGGAGGAAAGGGAAACUGGAGUUAUGAUAGAAGACAUAGAAGCAUUGUUGGAGGAAGUUGAUGCCAUGAGUAUGAAAUUCUCUCUGUCGUUAAAGACUCGAACAAAAAGAAAACAACAAGCAAACUUUUAUCAUACCAUAUUGACAUCCCAUUCCUAGGCUAAAUGAUAUGCCUGAUGAAUUGAAUGGUUCUUGUGCAUUUUCUAAAAUUGAUUUGAAAAGUUAGAUAUCAUCAUAUUAGAAUGAAAGAAGUAGAUGAAUGGAAAACUUCCUUUAAAACAAAACAUGGUUUAGGGUUUCUACCUGAUACUAAUGGCGUCACAGGUACGUGGCGUUGUUAUACCUGAACUAUGAUAGUGCUAGACUAUCCUUUGGACCAGUAGUCUGCAAGUUCUGGUUUCCAGCCGAUAUACCUAUAAUCCCUGAGAUAUAAAACCAAAAAAGGCAAAAACCAUUUAUCACGAUACCUCCCAAAAAUAGGUCACCUCUAACCUUCAAAGAGGGUGAACGUUGUGAGAAAACAGUUUUCUUUUAAAUCGGUUUUAUAAAUAAAUCAGGACUUUUCUGAUACACAGGAUCCUUUAAGAAAGGCAAGUGUAGAGCAUACUCAGUAUAGAAAAUAGAGAUGAACGCUCUUAGUUUAAGAACUCAAGUAUUUUCUUCCUACCUAGAAGAAGAAGGGAAACUUAGUAAGCCAUAAGGUUUUGAAAGCUUAGAAAUAUUAUUGAUGGCAAUCUCAAUAUUAUAUAUGAAUGGUUAGUCAUGCCUUUUGGUUUGACUAAUGCUCUGAGUACUUUUAUGAGAUUUAUGAAUCAUAUUCUGUGUGCUUUUAUAGGUACGUUUAUUGUUGUUUAUUUUGAUGAUAUCCUCAUAUAUAACAAAAGCUUGGAUGAUCAUGUAGUACAUUUGAAAUUUAUUUUAGACGUGCUUAAGAUAGUAAAGUUGCAUGCUAAUCUAAAGAAGUGUAGCUUUUGUACCGAUAAGCUUGUGAUUCUAGGAUUUUUUAUGAGUGCACAGGUUAUACAGAUUGAUGAACUAAAGGUACAUGCAACCCAAGAGUGGCUAAGUCCCACAAGCAUAAGUAAUAUUUGAAGCUUUCAUGGAAUUGUUAGCUUCUGCCGGCGAUUUGUGAAAGAUUUUAGCACAUUGGCCGCACUACUUACUGAAGUAAUAAAAAAAAUGUUGGAUUCAAAUGGGAAGAAGAACAAGAUAAGGCAUUUCAAUUAAUCAAGCAAAAGCUUACCUAUGCUCUAUUAUUAUCCUUGCUCAACUUUAAUAAAAUUUUUGAAAUUGAAUGUGAUACUUUAGGUAUAAGCAUAAGUGUAGUUUUAAUGCAAGAGGUAUGACCAAUUGCCUACUUAAGUGAAAAACUAAGUGGGGCAGCCUUCAACUACCCUACUUAUGAUAAGGAGUUGUAUGCAUUGGUUCAUGCAUUAGAAACAUAGCAGCACUAUUUAUAGCCUAAGGAGUUCAUGAUUUACACCGAUCAUAAGUCCUUGAAACACCUUAAAGAUCAAUACAAGUUGAACAAGAGGCAUGCUCGUUGGGUGGAAUUCAUCAAGAUGUUUCCAUAUGUCAUUCGUUACAAGCAAAGUAAGGAAAACGUUGUUGUAGAUGUGUUUUCCCAUAGGAAUGCCUUAAUCUCAACACUUAAUUUUAAAUUGCUUCGUUCUAAACAUGUUAAGGAAUUGUAUGCUGAUAACCAUAAUUUUAGUGUUCAAUGUACCCAGCUUGUGAAAAGACUGAGGUGAUGUGAACCCCACAAUGAAACUUUGAAACCCACACUUAAUUUGAAGUUUCAACUUCCCAAGAAAGUUCUAAACAGAUUUAAGACAAACAAAACCUUGACCCAAUGCUUAAAAGCUGGGUAUGCCUAAUUGUUCUCUGAGAUAUUUUUUAGUGAGAGAAUCCCAUGAAGGAGGGUUGAUAGGGCAUUUUGGAGUUGUAAAAACUUUAUCAAUUUUGCAUGAACACUUCUAUUAUACCAUUAAAGCUUCAAGUGAUCCUUUGCACAUUCAUGGAGGCCCAAUUACAAGAGCUAGAGCCAAAAAGAUGCAAGCUGCUUUAAAUGGAUUAAUUGAGAAAAUAUGGAUUGAAAAUGCAAUUCAAGAUGCAAGACAUCAUGAAUUGGGCUUGAAGAGAAGACAAGGCAUUGUGGGCAUUAUUCAAGUUAUUGGGCAGCCAAAUACACAAUUUGUAUCAAAUGCAGAAAUGUCAAAUUCGGAAUAAAAUUGGUAUUGAUUGAGCUACAAGUAAUGUGCAAGCUAUAUACCUUUGGAAAGAUAAUUAAGUUACCUUUCCAAUGCAUUUUACAAAGCUAGAGUUAGAGUUUUCUAGAAGGAGUUAUGACCAAUUCAUUACAGCUUGUUCAGACUUGAGAUUUUCAACAACUCCUUUGUUUUUCAACUUCAUUUGUUUGUUUUGUUUCAAGUUUGUCAAUGUGUAAGGUGAGUCUACCAUCAAUAAUGGUGGGCUAACAUUAAGUUUGUCAAUGAUAGCAUUAAUUAUAGUAGGCUAGCAUUAAGUUUGUCAAAGAUAGCAUUAAUUAUGGUGGGUUGGUGAAGACUUUUGAAGCAUCCUUUCACAAACCUACUUAUUCAAACCACCAAUUUAUUGAUGAAUACAGACACUCCAAGUUAUUCAAACCACCAUUCCUACAGCUCUUGCAGUCAUUUAUGAAUAGUUUAUUGGGGAGCCAGCAGCAUCCAUUAAAGCUUCUUGAAAAGAAUAUCACCAGAUGAAAUGUUGUUCCCUUAAACGACAUCACCUGGAAAUGCAUUACACACGAAUGAGCAUGCUUUAUUAAAAAUUGAAUGGAUUCAAUGAUCCAUCUUUAAAGCAUCUUUUUGCUGCAUCUUUACCAUCAGAACUUCAGCCAGAGCUUCAAAGCCAAUUGACAGCCUUUAAUCUCGACAUAGCAAAUGUCUCCCUUGGAAAAAUCUUCCAGUUAACCAUGUUAUGCCUUGAUAAGAUAUGCGAGCAAAAAGAUUUCUUCAAAGACUUUAUUGAACACAAAGAACCCUUUGCCUCAGCCUGUAAAAAAACCUACCUCAAAAUCCAGUGCAAAGAUGACAAAAAGUGCACUUGUCCAACCAACAAAAAGAAACACUUCCACAGAUCCUCUUCCAAAAAACCAAAGAAGCCUUACAGAUACUUCUAAAAAAAGGAUCCUUCCCAGUUCAGAAAGAAGAAAAACAAUCGCUGUUUUAUUUGCAAAAAGUGCGGACAUUUUACCCUUAAUUGCCCAAAUAAGUGCCCAAAUAAGUCAGCAAAAGUUGUUCGUCUCAUUUAGCACUUACAGCAAUCUUCUAUCCUUUCUGAUAAUGAAGAUGUUGAAUCCAUCUUCUCAGAGCAAUCAGAGAAAGAUGACCAUACAGCCUUUAUUCUUGCAGACUCAAUAGAUUCAGAACCAGAUGAAAUUUCUGUGAUCUCCACUAUCCAAGAAGUUAACCAUAUCCGUCCCAAACUCACUGGCCCUUCUGUAAAAAUUUCAAUCCUCCAUUCUAAAUUCCAUAAACCUGUCUCAAUCAUUGGUUUCCUUGAUAGUAGCGCACAACGCAGUAUGCUCAAUCCUAGCAUCCUCCUUUCGGAUUAUUGGGAAAAACCAUACUGAAAACCUCUCUCAUUACCAAAAAACCCAUUGGUAUUCAGUUCUUUCCAAACUGUAUCAUUUGGCAAAAAAUUAUUGGUUCAGAUUUACCAGACAAAGAUCUCCUUCUGGGAUUUGAUAUUCUCCAACUGGUAAAAAAUCUCUUCAUCAUUGCCACAUGCAUUAGAUUCAAGCAAAUGUUUAUUCCAUAUACAUAUGUUCUCCGUCUGUAUACAUUGUUAGAUACACCUCCCCCUUAUACCUCCAUUUCUCAAAAGUUCCUUGAACUUUGUCCUGAAAAUCAUUCCCAAUUUACUCAUCCAUCACCACUUUGGAAAAAUGAACAGUUUUUCAUCCAUCUUCCUUUCAAACUCAAUGAAGAUGUUAAUCCCACAAAAGCUACACAUCCAAGGAUGCCUCCCUCUAAUCUCUCUCUCGCCAAGCAAGAAUGCACUCAAUUGCUUAGGCAAGGUCUCAUCGAACCCACUACUUCAGAUUGGGCUUGUCAAGUUUUUAUGUUGAAAAAUGAUCUGAAUUAGUUCAUGGGAAAAAGAGAUUAGUCAUUGAUUACCAGCCGCUUAAUGCUUUCUUUAAAGAUGACAAGUUUCCUCGUCCAAAGAUUCAAUCCCUAUUCAUUCAUCUUCAAGGUGCAAAGGUAUUUUCAAAGUUUGAUCUUAAAGCUGGUUUUUGGCAACUUGGUAUUUCUCCAGAAGACCGUCCCAAAAACAGCCUUCUGUAUCCCUGAUGCUCAUAUCAGUGGAUAGUCCUACCCUUCGGUCUCAAAGUUNNNNNNNNNNNNNNNNNNNNNNNNNNNNNNNNNNNNNNNNNNNNNNNNNNNNNNNNNNNNNNNNNNNNNNNNNNNNNNNNNNNNNNNNNNNNNNNNNNNNUCCUGAAAAGAAAAGCAACAUUGGAAAGGAAUCUAUUGACUUUCUUGGCAUGGUCUUAAAAGAUGGCCACUACCAUCCAGGACUACACAUCGCAGCUGAAUUAUUAAAGUUUCCAGAUGAUAAUCUCAACAAAAAACAAAUUCAACAGUUCCUUGGAAUUUUUAAUUAUGUCAGAGAUUUUACUUCUAAAGUUGCGGUCCACACCAGCCAGCUAUCAUGCAUGCUUAAAAAGCACACUCCACCAUGGGGUCCGGCUUAGAUAGAAGCUGUAAAACAGCUAAAAAAGAUAGCACAGUCACCUCCUCCACUCAGAAUCCCCACUACAGUCCAACGCAUUCUCCAGACAGAUGCUAGUGAUGACUUUUGGAGUGCCAUCCUUCUGGAAAAGAUAGGUGACUCAAAGUCCUAUUGCACUCACACAAGUGGACAAUUCAAAGAUUCAGAAAAAAAUUACCACGUGGUUUACAAGGAAAUUCUUGCAGUAAAGAAUGGAAUCAAGAAAUUUGAGUUUCAUCUCCUCAGCCACAAUUUCCUUAUCCGGAUGGAUAACAGUUCUUUCCCAAAGAUCUUUGACUUCAAGAACAAAUUGCUUCUCAAAGUAUGAUUUCAUAGUCCAACACAUCAAAGGUGAUAGAAAUCUUAUCCCUAAUUUCCUCACCCGACCAUCUAUAAAAAGCCUUGUUCUCAUCUCUUCCAUCAAAACUAUCCUAGUCAUAGCAAUGAAUCGAUCACUCCCCUUCAAAGCUUUAACCCAAAAAGCUUUUCCCCUAAACCUCACAUUCCGAUCGGCUUUCCAAAUCCAAGAGUUUGCAAAGAAAUUCCUUUACAAGUAUUUCAUGAAUGUUCACCGAACCAAACCAGAAAGGUUCCCUUCUUUGUGUUUAGAACACCUGUUUCUCACUAGCUUCACUAUUGUUCCAAAUAUCAACAUCUCUGAAGAUGAGUUAUGGUACAUGUGGUGUCUAACAGUCUUGUUUGCCACAAAACUAGUUUUUCCUGUCAGACCAGUCCUCUGACAGAUCUCCACACCAGAUCAUGCCCCCACACUCCUCUGGACACUCCUUGAAUGGUUUUCACCACUCACCUGGUGGCGUAAACAAUUGCAGAAUAUAUCUAACUUUCAUCAGUUAGAUAUAAUUCCAGAUCAAGAAGUAGAUAUGUGGACUUUGGUAUUCAUAGUUCACAGACCAUAUUUCCAACAUCCUGAAACAAAAGACUACUGAACACAGGACAUGGUGUAUGAAUGGAAAACUUUCCCUCAUCCUUUCCCUCUCAAUCAUGAUCCCACAAUCAUCUCCACUCUCAAAGCCUAUUUGUUCGAACUCAACAAUAUUCAACCUGUUCCAACAAACAUUCAUCAUACAUCCAUUGGUCCUUCUCACACUCUUGAAAUUAUACCAAGAACCCAAACUUGUAAUCCUGGUACCAAUUCCGGUCCUCAUGGAAUUCUUGUUCGUGAACAACGGCCUGAUUACACUAAUGUUCUCUUCCAAGAUGCCUAAGACCCUUGGGAAGACUUCCAGUCUUUGUUGCCAACCCCAGAAUCUCAGUACACUGUCACUGAACCAGGUUCUUCUUCUACUCCAACCCAAGCACAAUGACCAACAAGCCCCGAAUUAAAUGAAGAUAUCCUAAUUUACCAAGAGAUCCAAAGAGCAAAAGAAGAAUAUGAAAAUGAAACCAGUGACGUGUCCCCAUCCAGAUUUCCCUCAACUCCAUAAUCACCUCACAUGGCUACAGAGUCAUCCGGGAAUCUCAGGUUUUCCUACUUUCAAUAAAGGACAUGGGUCCUACCUUGUCUAAAGUGUGUUUUAGCUUUUAUGCUUUUGCUUUUGCUUUAAUUAUGGUUUGCUUUUGCUUUAUGCUAAAAGAAAAGAUAAAGGUCCUGUCUUAUCUUGGCUUUCCAGCUCUAUUUAAGAGCUCUCUCAUCUUUGUAAAUGUCAGAUUGCCAUCAAUAAUAUUUCUAAGCUUUCAAAGUCUUAUGGCUUACUAAGUUUCCCUUCUUCUUCUAGGUAAUGAAAAAAAUACUUGAGUUAUUAAACUAAGAGCGUUCAUCUCUUCUUUAUAUACUGAGUAUGCUCUACACUUGCCUUGCUUCAAGGAUCCUGUGUAUAAGAAAAGUCCUGAUUUAUUUAUAAAACCGAUUUAAAAUGAAACUAUUUUCUCACAACGUUCACCCUCUUUGAAGGUCAGAGGUGACCUGUUUUCGGGUGGUAUCGUGAUCAAUGGUUUUUCUUUUAGGUUUUAUACUCAGGAAUUAUAGGUAUAUCGGCUGGAAACCAGAACUUGCGGACUAUUGGUCUAAAGGAUAGUCUAGCACUAUCAUAGUUCAGGUGUAACAACGCCACAUACUUGUUCCCACUGGUUGCUCUAAUCAUGGCAACCUCCAUUUCUUUAUAAUAAUCCUCUACGCUUCGGCUACCCUGUGUAAGACUUUGUAAUUUUUUGUACAAGCCUUGAUUGUAGUGGUUAGGUACAAAAUGCCUUCUCAUCAACGAUUUUAUUUCAUCCUAUAUCUCAACUAGACGUUCCUUAUUCCACCUCCUGCUUAUUUCAAGCUAAUUCCACCAAGUAACAACAUUGUCAGAAAACUCAAUUAGAGCUCCAUUUUCUUCUCUUAUUCAAGGUAUGCUUCCGGGUCAUAUUUACCUAGAAAAGAAAGGAUCUUCAUCUUUAUGCCACUCAAACCAUCAUCCCUAUUCUUAGCUCUCCUACCCUGUCCAUCUCUCCUAUAACUACCCAUUGAGUCCUCCCCUCAUCAUACUCAUCUCUAUAAUAGUCAUCAAUCUCUCCUCUAGCCAGAGCUCUCUUCCUCAUUCGUGCUUGGGGAAUGGGUUUUAGUUGCCCCGUACGUGUGUUCUCUACUUGAUCCAAACGCUCGUGUAUGUGCUCUAAUUCAGCUCUCAUCAUCCUUCUUAUCUCUCUCAUCAAUGCUUGAAUUUGCAAAUUCUAAGUAGCUACGGAUUGAUCCUCUUCAUUCGUGUUUCGUUUUGGGUUGUGAGACAUGGCUACCAUCUGCAAAGAAAGUUAGAAAUAAUGUGGAAAGGACCUCACCCCACUCCCUUAUGUGUUUCACAAAAAAAAAAAUGAUUCACUUGAUUCCACUCAUGUUUCACUCAAAUUUAUUGGCUUUUACCCUCUACUAUACUCGCACUCUCUUGCUUUUUUCCACUCGUAGUAGUUAUCACUUGGUUUUUAUCAAACUAAUCAAACCAAUAUAAAGAUUUCACUAGCUAUUCACAAGAUUAUACCAAGGAGACUCGAAUUUCGAAAACAAGAAUACAAUGCGUAUGUACGAUUGGGUUUUGAAAGCACAAAUUACCAAAAUUUUGGGCAAAAAUUUCACUUACGGGGUAAAACCAAUUUUGGACUCUUCAAGACACUAAUAAUCCAAAAUGAACAAAAGAUUUUAAGCAGAGGUCAGGGACUUUUUUUUCACUAUCCUCUUCCUUCUUAUCUUGUUUCUUUGUUUCCUUCAUUUUUUGGGAUCGUUUUUUUAUUUUAGGGAAAGGAAUAGGUAAAAUUUACAAAUUUAAUGAGAAUUAAACCACAAGGAUGCAAAAUUGAUAAAAAGAAGCACUAAAAAUACUAUUCAUGCAGCAUUGUUCACAUGAUACUGUUCAUGCGAUACUGUUCACAAGGCACUAUUCACUUUUUUUUUAAAUAUUAGAACAAGAAUGAAAAAUCUCAAACAAGAAUGAAAAACCAUAAAGAUAGAUGAAUCUAACCUUGGUGCCUAAGCUAUGAUACCAAAAUGAUAUGAACCUCGCCAAGAACUGACGCGACCGUAAUCAAUUUAGUCUCUAAUAUCGAAUUUAAACCUAAAAUUGAAUGGAAUCAUGACUCGAUGCUCAAUGAAAUCAUGAACCUUGAUAUAUGAGGAUGCCAUAAUCAGUUAUGGAUGAUCAUUUUAUUAUUUUUUGCUCUGCUCCUAACAAAGAGAAGCUGAGCUUAUAUAGGAGGAAAACCAAGGAAAAGGAUAGGACAGGGCCCCUAUCACUUUUCUAAAAGCAAAGACAAAAUUAUAAGCGACAAUCUUUUGGAAAAGUAAAAGCAAUAAAGACAAAUUAAAGCAUGACUCAUGCUUUAAUUAUUACAAACAUUGAAAAGCAAAAGGAAUAAAGACAAAUUAAAGCAUGACUCAUGCUUUAAUUAUUACAAACCUUUGAAAAAGUAAAUGAAACUUGCAUGAAUCACAGAGAUGAGAGAUUCAUGUAGUCUUCAUCAGAUGAGCUGUCAGUUUCAUCUUUAUCUUUUGAAAAGAGGACUUUGAGUGAUGGACAUGGAGUUUCUGGUGGAUGUUGAUGAUCUGGGCGACAGGGUGGCCAAGGGCAAAAUAUCUUACGCCAAGAAGAGGAUGGGUGUUCAUUGGAGCCGGGCGGGGUGCUAGAACUUGCUUUAUUUGUUGGAUCAUCUGAGGCUUGUGUUGGUGGAGUUGGUUGGAGGUUUUGGAGUUGUUGGCUUAAGGGCAAGAAUGCCUCCCAUGGGUCUUGUGCCUCUUGGUAUAGAAAAUUAGUGAAGUCUAGUUUUUCUUCCUUGAUGAUAAUGCCCGUGGAUUUAGGUUUUGAAAUUGCUGAAGGAGUGGGGAUCAUGAUGAUAUCAUGCUGUGGACCGAGGGAGGUGUGAGAAAUGUCCCUGUAAGGAGCAAGUUGGUGGUUCAGUUCACAAAGGAAAUUAUAAAGUUCCUUUUGAACUUUCUCGUCUUGUUCAAGGAUGGAUGGAUGAGGUGUGGUGAACCAUUCAAAAACUUGAUCUUGAGUCCAGAAGAAGUGUGUAUCUGGAUGUUGGAAGUAUGGUCUAUGAAUAAUGAACACAGAUGUGAACAUUUUUGCUUCUGAUGCUGGCAUACGUUCUAAGUUAUGAAAUUGUGACAAUUGUUGAAGUUUCAUUCUCCACCAUAGAAUUGGAGAAAACCAUUCAAGAAGCGUCCAGAUGAGUGAGGUUGAUUUGUCUGGAUUGAACAAAUGCUCUAAGGUGGCUAUUACUGGAACAAUCAGUUUGGUGGCAUAGAGGACAGUUAGGCACCCGAUGUACCAUAAUUCGUGUUCUGAAAUGUCUCUAGAGGGAUCCAGAGUUAAACCUAUAAGAAACAAGUUUUCUGGAUAGAAAUUGGAAAAUGGAAAUGAGUCUGAUAAGAGAUAGGCUUUCAUGAAAAACCUAAAUACAACUUUCUUUGCAAACUCUUGUAUGGCAAAGACUGUGGUGAAAGUUUUCCCAAGGAGAAAGGUUUUUUGGGUAAGGCCUUGUGAGGGGAGUGAAGUACCCAUGAAGAUGACAGGAAAAUGGUAAUCUGAGGAUAUGAAAAACAAGGAUUUAUCUGGUUUAGCAAGUCGUGAGAGCAUAUCAGGAAUAAGGUUGUAGUCUCCUUUUAUAUGCUUCACAGAGAAAUCAUAUUUUGAAAACCAGUCUUUUAGCCUAAGCAACAUUUUUUCUAGAACAUUUUUCCCUUUGAAAUUCAUGAUGUUGGGAAAAGCUGAGUUGUCCAUUCUGACAAGAAAGUGAUAGCCGAUAAGAUGAUACUCGAAAGUGUCCCUUUGAAAUACCAUGCCUGACAGUUAAAAUUUCUUUGAACACACUGUGGUAAUGGAUUUGUGUGUUAGAAAAGUGUCCACUGGCAUAGGCAAUAAAGUGUUCUUUGCAAUCUGUUUCUUCAAGGAGGAUGGCCCCCCAUGAUUCGUCACUUGCAUCAGUCUACAAUAUUCGCCUGCCAUCAGAGAUGAGCUUUAAUGGUGGCGGAUGUUGCGCAAUUUUCUUUAAAGUUGUGACAGCAAGUGUGUGGUUGUGAUUCCACAAAGGUGGAUUCUUUUUCAGCAGGGUUGACAGCUGGCGGGUGUGGUGAUCAACAUGAGGAAUAAAAUCCCUGAUAUAAUUAAUAAUACCAAGGAACUGCUGGAUUUGCCUUUUGGAAAGAUUCUGAUCUAGAAAGUGGAUGAGCUUUUGAGCAAUGUGCUUUCUUGGUUGAUAGUGGCGAUCUUUGAUAGUCAUUCUAAGGAAUUCAAUGUUAUUUGUGGCAAUUGUGCUUUUCUUUGCUGAUAACAUGAUUCCAUGAGAUUGAAUAAUAUCAAAGAAUUGAUUUAACAAAUGGCAAUGAUCAUCUUGUGUACCUGAAAACAACAAAAUAUCGUCAAUGUAAAUCAAUGCACUAUGCAAAAUGGGUUGGAAGAUUUGGAUCAUGGUUUUUUGGAAAAUAGAUGGGGCUGUUUUAUGACCAAAGGGUAAAACUGUCCAUUGAUAGUGGGCAUUGGGAAUGCAAAAGGCAGUUUUAUAACGUUCUGAAGGUUUAAUUCCAAGUUGCCAAAAUCUGGAUUUAAGAUCAAAUUUGGAAAAGAGUUGAGCAUUUCUGAGAUAGGUGAACAUGUUUAGAGGAAUUUGUCAUCUUGUAAAAACAUGUUUAGAGGUUGAUAGUCAAUGACUAAUCAUUUUUUUCCUCUAACAAUCUCAGAAUGUUUUUCAACAUAAAAAGCUUGACAAGCCCAUUGAGAACUAGUGGGUUCAAUAAGACCUUGGGCCAGUAAUUGAGAACAUUCCUUUUGGGCUAGAACUAAGUCGGAAGGACUCAUUCCUGGAUGGGUGGCUUUGGUUGGAUUGACAUCUUCAUUCAACUUGAAAGGCAAUUGAACAAAGAAAUGUGGAUUUUUCCACAAAGGUUUUGGAUGGUGAAAGUCAGCAUGAGACUCAGGACAAUAUUUCAAAAAUUUUGUGGAAAUGUCUUGGAAGGGCUGGGAGGUUUCAGACAAUCCAUAAAGCUUAAGAACAUUGGUGAAUGGUUUAAACAUGGACUUGACUCGGAUUCCAGUAGGAAUGAUUUGGAGGUGUUUUAUCUGGUGAAUGAUAUCAAAUCCUAACAAGAUAUCCUUAUUAGGCAGAUGGGAACCGAUGACUUUUGUCCAGAUAACACAAUUGGGAAAGAUUUGAAUACCAAUGGGUUUUUUGGUAAUCAACUUGGUGGUGAAGAAUUUUCCAAGACUGAGAUAGAAGAAUGUCUGGGUUUAACAUACUUCUUUGAGCUCCAGUAUCAAGAAGUCCAAUGGCGGGAAUUGGUCUCUGGAAUUUGGAAGGUAAGAUUUGGAGUUUUAUGGAAGGGAUAGGGAUGGUAGUGUCUAGAGACAAAAGUUGUUGGUGAAAAACAGUUUGAAAUUCAUCAGUUUCAGAAUCAUCGGAUGAGUUUUACAGUGCGAACACUGUUUCAUCAGUAGGCUCCUCUUGUUCUAAGAAGUAGGACUCUCUUUCAUCUUUGCUAGGAGAAUAAUCAGUGGUAGCCUAUAAGUGUUUAAGAAGUCUGAUUGCUUUAUCCUUUUUGUUGGGGCAAUCUUUAGCAUAAUGGCCUUUCUUUUUGCAAAUGAAGCAUCGGCUUGACUUUCUCCUUUUCUGUUCUCUGAAAGAACUAGAUCUUUUCCCUGAAAAACUUGUAUGAUUUUUGCCUGGAUUUUGAUCUAGGAAACGAAUCUGGGUUUUUGAAUUUUCAAAAAUGCUUCUUCUUUUUUGUGCUACAAUCACAAUCUUUCUUUUUCUUGCAUUUGAUAUGUAAGUAAGGCUUUUUGCACGCACCUCGGAAAGGCUCUUUGUCUUUUAAUAGUUCUUUGAAGAACUGUUUCUGUUCACAUAAUUUUUCCAAACAUCCUUUGCCGAUCUGAAAGAUCUUUCCUAAGGAAUUGUUGUCAAUGGUGAGAUUGAGACUCAUAAGCUGCCUCUGUAUGUCUGGUUGUAAUUCUUCAGGUAAUGAGGCCAGAAAUACAUGUUUGAGAGUCAGAUCAUUGAACCCAUUGAGCUUAUAAAACAGGAAAAUAUCUGAAAAAGAAAAAUAAUGUAUUUUCCCACCAUAAUGUGCAAGCUAACUCCUUAUUUCAUGGAAGUGAUUAUUUGGAAACUUCAUCUUCCUUUACUUGGACACUCAAAGCUUUCCUCGCUACUGAAGUCAAUUCCCCAGGGGCUAUAUACUCUUCAUCUUCGACAUCCUCUAAUGGUGGCAUCUCAUUUUCUUCCAUUUCAUCUUCAGUUACAAUAUCACCAUUGCAAUAUUAUUCACACAUUCACUUGCGAUAUGCCCCCUGCCUUGACAUUUAAAACACUUAAUGUCACAAUUCCUAAUAGUAGGAGUCACAGUGUUACCUUGCAAAUUGUGCUUGGAGGGCUCGGAUCUUAGCUUAGGUGUAGUAGAUGCUUGUGGCCUCUCGUCUCGUUUCACAUAGGUCAACUUCCAAGGAGUGGAACUCAAGCUUGGGGCUACACGAGUGUUACCCCUCCUCUUGAGCUGCUGCUCAAUCUUGAUGGGUUUGUUGACCAUCUCCUCAAUCUCCACAUAAUGUUGCAACUCAACCUUAUCCGCAAUUUCCCGAUUAAGACCAUUUAAGAAUUGUGCCAUGGUAGCUUCUCUAUCCUCCUCCACAUUUGCUCUAAUCAUGGAAAUCUCUAUUUCUUUAUAAUAAUCCUCCACGCUUCGGCUACCCUGUGUAAGAUGUUGUAAUUUUUGGUACAAGUCUCAAUAAUAAUGGUUAGGUACAAAAUGCCUUCUCAUUAAUGAUUUCAUUUCAUCCCAUGUCUCAACUGGACGUUCCCUAUUUCGCUUCCUACUUAUAACAAGCUGAUCCCAUCAAGUAAUAGCAUAGUCAGAAAACUCAAUCACAACCAAUUUUACCUUUUUUGUCUUUAAAUAAUUGUGGCAGUCAAAUAUGAACUCCAUUUUAUUCUCCCAUUCAAGGUAUGCUUCUGGGUCGGAUUUUCCUUGAAAAGAUGGAAUCUUCAUCUUUAUGCCACUUAAUCUAUCAUUCCUAGCUCUCCUACCUUGUCCAUCUCUCCUAUAGCUACCCACUAAGUCCUCCCUUGCAUCAUACUCAUCCCUAUAAUAGUCAUCAAUCUCUCCUCUAGUUGGAGCUCAUCCUCUCCUAUGUGCUUGGGGAAUGGGUUGUGACUGCCCUGCACGUGUGUUCUCCACUUGAUCCAAAUGCUCAUGUAUGAGCUCUAAUUCAGCCCUCAUCAUCCUCCUCAUCUCUGCCAUCAAUGCUUGAAUUUGUAAAUUCUAAAUAGUUGCGGAUUGAUCCUCGUCAUUUGUAUUUCGUUCUAGGUUGUGAGAUAUAGCUAACAUCUGCAAAAGAAAGUUAGAAAUAAUGUGGAAAGGACCUCACCUCACUCUCUUACGUGUUUCACUCAAGAAAAUGACUCACUCAAUUCCACUUGUGAUUCACUCAAAUUAAUUAGCUUUUACCCUCUAAUACGCUCACCCUCUCUUGCCUUUUUCCACUCUUAGUAAUUCUCACUCGGUUCUUAUCAAACUAAUCAAACCAAUAUCAUGAUUUCAGCAGUAAUUCACAAAGAUGACACUAAGGAGUAUUUAAUUUCAAGAAUAAGAAGGCAAUGUGUACAAAAGUCGAGUUUUGAUUUUGGGCAAAAUUUUCACCUAUGGGGUAAAACUUGUUUUAGACUUCCAAGACACAAAUCCGAUAAGUUCAAAGAGUUCGUAAAGAACAAAAAGAAUUAACUCUCUCACCAAUUGCAUCAAAAACUUCUCCCCUGUUUAUUGGAUUCGAGUACAUUAUAUAGGGUUGGUUACAAGAAUUUUUGGAAAUAAAUCCUAACCAAAAAUCAAACUGAAUAUGAAUCUUCCCUAAUAGGAAAGAAUCUAAAUCAAAUUAUAAUCCUAAUCUAAGUAAAUAGGAAAGAAUAUAAACGAAAUCAGAAUCCUAAUCUAAGUAAAUAGGAAAGAAUCUAAAUCAAAUCAAGAUCCUAAUUGGCUUAAAUGCCUUACAUCAAUUAAAUGGAAACUAGGCGAUUAAAAUAGAAAUAAUUGAUUUGUUUCCCCAAUAGCCUCCUCCAGAAAUGGGAAAGUAUCUGAAAAAGGAAAAUAAUAUAUUUUCCCGCCAUAAUGUGCAAGCCAACUCCCUAUUUCAUGGAAGUGAUUAUUUGGAAACUUCAAGAGCUUGAAUCAUGCAUUUAUCAUGUGCGAUUCCUUCAACGGGCCUCCACGAAUUUGAUUGAGCCCAAGUUGCUUGAAUCAAUCCAUUAAGCGCUUCUUUGAAUUUCUUUGCUCGAGCUCUUGUAACGGGUCUGAUGGGAACUUGAGUAGGAUCUGAAUAUGCCUAUCCCAUGUGCUUGUAAUAGUUUUAUCCUUAAUCUCAUCAUUUAAUGCUGGCAACGUGGAUGAUGAUGAAGAGGAGGUACAUAAAGAUGACAAUAUGAAUAUGAAUUUAGGUAGUGAGUAUAUUAAUGAUCAAUGUAUGGAAAAUUUUCUUGAUGAUAUGUCAUAUCCAUGAAAUCAAAUGCCCAACCUCGUCAAUCUGACAAAGCUCCUAGUAGUUUAAUAAAUAAGACUAGGAAAAGAAAAACCAAAGACGAUUCUCCAUUGACCAAAUGUGCUCAAAUAUUAGGGCAAUGGCUAAGUCAGUUUUAGCCAUGGUACCUAAUAUAGAUGGUUUGAUUAAUGUAUAUUCUACUAUUCAUAAGGAAGUAACUUAUUUACUAGCUAAGUUGUAUGAAGAAAUGAUCAAAUUUGAUGGCGUAGAUGAGGAUUAGAUGUACGAUGUGACUAACAUCUUAGCUAUGAAACAUGAUUUAUUACGUGUAUUCUUUACCUUGCCUUACUAACUCAGAAAGGGAUAUGUCCUUCAAAUGCUUUUUCUUAGAAUGUAGUGCUAUAUCAGUUAUGAAGUUGGAGUUUUGAACUUGUUUUGCUCUGUGUUGACAUUUUCGAAGUUCUAUGUAUAGCAAAUUGAUUAAUGAACUCAUGUUGCUUGAACUGGGGAUUUUAAAUUUAAUAUUUAUAUUAGGUUACAGAACUUAUGUUUUUUAAACUUUAGUUGUGUUGACGUUUUAGUUCUAAGAAAGUUGAUAUAAAGAUGAUAAAUUAAAGAUGUACAGGUAUAAGACUUAUAAAAUUCUUAUAUACCAUAUCAGAUUUUCACGUCCAUACUUUAGUGCCAGUCACUCAAUCUAUUUUGUUUUCAAAUAAUUUUGUGAUUUUAGUCAUAUUUUUUAUUUUCUUUAAUAUAUUUUAAUAAUUAUGUAGUAUUUUUAUAUAUUAUUUUGAGCAUGUCUACCCUUUGUCAACAAACUAGAAAAAAAUUCACAAAAUUAAAAUAUAAUAACAGAAAAUUGAAAAUAAAAAGAAAAUUAUUUAAUUUUUUCAUAACUAAAACCAAAUUACCUUUUGUAUUAAAUUAACAUAAUUAAAAUAAAAAAUAUUUUUUUUGUUUUUUAGUUCACUCAAAAUCAUAACAUUAAGGUAGAAUAAACAUGUUUAUAUUUUAUUUGAGGGUAGAUUUCAUCUUACUUCCUUAUUGGAUUGACCCUCCAAAAAUUGUUAUUUUUAAUAGCUUUCUAACAUUGACUAAUUAAAAUACCAAAAUACACAACUUGUAACAGAGUAAGCUAUUAACGAUAGUGUAUGACUUCAGAAACAACUAUAUACAAUAAAAUAUGAAAGUAAGUUGUUUAUAAGAUUUAAAUAUUCAAAAAGUGAAAUGCCUCAAUGAGCCAAAUAUAAUCAUUACUCUUAAUUACGGCUUUGAAGUUUAAUAAAUUACGAAGAUUGCCAUUAAUGUUAUUUGUUAAUUGGGCUUUGAAGUUGAAAAAAUUACAAGGACUGCCAUUAAUGUUAAUAGAAUUUGGGCUUUGAAGUUGGACAUAUUGCAUUGCAUGCCAUUAGUUAUUUAGUUAAAAAUAGCUGAUUGUUACAAAAACAGCCAAAAUUCAAAAUUCAAAAUUGUAUUUAGCAGGUUCGUGCCUUUAAUUAGUUAGCUCCCAACACAUUUUAGUGGCCACAAAAUUAUAAAUGCCAUCAGAAUAUCAACAAAGCAAAGCUAAAACAACAACAAUAAUGUCAUCAUCCAAAGGAGCUAGUAUGGUUAUGCAAAUGAAGAUGAGGAGCUGAAGAUCAAUGGCAAAUUUAUCAAGUUAAGAAAUAAAUUUUGCACUGUCUGUAGUGACCUAAGUAUCAGUGAAAAUCUAAGAGUAUUCCAAAUCUCAAAGGUUGUACUAUAAAUACGAGACAAAAACUUGUAAUUUUUUCAGGUGGUGGGAAUCAACUGAGUACAAAAUAAUUGAUAGAGGAUGAGAAUAUUAGAUGAUGAUUUUGAAGAUAAUUAUAAGUUGGUAGAUGAAGAGUACAAGGUUUUGAAGGCUGUUAAUGACCUCGUUACAAAAUUAGAUCCAAUGAUAAGGCUGCUGCAAGUUAUCCUCAUAAUAAUAUCAUUGUGUAUUCUAUAUUUGUGGUAUACUAGAAACAAGUAAAGUAGAAAACUAGCAUUGAAAAAGAUGUGGCAUUUCAAAAAAGAGCUCAUGUAUUGCAUUUUGUAAGCUUUAUUAAAGUGUUUGUGAUACAUAUAUUUAAUUAGUAUUGCAAUUAAUAUUCAACAACAGCUAACUAUAUUAUCCUUUCUGCUGCAAUUACAAGAACUUCAAUGUCUAUACCAAAUAUUUUUUGCAACACCCCUAAAAGGUAUACUCAAUAAGCUUCAACAUAACUACUAUCUUCACACUUAAUUAAAGACAAAACAAAAGAACAAAAAACAUUGUAAAGUAGUGAACAACAAAGCAAAAGUUUGAUGCUGCCUCAACUUCCUUUUGGCUAAACCUGAUAGCCUCUAUAACACAAGUUCAUAGCCUAACAACAUAGCAAGAAAUGAAUAGACAAACAAUUUAUAGUACAAUUAACAACCUUUGAGAGAAAAAUAUAUAGGUAAUUCAAUCAGAUCAUAGCUUACCAACCAUUUUUAACCAUUACUUUGCCCUUGUCCUUCAAGUAUCUCAAUCUUGCAGGUGUAGAUUAAGGAGUAACCCUUGCAUAUAUUGGACCUUCUCCAAUAAGAAUCUCUCCUACAUAUGUCCUUAGUAAUGGAUCAACAAUAUCAUUUGUUUUUCCUACUUGCAUUGUUGCUACAUUCCUUGUGGUUUCCCUAGUUGUUGAACCCAUUGUUGCUUGACUUUGCAUUUGUGUUGAUGUCAAAGGUGAGAGCUGAGCUAUUGUGCCUUUAUGAUUAAUGGAAAAGAAAUGCUAAAAUACUAAGGAUACACUUCAAUUUACCCCCACUAGACUGACAUAUUACAAAUUAACCCCUAAUAAGACUAACAUAUUUUGCUCUCUAAUCAAAAGUCAACUUCAAAACUUGAAGCUAGUGAAUGUUGAUAGUAGUGAAAAAUAAUUAUAAGUAUCAGUUAGCAAUACUAGUAGUUUGUAAGUUGUCAGCAACAUGGCCUCUUGCAAAUGAUACAUCUGAGCUUGAAGUUGCUGCCAAUGUCUUCUAAUGUUUCUUCAAACAUAAAGCAAAAACCAAAUAACAUUUGCAUUAUUAUUUUGCAUAAAUUAAAAGAAAUAUCAAAUAAUAAUAAGAAAUUAUUGCAUGUUUUAACCAUUGUCUUACCAUCAUGGUCCUUGUUUUCUUAUGUGCAUUGGUUGGGUCAGUAGGGCUACGUCUUCUAUUAUAGAAAAUAACUCAACAUAAUUGGCAGCAUAUUGUGAAUCAUCUCUUAUGAGCUGGUGGUUCAUAAAGCUCUCUUCUUCUGUAUAUAUUGGGCCUGCACGGUGGUCUUUAAAUAUCUAAGGCCAAGAUUUCCUCUCCUUCUACAUAUGGCCAUUUAGAUUUGUUAGGCAAAGGAUGAAUCAUACUUGAGUAACAUCUUAAAUAUGCCUCCUAUGAUUAACAAUAAGCAACAAAUUUCUCAUAAGUGCCCCUCAUAUGAGCUAUACAAGUCAUGCAUGCCCGUAAGGUAAGCCACUUAUUUGCCACAACCCACAAUAACAUAUAUGCUCUUGUAAGUUAACAACCCAUGACUCUGGAGUAGAUUCAACUCUAGAUAGCACUUCACUUUUGGUGUAACCUUAUUAGGGAUGGCAAAUUGGUCUAUCCUAAUUGGAUAUCCAUAUAUCCAAUCCAAUUGAAUUGGAUAAUAUCCAUCCAAAAUCUUUUUGGAUAUGGAUAUGGAUAUAGAUAUUUUUAAAAAUAUCCAAUUAAAAAUUAAAUGGGUAUGGAUAUUUGAUGGAUAUCCAAAAUCCAAUUAAUAUCUUAUUUGAAGUUUAAAAAAUUAAUAUUGUAAAACUAAAAUGAAAAAAACAAAAACAAAUGCCCUAGAUUAUCGAUUUAGCAAACCCUAAGAUUAUCACCAGCCGCUCGUCGGUCGCUGGCGCUCAUCUCUUGCCGGCCGAUUGUCACUCAUUGGCGUUCAUCACUUGCCGCUCACCUCUUCCCUGAAGCUACCGAGCUGCAGUUCUUAUUGAAGAAAUCCCAGCCCUCUUUGCAGCACUGGAGUUUUUGUUGAAUAAACCCCAGGUAUCUGUUCAACAUUUUCCCAAAAAAUCUCAAAUCUCUCUUGUCUCUCACAGUUGAUCCAAUCCACGCUCAUGUCUCCCACAAGGCUCUCUCUAAAUUUCUUCUUCCUGCUCUCAUUCUAUUUAUUAAUUUGCAAAUCUUUCAGUUCUACCGCCAUUAUUAACCCAUCUAAAGUCAAACAAAUUUCUUGGAAACCUAGGUCCCCAUUUAUUUUCUGCGAUGGUUUUCUAUUUGCUUGCCUGGAAACUUAUGCAAAAACAAUCAAAAGUUUCAUUCCCCCCCCCCCCUCAAACAUCAGCUUAGUUUCAAAUGUUCUUCUUUUCAGUUUUAUAUAUAUAUAUAUAUUUUAAAUAUAUAUACAUAUAAUCAAUAGGGAAAUUAUCAUUUGUAUACCCUUAGUUUACUCCAUUAUAAAAAAUACUACAACACUUUGAGGGUGUAUCAAUCGUCCACCCUAAGUUGACAAAAUGUAUCAGCUGACCACCAAACCGUUAGUUGCUGUUUACGUAUGAUGAUGUCAGAUAAUUUUCAAGGGUAAAAUCGUCAAUUCAGUGUAACUCCGUUAACUUUCAAACGACAACUAACGGUUUGGUGGACGUCCUGACUACACCAAUGUCUUAUUCCAAGACGCUCAGGACCCAUGGGAAGACUUUCAGUCCCUUCUCCAUACUGACACUCCCCAUUAUACUGUUACAAACCCAGAUUCUCCUGCUCCAUCUACUUCAUAGCACAUGUCUGAAGUUGAUGAAGAGAAGUAUCAGCAAGCUGAGGCGUAUCUCGACCAGAGACAGAGGCAUCGGCACAAGCGCCAAUAUGAAAAAGACACAGGAGACAUGUCACCAUCCCGCUAUCCAUCCACUCCAUGAUGACACGUUGUCACUCUCACACAGCUUUUGAUGCAAUCACCCAUGUGACUCCCGUUUGUCUUUUGUUAAAGUCCUUAUCCACAUGCUUUACUUUUGUUAAAGUCUUUGUCUGUAUGCUUUCCUUUUGCUAAAAUCCUUGUCGGUAUGCUUUACUUUUGUAAAAGUCCUUGUCGGUAUGCUUUACUUUUGUAAAAGUCCUUAUCGGUACGCUUUCCCUUUUGUAAAAGUCCUGAUCGGUGUGCUUUGCUUUCAAAAAAGGUGUGCCAUGUGAUAUGAUCAUUCGAGAGGUCCUGUUCUCAAUGAUCCUCUAUAAAAGGCACCUUUGGUCUCAGUUGUAAGGGAGCCAAUCUGAAAAAUAAAAGCUUAAGUUUUAUACAUCAUGUUUCCCUAAACCUCUCUCUCUCUUCUAGGAAUCGAAGAAAUUAUUCGAAUUAAAAAUGAUACGCUCACCUCAAAACUUCUAAACUGAGUAUGCUCUGCACUUGCCUCAAGCCUGAGGAUCCUGUGCAUCAGAAAGGUCCUGUUUAUCCUCCAAAACCGAUUUCUCUACAAUGAAAGUGUUUUCUCACAACGUUCACCCUCUUUAAAGGUUUUCGGGUGGUAUCGUGACAAAAUUGUUUUCAAAAAUGAAUUUCGGAUUUGGUAUUAACUGGAUAAGUGUAUAUCGGCUGGAAACCAAAGUGUGCGGACUACUGGUCCAAAGGAGAUUUAAAUAUCUUGGCAAGACCCUCAAAGUGUUGUAGUAUUUUUGAUAACAGAGCAAAUAUAGGGUAUAUGAAUGAUAAUUUCCCUAAUCAAUAUGAUGAUUUGCAGGGCCUUGGUGUACGAGGGUUUUCUCACACACUUAGAAUGAGAUCACUUGAUUAAUCUUGUGGGUACUUAGACUUUUAGCUUAAUGUUAUCAAAAUGAAUGAGAAUUUUCAUUUUUGUAUAGUUAUUGUAUUUUGAUUUAUUGAGUUGGUUAAUUUUGUGAUUAGGCAAAAUCACAAAAUUAUAAUUUCUUUUUGUUAAUUCAUAGUUUUGAUAUUUUUUAUGUUUAUUAUUUUUUAUUUGAUACUAGAAUCAANNNNNNNNNNNNNNNNNNNNNNNNNNNNNNNNNNNNNNNNNNNNNNNNNNNNNNNNNNNNNNNNNNNNNNNNNNNNNNNNNNNNNNNNNNNNNNNNNNNNGUUUCUUUUGAGAGGUGCGCUUAGCUUUGGAGUUAGUAAUUUUCCUUUUCUGUUUGCCAUUUGAGUAAGAGGAGGAAUAGACUAGUGUUUCUAUUUAGUUAUUUCUAUUAUGAAUGUGUAAUUUGGAGUUUGAGACUUUUGUUAUUAUUUUUAUGUCCUCGGGAGAGAUUAUUUAGUAUUAGACGUUUGAAUUUGUGGAUUUAUUUGAAUAAGAAUUGGAGGUAUUUCAGUUUGAAACUUAUGAGUAAAGAUUAUGAUUUGUGAGUAAUCUCCUUCUUCACAUGCUCCACACGUGUUAGAUUUGGGGUGUUACACUAAACCUUAUGCUUCCUCCCCGUCUUCAGUGUCUAGUUCAUUUUGUUGUUAAUGAAGGUAGGAAUAUUAUUGUAUAUCAGCGGGAAACCAGUGACUUAUAUUCUGAUGGUCAUCCCGAAUGGGGACUAGAUCAGUUUGCACUACUGGUAUAACAAGCCACGUCCAAUUAUCUUCUAUCUUUGAGCAUAAUGCUUUUCGUCAAAAUGAAGUGGUAAAUAUGAGAUAUGUUUGUCUUGACUAGGUAAAUAGAGGAAAGCCUGAAUAAAAAAUGAGUUCAUAAAACAGUUCAGAUAAUCUUGCUCCUGUUACUCUUUCUUCAACCCUCUCACUUCCCAAAUCUUGUUCUAAACACUUGGCUUCAAAAAUAGAAAACCUUGUUGAGUAUUCGUAUGUCCCAGAAUCAACCCAAAUUAGUGAAUCUUCUAUGCCUCUCAUUAGCCCAUAUAAACUAUACCAACGACCAAAUUCCUUAACCCGAAGUAUUAGAACUCUAAUCUCAACCAAAGACCUGCUCCAAAAGAAUAUAUCCAGUCAUCUCGACUAGAUCAGUGUGCUCUUCAAGCAUUACAAGCAGAGUAAUAUGUUACUCUUGAAAUUCCACCAGAGCUUGUUGCUCAGUGGAAAAGGGAAGGAUACACACACCUCCAUCUUGGAGGAGUUCGUUUGAUUCUCACCCUUCACGGAAGAAAAGGCUUACUUGUCACAGCCAGACUGGCUUUACUAGAUACCCGUUUCAAGGAGUAUCAGCAUGCAGUCAUAGGAACAGUCCUGACUACUCUACAUGCAGGUAGUGUUCUCUUGACCUUCUACCCAAAUUUCAACCUUACUUGAUGAUGCAAACCUACCAACUACUCUAAAGGUUCAGAUCCAGAUCCAAGGAGCUGAACAAAUAGUCUCUUCAAAGAUGGCAACCUUACAUCAUCAACUAGUAUACCGACUACAAAACUAUGCCCUUAAUCUCCCCACACCUCGAACCACAUCAAAUGCACUAAUGAUCCUUGCAGAUUCUUCAGAAAGCAUCCCUUCCAUUGUUCAAAUCCCAAGAAAGAUACAAAAGAAAGAGCUGCUAAAGCUCAUGCCUCUUGAAUGGCUUCCCAAUUAUGAAAAAUUCCAUCAAAACUCACAGCCCAAACAACCGAUGCUCAUUUUGAAAAAAGAGCAGAUGGAACUGUAAAAUUGACUUUCCAAUCACCAUCCACUUCCCAGACACUCAUUGUUUCUCAUCCAUCCUCUGAACAAUCAACAUCCAGAAACUCCUUUUCAUACUCCUCGAUGAUCACAACCGUAUCUACGGCACAAGAAAAUCUUCCCAUCCACGAAUUUACCUCAAGAUGGCUAUCUGAUCUACCCGGAAAAAAUCAAUGGUCAUUUUUUAUGGGAUGUUCUAGGUUCCCAUAUGUGUGAUCCAGAUUGUCCUUGUCUUCAAUAGGCAUCCUAGGCGGCGUAAAAAGAAAAGUCACAAAUUGGAUCCAUGUCACAAAAAGCCUCCAUUACCUUCAGAUGAUCCAGAUAGUCUAACACCUUUACCUAUUUAUAGAAAAGGUCUAAGACUAUGUAAACAAGAAGCAAAUCCCAUUCUUCAUUCAACACCCAUCCAGUCAUGUAUGAUGUUCUCUUCAAGCUCUUACCAAGACCAGUUCCCUCCCCUAGAAAAACAAACUGAUCCCCGGACAAAGGUAACCACCAAACCUUUUAUCCACUCUCUAGUCGCUCCAAAUGGCCAGCUCAAAGAACCAAAAUCUUUUGAAGCUGUUCUAAAUUGGCAAACUCAAAAUGUCAGAGCCUAGAAUUCAGCUUUCAAAUCUCUUGACGAGAAAACUGAAAAAGUGGCUUUCCAAGUCAAGCAGACAGACACAAAGGUAGAGAAGAUCACAUCUCAGCUUGAACAGAUGUAUCUUGACAUGCAAAAUCGAGUCACCCAACUUGAUUCAGAUCUGCUGUUUAUGAUCCAAAACAGAAUUCAAUAAAAAAGAAGCAGAGAUUAGGCAGUUAAAAAUUGAACUUGCCAGGAUUGAUGCAGACAAACAACAACCUUCUUUCACCAACCUUUAGUACAUACCAACCUUUCUACACGCCAUCCACCUCUAGACAACCUGUAGACUAUGCCAAAUUCUUUAGUCUGUCUCAUCUCAAACACACUUCAACUCCUGCUCAUCCUAAGCCACGAUCUAGAUCCACUAAGAAUCAAUCACCUCCGGCCUGUCAUCCAACUCCAACAGUUCUGGAUCCAAAACUCUCCCUAGAAUUGUCUCAAGAAUCCCAACCAACCUAGAAGAAUAAAGAACCUAUGCACCAAUAUUCAUCCCAGAUUCUACCCCACCUCUCAGAAUCAGAAGAAAGUUCUUCCUCGCAAACAGAAGAAACCUCCACAAAUAAAGAAUCAUUUACUUCUUCAGACUCUGAAAAAGAGCUAGCUGAUGUCUCUAAGCUUCUUAUGGUCCAUUCUUCCUCCUCGCCCCCUCAAACACCAAUAGUUGAGGAAGCAGAUUUAGAAACCAAUCCUACAGCACCUCUCCAAGAAAAUUCUUCCACUAAACCAUCAAACAGCCCAUGGUUUACUUUGGAUGACAUUCCAAAAGUAAAAUGGCUAGCCAGAUUUCAAGAAUUUUCUGCCUGGAUUGAUGUUCAGAUGCUCAGACUUGGAGCAACACCUCAAACAAUCCUUAAAGAGUUCAGUUCUCGUUCACAGGAUCCCACUGGUAUCAGAGCCGCACUUCAUGUUGCGGUGGUAUCAUUAGUAAUUUGAAUAAUCUUAUUUGAUCUGCUAGAAGAAGAUUCCUCAACCAUGGAAACAAACACAUCUUCAACCUCUACAUCAUCUUCAUCUCAUAUUUCUCUUUCUUCUACUCUCUCUCUUCCCAAAUCAUGCUCUAAACACAUAACCUCCAAAAUUGAGAAUCUUGUUGAAUAUUCUUAUAUUCUAGAAUCUGCUCAAAUCAAUGAGUCCCAGUUUCCCAUCAUGAGUCCUUACAAUCUCUACAAAUAGAAAACUUCUCUCACUCGAAGUAUCUGAACCCUCAUCUCCACUAAAAGACCACUCCCAAAAGAGUAUAUCCAGUCUUCUAAGCUAGAUCAGUGUGCUCUACAAGCCUCACAGAGUGAACAAUAUGUCACUAUGGAAAUACCCUCAGAUCUCGUCGCCAACUGGAAACGAGAAGGGUACACACACCUCCAUCUUGGUAGUGUAUGAUUAAUUCUCACUCUCCAUAGUUGAAAAGGCUUACCUGUUAUAGCUAGAAUUGCUCUCCUAGACACCAGGUUCAAGGAGUACCAACACGUUGUUGUAAGAACUGUUCUGACAACCCUUCAUGCUGGCAGUGUCUUAUUAACCUUUACCCAAAUUUCAACCUCUCUCUUGAGGAUCCCAAUCUUCCAACAACCCUUAAAGUCCAGAUCCAGCUCCAAGGAGCAGAAUAAAUACCCACAUCAAAGAUUGCAACCCUCCAUCAUCAAAUAGUGUAUCGAUUACAAAAUCAUGCACUAGAUCUUCCCACACCAUACACAACUUCUGAUGCCCUGAUGAUAUUGGCAGACACAAACACAAUUCCAACCAUCAUCCAAAUCCCCAAACAAAUCCAGAAACAAGAUCUGCUCAAACUGAUGCCUCUUGAAUGGCUAACCAACUAUGAGCAUUUUCACCAAAAUUCUGAACCAGUACAAACCACAGCUUUCUUAUAUUGCUUUGAUCACAGCAGUUCAAACUGGUCAAGAAAAGAAACUUCCUAUUCAUGGUUUUUCAUCAGAAGGGUAUCCAGUAUAUCCUGAUAAAAUCAAUGGUCAUUUCCUAUGGGAUGUUCCUGAAGCCCAUAUGUGCAAUCCGGAUUGUCCUUGCUUGGAUGAUACGGAUAUUGAUGAAGAAUUGGCCGUUAUGCGGAGAAAGAAAAAGAAGAAGAAAAAAUCUUCUUAUCCUCCACCAUCUUGCAAAUCCUUUCUUCCACAACCUCCACCGGAUCUAAAACCUCAUGUUCACCCAAUCAGGUCAUGCCUUAUGUUUUCUAGUCAUUCCUAUGAGGAAUCAUUUCCUCCACUUGAAAAACAGACAGACGCACAAACCCGUGUUACCUCAAAACCUUUUGUCCAAUCUCCAGUUACAGCCUCUGGGCAACCUGAAGAGCCAAGACAGUAUGAAGCUGUUUUAAACUGGCAAACCAAAAACGCCAGUGCUCAAAAUCAUACUCUUCAACAACUCGGUAAGAAAAUCGACCGUGUUGCCAAUCAAGUCUCCCAGACUGAAACUAAAGUUGAUUCAAUCAGCAGUCGUCUUGAUCAGAUGUAUAUCCAUCUCCAAGAUCGAAUCUCCGAACUUGAUGCCGAUCUCAGACGGAUGAUCAACAAUCAUAUCUGGGGUCCAGAGUUUAAUAAAAAAGAAGCUGAGAUCAGAAAACUCAAAGCUGAAUUGUCCAAGCUUGAUGCUGAAAAGACUCGACCUUCCCUUUUUACUCAACCACAACCUACACCAGUAUCUCCUCCAAUCUUUGAAACCUAUGCACCUUUCUACACACCAUCCCGACCUCAAUAACCUGUUUAUAAUCAGUUCUUUGGUUUCUCCCACCUUCAACCAACUCCUCAACCAUCUUCACCCAAAAAAUCAAGAUCUAAAGUCAAAAUCUCUGAACCACGUGCAAAGGCCACUUCCUCUUCCUCUACAUCUACAAUCCCUCCAGAAGAAUCACCACAAGACCAUCCCGAGCCUCUUAAAAAAGAUAAAGGCCCAAUGGACCAGUAUCAUUAUCGUACUGUCCAGAUCCAAUCUUCAGAUUCCUCUAACUCUUCUGAGCCUGAAACAAAUAAUUCAGCUUCGUCCUCCUCUUAUGACUCAUCAAAAGCCUCCACUGACUCUAAGUCUGAAUAUGCUGACAUUACAGGCAUAUUAAUGGCCACUGAAACUGUAGAUCCAAGUGCCUCUACUUCAACACCUAUUGUUGAUGACAAUCCUUCUGACCAAGCUUCUCAAACAGACCCAGUACCGCCACCAGUUCACGAACACUCAACAAAACCAUCUUCAGCAUCUUGGUUUACAUUUGAUGACAUUCCCUGUCACAAAUGGACGGCUAGACUUCAAGAAUUUGCUGCUUGGAUUGAUCUCCAAGGUACCAAGCCUAAUGCUCAACCUCAAGCCGUUCUUCGUGAAUUCAUGGCCCGCUCCACGGGUUCUUUACGAGACUGGCCAGAAAGCUUAGGAGAAUACAGACAGCUCCAAUUCAUGGAAUCUCCGAUUGGUGCAGCCCUCAAUAUUAUUCAUAAGCAAUUCAUCGGUGAAAAAACUGCUUCCACUGAAGCAGACAGAAAAGAAUACCAUCAGAUGAAAUGCUGUUCUCUUAAA
rnacentral:lncRNA from 1 species